rnacentral:lncRNA from 1 species
UUUUCAGAGAGCUAGAAUAAUUUUUUGGAGGUGCGGGCAGAGUGAUAGAACCAAAGUUUAGAUGCAUGAGUUUUUGCAUCAUCCAAAUAUCCUCUGGUGACUGAUCUAUGUAGCUAGAUGGCAUUUCUAGUGUUUCAAGGUUUAAAAGGGUGCAUAGCAGUGAAGGAAGGCAUUUGAGCGAAGGGAUAUUCAAUUUCAAAUACUUCAAAAGAUAUAAAUUUUCUAAUGCGGGUGGAUAUUGGUCCAGGACUGCAGAACCCAUGUUCAAUACCCGAAGGUAUUUGAACCUUUUAAAAAAAUUCUCGCAAUCUUUCGGAUUAAGAUGAUUGCUUUCUGAACUGUGAUUCAGAAAUGAUUGGAGAUACAUGUCAGACUGUUGUAAAAAAAAGAACUCAAGCAGAUCUUCCAAAAUGAAGCACCGUUUAGCAUUUUCAAUUGAUUCCCCUAUCCAUGCAGGCAUUCGGACAAAUCUCGUCUUCUCUGCCACCAAACCCAAUGAAGUAAAUACAAAACUUGGAACAUAACACGCUUUAAUUGUGCCUCCGGCUCUUCUCGUACUCACUUUAAUGAAGCCGCGAUGGAUUAGUUCUUUCAAGUAAUGUUCGGCAGUUUCUUCACCGUUGUAUGGUAUGAAACCUUCAGCUACCCACAACUGAUAUAAUUGCCUCGUGGAUAUCUCGAUGCCUGGAGGGAAGACACACAAAUAGAUGCAGCAGACUUUCAAGUGAAAAGGUAACUCCAUCACAGAGAAAAUUUGUCUCCAUACUGUCGGAAUCGCUUCGCUUUGAAGAUAAUUUUCUAAUGGCAUACUUCCAUAGUGUAGGAUGAAAAAUUGCCAGGCCUCAUGCUUUAGUCUGAUCAAUGGUCCUCCAACGAGCACUGAACCAUGCCGAAUCUUCUCUCCAUUUUCCAUUUCCAACGACUCAAGGAGGUCUGGAUCAGCGGCCAAUAUUAAUACUCUGCUUCCAUUCUCAUUAUCAGGGAGAACUUCUUCGAGAUCAUCCCAUAUCUCACGGUCAUUGAAGACGUCAUCAAGCACAAUAAAGUACUUCUUGUUUGUUAGGUAAUCUCGAAGAAUAGAUUUCUUCAAUUGAUAAUCUUCACCGAUAAUUACACUAACCCGAGCUGGAGGCAUCACAGACUUGAUUAUGCCAUCCAAUAUCUUGCCAAAAUCAUAACGUAGAGAAACCCUGACCCAAGCAUGACAGUCAAAAUAGAACUUGACAUGAUUACUGUUAUAAGUAUGUGCAGCAAAAGCAGUCUUAUCGAAGCCACUGCUGUCGAGAAUUGCAACCACUGAAAGCCCAGAUGGUCCCUCAAUCAAUAGAUCAAAAAACUUCUCUCUGCCCCUUUCAAAUUCACUGAUAUCGAGCCGAGGUUGUCCCUCACUCAAUAGGCGAAUGAUUUCGUUACGUUUUUCACUGAUAUCAAAACCAUUGUCGCCGGGUGGAAGUUGUUGCGUCCGAUUUCUAAUAUCAAUGAUUUCACUGAUAUCAAAACCAUUAGUGCUGCUUUCACUUUCGUUUUCACUGUUUUGCUGCUGCAUAAUGUUGAUGAAGAAUGUGUCAAUGGCUUCCUCAGAUUCAUGGACAAAGUGAUUGAUGUCCUUAAGAAUUUCCAGAAUGUCUGAUCUUUUAACGUCUUCUUCAUCACUUUCUUCUAAGUCCAACAGUUGCAAUAAAGGCAAAGACAUAUUGGAUUCAGCGAAUUCUUGUCUGAAUAGUUGAGACAAAAUCCGAGCCAUGUCAGCUUCAUAGUUUCCCGACAGAGUAGUAGUAAUAAUUUCAGACUCCGUAAGAAGGUUUUGAAAAAGCGGGGCUAAAUUUGUUGAAUCAGUCAACGUUAACGUGCCUUCUUCACCUGCUAACACCCUUUUCAACCUCUCACAAAAUAGUCGGAGGUGGACGUCCAGCAUAUCUCCUUCUCUCUGUAGCACCCAGAGGUAUUGUUUUUUGCUCCAAGAAAUAUUAAAAGGAUUGGUUCUAUCUCAAAGUGGUUACUGGUGUAAAAUUAAACGCCAUGGGAGAAUUUGAAGGGAAGAUGCCAAGGAACUGGCGAUGUGGCUAAAUUACACAAAUACGGCAUUAUUGCUCAUUUUUAACUCAAAAAAUUGAUACCAAGACGCUUGCCUUUUGAAAAGAAGAGGUAUCCAACCUUUAUCUUAUUUAAUUACUACCAUGACAUGAUUGAUGGUGCUUAAAUCAAUUGUUUCUUUAUUAAUUUAAAGAAUUUUUCAUUAAAAAAAUUAUUUUAAUAUCAAAUACCCUUCAAUGGCAUAACUGCCGCAGGCCCAGAAACAGGAUUAAUUAAAAUUUUUUGAAUUUUUGGGCAAGGAAAGAUUUGAAAUUCUAGUUAUGCAACCCAAGAGGGAGUGAAUUAGAAUUCUAUAAAUUAUUUAAUUUAUAAAGAAAACCUUAAUGCAAAUAUAAACCAAAUUCAAAGCAAUAACAAAUAAGGUGAUCACAAUAUAAAAAGAUAAGGGAAGAGAGAUUCAAACACAUAGAUUUUUACUUGGUUCGGCCAACCUCGCCUACGUCCGCGCCUCCAAGCUUUCCGAGCUUAAAGAUUCCACUAAGCAAGCCUCCAAGGCUUCAAAUGCUUACACUUGACUUCCAAGGUGUCAAUAACCUUUACAACAAGAGAUUAUCCCAAUCUCUUUAACCCAAGUGUAUCCCAACACUUACAAUCACUCAAAACAAAAGAUUACAAAUUUGUUUUGACUCUCACAAUAUUUAAGAUUACACAAUGAUGCCCAAUAUGUCAAUAGAUGAAGCAAGAAUGUGUUCAAAGCUCUAUGAAGAUUGUAUUCUCGAGUAUAAGCUCAAUAGUCGUGUUGUGAUCAAUCUUGUUUGAAUUUGAAUGAGCUUAUUUAUAUUUGGAGCUGAAAAACUAGCCAUUACAAACUGUCGGCCCGAAAACGGUUCGCUGUUAACCAUUAACGGUUAACCGUUUAGGCUGGUCAAAAGUUACCGUUGGGCCAAAUUUCAAAUAAACGGUUUGCCGUUUAGGAUUACCCCUUCGCCGUUAAAUUCUAGAGACCUGCAAGAUGAAUAUCAGUUAUCCGUUUACAUUAAACGGUUAAAGAUUUGCAUGAAGUGACUUCUCUGGAUAUUAUCGGUUAACCGUUUGUAAUAAAUGGUUCGCCGUAUGUUUCCAGUAACCUGCAAAACAAUUUAGCCUUAUCCGAUUUUGUUAAACGGUGCCAGAAGAGUACAACCUUCAAUUCUGGAUUUUAUCGGUUAACCGUUUAAAUAAACGGUUCACCGUUAAAUUCCAGUAGCCUUCCCAGCUUUUUGUGUUUUCCAUUUUUCUUAAUCGGUUAGAGCUUAGGCAAUAUGUUGCUCUCUGGUUUUAAUCGGUUAACCGUUUGAAAGAAAACGAUUCACCGUUUAUUUCCAGAAUCACAUUUUAAACCAGAUUUUGCAGAAAGUCAUUUUCUAAUUUGAAAGUCCAUCUUUUAUGAAUAUGAUUGGAAUGAUUAUAAGGCUUUCAUUUAUUAAGGAAUAGCUCCAACAUUUUAAUCAAAAACCAUUUAAAGUUUGUUAUCAUCAAAAUCAAUAUUAUUAACAUAUUCAUGUUAACAAUAGUAGUAUUAAACAUCAGAAAGCUAAGGUUGUUCUGUUAAUGAAUUGAUAUUGACAUAAUUUUAUUUUGGUUUCCGGGGAAAAAAAAACAUUUGUUGACAAGCAAGAAAAUAUUUUUAAAUUUUACAAUUUAUUAUACAUAUUUUAUCAUAUUACAAUAAUUUUAAUAAUAAAUAGAAACAUAAUAUUACAAUAAAUAAGUUAAAGUUUAAAUUAUUUUAAAUAUUAUAAAAAAUAAUUUUAAUAUUAUUAAUAGGAAGACAUUUUGUUAAUUUUAAAACCUUUUUAACCCAAAGGUUUAUUUAAAAGCUUUAUAAUAAACAUAAAUAUAAGAUUAAAAUAAAUAUCAUAAUUUGAAAUUUUUAGUAUUAUUUUAAAUAUUAAAAAUACUUUAAUAUUAUUAGCCUACUACAUUGAUUUUAUUAUUUAUAUUAUAUUCAUAUUGAUUAAAACUUUUUAAAGUCAAUUUUUUAGUCAGUAUAUUCAAGAGGUAUCAUAGUUAAAGAAAAGAUUUUGGUGUUAUUUUUUGAAAAUUUUAAGGUUUAAAUGAUAAUUUUUUAAAAUUUUAAGGAUGUAGGUAUUAUUUUUCCGACAAUUUAUUUUAUUUUUGAGGAAUUCGAUGAGAAAUAUCAUGAGAGAAGGUUAAUUUUACAUUCUUUACCUUUAUGAAAAAAGUGGAAACCAAGAAGUAUUCAAUUUUGUAUUUUUUGUUUGUAAUUCAAAAAAUGCAUCCACCAAACAAUCUUAUCUUGAUUUUUUCACUUUAUUCAUUUUCGAUCCUUUAAUCCAUCUAGUAUCUGCAGCCCCCGCCAUUUUUACAAAUCUCCAUCCGACAUCUACCCUAUCAAACAAAGUUGAUGGAAAUUGAACAAUUGCUUUUUGAAGUGGACCCAAUAAGUGGACAUUUUAUUAAUAUUAAACAAAGUUGACGGAAAUUGAACAAUUGCUUUCUAUGAGCCACUUAUUUUUAACAUUAGCGAUCUUAUCUGGACUACUCCAAUUAUUGAUGUAACUCCAAUGGUUGCAUCAACAGUUGAAUGUAAGAUAGUGUUAGCUCUUCUUUGAGAAUAUAGAGUGAUCUUUCUUUGUUUCUCUGUUGCGACGUGCUACUAUAAAUUUCUUUACCUUGCAGUUUAUAUAGUCUUGCUGUUAAUGAAUUCGCGGAGGCAUUAUUGAUCCAAUCUCAGUGAAGUAAUUGUGGGUGGAAAAUGAAUAAAGGGUAAGAGAACGUAGCUCAAGUGCUGAAUUGGCUAUUAAAGAAGAGUGUCACUUGAUCACAAUCACAUUGAUGCACAACUCACUCGAGGCAAAUUUCAUCUAUAUAUGUACUGCAAAUUCAGCCAAACCAUACAUGCAGGAACAAAACUAAAAUGUAGUUCUAAUCAAAACUGUAAUUAAAGCUACAAAAGGCUUGCUCAAUCCAAAAACUUAAAAGGAAGAUUUUACUCAAGUUUGUCCCCAAAAGACAGCUGAAUUGAAAAAUAUUGACUAUUGAAUCAAUGCUCAAUUACAUUUGAAAUGGAAAGCUUGGCUGCAGUUACGAUGUUUUUCCCUCUGAUUUUCUUCCAAAACAAAUUCAUUUGUAAACAAUAACGGAAGUAGCAAUAAUUUAUUCAUCAAAGAAAAUAUCCAAGUUUUCAACUAACAAAUCCUUUUGUCUAAACUAAAAAAACUUAUAUUUUUAAAAUCUAUCUACAAAAUGUUGGAAAUAAAGAGUGAUCUAUCAACUCGGUAAAUAAACUCAUACAUAAUGUUUACAAUAAUGAUAAAUUACAUAAUAAUUAUUAUAAAGAAUCAUAAAUUAGAAAAAUAUUUUAAGAUCAAAUUGCCUUCAAUGCUGAAUUACAUUUGAAAUGGAAAGCAUGGCUGCAGUUACGAUGUUUCCCCCUCUGAUUUCCUCCAAAACAAAUUCAGUUGUAAACAAUAACGGAAAUAACAAUAAUUUAUUCAUUACUCAAAUUUUUUCAACUAACAAAUCCUCUUGUCUAAACUAAAAAAACUCAUAUCUCUAAAAUCUAUCUGCAAAAUGUUGGAAAUGAGGGGUGAUCUGUCAAUUCGGUAAAUAAACUCGUGCAUAAUGUUAACAAUAAUGAUAAAUUACAUAAUAAUUAUUAUAUAGAAUCAUAAAUAAGAAAUAUUAAUCAUUUCACAAUCUAUUACGUAAGUAAGAUAAAUUUCAUAAUAAGUUAAGUUAUAAUGUAAUAAAUAUUUUCAAUAUGCUAAGAUAGGAUUGGUCCUAUCUCAAAGUAGUUAGUGGUGUAAAACUGAUGGUUGUCGAAGCCAGCAAAAAUAAAUACCUACUCUAAAUAAAUUGUGUAUAGUGAUUGAGCAGGGUCGUGUCCACAGAGAUCGGUAAUUAUUUAAAUCAUUUUAAAAUGUAAAAUGCAAAAUGGGGGAAUUGUUGACAAUAAUAAAAAUCAAAUUAAAAUAACAAGAAUGUAAAUUAAAAUUGUAAUUCAAAUUGGGGAAAAAGUAGUAUUAGACUUCAGAAAGCUAAGGUUGUUAUGUUAAAGAAUUCAUAUUGACAUAAUUUUAUUUUGGCUUUCGGGGAAAAAAAUAUUUGUUGACAAGCAAGAAAAUAUUUUUGUAUUUUACAAUUUAUUAUACAUAUUUGAUCAUAUUAAAGUAAUUUUAAUAAUAAAUAGACACAUAAUAUUACAAUAAAUAAAGUAAAGUUUAAAUUAUUUUGAAUAUUAUAAAAAAUAAUUUUACAUUUGAAAUGGAAAGAGUGGUUUUAAACACCAGAAAGCAAAGAUUAUUCUGUUAGACAAUUGUUAUUGACAUAAAAAAUAAUUUGGUUUUCAAGGAAAAAAAACAUAUUUGUUGACAAGCAUGAAAUUUUUUUUUUGUAUUUUACAAUCUGUUAUUACAUAUUUUAUCAUAUUAAAGUAAUUUUAAUAAUAAAUGUAUAUGUAUCUAGAUUGUAACUAUAUUUUAAAAAAUAUAAUUUUUUUAAUUAUUGCACAGAAAAUGUAGAAAAAUGUCUAUGAAAUAAUAUUAUUAGGACUAAGAAAAAAUAUUAUUUUAGAUAAGUUAUAUAUUUAUUAUUGAAUGAAUAAUUUAUUAAUUUAUUGAUAAAUAAAUAUUUAUUAAUUUAAAGAGAGAUUUUUUUUGGUUUUAGUAAUAGUUUGUUUGUUACAUGUACACACUUAUAAAGAAACACAAAAAGUGCUUGCUCAAGUCAAUAGUAUUUGCUUUAAUCGCUACUGUUCAUAAUAAUGUAGCUAAGUUAGGAAAUUUGUAAUUAUACUAUGGUUCUGUUUUGUAACGCCCAAAUUUCUAUUAUUUUAUUUUAUUUUUAAUGGAAUUUAUAAAUGGCGUUACUGCCCUUAUAAAAAGGGUUAUUCAUGGGAUAAUUUUUAGGAAAUGGUUAUUUUUCCAAAUUCAAUAGGGUUUCUUAAGACUCCCUAUAAAUUAAUAUUUUUUUUCCCUUCGAUACUCGAAGUCCACGACGAUUCUUCUUCUUCUCUGCUGCUCAUUAUGCUCCUACCCAAACCCUAGGAUUCAAACUUUUGCUUAGGAGAGAAUCAAAGCGAUUGGUGUUGGAGGUGAUUGAGGCUCUUAGAGGCUUAGAGGUCUGUUAAUUCAAAUUCUUUUGUCGAGAUAAGUAAUUUCAUUCCUAAUAUACUGGAUAUGUAUAAGUAUUUUGAUGUUAUUAUAAGAGUUUUUAUACUUCUUAGAAGAUUAAUAGAUUUUCAUACCAAAAUCAGUUUAUGAAAAUGUUUUCAAAUCUGAAUUCUUUUGAUAAAAUAUUUUAUAAAUGCGUUUUAAUAUGUAAAUUAUUUUAUGACAUGACUGCCUUUUAUAAUUUUGUCUAUGAAAUAUUUUUGCAAGCCUAAAUUGUUGCUAUAGACUUUCAUGAAUCUAAUACGAAUGUUUUGUGCCUAUGUAUGAUUUUAAUUAUUUAUGACUGUACGGGGGCCACCUCUUGAGACUAUAUGGGGGCCACCUCUUGAGGGCCAAAGCGCCGCAAAGUGCCACAUAUAGUGCAAAGUGCCACGUAUAAGUCAUUAUGUUUUGGCUCAUUGUCCGUAGUUAUUCUGAUUCUAAUUCUGAUUGUAUUAUACGAUAUAUUUGUUCUGGACUAGUACUAGGUUUAUGUUCUAAGUGUGCACACGAUAUUCUGAUUCUGUUUCUGGUCAGGUCACCGAGACUAUAGGUGAUACUAUGUGACAUGAGCUAACUAUCUGCUUUCUGUAUACACUUUAUACGAUUUGCUUUCAUAAUUGAUUAUUCUUUUGAUACUCUGAAUUACCAUGAAUUUAUGUUAUAUAAUUGAAAUAUGUUGUUUUAUGAAGUUUAUGAGUUAUAAUAUAUGUUUUUGAAUAAAAGAAGGCUUGCAAUAUUUUUGAUAUCGAUAGGCCUAGUGUAUUAGGAAUGAUUUUACCUACCGAGUUGACAGCCCACCCCUCGUUAUUACUUUUUGCAGAUUAAGUUCCUUUUAAGAGGUAUGCGUAGCUUUGGAGUUAGAGAUUUCGUUUCCGUUUGCUAUUUGAAUAAGAAGAGGAAUAGACUCAUGUUUCUUUUUAGUUUAUUUCUGUUAUGAACUUGUAAUUUGGAGUUUGAGACUUUUGUUAUUGUUAUGUUUUGGAAGAGAUUAUUUAGUGUUAGACGUAUUAAUUUGUGGAUUUAUUUGAAUAAGAAUUUGAGGUAUUUGAGUUUGGAAUUUAUAAGUAAGGAUUACGAUUUGUAAGUAACCUCCUUCUUCAUGUGCUCCGCACGUGUUAGAUUUGGGGUGUCAUAUGUUUCGUAUAACUUUUGAAGUAGAGCUUAUUUAAAUAGAGUAUUCGUCAAUAAAGCUUCUAUAAAUAAAGAUUUUACUAAAAAAAAUUUAGUUGUUUGGUUGUCAAUGUCCAAAUUGACGAACUUUUGUUCCUUUGCUAACAUGUAUUUGUUUUAUUUAAUAAUAGAAGUUUGGUUUACAAUUACACCACCUUCAAAUCAGCUGAGCAUUUUUGCAACCGGUCACAUUAUACAUUAUACUAAUAGCAUCGGCAAGAGUUUUCGAUUGUUGCAACUUGCAAUGGACGCGAUGGGAGAAAAUGAGAAUCUUGUUUAAUUGCAAUAUUGACAAACCUAAUCCUUUCGUAGGGAGUAAUUUAAUAAUCGCUUGUUAUAAUUGAAUAUGUAUAAAGAAAGGAAAAUUCUAUUCAUAGAUUUCGACUUAUUUUUUGUUUAAAGUAAUUAAUCAUUCAACCAUCUUCAUUUGCCUCUGGCCAAUGCCCUUGUAGAUUAGUUGAACCGUUAAUUACUUAAUUCAGAUAAUUACAGUGUCCUUUUCGCUAAUUAAUUAUGAUUAUAUACGCUUUCAUAUAGCAAGUGGCUUUGUAGAUCUAAACCAAGUUGCUAUUUCAAAACGUUAAUUAAGUGAUUCUCCUCAUUGUCAUCAGCGUUAUACGCUCUAGGAAAAUAGCUCAAUUGUUUCCCUGCAUUGAUUUUCAUUGGUACGUGAUUUCUUAUGAAAUUCUUUUGAGCUUUCCUUAUUAAAAAUGCUUGAGCUUUUAUCACCCAAUACGGAUAUCAAUUAACUUGUGAACGAUUUUGUAAUGAAACUAGGAGUUAAAUAAGAUUUUUACAUGAUGAAUUUUUAUUUUUUUAAUUUUUUGAUGUAGUCAAUUUGCUAAUUUUAUGUAUUUCAUAUUCAACGGAAUUUGGGCACGGAAAGUUUGGAUUCUAAUAUUUAUAUGUUUAGCUUUAAUCAGUUUGACUUUCGUAAUCUUUUUCCCCUCAUCAUUAAGGGAUUCAGAAUUAGAGAAACGUUAGGAAGAGGAAGAAAAUAAUUUCGGAAAUAAGUAAGAGGGAAAAAAUUAUCAAAUUAGGAAUGAUUUUUUGUAGAGUAUGUUGCGUUUACUAAAAUGAAAUCGAAAUGAGCUGGAAUCAGAAUGGAUAAAAAUGCGAAUGUGCUGGAAUAAGAAUAAGUAAUGAGAAUCAGAAUAAGUUGUUUACUUGAACUGUAAGAAUCGAAAUCGAAAUGAGCUGGAUUGCAAUUACUUUGUCCUACAAUUAGAAUCAAAAUGAGUUAGAUUGUAACAAAUUACUAAAAGGUACUUAAUGAAUUAUUGUCAUAAUUAUUAUUUUAUAUUUUAAUUAUAGUGAUUAUUUAUUCUAAAUUAUUAUUAUUAAUUAUUUUCAAUAAUAUAUUAAUAUGUUAAUUAAUUUUAAAAAUUAUUAAUUAAUUUAUUAUAAUAAUAUACUAAUUAAUUAUAAUAAUUAUAUUAAUAAUUAUUAUAAAAAUAUAUUAAUUAUUAAUAAUGAAAUUACUUAUUUAAUUAUAAUAAUAUAUUAAUUAUUGUGAUUAUUUAUUCAAAAAUUAUAAUUAUUAAUAAUUAUUGUUAAUAAUGUAUCAAUAUAUUUUAUAUUAUGAAAUUGUGAUGUAUUGUAGACAAAUAAGGGAAUUUGGUACAAUAAAUUCUUAAUAUCUUAGUACAAAGUAUGGUACAAUGAUAUUUUAACUUAUUGUAGACAGAUUAAAUUUCGACACACUUAAUCCAUAAUAAAAUUAGUGGAAAAUAAUGAUAAUUUAUACAAUUAAUCUUUUGAGCAAUAAAAAAAUAAAAGAAAAAGAAGUUACUAAAUUAUGUUUACUGUUAAGAGUGAAUCCACAAUCCUAAAUAAUUUAUUUCCAUCGUUUCACUUAAAUUAAAUAGUGUGAAUUUAAAUUCUAAUUUUUUGAUAAAUUAAAAAGAAAUAAAAAAUUAAAAUUUUUCUCUAUGGAUCGACCUCGGAUUGAUCAAUUUAUUUCAUAACAACACACUUUUAUACUUGAGAGUUAUAAAUAACUUUGAAGUUGUGUUAAGUUUUUGACGCUCUUACGGGGGAAAAAUAUUUAUUUUAUUUUAUGUAUGGGUCAAACUUGAAAGUAUAUUUUAAGAUAGCUGCUAAUAUGCUCUAUUAGACAAUGAUAACGUAGUUGUUUGUGGUGUUCAUAAUGAGUUUAAUUAUGAUUCAACAAUUUAAAAUAUGAAAACAUAUGGAAGAUGGCCGUAAUUAAAUUGAUUGCAUGAAAAUAUUUCAAUGAAAUUUUAAAAAUUUGGUACUUAUUAUCUUAUCAAAAGUUUUUUAAAUUAUAUUACUACUUCAACUUAACUCCUCCUGGAUUGAUUGUAUUGAAUUUCCAGCACCGCCAUUGCUUCUACUUGAAAGCCAUUUAAGUUUGUGUAAGCUACCUAUAGUUUGAAUAACAAUUUACUCAUGAAUUGCUGUUCAUGAUAACAAUUUGAUUGAAAGUGCGGCUGCACUAAUUGUUCUCGUACGACCCCAGAAUGCUGUUAAAUCAGUUGUAUUGGAAAUUAAUCAACUGGUUACAACUCUACACCCCAUCAAUAUUUAAGCAGUCCACAGAACAUUAAUUGUGUUUUGAAAUUUUAAUGAGUCUCACGUGUUUUUCACGUGAUAUGCAGUAAAAACAAAAUUAAAAAAAUGAAAACAUUCAGCCCCAAAGCCAAAAUCCCCAACUCCUUCCAAAUUGGUUCCGCAGCCCCCAAAUCCCUUAAACCCAAAGCACUCUAAAACGACUCUCCUCAGCCAAAAAGAAAAAGGUCACCUCACCUCUCCUCUUCUUCUUCCAUGGCGAUCAACGGCGGCACAAGCACGGGCUGAUCUCCUUCGUCAGUAACGAUCAACGGCGGUACAAGCAUGGACAGAUCUUUUUUUUGGCAAUGAUGAACAGCGGCACAAGCAGAGUCGUCCUCAGGUACGGAUUUGAUGUUGGUUGUGUUGUCAAGUAGCGAUUCAUGUUUGGAAGAGAAUCCGCUCACAAGGACCUGGAGCACUUAAUCGAAGAUCUUAAGCGAGGAAUUCGCUUCCUCCUCAUUCCUAAUCGGUGCCUGAUUCAUCAGUAUGAUUAAGGAUGAAAAUUGAGAAAGAAGGACGCAUUAGGUUUGAGACAUUGGUUGAAAAACGCUACCCCGGUGGCCACGCUGGAAACAUAUGUUCCGUGGCUUCUUGCGUUGUCUGUGAGGAAUAUGUACUGCUGUAGAAGAUAAUUAUGAAUCAAUGGUAAUUGGCGUGUUGGUUUUGGUGCCGAUUUCCUCUUAUUUUCCAGAAAAGGCUUGUAAUUUGUUCACCUCAAGAUUCAAUUUUGUUAUUGAAAAUGGAUGGCUGUAAAGACCUAUUGGCCUUUCAUUAUAUUAAUGUUUUUGACAGUAAGUUUGUAAUAGUUAGUGCAGGGAACUUAUUGAUUCUUGAUUAUAUAUAACGGUGGCCCUUAUUACUUUAAAAAAAAAAAAAAAAUUGAUGAUGGGUUUCGUUUUGUAUAAGUGUUUGGAGUGUUGGAAAAUUAACAUUGUAUAUUUUAGAUAGUUGAGUUCCAUAGUAAUAAAAAGCUACGGAUUUGUUUUCUUUUUAUUGAAAUGAAAACAUUUUUCACUUGUAUAAUAGAAAAUAUACUAUAUCUUUAAUACUUUUGUCAAAUUUAUUAUUUAAAAUUUAUAUUUACUACAUAUUAUUAAUUUUUGUUUCAUAGUCAUAGCUUUUUUUCCACAGUAGCUGUAGCUUAAAAGAUACAGCACCUCAAUUCCAAACGCACUCUAAUUAAAAAUUUUAGAAUUUUUGGGCAUGGAAUUGAAAAGAGUAGUAUUAAACAUCAGAAAGCUAAGGUUGUUCUGUUAAAGAAUUGAUAUUCACAUGAUUUUAUUUUGGUUUUUGGGGAAAAAAAAAAUUGUUGACAAGCAAGAAAUUAUUUUUAUAUUUUACAAUUUAUUAUACAUAUUUUAUCGUAUUAAAGUAAUUUUAAUAAUAAAUAGAAGCAUAAUAUUAAAUAAAGUUUAAAUUAUUUUGAAUAUUAUAAAAAAUAAUUUUAAUAUUAUUAAUAGGAAGACAUUUUGUUAAUUUUAAAAUCUUUUUAACCCAAAGGUUUAUUUAAAAUGUUUAUUAUAAAUAAAGAUAUAAAAUUAAAUAUCAUAGUGUAAAAUUUUUAAUAUUAUUUUAAGUAUUAAAAAUAUUUUAAUGUUAUUAGUCUACUACAUAGAUCAUAUUACUUAUAUUAUAUUUGCAAUGAUUAAAAAAUUUUAAAAUCAAUUUUCUAGUUACUAUAUUCGCGAAAUAUUAUGGUUAAAGAAAAGACCUUGGUGUUACUUUUUACAAAUUUGAGUGCCUGCAUGAUAAUUUUUUCAAAAUUUAAGAAUGUAUGUGUCCUUUUCUCCAAUAAUUUAUUUCACUUUUGAGGGGAAUCCAAUGAGAAAUAUGAUAAGAGAAUGUCAAUUACUUGUCAUUUUCUAUUUUUUCUGUAAGCUAUUUAUUUUGAGCACUGGUGAUCUUGUCUUGACUACUCCAAUUAUUGAUGGAACUCCAAUGGCUGCAUCCACAGUUGAAUAUAUGAUAGUGUUAGCUCUUAUUUGAGAAUUCAGAGGGAUCUUUCUAUGUUUAUCAAUUGCAAUGUGCUAGUAUAAAUUUCUUUACCUUACAGUUUAUAUAGUCUUGCUGUUAAAGAACUCACUGAGGCAUUAUUGAUUCAAUUUCAGUGGAGCAAUCGCGCGUAGAGGAUAAAUAAAGGAUAACAGAACAGAGCUGAAGUGCUAAAUUGGCUAUUAAAGAAGGGUGUCACAUGAUCACAAUCACAUUGAUGCACAACUCUCUGGAGGCAAAUUUUGUCUGUAUGUUCUCUAAAUUCAGCCAAACCAUACAUGCAUGAACAAAAAUUAAACCGUAGUUCUCACCACAACAGUAAUUGAAGCUACAAAAGCCAGCAAAUCUGAACAAAAACUUAAAAGAAAGAUCUUAUUCAAAUUUGUCCCCAAAAGAGUGCUGAGAUGGAAAAUAUUGACUAAUGAAUGGGUCAAUGCUGGAUUACAUUUCAAAUGGAAAGCUUGGCAGCAGUUACAAUGUUUCUCCCUCAGCUUUUCCUCCAAAACAAAUUCAGUUGUAAACAAUAACCGAAGUAGAGAUAAUUCAUUCAUCAAAGAAAAUACCCAAGUUUUCAACUAACAAAUCCUUUUGUCUAAACUAAAAAACUCAUAUCUCUAAAAUUUAUUUGCAAAAUGUUGGAAAUGAGGAGUGAUCCGUUAUCUCCGUAAAUAAACUCAUGCAUAAUGUUAACAAUAAUGAUACAUUACAUAAUAAUUAUUAUAAAGAAAUAUAAAUUGGAAACGCUAAUCAUUCUACAAUCUAAUAAAUAAGUAAGAUAAAUCUCGUAAUAAGUUAAGUUAUAAUGUAUAAAUGUUUUUAAUAUAUAAUUAUUUAAGAAGUCAUUUAAUAAUAAAAUAUUUAUUCUAUUCAGUUGAUCAUAUAGCGUUAUCGAAACUCUUGACGAUAUUAUUAUUACACUUUUCUCAAAAAAACAUGAUUAACAUUUAGAGAAAAGUCAUGCCUUUUAGAUAGAAUAUGUACAUAAGCUAUCCAUAUUUUAUCUUACCAUGAAAAAAUUGAUGGUGAUUAAAUCUACUUUUAAAAUAGAUUUAAUGCACAAAUAUGAUGAUUUUUGGCAAAAAUUAGUUUCGGAAGAUACAAUGGUAGAAAAUAGUGAUGAUUAUUGUUUAAAUGUGUAAAUAGCCUAGGCAUAGCCCGUAAUACCAAUAUCCAUUUACCUUCAUUUAGAUUAUCACAUCUCAUGAUAUUUUUUCAUUCACGACCAUUGUUCGAGAUUUGAACUUGAUCAUAAAUUAAGCUGCAACGGAGUUACUUAUGUUUCUAAGCUUUUCAAUCGCGAUUCCUCCAUGCCUUUCUUGGAUACCAUUUUACUGACCUUGUAAUUGGUGUGUAUAAGGAGUCAUGCCCUUUCAGGAUCGUUUUCUUUUUUUUUUUUCCUGAUUGUAGUGUCAAAUAAAUAAAGAACGAACAAUUGAACUUAGUCUAUUUCGAGGAAAACCAAGGCCUGCAAUAUUAGAUGAACUUUGAACAAAAUUAAUCUACUAUUCUACAUCCCCACCAAAAUUUAAACAGUCGACAUUGUGGAAAGAAACACAUUUCGCCACUAGGCUUUUAGUGAGGCUAAUUUCUCUGAAUUUGGACAGAGUAGGUCCUCCAACGAGAACUGAAUCAGGACGAAUCGGCUCUCCAUUUUCUAAUUCGAACGAGCAAAGGAAGCCUGAAUCUGUGACCGUUAUCAAUACUCUGCUUCUAUUCUGAUUCUCAGGAAGUACUUCUUCAAGAUCAUCCAAUACAUCGUCACCCUCUUUGUACUAAUCAUCAAGCACAAUAAAGUACUUCUUGUUUGUUAGGUAAUCUCGAAGAAUAGAUUUCUUCAAUUGAUAAUCUUCACCGAUAAUUACACUAACCCGAGAUGGAGGCAUCACAGACUUGAUUAUGUCAUCCAAUACCAUGCGAAAAUCGUAGGAUAUAGAAACCCUGACCCAAGCAUGACAGUCAAAAUAGAACUUGACGUGAUUAUUGUUGUAAGUAUCAGCAGUAAAAGCAGUCUUAUCGAAGCUAUUGAUGUCUUUCAGAAGCUCCCAAAUGUCUGUUCUUUUAACAUUUUCUAAGUGCAAGAGCUGCCGAUAACGCGAAGGUAUUUCAUCUUCAUCGAAUUGUUCUCUAAUGAGUUGAAUUAAAACUCGAGCCAUGUCAGCUUCAUAGUUUCCCAGCAGAGUAGUGGCUAUAAUUUCGGACUCCGUAAGAAGGUUUUGAAAAAGUGGAGUUAAAUUUGUUGAAUCAGGCAAAGUUAACGUGCCUUCUUCACCUGCUAACACCAGUUUCAACCUCUCACAAAAUAGUGUGAGGUUAAUUUCCAUAUCUUUCCCUCUCUCAGUAGUACUCAGAGGUACGUAUUGUUAUUUGUUAGUGUUGAUGACGAAAGCUGAAUAAUCAAAACAACAGUGUACACAAUCAACAGAAGGCGAAGUAUGUUAAGUUGAGAUCAAAGGAUAUAAAUGAAGGAAAAGUUUAAGUACUCCGUUGAAAGCCAAAGUUGCUUUGGCCAAUUAAUUUAUAAGUGAAGGAAAGAAUAAAGUUAGUCCUCGAUGUCUUUUGAAAUUAGAAAUACAUUUUGAAUGCUUUAAUAGAUGCAGAGCAAGCUGGCUCGAUGUCUAACUAUUUUAAGAGCUAAAAUCAUUUAUUAGAAGUUGUGGCAUUGAAAAAAACUGGCUUGAUAUCCAAUUUUGUUAUUUAAUGUCUCACGUGAGAGUAAAUAACUGUUGUGUUACUGGCAGAUGAUUGAGACGGACAAGUUUGGAACAUUGUUCGAGACUGAAACUACACAUCAGUCUUAGAAAAUUGUAAUUUUGUUGAAAAAUUAUAGAUUGAAAAAUUAUUGAGACGGACAAGUUUGGACCAUUGUUCGAGACUGAAACUACACAUCAGUCUUAUAAAAUUGUAAUUUUGUUGACUUAUCAUGAUUUUGAUUGCCUCCCAUUGAUUUUCCUAUGAUGUCUCUGUAGAGUGGCUAUGCUUACAUUUUUAGGUAUUUAAUUCUAAAAAUUAACUUAUUAGAUGGAAGGAUCAAUUCUACCUGUAAAUCUAAGUGGCUUCCCUUUACUAACUCAUAUAAGACACAACAAUAAUUUUCUUCGAAAAAAACCACCAUCGGAGGGCUAUUUUCGUUCAACAUACAUGAGUUGUUCCGCCACCAUAUUUUGAGGGUUUGCUUCUAAUACAACUUGGGGAAGCUAGGGGUAAGAUUUCCAAGUAUCAACAUAAAAACCUUGCCGAUUGGAUAGAAGGACCAAUCUUACUUAUAAGUCUAAAUGACUAAUUUUUGAGGACACAACUCAACAGACCAAUAUAAACUUUUGGCGUCCCAUUUUAUUACUUUUCAGUGCUUUACUUUUGCUGUCUAUAGCCCUACUAUUCUAUUAAGCAGAAAAUAUUAUCUAUUUUCUUUCCAUUUUAUGUAUACCCCGAUCUUUACCUCUGAUUGGUUGUAGAUUCUUCUGUCGCUUUGGGGUUAGGGGAUGGUUUUCAUCAAGAAAUGAUAAAGGAUUGUUAGUUGUGUGACAAACAGCAUUAAUAUGAAGGAUGAUGAUUGUUCUUUUCAAGAGUUUAUAAUGACAUAAUUCUGCUUUGGUCUUUUAAAAAAAAGUAAUUUAGAAAUGAGGAGUAUGUGAGUGAUGAUUUUUACAAAUAAAUUGCAUGCGUAGUGAUGAUUUUGACACAUGAAAAUGUAAAAAGAAAUAUAACUUGUGAAUAAUAAUCGAAGUACCCUGCUAUUGUUAUAUUGAGUAAUCAAGGACUUCGAUAUUCGGACGAUACAAGCAACACAAUCAAAUAUUAGUUGGAAGGCAUAGCAAAAUUAGAAUGUAGAACAAACUGGGUAUUGAUAAAUGGAUGGUUUUGGAAGAAUUGAAAAUGAUGGCAAAAAAAAAACAAAGUUAAGAGAAAAGAGAAAGAGCAUUUGAACUUUACUUGUAAGUAAAGGCAAAUAUCUUGGUUCAAGAAAAGAUAAGAGAUAUCAAACUAGCAAUAGGAAAAAGGAGGAAGGUUAAGACAGCAUCUUAACAAAAGCUAAAGAAAAGAAAAACUUAGUUCAAGCAAAGAACAAUGUGCUAAUGUAGUGUAAUCUUGUUUAAUUUCUUUUUCUUCUCACAUUUUCCAGGGCUUAAAUAAUACAAUGUACAUUUUCAAGCAAAGAACAACAAAUAAAUAAUACAAUAUACAUACCCAGUAAAUUAAAAAAAAUAUAUUAUUCAAGUUUGUGGACAAUACUGUAGCCAUUGCGUCGUCGAAAUCUACUGACAGCUGAAACAAAGAAAGAAUGGAUGAACGCUGGAUCACAGUUGAAAUUGAAGGUCUGGUAGGUGAUGUUUCCCUCUCUGAUUUUACCUAAACAAAUACAAGAAAAUAAGAAUCACGAAUGAAAAUCUGUUAUUACACUGUUCUUACUUAUUAAAAUACAGAGGUUUCUUUGUUUCUCUGCAGCAAUGUCCAUGGCUAUUAGAAACAAGAACAAUUAGACCAGCAUUUGCAAGAAUCUUUUAAGGUAUUACUGCAGAUAUAAAUCGACUGAGGAAAUGGAAAAAUUGAAUACCAAAUUAGGCAAGUUAACUGAAGAUUCAGUUAUCAUAGAAGAAUAAAACUCAUCCAAUUCAAUCCAUCAAAUUUCAUUAAGCAUUUCCAGAACUCUUGAUUUUCUUUCUCAGUAGCCAAACAACUUCAAUCUCAUUUUUUUUUUUCAACAAUGAGUUCUCAAACCACUCUGGUAUCAUUUUAAGACAUUCUCGGCCUUGUACUCACCAUCAAAAUGGAUUGGUUGAGAGAAAACAUAGGCAUAUUGUUGAAUUAGGUUUGACUCUGUUGGCUCAAGCUCAACUUCCUUUUAAAUUCUGGUGGGAUGCAUUCCAUACUGCCCUAUAUCACAUCAAUAGAUUACCAUCUUCUGCUUUCAAACUUUCGACCCCAUGUGAGAAGAUAUCCAAGCACAAACCUGAUUAUGAUUUUCUCAAAUGUUUUGGUUGUAUUUGUUAUCCUUACUUGAGAGACUAUAACAAACAUAAGUUUGCCUAUCAUUCCAGUAAGUGUAUAUUCAUUGGUUAUAGUCCUUCACAAAAGGAUUAUAAAUGCUUACAUUCUUCAGGUCAAGUCUAUGUGGCAUGACAUGGUAUCUUUGAUGAGUCAACCUUUCCUUAUGCUACUGAAUCUGUUUUUCAUAGUCACACAAAUUCUGAUUCUCAUUCUUCAAAUUUAUUUACUCCACAGCAUGUCUAUUAUCUUUCUACUUUACCUGUCAUACCAGUAUUUCUAAAUAACAACACUGAUAAUCUAAACUCUACAAAACUAAAAUGCCAGCUGUUUGGUGUUAGCGAUAAGAAACAACUUACCACAACCAUUAAUUAUCCAUAAUUUCAUUGUUUAUCCUCAGUUUUCUUCAUAAAUGUUACAGCGUUCUUCACAACAAAGUGCAAGGGCAUCUCAAAAGUUCUGAAAUAAUACCUCAAUUCUAUUGCAAAAAUAAAUAAUCUCAAACAAGAACCAAUAAUCAUAUUUCGUUACUGUCAAACACAAUGCAUCUGAGCAAAACAUUGGAAGCCAACACCAGAAUACAUAUGAAUAAACAAUUAAAGAUAGAGAAAAAAGGCUUAAACCUUGGGGGAAAAAAGUGAAAAAACAUGAAAGACAAAUUACACAUGUGCAGUAACCAUCGAACUUAUCAGUGACAGCUGCAUCCAUUACAUUGCUCCAACAACACAAUGGCAAACCACCAGUUUCAAAUUGAGGAUAGCUAUUGAGAAUGAGAAAGUGUCCAAAACGCCAUAAAUAGACAUGUUCCUAUUAUGCAUAAUUUACAUUAUAGGCAAAUAUUCUUAUACCAUCAAAAGCAAAACAUGACACUAUAACAAUUGACUCCCCCCCCCCCCCCCCCCCCCCCGCACACAAAAAAAAAGGAAGAAACAAUACCGAAAAGAUUGAAACAGGUAAGGCUACACUGAGCACAGGAUGCCAUGAAACAUAAUCCAGGAACCAAAUUAAUAAAGAAGGAAGGCAAACCAUUAUUUAACAAUCUGUUUUGUAUUAGGGAAAGUCCGAUAAAAUCUACUUAGGGAUAAUUAGAGAACCUCAACUAUUAAUCACACCUCAUAAAUGAACUAACAUUAACCAUGUACCAUCCCCACAUCAGACAAACAUUCUCUAUACUUCUGAACCUAAUACUUCCAUCUUCAAUUGGGGUUUUUUUCUUUUGUGGGGGGGGGGAUAAGCUAUCGUUUUUCUAAGCUUGCUUACCUUCUGUGUGGGACUGAAAUACUGAUUUCGAAUCAUUAACAGUAAAAUUGGAAGCUCAUGAAAAAACAAUUUUAUCUUUUAACAAAAGUUAAAAUUACAUCUCCAUAUAAAUUCUCUUUUCAUUUCCUUCAAUUUUCUAAUUAAGCUUAAAAAAAUGUACCUUCAACCACAAAGGGGUUUAAAAUUUAAAAUAUAUAAAAAAAUAAAUUCAGAUAACAAUAAUUAAUUUAAUUAAAAAUAUAAAUAGAGAUUACAGAGAAAGAAAAAAUAGAGAAAGACCUGAUGUUGAGAGCAUCGACGGCCGGCAGUGACCGGCGGAAGAUGGCGAGAGAUGGCGGCGUGGGCCAUUGCUUGCGCAUCAGUGAGUGUCUCGAGUGAGAGAGUGAAGGUAGGGAUGGCAAUGGGGAGGGAGGGAGGGUCCAAUCUCUCUGUACCCAUCUCCCAAUUUGUCCCCGUCCCUCCCCGUCCCCAUUUGCUUAGAAUCUGUCCCCUACUCGAAUAAUAAUUCUCGAAUAAUAACAUAAAAUGCUCGAGGUUCUCGAUUUAUGAAUAAUUAAUAUAUUUUUUAUUUUAAAUUUUAAAUUAACUAUAUUAAAAUAAAAAAUUUAAAUAAAAAUAAAAUUUGAAAUAUAUUUUAUAUUAAUAUUGAUCCAUUAUAAAAAUUACAUACAAAAUAUAAAUUAUCAAAAUAAUUAUCUUUAUCAAUCUUCAUAAUCCUACAAUAAAAAGAAAAAAAAUUUACUUUUAUAUUGAUAAUAAAAUAAAUGUAGAUAAUUAAUUAAUAUUUUUAAUAAAAUAAAAUUAAAAUAAAAUAAAAUUUUUAGGCUAAUAUAAUCUACCCGACUUUUUUAAUGUGUUAAAUAAAAAUUUAAGACUUUAAUUAGUUAAUUAGGCCUAAAAGCUUAAUAAUAUAAAUAUUUUGAUAUUUAUUAUUUUUACUAAUAUUUAUAAUUUUAUAAUAUAUUCAAUUUUUAUUAUUUAUUUACUAGUAAUUUUAAAAAAUAAAAAUAAAAUUAAAAAAUAAAAUGGGGGAAAUGGGGAGGGGAUGGGGAUUCCACCUCAUCCCCGUCCCUUCCUUGUAGGGAUGGCAAAAGUUCGGGUCGGGUCGGGUCUGGGGCUGCCUGGAACUGACCCGGAUUUCACACAUAGCUGCCCGGACCCGGACCGUGCCCGGAUUUUUUCUAUGCGGGCCGGGUAUAUGGCUGGCACUAUCCGGGCACAGGUUUUUUUUGGGUUUUCUCUACCCACAUUUUCAAAACUGGCUAAAAAAAAAUUGAUAGAAAAGGCUAAAUAAGUAAACAAAAUUGCAAUUGGGCCUGGAAAUUCAUAACUUAUCCCUGAAUUAUAUAUAUAUAUAUAUAACUUCUAAUUCUUUGUUGAUACAAGUUUUUUCUAAUUCAUUAUAAAAUCACAUUAUAUAUAUUAUUUCCUCAUCAGAUAAUAAGUGACAAUUGCUCACCAGUUUAUUAACAUCUCUACGAAACCGUCUUUUAUGGCAUUAUUAUUAUUAUUGUUGUGGCUGAAACCAUGUAGUAUGUGAUUGAAGAAAUUGCAUUAAAUGUUGGAGUGGAGGUGAUGUAGGUGAGAAAGGAUUCCCUGGAGACUGUUAAACAAGACACAAGGCAUUUCCGGAAGAAAACAGAAGACAACUGGAUAAGACAAAACGGACAAAAGGGUAAGAGAGGUGGGUGGGAAAUUAAGAUAGGCAAUUUGUCCAGCAGAAACAUAAUAAUACCUCGUGGUCGUGGGUCGUGGCUGUGUUGGUGAAGUUGCAGCUGAACAAGAACAGUUGAUGCUGUCGCGUGGUGGCUGCCGUUGAGAAGAUGACCAAACGAUGAAGAGCUCUGUGACGGGAUGGUUGUGCUUUGCGAGGAGAAAUAGAGUUGACUGAGGAAGGUAAGAGGUUCGUGGAGGGAAAGGUGCGGACAACACUGCAUCAGUGCCGGUGGGUGGUGGAGAGACGGAGAGAGGUGCCGCCGAUUUGGAGAUUUCAGGGUGGGUGCUGACUGCUGCAGUGCUGCGUUGUUCUGCAAGUUGCAAUCGCGAUUUAGGGUUCAGUACCAGUUUUGGGGGCAAUUGGGCAAAGUAAAUUUUAUUUUCGCUUUUAUAUUUUCUUUUUUUUUACUUAAUAAAAAACCGGGCAUUGAAAAUCAAUGUCCGGAUCCGCUUUUUCCAUUCAUGUGGUCCGGGUAAAACCCGAACCGCACACGCCGGGUCUGGGCCGGAUCCGGUCCGGGUGGGUUUUUCUGCCACCUCUACUUCCUCGAAUAAGAAAUUUGGUAAAAAAAAUUUCCCGUCCCUUCCUCGAAUAAAAAAUCGGGUAUAAAAUUAUCUCUGUAUCCUCCCCGAAUGAGAAAAAUCCCCGAAGAUACCCAUACCUGUGGGGAUUUUUACCAUCCUUGAGUGAAGGGUUUUGUUUAGGGUUUUGGGAAAUGAAAAAUGUAAAUGUUUGAUUUUGUUGCUAGAAACUUCUUCUGCCGCUGCUUUUUAUUUUCGCUAUAAAAAUAAUAAUUUGUUAAUCAAAUAUUUUCUUAAAAAAGAUAAAUUUCUAGAACAAAAUUUAUAUUAAAUCAAAUUGUAAAAAUGUGGAAUAGGGCUAAUUUCUCCUUAAUAUUAUUAUUAGUAGAAGUAGAUUGUCGAACUAGUCUUGAUAUAUUUUAGAGUUGUAUUAUAGAUGUAUACGUAUCUAGAUUGUAAUUAUAUUUUAAAAAAUAUAAUUUUUUUUAAUUAUUGCACAAUAAAUGUAGAAAAUAUCUAUAAAAUAAUAUUAUUAGAACUAUGAUACAGCACCUCAAUUCCACAGUAGCUUAAUAUUAUUAGAACUAUGAUACAGCACCUCAAUUCCAAACGCACUCUAAUUAAAAAAUUUAGAAUUCUUGGGCAUGGAAAGAGUAGUAUUAAACAUCAGAAAGCUAAGGUUGUUCUGUAAAAGAACUGAUAUUGACAUUAUUUUAUUUUGGUUUUCGGGGAAAAAAAUAUUUGUUGACAAGCAAGAAAAUAUUUUUAUAUUUUACAAUUUAUUAUACAUAUUUUAUCAUAUUAAAGUAAUUUUAAUAAUAAAUAGAAACAUAAUAUUACAAUAAAUAAAUUAAAGUUUAAAUUAUUUUGAAUAUUAUAAAAAAUAAUUUUAAUAUUAUUAAUAGGAAGACUUUUGUUAAUUGUAAAAUCUUUUUAAUCCAAAGAUUUGUUUAAAAUUCUUAUAAUAAAUACAAAUAUAAAAUUAAAUAUCAAAAUUUAAAUUUUUUAAUAUUAUUUAAAUUUUAAAAAUACUUUAAUGUUAUUAGUCUUCUACAUAAAUUAUAUUAUUUAUAUUAUAUUUGUAUUGAUUAAAAUCUUUUAAAGUCGAUCUUCUAGUUAUUAUAUGCAAAAGGUAUUAUCAUGUUACAAUUUUUUGAAAUUUUAGGGAUGUAGGUUACGAUGAUUUAUUUCACUUUUGACAAAAUCCAAUGAGAAAUAUGAUAAGAGAAAGUCAAUUUAAUGUUCUCGACCUUUAUGAAAAAAAGUAAAAACUAAGAAUUAUUCAAUUUUAUAUUUUUUGCAUCCACCAAAUAAGUUUUGCACAUUUAUGUUAUCAUAAAACGAAAAAAAGGGUUUACCAAAAAAUGGUACCAAGCAUACCUUUAAUGUCCCACGUGAUUUCUUAUUAAGCCCAAUAUUAGAUAUAUUUAUACAUUUUACUGCAUUAAGUAUUUUAAUUAUAAAAGAAGUUGGUCCUUCCUCUAGUUACAAAAGAUAACUUUAUUUCAAGACUACCACUAAAUUCUUACGUAGAAUUAGUGCAAGGCCAAGAGAGAGUAACACAAUUUUACUUUUCCAUUACCAUUUUGAAAAUAGAAAGAUAUGGAUCCGUGUAUUUAAGAGUUAUUGUAAAAAUCAUACAAUUCAAUUUCCUGACGUGUAUUAUGUAUAUUUAGGCACAUUUGCCAAAAGCAUAAAUAGAUAGAAAGUAAAUUUACAAUCCACCCUUACUCACAAUUAUUGAAGUGAAGAUGCAUUACAACUGUCACUACUUUAACUUUAUUUAUUUAUUUGUUUUAAAUAAAAGUGUGAGAGAGACGGUGAACAUCAUGGACGAUAACAAAGGUUAAAGCCUAAAGGUGACCCAUUUUCUUUUUAAAGUGCUCUGCUGAAAGCCUAACUUCCUUUGGAUCCGCCGAAGUGGCCGAAGUGGUGGGCUGCUGCCCUCACAAGCAUUGUGAGGGCAGCGGUUCUAGCCCCCACAAAAGCAUUGUGGGGGUUAAAUGUUCUUUAUAUUUAAAAAUUUUUCUCCCUUGCGAAAUACAAGUGGAGUAUGGACAUCCCUCUCCUGUGAGGGGUUAUUUGUUUGGGCAUGUACUUCAUAGAAUUUAAUGUAAUAAUGUAAGUCCCAAUAAUGUAUAUCUGAUUGUAAAUAUCAGUAUAAUAUCUCUGCUACAAUAGCAAUUAUUGUAAAUAUUUGUGUAAUACAGUAAUCUGAUGAUUAAUCAGUAUUCAAAAAAAAAAAAACUUCAUUUGGAUCCGCCUAAGUUACUGCUUUGUAAAAUUUUAUAAAGCCCCUUAUACUCUAUAUUAUUUAUAAUUUGUUCAUAAAUAUUAUAAAACUUUCUGCAUUAUAUAAUUUUAUUGAGCCCCUUGUACUAUAUUUUAUUUCAUUGAAACCCUUAAAGUACCAAUUCGCCCUCUAUAAUUUUAAAUUACUAAAAUACCCUCCAUUUAAUUAAAAAUAUAAUGAUUAUUAAAUGAUUAUAAUUAUCUGGAGUACAAAUUCAGUAAUAAACAAUAACUAAAGUAUUAACAAUUUAUUCAUCAAAUAAAAUACUCGAGAUUUCAGCCGACAAAUCCUCUUGUCUAAACUAAAAAACUCAUAUCCCUAAAAUCUAUUUGUGAAAUGUUAGAGAUGAGUGGUGAUUUGUCAACUGGGUAAAUAAAUUUAUGCAUAAUGUUUCCGGUAUUGAUAAAUUACAUAAUAAUUAUUACAAAGAAAUCAUAAAUUGGAAACAUUAAUCAUUUUACAAUAUGUUACAUAAGUAAGAUAAAUCUCAUAGUAAGUUAAGUUAUAACGUAAUAAAUAUUUUCAACAUAUACUUAUUUAAGAAGUCAUUUAACAAUAAUAUUUUUUAUAUUUCAGUUGAUCAUGUCAUAUAGCGUUAUCUAAACUCUUGGCCAUAUUAUUAUUACUCAAUUUUCUCCCAAAAAAAAAAAAAAAAAAACAAAAACAAACAUGAUUAAUGAUUAGAGAAAAGUCAUGCCUUUUAGAAAGAAUACGUAUACAAGCUAUCCAUACUUUAUCUUACCAUGAUGGUGAUUAAAUAUAUUUUUAAAAUAGAUUUAAUGCACAAAUAUGAUGACUUUUGGCAAAAAUUAGUUUCGGAAGAUAUAGUGGUAGAAAAUAGUGAUGAUUAUUGUUUAAAUGUGUAAAUAGUCUAAGCAUAGCCCGUAAUACCAAUAUUCAUUUGCACCUUCAUUUGGAUUAUCAUAUUUUAUGAUGUUCUUUCAUUCAUAACCAUUGUUCAAAAUUUGGAUUUGAUCAUAAAACAAAACUAAAAAAUAUUAGAGAUACUAACAAUUGAGUCCCAUUUUAAGUCCCAAUACAAUGUGUUAUUUCUCAAUGUUGUGUCAUUCAUUAAUUAAGUGAUGAAUUUCAGAAUUAAUAAUUAGUUCAGACUUUAAUUAAGAUUUAAAUGUUAGAAUAUCUAGCAUCAUUCAAUCACAAUAAACAAAAUUCAAAUUGAAACGGCAAUAUUGUAUUUUCUUUAAUUAAUUUUGAUGCUGAAGCAAAUAUUUUGCUUGGGUUUUUCACUUCUUGAUUUUGAUUGGAAAAGUUUCUGAGACGAAGUAUUUUGGAUAAUUUUUUCGGGAUUGAAACCACAACUUGGUAGAGGAAAUUAGUUGGAGUAGUGAUGGCUUUGUCUUCAUUUUUGGUUCCUUUUGUGUCGGCAGCCCCUUACUAUUCUCUUGACCCUGAGUUUGAGAUAGAAAUUUAUCAACCUCCAACCCCACAUCCACAAACAAGUUGAUUGAAACAAUUGCUCUUUUAAUUAAGAGGACCCAAAUGAUUUAGGUUUCAGUUCUUAUCAUUUGUCUAUUAUUUAUUUGAAACAUUUAUUUUGAGCGUUACUGAUCUUAAUUAUCUGUAUUUCUCCAAUUAUUGAAGCAUUUCAAGUGGCCACUUUUUCUCCUUUUUAUAUAUGUUUAUUUUUUGGAGUGAUCAAACGGGGGCAAAAUCAAGUAUUCGCUGGUCUGUAGUUUAGCCAACGAUGGCUGAUCCACACAGUUGAUUAUAUGAUACUAUUAGCUCUCAAAAUCUUUCUUAUUUGAGAAUACAAGUUGCCCAAUAGAGUUGAACUAUGUUACCCAACUCCAUGCUCAUACAUUAAAUGUUUAGGUAGUUUUACAAAAUGAUAGCAGCAUGCCAAAACUUGUUGUUGUCAUUUUCGACAUUUCAAAUUGAAAAAUAUGCAAGCAAUCUUCAGUGAACAUUACGUUUUUAUUGAAUAAUUUAAAUGGCCAGUAAAUCAACAGUCCGUGAGUUUUAAAUCUAUUAUGACUUAAUGUAUCUUUCUGUAUUCGUACACAGGUUAUAUUAUCAUAGUUUAAAAUUUUAAUAUUAUUUUAAAUGUUAAAAAUACUUUAAUGCUAUUAGUCUACUACACAUGUUAUAUUAUUUAUAUUAUAUUUGUAUUAAUUAAAACUUUUAAUGUAAAUUUUCUAAUUACUAUAUUGAAAAGGUAUUAUGGUUAAGAAAAAGUUUUGGCAUUUCUUCUUGAAAAUUUGAGGGUCUGCAUGACAAUUUUUCCAAAUUCUAAGGGUAUAGGUUUGAAAAUUUAAUGUUCUUUAACUUAAUGAAACAAAAGGGGGAAACCAAGAACUAUUCAAUUUUGUAUUUUUUGUUUGUAAUUCAAAAAAUGCAUCCACCAAACCAGUUUUACGCAUUAAUGCUGUCAUAAAACAAAAAACAGUUUGCCAAAAAAUGGUACCAAACAUAUCCUUAAUGUCUCACAUGAUUUCUUAGUAAGCCCAUAUUAGAUAUAUUUAUACAUUUUAGGUAUUUUAGUUAUAAAAGAAGUUGGUCCUCCCCCUAUUUAUAAAAGAUAACUUUGUUUCGAUAUUACCACUAAACUCUUACAUAGAAUUAGUGUAAUGUUAAGAGAGAGUAAAACGGUUUUCCAUUACCAUCUUUGAAAAUAGAAAGAUAUGGAUGCGUGCAUUUAAGAGUCAUCGUGAAAAUCAUACAAUUCAAUUUCCUGACAAGAAGUUGGUCCUCCCCCCCUUUUUUUUUUUUUUUCAAUUACAGUGUGAUGGAGACAUUAAGGAUGAGCAUAAUAGUUAAAGAUGACUCAUUUCUCAUUUUCUUUUUAAAGUGCUCUGCUGAAAGCCAAACUUCCUUUGGCUAAUUAAUUUAGAAGUAAAGCAGAGAAUAAAGUCCUAGAUGCCUUCUGAAAUUAGAAAUACAUUUUAUAUGCUUUAAUUAUGAUUAUUUGGUAGACUAAAGACCUAAAAGAUAUGUCAAAAGUAUAAAACAGAGCGAUUAAAGAAAAAAGAAAAAAAAAACAGAGCAUUUGUGACGUAGAACAAUUGGUAAAUAAAUCCUAAAUAUUUGAGUUGUUAAAAGCAAAUAUAACAGAGACAGUAAGAGAGAUGCUGAAACAGAAAACUAUUAGCUUAUCUUGAUUUUCCCACUAUAUUCAUUUUCGAUGCUUUUCAAACGAGAUUCUUUUAAUUCUUCUGGUGUCUCUUAUAGAUCUCCAUCCCACAUCUGCACUACGAACAAGUUGAUUAAAAUUAAAUACUGUUGGAGAUGUGGGGUGAGCGGUCAACUUGGUAAAAAAACUAUGUGUAAUAUUGUUAAUAAUAUAAAAUAUAUAAUAAUAAUUACAAAGAAUCAUAAAUUAGAAAAAUUAUUUAUUUUACAAUCUAUUUCUUAAGUAAGAUAAAUCUCGUAAUAAGUUAAGUUAUAAUGUAAAAAAUAUUUUCAAUUUAUAAUCAUUUAAGGAGUCAUUUAACAAUAAAAUCUUUCUUUUUUUGAUCAAUUGGUCAUGGUACAGAGCAUCAUCUAUAUUCAUGGUGAUAUUAUUAUUACUCCGUAUUCUCAAAAAACACGAUUUAACAUUUAGAGAAAGUUCCUACCUUUUAAAAAGAACAUGUAUGCAACAACUACCCAUACUUUAUCUUACCACGACAAAACUAAUAGUGACUAAAUCAAUUUUCUCGAAUAAAGCAAAAUUUCUUAAAAUUAAUUUAAUAUACAAAUAUGAUGACUUUUUGCAAAAAUUAGUUUUGGAAAAUUAGUGACAGAAAAUAGUAAUGAUUAUUGUUUAGAUGUGUAAAUAGCCUAAACAUGAUCCCUAAUACCAAUAUCCACGUGCAUCUUAACACCUUUCGUCAUAUUCUUUCAUUCAUGGUCACUGGUUCAAGAUUUGAAUUUGAUCAUUAAAUAUGUUCAAUAAUAUUAGAGAUCCCAACAAUUGAGUACCAACUUAAAUCCCAAUGCUAUGUGUCAUUAACAAAUGUUGUGUCAUUUAUAAUUAUUGAAUGAAUAAUUCGUUAAUUUAUUGAUAAAUGAAAAUUUAUUAAUUUAAAGAGAGAUAUUUUUUUUUUUGGGUUUUAAGAAGAGUUUUGUUGGUACAUGUACAUACUUAUAAAGAAAUAAACUUGUAAUUAUACUAUAUCUUUCUUUCUUUAUUCAGUUUGGUGGGAUAUUGUGAUAAAUCAUUGGAUUAAAAUGCAUUUCUAAAUUAAAACUUGUUAAAAUCUAAUUUAUUUGGGAAGCGCAUAUUAUUUGUCAGUCGUACUUCUCAAGUCUCAACUUAGCAAGUUAUUUCUAACUUGUCAGUCUCUAUUGGUUCUCUAAAGCUAAUAGUCUCGAAUCUCCCGCAUUUGAUAUCUUGCCAUUAUUGUUGGCAUUAACAUGUUACCUGAGAUUGGGAUUCAUUAAAAUCCUCAAUGUAAUCGGUGGAACGAAUGGAUUUCUUCUGUUCACCAAUCCACCAAAAUUUCUGUAAUUAAAUUCAAGAGUCAAGAUCUAUGCUUAUAAUCUAUUCUAACAGCUAAUAUUCUAUUUUAUAUUUACUUAAAUAUGAAGAGCUAUGCUUGUCAUUAACUUCAAAUGUGAUCGAAGCAGCCUUACAUCUGUAUAUUACUUAUUCCCAACCUUUUUUUUUUGACUUCAUAUACUUUAUUUUCAUGUUAUUUACUCUUUUUUUCCCCUUUCUGACAAUUGAGGUAGGGGGUCAAACUUGAAAGUAUCUUAAAAUCAGACAAAUUUUUUUUUUUUUAAGAUAGCUGCUAAUAUGCUCUAUUAGACAAUGACAAGUAAUAACCUAGUUGUUUGCAUUAGAAAUGAUAUUUUUUGUGGUGCUGAUAAAGAGGUUGAUUAUGAUUCAACAAUUUAAAAUAUGAAAACAUGUGGAAGACGGCCGCAAUUAAAUUGAUUGUAUGAAAAUAUUUCAAUGAAAUUUUAAAAAUUUAGUACUUGUUAUCUUAUCGAGAGUUUUUUUAAAUUAUAUUACUACUUGAACUUGGCUGCUUUUGUAUUGAAUUCCCAGCGUUGCCAUUGCUUCUACUCAAAAGCCAUUUAAGUUUGUGUAAGCUACCUAUAGUUUGAACAACAAUUUACUCAUGAAUUGUUGUUCAUAAUAGCAAUUUGAUUGAAAGUGCGGCUGCACUAAUUUUCUAGAUGAAUUUUUUCCUACAUGCUUGUUCUCGUAUGACCCAAAAUCCUGCUACAUCAGUUGUAUUAGAAAUUAAUACUGGGUUACAAUUAUGCAUCCCCACCAAUAUUUCUUGAGGAAAGAAACUCAUAUCGCCCCUAGGCUUUUAAUGAGGCUCAUUUUUAUGAAUCUGGAUGGCAUUAGAUAUCUCUCCGAAUAUUGGUGGGAGUAUAUCGCAGAUCAAUGGGCUAUACUACAAAGUGUAUGUACGUUGACUCUCAAUAAAUACAAACGAUUCUCUGAUAUGAUUCAAAACAUCAGUGCACGCAUCAUUUUAACGAGAGAGAAUAUUCUAAGAACGAAAUUGAAGGUGCAAUCAGCAACUAAAAUGAAGCCAGAAAUGUACACGCAUGAGGAAGUUUUCCUAGAAGAUUGAUAUUUCUUUAACUAGCAAACAAUACAAGUCCAAAGCUAACCAAACCAUACCUGCAAGUCCGGGGCUUAAAUGGAGUACUUGUAAGCAUAAAACAUUAAUCAAAACACAGUAUAGACACACACACACACCCCUACAUACAUACCAGCAAAUUCGAAAUAGAAAAAGGAGUGCAACUAUUCAAGUUUGUUGACAAUAUUGCAACCAUGGCAUAUUAAAGCAAAUCCUUAAAAUCAGCUAAACGAAACAAUGCCCUGUCUCAUGAAUCGAUGCUCAACUAAAAAUUGAAAUUGAAAGUCCGGCUGGUGUUGUUAUUAGAUAGAUAUAACAAGAUCUUUCUUUGACAGUUCUUAUUAGAUAGAUAUAAAAAGAUCUGCUUUGACAGUUCUUAUUAGAUAGAUAUAAAAAGAUCUUUCUUUGUUUCUCUGCUGUAAUUUGUGGCUAUCCCACUCUGUUUUGCCAGUCAAGCUGAGUCUACGUUGAGACAUAAUUUUGACAUCAGAAGCGGCCUCAAUUAGUUUGGCAUUUUUAUAACCUCCUUGAAGGUUUUACGAUAAACAUAAAUCUACUGACAAAGUGGGCAAAAAGAAAAUGCAUGUAAAAGUAUGAGUUAUCAAAUAAGAUUAAAACUCACCCAAUUCAAUCCAUCAGAUUCCGUAAGGAUACAACUGGAUGUCAUACCGCCACUCCAUAUUCUCGAAAGUCCGUAGUCCUUGUCUCAACUGUGUCUGGGGCCAGUGUAAGUCCAUUUUUGCGCAAGCUCUUUAUGCACCACAGCUCUUCUGGAAGCUUUCUCAAGUAAGCACACGGGUUGACAAUUAAGCAUUCAAGUUUCGGCAUUGCUCCAGCCCCCAUCGUCCACUCAUCUAGCCAAUACAUUGACUUCAGGUGCAAAACCUUAAGUUCGGGAAAGCUACUCAAGCCAACACAAGCAAGCUUUCUUCCUAAAUACGAGUUCUGCUUCAGUUUCAGCACUCGAAGGCGUGGAAGAUUUUCCAGAAUUGGCAUGGGAUCCUCCAUUAGCUCAGUAUUUGAUAAGCUCAGUUGGAUCAGACUUGGGGGAAAUUGGUAUUCAGACAGGACCAUCCGUGAGGGCUUGCUCUCAUUCACCAGCUUCAAGCAUUCAAGUUUGUGGAGUUCGCAUAGGCUUUUGGAAACCCCUGAAUGAUAGCAACUCAAAUCUCCAGAUAUCCGAAGAGUUUGAACAUUAGGUAGUCUGCCCAAUAUAUCAGGAGUACAACUACUGGGGUUUAAAGUUGAUAUGAAAAUGAGAUUUUUCAGGGAGCUAGAAUAAUUUUUUGGAGGUGCGGGCAGAGUGAUAGAACCAAAGUUUAGAUGCAUGAGUUUUUGCAUCUUCCAAAUAUCCUCUGGUGACUGAUCUAUGUAGCUAGAUGGCAUUUCUAGUGUUUGAAGGUUUAAAAGGGUGCAUAGCAGUGAAGGAAGGCAUUUGAGCGAAGGGAUAUUCAAUUUCAAAUACUUCAAAAGGAAUAAAUUUUCUAAUCCGGGUGGAUAUUGGUCCAGGACUGCAGAACCCAAGUUCAGUACCCGAAGGUAUUUGAACCUUUUAAAAAAAUUCUCGCAAUCUUUCGGAUUAAGAUGAUAUCUUUUUGGACUGUGAUUGAGAAAAGAUUGGAGAUACAUGUCAGAAUGUUCUAAAGAAAGGAACUCAAUCAAAUCAUCGACAAUGAAGCACCGUUUAACAUUUGCGGGUGGUUCCUCUUCCACGUCAUGCAUCCAGACAAAUCCCGUCUUCUUUGCCACCACAAACAAUGAAGUGUAGUAUACAAUACUUGGAAAAUAACACGAUUUAAUUGUGCCUCCGGCCCUUCUUUUACUCACUUGAAUGAAGCCGCGAUGGAUUAGUUCUUUCAAGUAAUGUUCGGCAGUUUCUUCACUGUUGUAUGGUAUGAAACCUUCAGCUACCCACAAAUGAUAUAAUUGCCUCGUGGAUAUCUCAAUGCCUGGAGGGAAGACACACAAAUAGAUGCAGCAGAUUUUCAAGUGAAAAGGUAACUCCAACACAGAACAAAUUCCAAUGAAAAUUGUCGGAAUCGUUUCGCCUUGAACAUAAUUUUCUAAUGGCAUACUUCCAUAGUGUAGGAUGAAAAAUUGCCAGGCUUCAUGCUUUAAUCUGAUCAAUGGUCCUCCAAUGAGCACCGAAUCAAGCCGAAUCUUCUCUCCAUUUUCCAUUUCAAGCGACGCAAGGAGGUCUGGAUCAGUGACUGUUAUCAAUACUCUGCUUCCAUUCUGAUUAUCAGGAAGAACUUCUUCAAGAUCAUCCCAUAUGUCAAUGUUAUCGCAGACAUCAUCAAGCACAAUAAAGUACUUCUUGUUUGUUAGGUAAUCUCAAAGAAUAGAUUCCUUGAAUUGAUAAUCUUCACCGAUAAUUACACUAACCCGAGAUGGAGGCAUCACAGACUUGAUUAUGUCAUCCAAUAUCUUGCCCAAAUCGUAGAAUACAGAAACCCUGACCCAAGCAAGACAGUCAAAAUAGAACCUGACAUGAUUAUUGUUGUAAGUAUCUGCAGCAAAAGCAGUCCUAUCGAAGCCACUGCUGUCGAGAAUUGCAACCACUGCAAGCCCAGAUGGUCCCUCAAUCAAUAGAUCAAACAACUUCUCUCUGCCCCUUUCAAAUUCACUGAUAUCGAGCCGAGGUUGUCCCUCAUUCAAUAGGCGAAUGAUUUCGUUACUUUUUUCACUGAUAUCAAAACCAUUGUCGCCGGGCGGAAGUUGUUGCAUCCGAUUUCUAAUAUCAAUGAUUUCACUGUGGACAUGAAGAGCCAUAUUAGUGCUGCUUUCACUUUCGUUUUCACUGUUUUGCUGCUGCAUUAUGUUGAUGAAGAAUCUGUCAAUGGCUUCCUCAGAUUCAUGGACAAAGUCAUUGAUGUGCACCAGAAUUUCCAAAAUAUCUGGUCUUUUAACGUCUUCUUCAUCGCUUUCUUCUAAGUCCAACAGUUGCAAAAAAGGAAAAGAUAUUUCGAAGUCAUCGAAUUCUUCUAGAAUGAGUUGAAACAAAUGCCGAGCCAUGUCAGCUUCAUAGUUUCCCAGAAGAGUAGCAGCAAUAAUUUCGGACUCCGUAAGAAGGUUUUGAAAAAGUGGGGUUAAAUUUGUUGAAUCUGGCAGCGGCAACGUGCCUUCUUCACCUGCUAACACCCUUUUCAACCUCUCACAAAUCAGUCGGAGGUGGAAUUCCAGCAUUUCUCCUUCUCUCCGUAGCACUCAAUUAGAAUUAUCUUCGAAUUCUAAUUUAAUUGACUAAGUAGUUAUAGCUAUUCUAUUGAUUAGGUCUAGCUAUUAUAUUCUAAAUGAUUAAUUGAGAGGUAUAGUUGAAAGAUUAAACACCAUGGAAGAAUUUGAAAGGAAAAUGCCAAGAAACUGUGUAAGUGGCUAAAUUCCACAAAUAUGACAUUAUUGCUCAUUUUUUAACUCAAAAAAAGGGUACGCAUUCAUUUAGAGAAAAGUCCAAGACGCGUGCUUUUUAAAAAGAACAGGUAUCCAACCUCUAUCUUAUUAAAUUACAACCAUGACAUAAUUGAUGGUGCUUAAAUCAAUUGUUUCUUUUUUAAUUUAAAGAAUUUUUCAUUAAAAAAAUAUUUUAAUAUCAAAUUGCCUUCAGUGGCGUAACUGCCUCAGGCCCAGUAACAGGACUAAUUAAAAAUUUUACAAUUUUUGGGCAUGGAAAUAGUAGUAUUAAACAUUAGAAAGGUAAGGUUGUUCUGUUAAAGAAUUGAUAUUGACAUAAUUUUAUUUUGGUUUUCGUGGAAAAAAAAUUUGUUGACAAGUAAGAAAAUAUUUUUAUUUUUUAAAAUUUAUUAUGCAUAUUUUAUCAUAUUAAAGUAAUUUUAAUAAUAAAUAGAAACAUAAUAUUACAAUAAAUAAAUUAUAGUUUAAAUUAUUUUGAAUAUUAUAAAAAAUAAUGUUAAUAUUAUUAAUAGGAAGACAUUUUGUUAAUUUUAAAAUCUUUUUAAUCCAAAGGUUUAUUUAAAAUCUCUAUAAUAAAUACAAAUAUAAGAUUAAAAUAAAAAUCAUAAUUUCAAAAUUUUAAUAUUAUUUUAAAUGUUAAAUAUACUUUAAUGUUAUUAGCCUACUACGUAGAUUUUAUUAUUUAUAUUAUAUUCGUAUUGAUUAAAAUUUUUUAAAGUCAAUUUUUUAGUUAGUACAUUCAAGAGGUAUCAUAGUUAAAGAAAAGAUUUUGGUGCAACUGUUUUAAAAUUUCAGGGUAUAAAUGAUAAUUUUUUUUAAAAUUUUAAGGAAGUAGGUAUUAUUUUUCCGACAAUUUAUUUUAUUUUGAGGGAAAUCCGAUGAGAAAUAUCAUCAGAGAACAUUAAUUUAACAUUCUUUACCUUUAUGAAAAAAGUGGAAACCAAGAACUAUUCAAAUUUUUUUUUUUUGUGUAAUUCAAAAAAUGCAUCCACCAAACAAGCUUAUCAUAAUUUUCCCACUUUAUUCAUUUUCGAUGCUUUUCAAAAGAGGUUCCUUUAAUCCAUCUAGCAUCUGCAGCCCCCACUAUUUUACAAAUCUCCAUCCCACAUCUACACUAUCAAAAAAGUUGAUGGAAAUUGAACCCAUUAAGUUAUGUUCAUUACUGGUCAUUAUCUUUCUAUGAGCCACUUAUUUUGAGCAUUAGCGAUCUUCUAAGGAAUCAUGCCUUUUCAGGAUCGUUUUCUUUCAUUUCCUUAUUGUAGUAGUUAAUUAAAUAAAGAACGAACAAGUGAACUUUGUCUAUUUCGAGGAAGAACUAGGUUUCCAACACUAGAGGAACUUUGAAGAAAAUUAAUUGGAAGCCUUUAUUCAUCUUUGAAGAAAAUUACGUGCCAAUGUAACCAAGGCUUUUAUUCAUCUUCGGACUAUGAAUUUAUACAAAAACAUUAACAGAAAAUAACAAAGACACAGCUAAAUGAUAGCAACAAGUGUUGAUUUAGUGGACCACUUCUACAAGUAAAUAAAAACUAAAUAUUUAUUUAAGGAGGGCUUUUGUUAGUAGAGUUUUUAUAAAUAGAAAUUUAACAAAAAAAAAUUAUAGUUAUUUAGUUGUCAAUGUCCAAAUUGAUGAAUUAUUGUUCUUUUUGUUAACAUGUGUUUGUUUUACUUAAUAAUAAAAGUUUAGUUUACAAUUACACCGGUGUCAAAUCAGCAGAGCAUUUUUGCAGCCAGUCACAUUAUACAUUAUAUACUAAUAGCAUCGGCAAGAGUUUUCGAUUGUUGCAACUUGCAAUGCACGCGAUGCGAGAAAAUGAGAAUCUUGUUUAAUUGCAAUAAUGACAAACCUAAUCCUUUCAUUAGGAGUAAAUUAAUAAUCGUUUGUUAUUAUUGAAUAUGUAUAAAGAAAGGACAAUUCUAUUCAUAGAUUCGACUUAUUUUUUGUUUAAAGUAAUUAAUCAUUCAACCAUCUUCAUUUGCCUCUGGCCAAUGCCCUUGUAGAUUAGUUGAAGCGUUUAUUACUUAAUUCAGAUAAUUACAACGUCCUUUUCGCUAAUUAAUUAUGAUUAUGAACAUUUUCAUAUAGCAAGUGGCAUUGUAGAUCUAAACUACGUUGCUAUUUCAAUACGUUAAUUAAGUGAUUCUCCUCAUUGUCAUCAACGUUAUAAACAGGAAUUGUGCAAACAGUACACAAUGCUGCAGCAAGGCGUGGGUGGCUAGAGUUUUGCAACCACCCUUGAGAUCCUGUGCUGCCAGUAGUAAAAGAAUUUUACGCCAAUUUGGUAAGCCCUGGUCAGCACAACAUUUGGGUAAGAAACUCACUUGUUCCAUUAGACUCUCGAGUUAUAAAUGUUUUUUAUAAUUUACCUGCUGAAAUUAAUUGUGAGUAUGCCAAGUUGCUUGACAAAUUGACCCCGCAACAAUGGAACACAAUUUUCACGACACUUACGGUAGAGGGUGCAUCGUGGGCUAAUGAGGAGGGGCAUGUAAUUAACAAGAUAGAUUUAAAACCCAUUGCUAAGGUGUGGGUGAAAUUUCUAAAAUCCAGGCUUAUGCCAACCACCCACACCACUACUGUUUCACAGGAAAGGUUGGUGCUGUUAUAUGCUAUUGUUAGAGGGCUUCCCAUAGAUGUGGGAAGCAUUAUCGAAAAAGAAAUUCGAGAUUGUGCCAUGAAAAACCACAAGGCUGCUGCCUUGUUAUUUCUUUCACUCAUAACCAGCAUAUGUGUAGUAUCAGGUGUUCGUCUUGAUGCAAAGGAUGAAAUUUGUAAUUAUAUUAUGGCUCCAUUUGGUAUAACUUUUUAAUUCGAACUUAUUUAAGGAGAAUUUUUAUUAGUAGAGUUUUUAUAAAUAGAGAUUUUACUAAAAAACAAAAAUUAUAGUUAUUUAGUUGUCAAUGUCCAAAUUGAUGAACUAUUGUUCUUUUUGUUAACAUGUGUUUGCCAGUCACAUUAUACAUUUUUGCAACUUGCAAUGCAAGCGAUGAGAGAAAAUGAGAAUCUUGUUUAAUUGUCAAUAAUGACAAACCUAAUCGUUUCAUUAGGAGUAAUUUCAUAAUCGUUUGUUAUAAUUGAAUAUGUAUAAAGAAAGGAAAAUUCUAUUCGUAGAUUCGACUUAUUUUUUGUUUAAGGUAAUUAAUCAUUCAACCAUCUUCAUUUGCCCCUGGCCACUGCCCUUGUAGAUUAGUUGAAGCGUUAAUUGCUUAAUUCAGAUAAUUACAACGUCCUUUUCGCUAAUUAAUUAUGAUUAUAUACGUUUUCAUAUAGCAAGUGGCAUUGUAGAUCUAAAUUAUGUUGCUAUUUCAAUACGUUAAUUAAGUGAUUCUCCUCAUUGUCAUCAAGUGGAAAAUAGCUCAAUUGUUUCCCUGCAUCGAUUUUCAUUGGUAAGUGAUUUCUUAUGAUAUUCGUUUGAGCUUUCCUUAUUAAAAAAGCUUGAGCCUUGAUCACCUAAUACUGAUAUCAAUUAACUUGUGAACGAUUUUGUAAUGAAAUUAGGAGUUAAAUAUAUAAGAUUUUUACGUGAUGAAUUUUGAUUUUUUUAAUUUUUUGAUGUAGUCAAUUUGCUAAUUUUAUAUAUUUCAUAUUCAACGGAAUUUGGGCACGGAAAGUUUGGAUUCUAAUAUUUAUAUAUUUAGCUUUAAUCAGCUUGACUUUAGCAAUCUUUUUCCCUCAUCAUUAAGGGAUUCAGAAUUAGAGAAACGCUAGGAAGAGGAAGAAAAUAACUUUGGAAGUAAGUAAGAGGGAAAAAAUUAUGAAAUUUGGAAUUAUUUUUUGUAAAGUAUGUUGCGUUUACUAAACUGGAAUUAGAAUGAGCUGAAAUCAGAAUGAAUAGGAAUGCGAAUGUGCUGAAAUCGGAAUAGGUAAUGAGAAUAAGAAUAAGUUGUUUACUUGAACUGUAAAAAUCAAAAUCGGAAUGAGCUGAAUUGCAAUUACUUUGUCUUGGAAUCGGAAUCGGAAUCGGAAUGAGUUAGAUUAUAACAAAUUACUGAAAAGUACUUAAUGAAUUAUUGUCAUAAUUAUUAUUUUAUAUUUUAAUUAUAGUGAUUAUUUAUUCAAAAAUUAUUAUUAUUAAUUAUUUCCAAUAAUAUAUUAAUAUGUUAAUUAAUUUUAAAAAUUAUUAAUUAAUUUAUUAUAAUAAUAUACUAAUUAAUUAUAAUUAUUAUUAUAAAAAUAUAUUAAUAAUAAAAUUACUAAUUUAAUUGUAAUAAUAUAUGAAUUAAUUAUAAUAAUUAUUAUAAUAGUAUAUGAAUUAAUUAUAAUAAUUAUUAUAAUAGUAUAUUAAUUAAUAAUAAUAAUAAAAAUAUAUUAAUUAUGUGAUUAUUUAUUCAAAAAAUAUUAUUAUUAAUAAUUAUUGUUAAUAAUGUAUCAAUAUACUAAUUAAUUAUAAUAAUUAUUAUAAAAAUAUAUUAAUUAUUAAUAAUAAAAUUACUAAUUUAAUAAUAAUAAUAAAAAUAUAUUAAUUAUGUGAUUAUUUAUUCAAAAAUUAUAAUUAUUAAUAAUUAUUGUUAAUAAUGUAUCAAUAUAUUACUUAAUUAUAAUAUAUUAAUUAAUUAUAAUAAUAUAUUAAUUAAGUAUAAAUGAGGACAAAGUGGGUAUUUUUAAUUUCACGAAGGGGCAAAAUGGUCAAUUCUAGUAAUGGGAGACUCACUCCCACCCUCUCCUUUGGGAAUGAGUCUCCCAUUCCUCAUUCCCAAAUUGUGGUGGGCCCCAUGAUUUUGACUCCGAUUUCUAACUCAAUUUUGCGAAGUAAACGCUACCAAUGAUUCCGAUUUCGGAUUCUGAUUCACUUAUCUGAGAAGUAAAAGCAACAUAAAUGUGUAUGAAUAAUUGAUACCUAUGAAUAGUUUUGGGAGUUUUAGCUAGGAGUCAUCUAUUGAAGAUGUUUAGCAAUUGAAGAUCUCUGUCUCAGUAGUUUUCCCAAUCAAAAUCAAGAAGCAAAAAAACUUGCCAUUUUUCUACUUGAUAAUUAAUUGAAAUUUAAGAAAAUACAAUGGCAUUUCAAUUAGAAUUGGUAAUUGUUUAUCUUUUUUCAUUGAUCAAAUUCUAAUCGUGAUCCAAUAGUUAUGGAUGAAGGAAAUAUUAUGAGAGGCGAUAGGCCAAGUGAAGACGUACCAGCAAAUUCAAAAUAGUCGGGAGGUGGACGUCCAGCAUAUCUCCUUCUCUCUGUAGCACCCAGAUGCAUUGUUAUUUGCUCCAAGAAAUGUUAAAAGGAUUGGCCCUAUCUCAAUGUGGUUAGUGGCAAGGGCGGAGACAGCAUAUUAAUUGACUGUGGGCUUACUCAACUGCGAUAAAAAAAAUUUAAAAAAUAAUAAAUAAUAAAUUUAAAAGAUUUAUCAUACUUCAAUAUAUGUUUAUAAUUAUCCUUUACGAGUUUUCAUACAUUGAUAACGUUGUAUUACAACUUCAUUAUCAAUAUUAUUGUGGGCUGUUUAAAAAUUUGAUUAAUAUUAAUAUUUAUAGGCUUGAUUUUAUUUUGUAAAGCCCAUCUCUUUUUAUUUGUUUUAAAAACUUAGAGUGUGAGAAUUUAAGUAUAAUUAUGUAUUAGGAACUUGAAUAUAAAUUAGUGGGGGCUUAGGAAAAAUUUAUUAGAAAUUUUUGGCAAAUCAAAUUAGUUAGUAAAAGAUUUUUUUUUUUUUUUUCAGUGGGGACUUAAGUCCCCACUGGUCCCAAGCUAGAUCCGCCACUGGUUAGUGGUGAAAAAUUAAACACCAUGGAAGGAUUUGCAAGGAAUAUGCCAAGAAACUGGCUAAGUUCCACAAAUAUGGCAUUAUUGCUCUUUUUUUUUUAAAGAAAAAUUAUACACGUUAAUUUAGCAAAAAGUCUAAGACACGUGCCUUUUGAAAAGAAUAGCUAUUACCAUGACACAAUCGAUGCGGCUGAAACCAAAAUUUUCUUUUCUUAAUGUAAAGUUUUUUUUUUAAAUAGAUUUUAAUAUCAAAAUGCCCUUCGAUGUUAUUACUCUCACAAGCCCUGUAACAGGAGUAAUAAAAAAGUUUAGAAUUUUUGGGCAUGAAAAAAGUAGUAUUAAACAUCAGCAAGCAAAGGUUGUUCUGUUAAAGAAUUGAUAUUGACGUGAUUUUAUUUUGGUUAUCGAGAAAAAAAUAUAUUUGUUGACAAGUAAGAAAAUAUUAUUAUAUUUUACAAUCUAUUAUACAUAUUUUAUUAUAUUAAAUAAUACUAAAUAGAAACAUAAAAUUAGAAUAAAAUAAAUUAAAAUUAAAAUUAAAAUUAUUUUGAAUAUUAUGUAAAAAAUAAUGUUAAUAUCAUUGUUACUUGUAAAAUAUAUUUAGCCUAAAGAUUUAUUUAAAAUUUUAUAAUGAAUAAAAAUAUAAAAAUAAAUUAAAUAUCAUAGUUUAAAAUCUUAAUAUUAUUUUAAAUAUUAAAAAUACUUUAAUGUAUCUUAAUAUUAUUUUAAAUAUUAAAAAUACGUUAAUGUUAUUAUUCUACUACACAUGUUAUAUUAUUUAUAUUAUAUUUGUAUUAAUUAAAAAUUUUAAAGUCAACUUUCUAGUAACUAUAUUCAAAGGUAUUAUGGUUAAAUAAAGGUCUUAGUGUUUCUUUUUCAAAAUUUGAGGGUCUACAUGAUAAUUUUUCCAAACCCUAAGGUAUAGGAGUCCUUUUUGUCAAUAAUUUAUUUCACUUUUGAGAGAAUACGAUGAGAAAUAAGAUCAGAGAAAUGUCAAUUUAAUGUUCUCUAGCUUAAUGAAAAAAAAAUGGAAACCAAGAACUAUUCAAUUUUGUAUUUUUUGUUUGUAAUUCAAAAAAUCCAUCCGCCAAACAAGAUUCACGCAUUUAUGUUGUCAUAAAAUGAAAAAACAGUUUGUGAAAAAAUGGCACCAAACAUACCCUUAAUGUCCCACAUGAUUUCUUAUGAAGCCCAUAUUAGAUAUAUUUAUACAUUUUACUGCAUUUAGGACAUGUUUGAUAGCCUGCAUUAUAUAGGAUAAAAACAUAAUUUUGUAUUAAAUUAAUGCACACUCACGUUUGGCGCUAAAAGUAACUCCAGCCGCAUUGCAUUAAUGGGCUGCUACUGCGGCAAUUGCCGCACUAGCUUGCCUCUUUUUCUUUUUAAUUUUAUUUAUAAUAAUAAUAAUAAUAAUAAUAAUAAUAACAUAAUAUAACUUUUAUUUUAAUAUAAUAUUAAGUAUAAUUUUUAUUUUUACAUUAUAAUUAUUGAUAUAAAUUAAUAAAUUUAUUAUUUAUUAUUCAAUAAUAUUAUAUUAUUAUUUUUUUAUUUUUACAUUAUAAUUUAUUAGUAAAUUUAUAAUUUAAUAUAAUUAAUGAUAAUAGAAAAUAUCAUUACAUGUACUACAAAACUCUUACUUGGAUUAUUUAACACAAUUUAUUUUAUUCGUGAAUAUGUUAUAACAAUUGUAUCACUUUAUUGUUUUGUUAUUAUUUUGUGGUAUGUAUAAAUUUUUAUUCUAUUAUUCAAAGAUGACUUUUGAACUAAUCUUAUAGGUUUUAACUAUUUAUUUAUGUUGUUAUAUUAUUAGAGAUUAUUUGAUUAAAUUAUUUGCUUCGAUCUUUAUUUUACAGGUCAUAUAUUUAGAAAUUACUGAAAAAUAAAUGUUCUACUUCCAAAAAAUUUAAGGCUAUAAGCUCGAUCUUUAUGAAUAAUUGUGAUAUUUUUUAACAUUUACACUAAAAAAAUUGUUAAAUUUCUAAAAUUUAAGACUUCUAUAUUUAGUAUUUUUCCAAUUACUAAUAAGUAUUAUUUUCUAAAUAUAUAAUUUAAAUUAAUCACAAAAAAUUAAUACAGUACAGUGCAAUAUCAAAUAUAAUAUAAUUAAAAAUUAUACAGUACAAUGUAGCACCAAAUAUUGUACAAUAUUAUUAUAAAAUAGUACUGAUGCAAUACAAUAUAAUACAAUAUAGUGUGCCAAACGCACCCUUAGAGUGUGUUUGGAACAUGGGAUUAUAGGGUAUUAAAACACUGUUCACAUUAGCUUAAUACCAAUAUCAUGUUUGGAAAGAAAUUUUAAGGGAUUAAAGGGGGGUGAGCUAAUGCCAUAACUGCGCCAUUAGUGUCUUGGUUUUUUUUUAAAUAAUAAUAAAAAAUAUAAAUUCCUAAUUUUAUGUAAUAUUAUAUAAUAUUAAUUUUUAUUUUCUUUGAUCUUUACAUUAUAGUAAUUAAUAUAAGUUAAUAAAUUUAUAAUUUAUUAUUCAUAUUUUAAUUUUUAUUAUAUUAAAAAUAUAACUAAAUAAUUUAAUUUUAAUUAUAUAAUAAUUAAUGUAUAAAAUUGAUUAAUAUUUAAUAAGUUAAUACAACUAGUAAUAAGUGCUUAAAUAAUAUAUAAAAAUAAAAAUAUAACAUAAUAUUACAUUAUUUAAUUAUAUUACAAUAACUAAUAUAUAAAAAUUGAUUAUUAUUUAACAAUUUAAUAUAGCUAAUAAUAGAUACUUAAAUAAUAAUUUAAUAUAACUAAUAAUGAAUAUUGAUAUAUGAAUAUAUUUAAAUAAUAUUAAUACCAAUAUAUAUAAUAAUAUAAAAUAUUAUUACAUGUACUGUAGUAUUCUUACUUGGAUUAUUUAGCGCAAUUUAUUUUAUUAGUGAAUAUGUUACAACUAUUGUAUCACUUUAUUAUUUAAAUUAAUCAAAAAAAUUAAUACAGUACAAGAUAGCACUAAACAUUGUAUAACAUUAUUAAAAUACAGUGUUAAUGCAAUACAAUAUAAGACAAUACAUCUAUAUUAAAAUAAAAUAAAAUAAUUUAAUUUAAUAUAAUACAGUAUGUCAAACGCACCUCGUAUAUUUUAAUUUCAAAAGAAGUUGGUCCUUCCGUUAUUUAUAAAAGAUAACUUUAUUUUCAGAUUACCACUAAACUCUGAAGUAGAAUUGGUGUAAUGUUAAGAGAGAGUAACACAGUUUUCCAUUACCAUCUUUGAAAAUAGAAAGAUAUGGAUCAGUGUAUUUAAGAGUUAUCGUGAAAAUCAUACAGUUCAAUUCCCUGACACAUAUAUUUAUGAGCAUAUGCCAAAAGAAUAAAUAGAUAGAAAGUAAAUUUACAAUCCUCACUUCCUCACAAUUGUUAAAAUGAAGAUGCAUUACAACUGUGAACUGUCACUAUUUUAGCCUUUUUUAUUUUUUACUUUUAGUUAUAGUGCGAUGGAGACAGUGAACAUCAAGGAUGAGAAUAAAAGUUAAAGAUGACCCACCCACUUUCUUUUUAAAGUGCUCUGCUCAAAGACAAACUUCCUCUGGCUAAUUAAUUUAGAUGUGAAGAGAGAAUAAAGUCCUAGAUGCCUUCUGAAAUUAGAAAUACAUUUUAUAUGCUUUAAUUAUGAUUAUUUGGUAGACUAUAGACCUAAAAGACAUGUUAGAUUAUAAAACAGUGCGAUUAAAAAAAAAAGAGUAUUUGUGACGUCAAAUAACAAUUGGUAACUAAAAUCCAAAAUAUUUGAGUUGUUAAAAGCAAAUAAAAAAAAAGAAGGUAAGAGUGAUGCAGAAACACAAUAUUAGCUUAUCUUGAUUUUCCCACUUUAUUCAUUCUCGAUGCUUUUCAAAACAAAUUCUUCUAAUCUUUCUGGUGUCUGCAGCCCCUUGUCACGGGACGAGAGGUUUCGAGCCCGUGCGGUACUCUCGCAUCCCAUACUGCGAGAGUAAACCUAGUGGAAGUGGCACAAUAUCGACUGGUUUCACCCUGUCUUGGGCUCAUCAGGAGAACGGCUCCAGUUCCCAACCAGUGUGUGAAGAGCUUCGCCUAAACCCCUCUUCAACGUUAAGUCCUUGACUAGCGACAAGCUCCCCAAACUCAACCAGGUUGGCCUGCCUGAACUCCAAGAAAUCUAGGAUCAUUGUAUUCCCCACACGACGCCCCUGAAGCACGUCUCCUACAAUCAGCACAACCCUUAUCGAUACCAGCGUACAAACGCAUAUCUUCGGCGUCACAAUUGCAGUCCGUGACACCCUGCUCUUGUUAUAAAACUCCACCCCAAAUCUACACUACAAACAAGUUGAUUGAAAUUAAACAAUUGCUUUUUGAAGUGGACCCAUUGAGUCGUGGUCAUUACUCGUCAUUGUCUAUUUUUUCUAUGAGCCAUUUAUUUUGAGCAAUAGUGAGCUUCUCUGAACUACUCCAAUUAUUGAUGUAACUCCAGUGGCUGCAUCCAUAGUUGAAUAUAUGACAGUAUUAGCUCUUAUUUGAGAAUAUAGGGGGAUCUUUCUUUGUUUCUUUGUUGCAGUGUUCUAGUUUAUAGUCUUGCUGUUAAUGAAUUCACUGAGGCAUUAUUAAUUUAAUUUCAGUGAAGUAAUUAUGGAUGAAAAAUAAAUAAAGGAUAACAGAAUAGAGCUGAAGUGCUGAAUCGGCUAUUAAAGAAAGUGUCACGUGAUCACAAUCACACUGAUGCACAACUCUCUCUAUGUACUCCAAAUUCAGCCAAACCAUACAUGCCUCAACAAAAUUAAACCGUAGUUCUCAUCACUACAGUAAAUGAAGCCCACAAAGACAGCUGAAAUGGAAAAUAUUGACUAUUGAAUGGAUCAAUGCUGAAUUACACUUGAAAUGGGAAGCUUGGCUGCGGUUACGAUGUUUCCCCCUCUGAUUUUUCUCCAAAACAAAUUCCGUUGUAAAUAAUAUUCAAUGUAGCAACACUUUAUUCAGCAAAGAAAAUACCUAAUUUUUCAACUAACAAAUUCUCUUGUCUAAACUAAAAAAACUCACAUCUCUCCAAUCUAUCUACAAAAUAUUGGAGAUGAGAGGUGAUUUGUCAACUCGAUAAAUAAAUUCAUGCAUAAUGUUACCAAUAAUGAUAAAUUACUUAAUAAUUCUUAUAAAGAAUCAUAAAUAAGGAACAUUAACCAUUUUACAGUCUAUUACAUAAGUAAGAUUAAUCUUAUAAUAAGUUAACUUAUAACGUAAUAAAUAUUUCAAUUCAUAAUUAUUUAAGAAGUCACUUAACAAUAAAAUAUUUUUUUAUUUAAUUGAUCAUGUCAUAUAACGUUAUCUAAACUCCUGACGAUAUUAUUAUUACUCACUUUUCUCAAAAAAACAUGACUAACGUUUAGAGAAAAGUCAUGCCUUUUAGAUAGAUAGAAUAUGAUUACAAGCUAUCCAUACUUUAUCUUACCAUGACAAAAUUGAUGGUGAUUAAAUCUAUUUUUAAAAUAGAUUUAAUGCACAAACAUGAUGACUUUUGCCAAAAAUUAGUUUCAGAAGAUAACUAAAUUAAGUUGCAAAGGAGCUUACUUCAAUUUCUAAGCUUUUCAAUCAUGAUUCCUCCAUGCCUUCCUCUGAUACCAUUUUGUUACGUGCCAACGUAAUUGACCUUGUAAUUGGUUUGUAUAAGGAAUGAAGCCCUUUCAAGAUCGUUUCUUUUGUGUCCAUAUUGUAGUAGACUAGUAGUCAAGUAAAUAAAGAGUGAAUAACUGAAUUUGGUCUAUUUCGAAGAAGACUAUGGCCUCCACACUACAAGAAAAUAGGCGAUAGAUAACGGGAAAUAACCGUCAUAAAAGGUGGUGUAUGACAGACAGUUUAUUCGUCAUCUAUGUCACUGUCAUUAAUUUAUGACAGAAUAUUUUCCGUCAUGAAUUCUUGAUGUUAUUUUACAAUCAUAUAUCCAUCACACAAUAUUUUAAUGAGAAAAAAUAAUUAAAUAAAAUUUGAAUUUAUUAAAAUUUUUGCUCUAUUUUUUAAUUUUUUGGCGGAAAAUUAAAUUGUCAUUUGUAAAUUUCUUAUUCAAUUUUGGUGGAAAAUUUUUUUAUGACAGACUUUAUGAUGUGUAUUUCCCAUCAUAAAGUUAAUUUUUUUAAAUUAUAUUGUGAUUAUAGUUUAUUUCUGAAUUCCUGUUUACAAAUUUAAUUAAUUAAUAAAAAAUGAAUAUUGUCAAAAAAUAAAAAAAUAAUAGUAACUAAAAUCCAUUCAAUCCAACAAAUUAAUUUCAAAAUAAAUACAUCUAAUAUUCAAUGUCAUUACCACUAAUACAUAAUAAAACAUCCCAAAUUAAAAAAAAGAAUGUCAAAAUAUAAAACAAUAGUUAAAUUCCAAUUAAAUUCCAAGAAAUGUAAUUCAAAUUCCGGACACCGAGCCAAGCUCCCCAGCAAAACUUCCAAAGAUUAAUGGAAAUAUUCCAAUAGCAAGACUUCCAGAAGCAAUACCCUCUUCCAGUGGCAAUACAUUGACUAAUCUUUGAAGCCAUGACUCCUCAAGCCAAUGCCAAAAAUGUGUGCAAAAUUAAUGCUCUAUCCACAAAAAUUUCAGUCUAUAUUGGUAAGAAGAAACAUGAAGAAACAAUUACCUCAGCAUCAUCGUCAUUGGAAGCCAAAUCAGCUGUAAAGACCACAAAAUGUUUGGUUAGAACUAGUGGAAGUCUUACUCUAAAACUUUUAAUUUUUGAAUUUCGAAAGAUCUAGUAAUGACAAAGAUUCUCAUAUCCAGUGACCAAGUUUUGAAAAUUAGAAUACGGAAUAACGUCAACUAAAUUCACUAAUAUAGGGUGCAUUUGAGAUUGAGGUUGGACAGCUGUAGCUUAAAAGCUACAGUAGUAAAGUGUUUGGUAAACACUAGUUGCUGUAAUUUAAAAACUAUGUUGAUAUGAUUUUUCACUUGUAUAAUGGAGAAUCUAUUUUUUUAAAUAAUUAUGUCAAAAUUAUUAUUUAAAAUUUAUAUUUACUACAUAUUAUUAAUUUUUGUUUCAUAGUCACAGUUUUUUUUCCACAGCAGUUGUAAAGCUACAUCACCUCAAUCCCAAACGCACCCUAAGCUAGAGGAAUCCCUAGUUGAUAUAGCACACAUGCACACAUGAUAUGCAUGCAUCAGAAUACACAAUAAUAAAUUAUCUCAAAGUCAAUAAGAAGCCAAAACUAGAGAUAAACCUUUAGCCACUAUAAGGAAGACUGAUAUUUGCAGUGUGAUUACAAUAAACAAACAGAAACUUCACUACCCAUAAGUAAAGCAAAAUAAAUAAAGGAUAAUAACUAACCAAGAAAUGGAAAAGCUCACAUUCUCUGAACACGCACCCCAAAAAGAAAGAAAGAAAUAAAUGUUCCCAUUGGAUCUGAAGCACAAGCAAUCCACUGACAUCCUUCUAUAAUUAGGUAAUUUAAAGGGGUUAAGCUCACAUCUUUUACGGAAGCAACAAGAGAAUUAACAACAUUCCAGAGGAUUUAGGGAAAAACCACGAGGCAAGAAAAAAGAAAGAUCCUUCUUCAAUCUAGAUAUCUUGACACUGCUCACCAUCUACAGCAGUCUGGGGCUUAAAAAGCAUGAUCUCUCCCCCCCUCUGGCACCAUUUUCUCUCAUGUGAAUCUGUCAUUGCCCGUAGAAACAAACCAGAACUGCAUAAAUUCUCUUAUCUUCCAGCAGCUUCUUUUCUCCAGAAAUAGGCACAACUAUUUGACAUGGAAACAAUUUAUCUAACAUGGCCACCUUUAAAGACAAAGACAUACUAAGGACAUGGUUUUAGAUACGGAUACAAGAAACAAUCACAAAAUGUAAAAUCUAUACAUAUGAUAUUAAUUUCCAAUGGAUACAGCACUUCAUUCUUUGACUUAACUUCAUUAGAUUACUAGGUUUGAUUAGGUUAUACACACAUUUAUUCAUUUAUGGUUUUCAACCUAUAAUCUACAUGCACUUAGAAUGAGAGGUACCUAUAAAAACAAGUUACCAGAAAACAAUACAGCUAGAAAACAUUAAAACAUUAAUCUAAGCAGUUCUAUAGGUUUAACUAACUGCAGGAAAAAACCGUUGAUUUUGUCCGUCGGAUUAUUGAGAUCCUAAUUCUGGUAAAAAGAAAAUGAGAUAAUAGAAAAUCAAAAAUUAAAUAGACACAAAAUGAGAAAUCAAGAUCAUACGGCAACUAAUAUAUAGCAUGGGCUGCAGCUAACAAGCAAUAUAAGCCAUGAUAUUAUGCCAGAUACAAAAUUUUGAGAUCCAAGAGAGAUCAAGAAGCAUGAAUAUUGAAAGAAGUGAGUGCAGAAGGAUAAGAAAUCAGGUUGAUAUUCUUCAUACUUUGGGUCAACACGUAGUGAUGCAAUAAACUUGUAAUUAGCUUCAAGUGUAUAGGCUACCAUGUCAACAUUUCCGAAAACACACAAGAUUGUGCUGGAUUCAUAUAUAGUACAUAUAUAAAAAAACAAUCUGCUUCUAAACUUCAUGAGAACAUCGAAUAAUGAACUUACAAUUUGAUCCCUCAUCAUCUUCAUCGCACCAUUUGUUCCAAUCAACCUUAAUGUAAGGUGCUGGUUUCUCUUCUGACUUGAGUAGCCUUUUCCACCAACCUUUCUCUUCUUUUUGCACCGAGCAUAUUAUGUUCCUUAAGCCAACUUUAGUCUUACAUUUCUGCACCACCAGCAACAAAAUUCAAAGCAUUACAAAAGAGGUAUAUUUAGCCGCUCUUGACUCGAGUGAGAGAACAGGAUAAACAGCCUAGGUAUAUCCACAUCCAUGUUAUGAGAUUAAUUAUGCAACAACUAACUUUAAUAUAAAGUUUGUGCUCCAACAAAGACUAAAAUGUUUGUAAUUGUUAUGCUUCCGGAGCUAAAAUGUUUCGCAAACACUCACUUUUACUCUGCAGCUAAUAUCUAGCACCCAGCCACACAAAGUCCGUAGUCUUUGUCUCAACUUUGUCUGAGGCCAAUGUAAAUCCAAUUUGCACAAGCUCUCUAUGCACCACAGCUCUUCUGGAAGCUUUCUCAAGUACGCACAAGGGUUGACAAUUAAGCUUUCAAGUUUUGGUAUUGCUCCAGCCCCCAUCGUCCACUCAUCUAGCCAAUACAUUGAUUUCAGGCGCAAAACCUUAAGUUCCGGAAAGCCACCCGAGCAAGCACAGGCCAGCUUUCUUCCUAAAUACAAGCUCUGCUUCAGUUUCAGCACUUGAAGGCGUGGAAGCUUUUUGAUAAGGAAAGGGAGCCACGGAGGUCAACAAAGGUUCAUAAGCCUAACUACAGAUACGAGGGCUUUGUUUGAACAUUCGUAAGUCUCAUGCAGCCAUGCAUGCGGUCAUGCAUGUUGCAUGCAAUACCAUGCAAGACUUAUUUACGCAUGGAUUAAAGAGUAGUCUGUUUCUAGUUUUUUAUUUAAGAUUGCUCAGUUAUUUAAAUUGAUUUUAGCCGUGAAUUGUGGCUACAAAUCCUUAGUAGUGUUUGUAUUAACUACUAUAAAUAAGCUCCAGCAAUUAAUAAAAGGAUUAUGCAAAAAAUUAUCUCAAAGUACUAUUCUUGGUCGUUUUCACCGUAAGUAGAACAACGUAAACUUAGCUAUUGUUGAACGUUUUUGAUUGGGACCUAUCACUUUUCCAGCCUUGGCAUGGGAUCCUCCAUUAGCUCAGUAUUUGAUAAGCUCAGUUGGGUCAGACUUGGAGGAAAUUGGUAUUCAGACAGGACCGUCCGUGAGAGCUUGCUUUCAUUCACCAGCUUCAAGCAUUCAAGUUUCUCUAGUUCGCAUAGGCUUUUGGAAAUCCCAGAUUGAUAGUAACUCAAAUCUCCAGACACUCUAAGAGUUUGAAGAUUAGGUAGUCUGCCCAAUAUAGCUGGAGUGCAACUACUAGGGUGUAAGGCUGAUAUGAAAAUGAGAUUUUUCAGAGAGCUGGAAUAAUUUUUUGGAGGCGCAGGCAGAGUGAUGCAACCGAAGUUUAAAUGCACGAGUUUUCGCAUCAUCCAAAUAUCCUCUGGUGAAUGAUCUAUGUAGCUUGAUGGCAUUUCUAGUGUUUGAAGGUUUAAAAGAGUGCAUAGCAGUGAAGGAAGGCAUUUGAGCGAGGGGAUAUUCAAUUUCAAAUACUUCAAAUGGAAAAAGUUUCUAAUCCGGGCGGAUAUUGGUCGAGAAUUGCAGAACCCAAGUUCAAUACCCCAAGGUGUUUGAACGUUUGACGAAAAUUCUCGCAAUCUAUCAGAGCGAGAUGAUCGCUUUCUGAACUGUGAUUCAGAAAAGAUUGGAGAUAGAUGUCAGGAUGUUCUAAAGAUAAAAACUGAAUCAGAUGUUCCAAAAUGAAGCACCGUUUAACAUUUGCCAGUGGUUCCUUUUCCCUUUCAUGCAUGCAGACAAAUUCCGUCUGCGCUGCCACCAAAAACAAUGGAGUACAUAAAAAACUUGGAACAUAACACGCUUUAAUUGUGCCUCCGGCUCUUCUCUUACUCACUUGAAUGAAGCCGCAAUAGAUUAGUUCUUUCAAAUAAUGCUCGGCAGUUUCUUCACUGUUGUAUGGUAUGAAACCUUCAGCUACCCACAAAUGAUAUAAUUGCCUCGUAGAUAUUUCAAUACUUGGACGAAAGACACACAAAUAGAUGCAGCAGACUUUCAAGUGAAAAGGUAACUCCAUCAAAGAAUAACUGUGUCUCUAAAUUGUCGGAAUCGCUACGCCUUGAACAUAAUUUUCUAAUGGCAUACUUCCAUAGUGUAGGAUGAAAAAUUGCCAGGCUUUAUGCUUUAAUCUGAUCAAUGGUCCUCCACUGAGCACUGAAUCAAACCGAAUCAUCUCUCCGUUUUCCAUGUCCAACAGCGUAAGGGGGCAUGGAUCAGUGACCAAUAUCAAUACUCUGCUUCCAUUCUGAUUGUCAGGAAGAACUUGUUCAAGAUCAUCCAAUACAUCGUCACUCUCUUCACAGUAAUCAUCAAGCACAAUAAAGUACUUCUUGUUUGUUAGGAAAUCUCGAAGAAUAGAUUUCUUCAAUUGAUAAUGUUCACCGAUAAUUACACUAACCCGAGAUGGAGGCAUCACAGACUUGAUUAUGUCAUCCAAUAUCUUGCCAAAAUCGUAGAGUACAGAAAUCCUGACCCAAGCAAGGCAGUCAGAGAAUUGCAACCACUGCAAGCCGAGGAUGUCCUUCAAUCAAUAAAUCAAACAACUCCUCUCUACCACUUUCAAAUUCGUUGAUAUCAAGCCGAGGUUUUCCCUCAAUCAAUAAGUGAAUGAGUUUGUCCCUUUGUUCAGUGAUUACGAAACCAUUGUCGCCGGGUGGAAGUUGUUGCAUCCGAUUUCUAAUAUCAAUAAUUUUACUGUGGAGUCCAACAAGAAGAGCCAUAUUAGUACUGCUUUCACUUUCUUCUUCACUGUUUUGCUGCUGCAUGAUGUUGAUGAAGAAUGUGUCAAUGGCUUCCUCAGAUUCAUGGACAAAGUCAUUGAUGUCCUUCACAAUUUCCAGAAUGUCUGAUCUUUUAACGUCUUCAUCGCUUUCUUGUAAAAAAGCCAAAUAUAUUUCGGAUUCAUCGAAUUCUCCUCUAAUGAGUUGAAACAAAAGCCGAGCCAUGUCAGCUUCAUAGUUUCCCACCAGAGUAGUAGCAAUGAUUUCUGACUCCGUAAGAAGGUUCUGAAAAAGUGGAGUCAAAUUUGUUCAAUCAGGCAACGUUAACGCGCCUUCUUCACCUGCUAGCACCCUUUUCAACCUCUCACAAAAUAGUCGGAGGUUCACGUCCACCAUAUCUCCUUCCCUCCGUAGCACUCAGAGAAGAUUGGUCCUAUCUCAAAGUGGUUAGUGCUGUAAAAUUAAACACCAUGGAAGAAUUUGAAAGGAAUAUGCCAAGAAACUGGCCAAGUGGCUAAAUUCCACAAAUAUGACAUUAUUGCUCAUUUUCUCUCAGACACGUGAUACACGUUGAUUUAGAGGAAAGUUCAAGAAUUUUGCUUUAAAAAAAAAAAUUGAUGGUGCUUAAAUUAUUAUUUUUUUAAUUUAAAGAGUUUUGCUUUUAAAAAAAAAUUAAUAUCAAAAUGCCUUCAAUGUUAUUACUGCCACAAGCCCAGUAACAAAACUCAUUAAAAAUUUUAGAAUUUCUGGCCAUGGAAAGAGUAGUAUUAAACAUCAGAAAGCAAAGGUUGUUCCGUUAAAGAAUUGAUGUUGACAUAAUUUUAUUUUGGUUUUCGGGAAAAAAAAAAUAUUUGUUGGCAAGCAAAGAAAAUAAUUUUAUACUUUACAAUCUGCUAUACAUAUUUUAUCAUAUUAAAGUAAUUUUAAUAUCUAUCAAAAAAAUAAAUUUAAUAAUAAUUGGAACAUAAUAUUACAAUAAAUAAAUUAAAAUUAUUUUAAAUAUUAGGAAAAAAAUAUUAUUAAUAGGAAGAUAUUUUGUUAAUUGUAAAAUCCUUUUAUUCCAAAUAUUUUAUUUAAAUUUUUUAUAAUAAAUAAAAAUAUAAAAUUAAAAUAAAUAUCAUAAUUUAAAUUUUUUAUAUUAAAAAUAUUUUAAUGUUAUUAGUCUACUACAUAAAUUAUAUUAUUUAUAUUAUAUUCGUAUUGAUUAAAAUCUUUUAAAGUUAAUUUUAUAGUUACUAUAUCCACAGGGUAUUAUAUUAUAUUUAAGAGUAAUUUUUUCAAAUUUUAGGAUUGCAGAUGUCCUUCUUCCGAUAAUUUAUUUCACUUUUGAGAGAAUCCAAUGAGAAAUAUGAUAAGAGAUGGUCAGUUUAAUGUUCUCUGCCUUUAUGGAAAAAAAGUAAAAAGUAAAAACUAUUCAAUUUUGUACUUUUUGUGUCCACCAAAUAAAUUUUACACAUUUAUGUUGUCAUAAAACGAAAAAAAAGGGUUUGCCAAAAAAUGGUACCAAGCAUACCUUUAAUGUCCCACGUGAUUUCUUAUUAAGCCCAUAUUAUAUAUAUUUAUACAUUUUAUUGCAUUAAACAUUUUUAUUAUAAAAGAAGUUGGUCCUUCCCCUAGUGAUAAAAGAUAAAUAUGAUAAUGUUUGAGAUGGGUUUAGUCUUUUAUAUUUGCUGAGUCCAGUGGGUUAAAGAAUUAGAGUAAAGCAUCUGGGCAUUCUUUCAUGCAAAACUAAAAAUCCUGAAAAUAGUUGGCUUUAACUGAUUAAGACAAGCUUGGUCGAAUUGAGUUGAACUUCAUAUAUAAAAGCCAAAUAUAUUGCGGAUUCAUCGAAUUCUUCUCUAAUGAGUUGAAACAAAAGCCGAGCCAUGUCAGCUUCAUAGUUUCCCACCAGAGUAGUAGCAAUGAUUUCUGACUCCGUAAGAAGGUUUUGAAAAAGUGGAGUCAAAUUUGUUAAAUCAGGCAACGUUAACGCGCCUUCUUCACCUGCUAACACCCUUUUCAACCUCUCACAAAAUAGUCGGAGGUUCACGUCCAGCAUAUCUCCUUCUCUCCGAGAAACUGUGUAAGUGGCUAAAUUCCAGAAAUAUGACAUUAUUGCUAUUUUUUUAACUCAAAAAAAUGGUACGCGUUCAUUUAGAGAAAAGUUCAAGACGCGCGCCUUUUGAAAAAUGGUACCCGUUCAUGUAGAGAAAAGAACAGGUAUCCCAAUCGGUAUCCAACCUUUAUCUUCUUUAAUUACCACCACGACAUGAUUUUUUUUUUUUUUUUUUGAUGACAUGAGACUAUUGCUUAAAUUACAACUCAAAUUACAACUCAUAUUACAUGAGAGUAUAAUUGAUAUGUACAAUCAUAUAUACAUACUGAGAUCUAUUGACAUUAAUGCUGAUAUGACACUGCUCAGAUUUUUGUAACCCUCUCAAAUAUUCGAGGGACGUCAAACUCCUAUCCUGGGAGAAAGACUGCCUUCACUCGAGCUCUGUGGCUCCAAGGAAGGAAAUAUAAAUUAAACCUCUACAAUGCGACUGCGGAGGCUCGAACCCCUUCCCUCACAUAUGUGAGGGAGUGGCUCUAGCCACUUGGGCUAGCCCAAGUGGUUCCACGACAUGAUUGAUGGUGCUUAAAUCAAUUGUUUCUUUUUUAAUUUAAAGAAAUUUUCAUUAAAAAAAUAUUUUAAUAUCAAAUACCCUUCAAUGGCAUAACUGCCGCAAUCCCAGAAACAGGAUUAAAUAUUUUUUUUUUUUUGAAUUUUUGGGCAUGGAAAGAGCAGUAUUAAAAAUCAGAAAGCUAAGGUCGUUCUGUUAAAGAAUUGAUAUUGACAUAAUUUUUUUUUGGUUUUCGGGGGAAAAAAAAAAUUGUUGACAAGCAAGAAAAUAUUUUUAUAUUUUACAAUUUAUUAUACAUAUUUUUUUUUUUUGGAUCAAUAAUGGGCUCUAAAAGAGCUAAAGCACCAGUAAACGGGAGUGGGCAACCCCAGACACAUCGUUAUGAAGAAUACUCUGUAAAUUAGGAGGAGCAACAGUAAGUAACUGCAAUCCUAAAGGACAAGACAAAUUAAAUGAGGCCAGAAAAUCUGCUGCUAUGUUUGCUUCUCGAUAGAUGUGGUUCACUUUCACGACCCAGUCCCUGCUGAUCAGCUCACGAAUGGCAAGGAUAAGAGAAUGAUGCUCAUUAACAGGAGUGGUCGGAUUCUCCAAGAUUUGAGAUUUAUUAUACAUAUUUUAUCUUAUUAAAGUAAUUUUAAUAAUAAAUAGAAACAUAAUAUUACCAUAAAUAAAUUAAAGUUUAACUUAUUUUGAAUAUUAUAAAAAAUAAUUUUAAUAUUAUUAAUAGGAGGACAUUGUAUUAAUUUUAAAAUUUUUUAACCCAAAGGUUUAUUUAAAAUCUUUAUUAUAAAUACAAAUAUAAAAUUAAAUAUAAUAAUUUAAAAUUUUUAAUAUUAUUUUAAAUAUUAAAAAUAUUUUAAUGUUAUUAGUCUACUACAUAGAUCAUAUUACUUAUAUAAUAUUUGUAUUAUUAAAAAUUCUUAAAAUCAAAUUUUUAGUUAGUAUAUUUAUGAGGUAUUAUGGUUAAAAAAAAAACCUUAUUAUUACUUUUUAAAACAUUGAGGGCCUGCGUGAUAAUUUUUUCAAAAAGAAAAUGCUUGGUAUCUAGGAGGGUUAGAGAAACAGGACUACCAAAAUCUCUCACCCUUUUUUAAUUAAAAAAAAUUAAAAUAUCAAUAAAAAAAAUAAAGAAAAUAGAAUUUUAUCUGCUCCUUACUCCAUUUUUGUAACUCUCUCACCAUCUCUGUCGAGCAGCCCUCUCUUUCACUGUCUCUCACUAUUUCACAAUCUCUCUCUCACUCACACAGUCCUUUAGAAAAGCCCAAAAUAGGCCCAAUAAGCCCAUAAUUAAAAUAAUCGAAUCGAAUUAUUUCAAUUAAUCGAGUAUUUGAUUAUUUCGGUAAUUUGAUUAAUCGCGAUUAUGAUUUUAAAAUAAUCGUAAUCGAACGAUUAUGAAAAAUUUAGUAAAAAACCGAAUUGAACCGAACCGCACCCACCCCUACAUAAAAGAACAACAAUUACUUGUCAUUUUCAAUUUUUUCUAUAAGCUAUUUAUUUUGAGCAUUAGUGAUCUUGUCUGGACUACUCCAAUUAUUGACGUAACUCCAGUGGCUGCAUCCACUGGAAAAAGUGGAUGAGAACAUUUUUUUUUUUCAUAAAGGUAACUACUCCAAUUAUUGACAUAAUUGAUGGUGCUUAAAUCAAUUUUUUUUUUUAAUUUAAAGAAUUUUGCUUUAAAAAAUAAUUAAUAUCAAAAUGCCUUCAAUGUUGUUACCGCCACAAGCCCAGUUAGAGGACUCAUUAAAAAUUUUAGAAUUUUUAGGCCUGGAAAGCGUAGUAUUAAACAUCAGAAAGCAAAGGUUGUUAUGUCGAAGAAUUGAUGUCGACAAAAUUUUAUUUUAGUUUUCGGAAAAAAAAAAAAAUUUGUUGACAAGCAAGAAAAUAUUUUUUAUACUUUACAAUCUGCUAUACAUAUUUUAUCAUAUUAAAGUAAUUUUAAUAAUAUAUGGAAACAUAAUAUUAUAAUAAAUAAAUUAAAAUUACUUUGAAUUAUUGAAUAUUACAAAAAGAUAAUUUUAAUAUUAUUAAUAGGAAAACAUUUUUAAUUGUAAAAUCUUUUUAAUACAAAAAUUCAUUUAAAAUCUUUAUAAUAAAUACAAAUAUAAAAUUAAAAAAAUAUCAUAAUUUAAAUUUUUUAAAAUUAUUUAAAUAUUAAAAAUACUUUAAUAUUAUUAGUCUACUACAUAAAAUAUAUUAUUUAUAUUAUAUUCGUAUUGAUUAAAACGUUUUAAAGUCAAAUUUUUAAUUAGUGUAUUCAAAGAUACAAAAGAUUUUAGUAUUAUUUUUAAAAAAUUUCAGGAUAUGAAUGAUAAUUUUUUCAAAUUUUAAAGAUGUAAGAAUCUUUUUUUCUGAUAAUUUAUUUCACUUUUGAGAGAAUCCGAAAACGUUAAUUUAACAUUCUUUACCUUUGUGAAAAAAGUGAAAAUCAAGAACUAUUCAAUUUUGUUUUUAUUUGUAAUUCAAAAACUUUAUUCAUUUUCGAUGCUUUUCAAAAGAGACUCCUCUAAAUCCUUUUGGUGUCUGCAGCUCCUGCAAUUCUCAUAAAUCUCCAUCCCACAUCUACACUAUCAAACAAGUUGAUGGAAAUUCUUAUCAAAAAAAAAAAAAAAAACAAGUCGAUGGAAAUUGAUCAAUUACUUUUUGAAGUGGACCCAUUGAGUCAUGUUCAUUUCUGGUCAUUGUCUACUCUUUCCAUCAGCCAUUUAUUUUGACCAUUUGCGAUCUUAAAGGAUAUGAGAACGUAGCUGAAGUGCUGAAGGGGCUAUUAAAGAAGAGUGUCACUUGAUCACAAUCACAUUGAUGCACAACUCACUCGUGGCAAAUUUCGACUAUACGUUCUGCAAAUUCAGCCAAACCAUACAUGCAUGAACAAAACUAAAAUGUAGUUCUAAUCACAACUGCAGUUAUAAUGUUUACCCCUCUGAUUUUUCUCCAAAACAAAUUCAGUUCAAAACAAUAAUUAAAUAGCCACAUUUUGUUCGUCAAAAUAAAUGCCCAAAUUUUCAAUUAACAAAUCAUCUUCUCUAAACUAAAAAUCCCACAUCUCUAAAAUCAAUCUACAUAAUGUUGGAGAUGAGGGGUGAAUUGUUAACUCAGUAAAAAAAACUCAUGCAUAAUAUUACUAAUAAUAUAAAAUAUAUAUUAAUCAUUAUAAAGAAUCAUAAUUAGAAAAAUUAAUCAUUUUAUAAUUUAUUACACAAGUAAGAUAAAUCUCAUAAUAAGUUAUAACAUAAAAAAAACGUUAUCAAUAUAUAAUCAUUUAAGAAGUCAUUUAACAAUAAAAUCGUUCUUUAAUCAGUUGGUCAUGUCACAUAGUGUCAUCUAUAUUUACGGUGAUAAUAUUAUUACUCAGUAUUAUCAAAAAACAUGAUUUAACAUUUAGAGGAAAUUCUUGCCUUUUAAAAAAAACAUGUAUGCAACAACUACCCAUGCUUUAUCUUACCAUGACAAAUAUUUUCUCAAUGAAAGAAAAUUUUUUAAAAAUUGAUUUAAUGCACAAAUAUGAUGAUUUUUCCAAAAAUUAGUUUUGGAAAACAUAGUGAGAGAAAAUAGUGACGAUUAUUGUUUAGAUGUAUAAAUAGCCUAAACAUAAUCCUUAAUACCAAUAUCCUAAUGCAUCUUAUCAUCUUUCAUGAUAUUCUUUCAUUUAUGUCCAUUGGUUCAAGAUUUGAAUUUGAUCAUUAAAUCAUGUUCAAUAAUAUUAGAGAUUCUAACAAAUGAGUACCAACUUAAAUCCCAAUGUUAUGUGUCAUUGACCAAUUUUGUGUCAUUUUGUUAUUAACUAGGUGAUGAAUUUGUAGUUGAUAAAAUCACUUAAAAAUAUCUUAAAAAUCAAACAAUAGUUUGCUUAAUUUUUCCAAGUUAACUGCUCAAGAUGCUCUAUUAUAAAUAAUAACCUAAUUAUAUUCAUAAAAAAUGAUAUUUUUUUUGUGGUGUUGAUAAUGAGAUUAUCAUUCAACAUUUUAAAAUGUGAAAACAUAUGGAAGAUGGUUGUAAAUUGAUUGAAUGAAAACAUUUCAGUGAAGUCUCAAAAAUUUGGUACUUGUUGUCUUAUCGAAAGUUUUCUAAAUUAUAUUCGUGGCACAGCCACUAUCCAAACCAUACAAGUCCAAAGCUAUCCAAACCAUACCUGCAAGUCCGGGGCUUAAAUGGAGUACUUCUAAGCAAAAAAACAUUGACUAAAAUAGAAUAUAUACAUACAGACACACAUACAUACCAGCAUAUUCAAAAUAGCAAAAGGAGUGCAAAAGUUCAAGUUUGUAGACAACAUUGCAACCAUAGCAUGUUUAUAGCAAAUCCUCAAAAUCUGCUAAAUAAAACAAUGCCCUGUCUCAUGAAUCAAUGCUGAAUUAAAAUUGAAACUGAAAGUCUGGAUGGUUUUGUUUGUUGAGAAUGUCAAAUAAAACGGCAUUGAAGGAAGUUUUCAAAGGCAGAAUCCGCACUUGUCAAAGGGAUGAUCUGCACUUGUCAAAGACACUAUCCGCGCCGAACGGAUCGACACAUUUCCUUCCGUAUUCACAUAUGUAAUCUUUGAAAAAAUAUAGCUUCUGCAUCUAUAAAUAACGCUCAGUGUAUAAUGUUUUAUUCAAGAAAUAAAAACAAGUUUCUACAUGGUAUCAGAGCCAUGAAUGCGCUCAAGUUUCUUCAAGUUUCGCUGCUCUGUUUGUCACAAAAACAGAGGAAACCAAUUAAAUUCGUCCCACAACCAUUUUUUCCACCAUUUUCUUCCUUAAAAUCAUUCCUAACAUUACAGAAAUCCAUGCCGAUCAAAAAACAUGAAAGACAAAUUACACAUGUGCAGUAACCAAUGAUCAUAUUUCGUUACUGUCAAACACAAUGCAUCUGAGCAAAACAUUGGAAGCCAACACCAGAAUACAUAUGAAUAAACAAUUAAAGAUAGAGAAAAAAGGCUUAAACCUUGGGGGGAAAAAGUGAAAAAACAUGAAAGACAAAUUACACAUGUGCAGUAGCCAUCGAACUUAUCAGUGACAGCUGCAUCCAUUACAUUGCUCCAACAACACAAUGGCAAACCACCAGUUUCAAAUUGAGGAUAGCUAUCGAGAAUGAGAAAGUGUCCAAAACGUCAUAAAUAGACAUGUUCCGAUUGUGCAUAAUUUACAUUAUAGGCAAAUAUUCUUAUACCAUCAAAGGCAAAACAUGACACUAACAAUUGAUCACCCCCCCCCCCCCCCCCCCAACAACAAAAAAAAGGAAAAAAACAAUACAGAAAAGAUUGAAACAGAUAAGGCUACACUGAGCACAGGAUGCCAUGAAACAUAAUCCAGGAACCAAAUUAAUAAAAAAGGAAGCCAAACCAUUAUUUAACAAUCUGUUUUGUAUUUGGGAAAGUCUGAUAAAAUCUACUUGGGGAUAAUUAGAGAACCUCAACUAUUAAUCACACCUCAUAAAUGAACUAACAUUAAACAUCUACCAUCCCAACGUCACACAAACAUUCUCUACACUUCUGAACCUAAUACUUCCAUCUUCAAUUGGGGUUUUUUUUUCUUUUUCUUUGGGGGGGGGGGGGGGGGGGAUUGAAAUGCUGAUUUCGAAUCACUAACAGUAAAAUUGGAAGCUCAUGAAAAAAUAGUUUUAUCUCAAAAUUACAUCUCGAUAUAAAUUCUCUUUUCAUUUCCUUCAACUUUCUAAUUAAGCUUAAAAAAUGUACCUUCAACCACAAAGGGGUUUAAAAUUUAAAAUAUAAAAAAUAAAUUCAGAUAACAAUAAUUAAUUUAAUUAAAAAUAUAAAUAGAGUUACAGAGAAAGAGAAAAUAGAGAAAGACGUAAUGUUGAGUCCUUUGGCGCAAGUCUCUUCAUAGGUCCGAACCAUUUCUUCGGGCGUGGGUUUCGGGUCUUUAGGAUACUCCAUAGUGAUAAGCCAGUGAUUGUAAUCGCAACCCUCGAACAGAAUCGUGUCGGGUGUGAUCUCGUCGCCGUCCUUAUACAAGUGGUACGUCUUGUUAACCGACGGCGUAGACGAGAGGGAGAUCGUCGGGGACGAUCUGAACGGCCGAGAUUGGAUAAUGAUGGAGGAGGAGAAGAUUAGCGAUGACGACGCCGAUGAAAUGGAAGGGUUUACCAGAGGAGUGGAUGCGAAGAAUGCAGGGACGGCCGCAAAGAGAGAGCGGCGGAGAGCGGCGACGGACGGUAGUGACCAGCGGAGGCGGAAAAUGGCGGUAUGGGCCAUUGCUUGCGCGUCGGUGAGUGUCUCGAGUGAGAGAGUGAAGGGUUUUGGGAAAUGAAAAAUGCAAAUGUUUGAUUUUGUUGCUAGAAACUUCUUCUGCCGCUGCCUUUUAUUUUCGCUAUAAUAAUAAUAAUUUGUUAAUCAAAUAUUUUCUUAAAAAAGAUAAAUUUCUACAACAAAAUUUAUAUUAAAUCAAAUUGUAAAAAUGUCUAUUAGGGUUAAUUUCUCCUUAAUAUUAUUAUUAGUAGAUGUAGAUUUUCGAAUUAGUCUUGAUAUAUUUCAGAGUUGUAUUAUAAAUGUAUAUGUAUCUGGAUUGCAAUUAUAUUUUUAAAAAAUAUAAUUUUUUUAAUUAUUGCACAAUAAAUGUAAAUAGUAUCUAUAAAAUAAUAUUAUUAGGACUACGAAAAAAAUAUUAUUUUAGAGAAGUUAUUUAUUUAUUAUUGAAUGAAUAAAAAAAUUAGUUUGGCAUUUUUAUAACCUCCUUGAAGGUUUUACGAUAAACAUAAAUCUACUGAGAAAGUGGGAAAAAAAAAAGAAAAUGCAUAUAAAAGUAUGAGUUAUCAGAUAAGAUUAAAACUCACCCAAUUCAAUCCAUCAGAUUCCGUAAGGAUAUAACUGGAUGUCAUACCGCCACUCCAUAUCCUCGAAAGUCCGUAGUCCUUGUCUCAACUGUGUCUGAGGCCAGUGUAAGUCCAAUUUGCGCAAGCUCUUUAUGCACCACAGCUCUUCUGGAAGCUUUCUCAAGUAAGCACAUGGGUUGACAAUUAAGCUUUCAAGUUUCGGCAUUGCUCCAGCCCCCAUCGUCCACUCAUCUAGCCAAUACAUUGAUUUCAGGUGCAAAACCUUAAGUUCGGGAAAGCUACUCAAGCCAACACAAGCAAGCUUUCUUCCUAAAUACGAGUUCUGCUUCAGUUUCAGCACUCGAAGGCGUGGAAGAUUUUCCAGAAUUGGCAUGGGAUCCUCCAUUAGCUCAGUAUUUGAUAAGCUCAGUUGGAUCAGACUUGGGGGAAAUUGGUAUUCAGACAGGACCAUCCGUGAGGGCUUGCUCUCAUUCACCAGCUUCAAGCAUUCAAGUUUGUGGAGUUCGCAAAGGCUUUUGGAAACCCCAGAUUGAUAGUAACUCAAAUCUCCAGAUAUCCGAAGAGUCUGAACACUAGGUAGUCUGCCCAAUAUAUCAGGAGUACAACUGCUACGGUUUAAAGCUGAUAUGAAAAUGAGAUUUUUCAGAGAGCUAGAAUAAUUUUUUGGAGGUGCGGGCAGAGUGAUAGAACCAAAGUUUAGAUGCAUGAGUUUUUGCAUCAUCCAAAUAUCCUCUGGUGACUGAUCUAUGUAGCUAAAUGGCAUUUCUAGUGUUUCAAGGUUUAAAAGGGUGCAUAGCAGUGAAGGAAGACAUUUGAGCGAAGGGAUAUUCAAUUUCAAAUACUUCAAAAGAUAUAAAUUUUCUAAUCCGGGCGGAUAUUGGUCCAGGACUGCAGAACCCAUGUUCAAUACCCGAAGGUGUUUGAACUUUUUACAAAAAUUCUCGCAAUCUAUCAGAGCGAGACGAUCGCUUUCUGAACUGUGAUUCAGAAAAGAUUGGAGACGCAUGUCAGAAUAUUCUAAAGGAAAGAAGUCAAUCAGACGUUCCACAAUGAAGCACCGUUUAACAUUUGCCACUGAUUCCUCUUCCAUGUCAGGCGUCCAGACAAAUCCCGCCUUCUUUGCCAGAAAAUACAAUGAAGUGUAUACAAAACUUGGAACAUAACACGCUUUAAUUGUGCCGCCGGCGCUUCUCUUACUCACUUGAAUGAAGCCGCGAUGGAUUAGUUCUUUCAAGAAAUGGUCGGCAGUUUCUUCACCGUUGUAUGGUACGAAACCUUCAGCUACCCACAACUGAUGUAAUUGCCUCCUGGAUAUCUCAAUACUUGGAGGGAAGACACACAAAUAGAUGAAGCAGACUUUCAAAUGAAAAGGUAACUCCAUCACAGAAAAAAUUUGUCUCCAAACUGUCGGAAUCGCUUCGCCUUGAAGAUAAUUUUCUAAUGGCAUACUUCCAUAGUGUAGGAUGAAAAAUUGCCAGGCUUCAUGCUUUAAUCUGAUCAAUGGUCCUCCAAAGAGCACUGAAUCACGCCGAAUCUUCUCUCCGUUUUCCAUUUCCAACGACGCAAGGAGGUCUGGAUUAGUGACUGUUAUCAAUACUCUGCUUCCAUUCUGCUUAUCAGGAAGAACUUCUUCAAGAUCAUCCCAUAUGUCACUGUCAUUGAAGACAUCAUCAAGCACAAUAAAGUACUUCUUGUUUGUCAGGUAAUCUCGAAGAAUAGAUUUCUUCAAGCGAUAAUCUUCACUGAUAAUUACCCUAGCCCGAGAUGGAGGCAUCAAAGAAUUGAUUAUGUCAUCCAAUAUCUUGCCAAAAUCGUAGGCUAUAGAAACCCUGACCCAAGAAAGACAGUCAAAAUAGAACUUGACAUGGUUAUUAUUGUAAGUAUCUGCAGCAAAAGCAGUCUUAUCGAAGCCACUGCUGUCGAGAAUUGCAACCACUGAAAGCCCAGAUGGUCCCUCAAUCAAUAGAUCAAAAAACUUCUCUCUGCCCCUUUCAAAUUCACUGAUAUCGAGCCGAGGUUGUCCCUCAUUCAAUAGGCGAAUGAUUUCGUUACUUUUUUCACUGAUAUCAAAACCAUUGUCGCCGGGUGGAAGUUGUUGCAUCCGAUUUCUAAUAUCAAUGAUUUUAGUGUGGAGUCCAACAAGAAGAGCCAUAUCAGUACUGCUUUCACUUUCGUUUUCACUGUUUUGCUGCUGCAUUAUGUUGAUGAAGAAUCUGUCAAUGGCUUCCUCAGAUUCAUGGACAACGGGAUUGAUGUCCUCCAGAAUUUCCAAAAUAUCUGCUGUUUCAACGUCUUCUUUAUCGCUUUCUUCUAAGUCCAACAGUUGCAAAAAAGGCAAUGAUAUUUUGGAGUCAUCGAAUUCUUCUCUAAUGAGUUGAAACAAAUGCCGAGCCAUGUCAGCUUCAUAUUUUCCCAGCAGAGUAGUAGCAAUAAUUUCGGACUCCGUAAGAAGGUUUUGAAAAAGUGGAGUUAAAUUUGUUGAAUCAGGCAAAGUUAACGUGCCUUCUUCACCUGCUAACACCCUUUUCAACCUCACACAAAACAGUCGGAGGUGGAGUUCCAGCAUAUCUCCUUCUCUCCGCAGCACUCAGAGGUAUAGUUGAAAGAUUAAACACCAUGGAAGAAUUUGAAAGGAAUAUGCCAAGAAACUGUGUAAGUGGCUAAAUUCCACAAAUGCGGCAUUAUUGCUCAUUUUUAACUCAAAAAAUUGAUACGCGUUCAUUUAGAGAAAAGUCCAAGACGCGUGCCUUUUGAAAAGAACAGGUAUCCCAAUCGGUAUCCAACCUCUAUCUUAUUUAAUUACUAUCAUGACAUAAUUGAUGGUGCUUAAAUCAAUUGUUUCUUUUUUAAUUUAAAGAAUUUUUCAUUAAAAAAAUAUUUUAAUAUCAAAUUGCCUUCAGUGGCGUAACUGCCUCAAGCCCAGUAACAGGACUAAUUAAAGAUUUUACAAUUUUUGGGCAUGGAAAUAGUAGUAUUAAAUAUUAGAAAGGUGAGGUUGUUCUGUUAAAGAAUUGAUCUUGACAUAAUUUUAUUUUGGUUUUCGUGGAAAAAUAAAAUUUGUUGACAAGCAAGAAAAUAUUUUUAUAUUUUAAAAUUUAUUAUGCAUAUUUUAUCAUAUUAAAGUAGUUUUAAUAAUAAAUAGAAACAUAAUAUUACGAUAAAUAAAUUAAAAUUUAACUUAUUUUGAAUAUUAUAAAAAAAAUUUUAAUAUUAUUAAUAGGAAGACAUUGUAUUAAUUUUAAAAUUUUUUAACCCAAAGGUUUAUUUAAAAUCUUUAUUAUAAAUACAAAUAUAAAAUUAAAUAUCAUAAUUUAAAAAUUUUAAUAUUAUUUUAAGUAUUAAAAAUAUUUUAAUGUUAUUAGUCUACUACAUAGAUCAUAUUACUUAUAUAAUAUUUGUAUUAUUAAAAAUUCUUAAAAUCAAAUUUUUAGUUAGUAUAUUCAUGAGGUAUUAUGGUUAAAAAAAAAAAAGACCUUAUUAUUACUUUUUAAAAAAUUGAGGGUCUGCGUGAUAAUUUUUUCAAAAAGAAAAUGCUUGGUAUGUAGGAGGGGUAGAGAAACAGGACUCCCAAAAUCUCUCACCCUUCUUUAAUUAAAAAUAAAUAAAAUAUUAAUAAAAAAUAAUAAAGAAAAUAGAAUUUUAUCUGCUCCUUACUCCAUUUUUGUAACUCUCUCACCAUCUCUGUCGAGCAGCCCUCUCUUUCGUUGUCUCUCACUAUUUCACGAUCUCUCUCUCACUCACACAGUCCUUUAAAAAAGCCCAAAAUAGGCCCAAUAAGCCCAUAAUUAAAAUAAUCGAAUCGAAUUAUUUUAAUUAAUCGAGUAUUUGAUUAUUUCGGUAAUUUAAUUAAUCGCAAUUAUGAUUUUAAAAUAAUCGUAAUCGAACGAUUAUGAAAAAUUUAGUAAAAAAACCGAACUGAACCGAACCGCACCCACCCCUACAUAAAAGAACAUCAAUUACUUGUCAUUUUCAAUUUUUUCUAUAAGCUAUUUAUUUUGAGCAUUAGUGAUCUUGUCUGGACUACUCCAAUUAUUGACGUAACUCCAGUGGCUGCAUCCACUGGAAAAAGUGGAUGAUAACAUUUUUUUUUUUUUCAUAAAGGUAACUACUCCAAUUAUUGACAUAAUUGAUGGUGCUUAAAUCAAUUUUUUUUUUAAUUUAAAGAAUUUUGCUUUAAAAAAUAAUUAAUAUCAAAAUGCCUUCAAUGUUGUUACCGCCACAAGCCCAGUUAGAGGACUCAUUAAAACUUUUAGAAUUUUUAGGCCUGGAAAGCAUAGUAUUAAACAUCAGAAAGCAAAGGUUGUUAUGUCGAAGAAUUGAUGUCGACAAAAUUUUAUUUUAGUUUUCGGAAAAAAAAAAUUUGUUGACAAGCAAGAAAAUAUUUUUUAUACUUUACAAUCUGCUAUACAUAUUUUAUCAUAUUAAAGUAAUUUUAAUAAUAUAUGGAAACAUAAUAUUAUAAUAAAUAAAUUAAAAUUAAAAUUACUUUGAAUUAUUAAAUAUUACAAAAAGAUAAUUUUAAUAUUAUUAAUAGGAAAACAUUUUUAAUUGUAAAAUCUUUUUAAUACAAAAAUUCAUUUAAAAUCUUUAUAAUAAAUACAAAUAUAAAAUUAAAAAUAUCAUAAUUUAAAAUUUUUAAUAUUAUUUUAAUAUUAAAAAUACUUUAAUAUUAUUAGUCUACUACAUAAAAUAUAUUAUUUAUAUUAUAUUCGUAUUGAUUAAAACGUUUUAAAGUCAAAUUUUUAAUUAUUGUAUUCAAAGGUACAAAAGAUUUUAGUAUUAUUUUUUAAAAAUUUUAGGAUAUGAAUGAUAAUUUUUUCGAAUUUUAAAGAUGUAAGAAUCUUUUUUUCUAAUAAUUUAUUUCACUUUUGAGAGAAUCCGAAAACGUUAAUUUAACAUUCUUUACCUUUGUGAAAAAAGUGAAAAUCAAGAACUAUUCAAUUUUGUUUUUAUUUGUAAUUCAAAAACUUUAUUCAUUUUCGAUGCUUUUCGAAAGAGAUUCCGUUAAAUCCUUUUGGUGUCGGCAGCUCCUGCUAUUCUCAUAAAUCUCCAUUCCACAUCUACACUAUCAAACAAGUUGAUGGAAAUUCUUAUAAAAAAAAAACAAGUCGAUGGAAAUUGAUCAAUUACUUUUUGAAGUGGACCCAUUGAGUCAUGUUCAUUUCUGGUCAUUGUCUACUCUUUCCAUCAGCCAUUUAUUUUGACCAUUUGCGAUCUUAAAGGAUAUGAGAACGUAGCUGAAGUGCUGAAGGGGCUAUUAAAGAAGAGUGUCACUUGAUCACAAUCACAUUGAUGCACAACUCACUCGUGGCAAAUUUCGACUAUACGUUCUGCAAAUUCAGCCAAACCAUACGUGCAUGAACAAAACUAAAAUGUAGUUCUAAUCACAACUCCAGUUAUGAUGUUUACCCCUCUGAUUUUUCUCCAAAACAAAUUCAGUUCAAAACAAUAAUCAAAAUAGCCACAUUUUGUUCGUCAAAAUAAAUGCCCAAAUUUUCAAUUAACAAAUCAUCUUCUCUAAACUAAAAAUCCCACAUCUCUAAAAUCAAUCUACAUAAUGUUGGAGAUGAGGGGUGAAUUGUUAACUCAGUAAAAAAAACUCAUGCAUAAUAUUACUAAUAAUAUAAAAUAUAUAUUAAUCAUUAUAAAGAAUCAUAAUUAGAAAAAUUAAUCAUUUUAUAAUUUAUUACACAAGUAAGAUAAAUCUCAUAAUAAGUUAUAACAUAAAAAAAACGUUAUCAAUAUAUAAUCAUUUAAGAAGUCAUUUAACAAUAAAAUCGUUCUUUAAUCAGUUGGUCAUGUCACAUAGUGUCAUCUAUAUUUACGGUGAUAAUAUUAUUACUCAGUAUUAUCAAAAAACAUGAUUUAACAUUUAGAGGAAAUUCUUGCCUUUUAAAAAAAAACAUGUAUGCAACAGCUACCCAUGCUUUAUCUUACCAUGACAAAUAUUUUCUCAAUGAAAGAAAAUUUUUUAAAAAUUGAUUUAAUGCACAAAUAUGAUGAUUUUUCCAAAAAUUAGUUUUGGAAAACAUAGUGAGAGAAAAUAGUGACGAUUAUUGUUUAGAUGUAUAAAUAGCCUAAACAUAAUCCUUAAUACCAAUAUCCUAAUGCAUCUUAUCAUCUUUCAUGAUAUUCUUUCAUUUAUGUCCAUUGGUUCAAGAUUUGAAUUUGAUCAUUAAAUCAUGUUCAAUAAUAUUAGAGAUUCUAACAAAUGAGUACCAACUUAAAUCCCAAUGUUAUGUGUCAUUGACCAAUUUUGUGUCAUUUUGUUAUUAACUAGGUGAUGAAUUUGUAGUUGAUAAAAUCACUUAAAAAUAUCUUAAAAAUCAAACAAUAGUUUGCUUAAUUUUUCCAAGUUAACUGCUCAAGAUGCUCUAUUAUAAAUAAUAACCUAAUUAUAUUCAUAAAAAAUGAUAUUUUUUUUGUGGUGUUGAUAAUGAGAUUAUCAUUCAACAUUUUAAAAUGUGAAAACAUAUGGAAGAUGGUUGUAAAUUGAUUGAAUGAAAACAUUUCAGUGAAGUCUCAAAAAUUUGGUACUUGUUGUCUUAUCGAAAGUUUUCUAAAUUAUAUUCGUGGCACAGCCACUAUCCAAACCAUACAAGUCCAAAGCUAUCCAAACCAUACCUGCAAGUCCGGGGCUUAAAUGGAGUACUUCUAAGCAAAAAAACAUUGACUAAAAUAGAAUAUAUACAUACAGACACACAUACAUACCAGCAUAUUCAAAAUAGCAAAAGGAGUGCAAAAGUUCAAGUUUGUAGACAACAUUGCAACCAUAGCAUGUUUAUAGCAAAUCCUCAAAAUCUGCUAAAUAAAACAAUGCCCUGUCUCAUGAAUCAAUGCUGAAUUAAAAUUGAAACUGAAAGUCUGGAUGGUUUUGUUUGUUGAGAAUGUCAAAUAAAACGGCAUUGAAGGAAGUUUUCAAAGGCAGAAUCCGCACUUGUCAAAGGGAUGACCUGCACUUGUCAAAGACACGAUCCGCGCCGAACGGAUCGACACAUUUCCUUCCGUAUUCACAUAUGUAAACUUUGAAAAAAUAUAGCUUCUGCAUCUAUAAAUAACGCUCAGUGUAUAAUGUUUUAUUCAAGAAAUAAAAACAAGUUUCUACAUGGUAUCAGAGCCAUGAAUGCGCUCAAGUUUCUUCAAGUUUCGCUGCUCUGUUUGUCACAAAAACAGAGGAAACCAAUUAAAUUCGUCCCACAACCAUUUUUUCCACCAUUUUCUUCCUUAAAAUCAUUCCUAACAUUACAGAAAUCCAUGCCGAUCAAAAACAUGAAAGACAAAUUACACAUGUGCAGUAACCAAUGAUCAUAUUUUGUUACUGUCAAACACAAUGCAUCUGAGCAAAACAUUGGAAGCCAACACCAGAAUACAUAUGAAUAAACAAUUAAAGAUAGAGAAAAAAGGCUUAAACCUUGGGGGAAAAAGUGAAAAAACAUGAAAGACAAAUUACACAUGUGCAGUAACCAUCGAACUUAUCAGUGACAGCUGCAUCUAUUACAUUGCUCCAACAACACAAGGGCAAACCACCAGUUUCAAAUUGAGGAUAGCUAUCGAGAAUGAGAAAGUGUCCAAAACGUCAUAAAUAGACAUGUUCCUAUUGUGCAUAAUUUACAUUAUAGGCAAAUAUUUUUAUACCAUCAAAGGCAAAACAUGACACUAACAAUUGAUCACCCCCCCCCCCCCCCCCCCCAACAACAAAAAAAAGGAAAAAACAAUACAGAAAAGAUUGAAACAGAUAAGGCUACACUGAGCACAGGAUGCCAUGAAACAUAAUCCAGGAACCAAAUUAAUAAAAAAGGAAGCCAAACCAUUAUUUAACAAUCUGUUUUGUAUUUGGGAAAGUCUGAUAAAAUCUACUUGGGGAUAAUUAGAGAACCUCAACUAUUAAUCACACCUCAUAAAUGAACUAACAUUAAACAUCUACCAUCCCAACGUCACACAAACAUUCUCUACACUUCUGAACCUAAUACUUCCAUCUUCAAUUGGGGGUUUUUUUUUUCUUUUUCUUUGGGGGGGGGGGGGGAUUGAAAUGCUGAUUUCGAAUCACUAACAGUAAAAUUGGAAGCUCAUGAAAAAAUAGUUUUAUCUCAAAAUUACAUCUCGAUAUAAAUUCUCUUUUCAUUUCCUUCAACUUUCUAAUUAAGCUUAAAAAAUGUACCUUCAACCACAAAGGGGUUUAAAAUUUAAAAUAUAAAAAAUAAAUUCAGAUAACAAUAAUUAAUUUAAUUAAAAAUAUAAAUAGAGUUACAGAGAAAGAGAAAAUAGAGAAAGACGUAAUGUUGAGUCCUUUGGCGCAAGUCUCUUCAUAGGUCCGAACCAUUUCUUCGGGCGUGGGUUUCGGGUCUUUAGGAUACUCCAUAGUGAUAAGCCAGUGAUUGUAAUCGCAACCCUCGAACAGAAUCGUGUCGGGUGUGAUCUCGUCGCCGUCCUUAUACAAGUGGUACGUCUUGUUAACCGACGGCGUAGACGAGAGGGAGAUCGUCGGGGACGAUCUGAACGGCCGAGAUUGGAUAAUGAUGGAGGAGGAGAAGAUUAGCGAUGACGACGCCGAUGAAAUGGAAGGGUUUACCAGAGGAGUGGAUGCGAAGAAUGCAGGGACGGCCGCAAAGAGAGAGCGGCGGAGAGCGGCGACGGACGGUAGUGACCGGCGGAGAGCGGAAGAUGGCGGUAUGGGCCAUUGCUUGCGCGUCAGUGAGUGUCUCGAGUGAGGAGUGAAGGGUUUUGUACUUUUGUUUAGGGUUUUGGGAAAUGAAAAAUGCAAAUGUUUGAUUUUGUUGCUAGAAACUUCUUCUGCCGCCGCUUUUUAUUUUCGCUAAAUAAUAAUAAUAAUUUGUUAAUAAAAUACUUUCUUAGAAAAGAUAAAUUUAUAGAACAAAAUUUAUAUUAAAUCAAAUUGUAAAAAUGUGGAAUAGGGCUAAUUUCUCCUGAAUAUUAUUAUUAGUAGAAGUAGAUUUUCGAAAUAGUCUUGAUAUAUUUCAAAGUUGUAUUAUAGAUGUACAUGUAUCUGGAUUGUAAUUAUAUUUUAAAAAAUAUACAUUUUUUUUCAUUAUUGCACAAUAAAUGUAGAAAGUGUCUAUAAAAUAAUAUUAUUAGAACUAUGAAAAUAUAUUAUUUUAGAGUAGUUAUUUAUUUAUUUUUGAAUAAAUAAUUUAUUAAUUUAUUAAUUUAUUGAUAAAUUAAUAAAUAUUAAUUUAAAGAGAGAUUUUUUUUUUUGGGGGUUUUUAAGAAGAGUUUUGUUGGUAUAUGUACAAACUUAUAAAGAAAUACAAAAAAUGCUUCCUCAAGUCAAUAGUAUUUACUUUAAUUCAUAAUAGUAUAGUUUAAUCAAGAAACUUAUAAUUAUACUAUAUCUUUCUUUCUUUGUUCUAUUUGGUGGGACAUUGUGAUAAAUCAUUGGAUUAAAAUGCAUUUCUAAAUGAAAACUUGUUAAAACCUAAUUUAUUUGGGAACGACAUUUUAUUUGUCAGUCGUAUUUCUCAACUUCGUAAGUUAUUUCUAAUUUAUCGGUCUCUAUUGGUUCUCUUAAGUACCUAUUUGGCAUGACUUAUUUAAUAGUAAUAAGUGCUUAUUUAAUCUCAUAAGUUUUUUCCCUCUCUGACAAUUGAGUUAGGGGGUCAAACUUGAAAGUAUCUUAAAAUUAGACAACAAUUUAACUAUUUUUUUUUUUUUAGAUAACUGCUAAUAUGCUCUAUUAGACAAUGAUGAGUGAUAACCUAGGUGUUUGCAUUUAAAGGGAUACUUUUUGUGGUGUUGAUAAAGAGGUUAAGUAUGAUUCAACAAUUUAAAAUAUGAAAACAUAUGGAAGACGGCCGCAAUUAAAUUAAUUGUAUGAAAAUAUUUCAAUGAAAUUUUAAAAAUUUAGUAUUUGUUAUCUUAUCGAGAGUUUUUUAAAAUUAUAUUACUACUUGAACUUGACUGCUUUUGUAUUUAAUUCCUACCGUUGCCAUUGCUUCUACUCAAAAGCCAUUUAAGUUUGUGUAAGCUACGUAUAGUUUGAACAACAAUUUACUCAUGAAUUGUUGUUCAUAAUAGCAUCAGUGCAUGCAUCAUUUUAAUGAGAAAGAAUAUUCUAAGAACGAAAUUGAACGUGGGAGGUAUCGGGAAGGAAUUGGAAUGGAAUAAUAUCGAUUCAUAUAGAUACAGAAGAAAAAGUUCUCUAUUGAUUCAAAUGCUGUGCCUAUGGGAUAAGGAUAGAGAAAGAGGAAAAAACCGAAGCCAGAAAUGUACACGCAUGAGGAACUUUUCCUAGAAGAUUGAUAUUUCUUUGACUAGCAAACCAUACAAGUCCAAAGCUAGCCAAACCAUACCUGCAAGUCGGGGGUUUAAAUGGAAUACUUCUAAGCAUAAAACAUUGAUUAAAACAGAAUACACACAUACAUACCAGCAAAUUCAAAAUAGCAAAAGGAGUGCAAAAGUUCAAGUUUGUAGACAACAUUGCAACCAUGGCAUGUUUAUAGCAAAUCCUCGAAAUCUGCUAAAUAAAACAAUGCCCUGUCUCAUGAAUCAAUGCUGAAUUAAAAUUGAAACUGAAAGUCCGGCUGGCGUUGUUUCCCUCUCCAAUUUUGCCUACAUAAGUGAAAAUAAGAAUAAUAAAUGAAAAUCUGCUUUUACGGUUCUUAUUAGAUAGAUAAAAGGGGGAUCUUUCUUUGUUUCUCUGCUGCAAUGUGUGGCUAUCCCACUCUGUUUUGCCACCCAAGCUGAGUCUAUGCUGAGACAUAAUUUUGACAUCAGAAGCAAUCUCAAUUAGUUUGGCACUUUUAAGCAAUCUCAUAUUUUGCUCACUUGAAGGUUUUACGAUAAACAUAAAUCUACAGAGAAAGUGGGAAAAAAAAAAGAAAAUGCAUAUAAAUAUAUGAGUUAUCAGAUAAGAUUAAAACUCACCCAAUUCAAUCCAUCAGAUUCCGUAAGGAUAUAACUGGAUGUCAUACCGCCACUCCAUAUCCUUGAAAGUCCGUAGUGUUUGUCUCAACUCUGUCUGAGGCCAAUGUAAAUUCAAUUUGCGCAAGCUCUUUAUGCACCACAGCUCUUCUGGAAGCUUUCUCAAGUAAGCACAUGGGUUGACAAUUAAGCUUUCAAGUUUCGGCAUUGCUCCAGCCCCCAUCGUCCACUCAUCUAGCCAAUACAUUGAUUUCAGGUGCAAAACCUUAAGUUCCGGAAAGCUACUCAAGCCAACACAAGCAAGCUUUCUUCCUAAAUACGAGUUCUGCUUCAGUUUCAGCACUCGAAGGCGUGGAAGAUUUUCCAGAAUUGGCAUGGGAUCCUCCAUUAGCUCAGUAUUUGAUAAGCUCAGUUGGAUCAGACUUGGGGGAAAUUGGUAUUCAGACAGGACCAUCCGUGAGGGCUUGCUCUCAUUCACCAGCUUCAAGCAUUCAAGUUUGUGGAGUUCGCAAAGGCUUUUGGAAACCGCAGAUUGAUAGUAACUCAAAUCUCCAGAUAUCCGAAGAGUCUGAACACUAGGUAGUCUGCCCAAUAUAUCAGGAGUACAACUACUAGGGUUUAAAGCUGAUAUGAAAAUGAGAUUUUUCAGAGAGCUGGAAUAAUUUUUUGGAGGUGCGGGCAGAGUGAUAGAACCAAAGUUUAGAUGCAUGAGUUUUUGCAUCAUCCAAAUAUCCUCUGGUGACUGAUCUAUGUAGCUAGAUGGCAUUUCUAGUGUUUCAAGGUUUAAAAGGGUGCAUAGCAGCGAAGGAAGGCGUUUGAGCAAAGGGAUAUUCAAUUUCAAAUACUUCAAAAGGAAUAAAUUUUCUAAUCCGGGUGGAAAUUGGUCGAGAACUGCAGAACCGAAGUUCAGUACCCGAAGGUGUUUGAACUUUUUACAAAAAUUCUCGCAAUCUAUCACAGCGAGAUGAUCGCCUUCUAAACUUUGAUUGAUAAAAGAUUGGAGAUAGAUCUCACCAUGUUCUAAAGAAAUGAAGUCAGUCAGAUGUUCCAAAAUGAUGUAGCGUUUAACAUUUGCAAAUGGUUCCGCUUCCAUUCCAGGCAUCCAGAGAAAUUUCGUCUUGUCUGCCACCAAACCCAAUGAAGUAUAUACAAAACUUGGAACAUAGCAAGCUUUAAUUGUGCCGCCGGCUCUUCUCUUACUCACUUGAAUGAAGCCGCGAUGGAUUAGUUCUUUCAAGUAAUGUUCGGCAGUUUCUUCACCGUUGUAUGGUAUGAAACCUUCAGCUACCCACAACUGAUAUAAUUGCUCCGUAGAUAUCUCCAUACUUGGAGGGAAGACCAACAAAUAGAUGCAGCAGACCUUCAAGUGAAAAGGUAACUCCAUCACAGAAAAAAUUUGUCUCCAAACUGUCGGAAUCGCUUCGCCUUGAAGAUAAUUUUCUAAUGGCAUACUUCCAUAGUGUAGGAUGAAAAAUUGCCAGGCUUCAUGCUUUAAUCUUAUCAAUGGUCCUCCAAUGAGCACUGAAUCACGCCGAAUUUCCUCUCCAUUUUCCAUUUCCAACGACACAAGGAGGUCUGGUUCAGUGACUGUUAUCAAUACUCUGCUUCCAUUCUCAUCAUCAGGGAGAACUUCUUCCAGAUCAUCCCAUAUCUCACAGUCAUCGAAGACGUCAUCAAGCACAAUAAAAUACUUCUUGUUUGUUAGGUAAUCUCGAAGAAUAGAUUCCUUGAAUUGAUAAUCUUCACCGAUAAUUACACUAACCCGAGAUGGAGGCAUCACAGACUUGAUUAUGUCAUCCAAUAUCUUGCGAAAAUCGUAGAGUAGAGAAACCCUGACCCAAGCAAGACAGUCAAAAUAGAACUUGACAUAGUUAUUAUUGUAAGUAUCUGCAGCAAAAGCAGUCUUAUCGAAGCCACUGCUGUCGAGAAUUGCAACCACUGAAAGCCCAGAUGGUCCCUCAAUCAAUAGAUCAAACAACUCCUCUCUGCCCCUUUCAAAUUCACUGAUAUCAAGCCGAGGAUGUCCCUCAUUCAAUAGGCGAAUCAUUUCGUUACUUUUUUCACUGAUAUCAAAACCAUUGUCGCCGGGUGGAAGUUGUUGCAUCCGAUUUCUAAUAUCAAUGAUUUCACUGUGGAGUCCAUCAGGAAGAGCCAUAUUAGUGCUGCUUUCACUUUCGUUUUCACUGUUUUGCUGCUGCAUGAUGUUGAUGAAGAAUGUGUCAAUGACUUCCUCAGAGUCACGGACAAAGUUAUUGAUGUCCUUCAGAAUUUCAAAAAUAUCUGCUGUUUCAACGUCUUCUUCAUCGCUUUCUUCUAAGUCCAACAGUUGCAAAAAAGGCAAAGAUAUUUUGGAGUCAUCGAUAUCUUCUCUAAGGAGUUGAAUCAAAUGCCGAGCCAUGUCGGCUUCAUAGUUUCCCAGAAGAGUAGUAGCAAUAAUUUCGGACUCCGUAAGAAGGUUUUGAAAAAGUGGAGUUAAAUUUGUUGAAUCUGGCAGAGGCAACGUGCCUUCUUCACCUGCUAACACCCUUUUCAACCUCUCACAAAACAGUCGGAGGUGGACGUCCAGCAUAUCUCCUUCUCUCUGUAGCACCCAGAGGUAUUGUUUUUUGCUCCAAGAAAUAUUAAAAGGAUUGGUUCUAUCUAAAAGUGGUUACUGGUGUAAAAUUAAACGCCAUGGGAGAAUUUGAAAGGAAGAUGCCAAGGAACUGGCGAAGUGGCUAAAUUCCACAAAUACGGCAUUAUUGCUCAUUUUUAACUCAAAAAAUUGAUACGCCUUCAUUUAGCGAAAAGUCCAAGACGCUUGCCUUUUGAAAAGAAGAGGUAUCCAUAGAUAUCCAACAUUUAUCUUAUUUUAAUUACUACCACGACAUGAUUGAUGGUUGUUAAAUCAAUUGUUUCUUUUUUAAUUUAAAGAAAUUUUCAUUAAAAAAUAGUUUAAUAGACACAUAAUAUUACAAUAAAUAAAGUAAAGUUUAAAUUAUUUUGAAUAUUAUAAAAAAUAAUUUUAAUAUUAUUAAUAGGAAGACAUUUUGUUAAUUUUAAAAUCUUUUUAACCCAAAGGUUUAUUUAAAAUCUUUAUUAUAAAUACAAAUAUAAAAUUAAAUAUCAUAAUUUAAAAUUUUUAAUAUUAUUUUAAGUAUUAAAAAUAUUUUAAUGUUAUUAGUCUACUACAUAGAUUUUAUUAUUUAUAUUAUAUCUGUAUUGAUUAAAAUUUUUUAAAGUCAAUUUUUUAGUCAAUAUAUUCAAGAGGUAUUAUAGUUAAAGAAAAGAUUUUGGUGUUAUUUUUUGAAAAUUUUAAGGUUUAAAUGAUUUUUUUUUUAAUUUUAAGGAUGUGGGUAUUAUUUUUCCGACAAUUUAUUUUAUUUUUGGGGAAUCCGAUGAGAAAUAUCAUGAGAGAAGGUUAAUUUUACAUUCUUUACCUUUAUGAAAAAAGUGGAAACCAAGAACUAUUCAAUUUUGUAUUUUUUGUUUGUAAUUCAAAAAAUGCAUCCACCAAACAAGCUUAUCUUGAUUUUCCCACUUUAUUCAUUUUCGAUCCUUUAAUCCAUCUAGCAUCUGCAGCCCCCGCUAUUUUCACAAAGAGUAAUGAUACAGCCACAAAUUCUUGUACAAAUUUAUUUUGUAUAAACUGACGUGGCAUGAUAAGAUUGGUUGAAUUAAAUAUCACUUGGCCCACAUGAUUUGUUUUUAUUAUUUUAUAUUUUUAUUCAACCAAUGAAUUAAUGCCACGUCAGUUUGUACAAAAUAAAUUUGUACAAGAGUUUGUGGCUGUAUCAUUACUCUGUCAAGAAUCUCCAUCCCACAGCUACACUAUCAAACAAGUUGAUGGAAAUUGAACAAUUGCUUUUUGAAGUGGACCCAUUAGGUUAUGUUCAUUACUGGUCAUUGUCUAUUCUUUCUAAGAGCCACUUAUUUUGAGCAUUAGCGAUCCUAUCUGGACUACUCCAAUUAUUGAUGUAACUCCAAUGGUUGCAUCAACAGUUGAAUGUAAGAUAGUGUCAGUUCUUUUUUGAGAAUAUAGAGGGAUCUUUAUUUGUUUCUCCGUUGCAGCGUAUUAGUAUAAAUUUCUUGACCUUACAGUUCCUACAGUCUUCCUGUUAAUGAAUUCGCUGAGGCAUUAUUGAUCCAAUCUCAGUGAAGUAAUUGUGGGUGAAAAAAAAAUAAAGGAUAAGAGAACGUAGCUCAAGUGCUGAAUUGACUAUUAAAGAAGAGCGUCACCUGAUCACAAUCACAUUGAUGCACAACUCACUCGAGGCAAAUUUCAUCUAUAUAUACUGCAAAUUCAGCCAAGCCAUGCAUGCAUGAACAAAACUAAAAUGAAGUUCAUAAUCACAACUGUAAUUAGAGCUACAAAAGGUGGCAAACCAUACAUGCAUGAACAAAAUUAGACAUAAAUUGAAGCCACAACAUUAAUUGAAGCCACAAAAGCCAGCAAAUCCAAAUGAAAACUUAAAAGGAAGAUCUUAUCGAAGUUUGUCCCCAAAAGACAGCGGAAAUGAAAAAUAUUGACUAUCGAGUGGAUCAAUGCUGAAUUACAUUUGACCUGGAAAGCUUGGCUGCAGUUGCGAUGUUCCCCCUCUGAUUUUCCCUAAAACAAAUUCAGUUGUAAACAAUAACUGGAGUAGCAACAAUUUAUUCAUUAUAGAAAAUACCUAAAUUUUCAACUAUCAAAUCCUCUUGUCUAAACUAAAAAACUCAUAUCUCUAAAAUCUAUAUACAAAAUGUCAUAAAUGAGGGUGAUCUCUCAAUUCGGUAAACAAAUUCAUGCAUAAUAUUACCAAUAAUGAUAAAUUACAUAAUAAUUAUUAUAAAGAAUCAUAAAUUGGAAACAUUAAUCAUUUUAAAAUCUAUUACAUAAUAAAAAUAAAUCUUAUAAUAAGUUACGUUAGAACAUAACAAAUAUUUAAAAUGAUAUAUAUAAUUAUUUAAGAAGUCUUUUAACAAUAAUUUUUUUUUUCUUUUUCAGUUGAUCAUGUCAUAGCGUUAUCUAAAAUGCUAGCGAUAUCAUUAUUCCCCACUUUUCUCAAAAAAAAGAAAAAGAUAAAGAAAAAAGAAAUAUGAUUAACGUUUGGAGAAAAGUCAUGCCUUUUAAAAAGAAUAUGUAUACAAUACCAAUUCAUACUUUAUCUUACCAUAAAAAAAUUGUUUAAAAUAGAUUUAAUGCACAAAUAUGAUGACUUUUGGCAGAAAUGAGUUUCGGAAAUAUUGGGAUGAAAACCAUAUUGGUUCAGACUUAAAAUUACUUAAUAAAAUUACUUAACUACCAUUUAAUAAAUAAAAAUCAUAUUAGUUGAAAGUUAAAUUAAGAUUUAAAUGUUGAGAUAUCUAACGUUACUCAAUCAGAAUAAACAAUAAUCAAUUCAAAUUAUGACUAUCAUGUAGAAGCAAAUGUUUAUGCUUGGGUCUUUUACUUCUUGAAUUUGAUUGGAAAAAUUUCUGAGACAGGGAAGUGAGUGUUUUGGAUAAUAUUUUUCGGGAUUGAAACCACAAGUUGGUCGAGGAAAAUAAUUUUGGACAAAUUUUUAUUAUAUUGUAGAACCUUUUUGGUUCCUUUUGUGUCGGCAGCCCCUCACUAUUCUCUUAACCCUGAGUUUUGAGAUAGAAAUUUCCCGAACUCCAACCCCACAUCCACAGACAAGUUGAUUGAAACAAUUGCUCUUGUAAUUAAGAGGAUGAGUUAGGGUUCAGUUCUUAUCAUUGUCUGUUAUUUCUUUGAAUCAUUAUCUUAGUUAAUUACAUCAAUUGUUUCUUUUCUUAAUUUAAAGAAUUUUUCUUUUAAAAAAAUAUUUUAAUAUCAAAAUGCGUUAAAUGGUAUUACUGCCGCAAUCCCAGUAACAGGAUUAAUUAAAAAAAUAUUCUUAGGAAGAUAUUUUGUUUAUUGUAAAAUCUUUUUAACCCAAAGGUUUAUUUAAAAUCGUUAUAAUAAAUAAAAAUAUAAAAAAAAAUAAAUAUCAUAAUUUAAAAUUUUAAUAUUAUUUUAAAUAUUAAAAAUACUUUAAUGCUAUUAGUCUACUACACAGGUUAUAUUACUUAUAUUAUAUUUGUAUAAAUUAAAACUUUUAAAGUUAAAUUUUUAAUUACUAUAUUGAAAAGGUAUUAUGGUUAAAAAAAGUUUUGGCAUUUGUUUUUUGAAAAUUUGAGGGUCUGCAUGACAAUUUGUCCAAAUCCUAGAGGUAUAGGUGUCUUUUUUUUUCGAUAAUUCAUUUUACUUUUGAGGGAAUCCGAUGAGAAAUAAGAUAAGAGAAACGUCAAUUUAACGUUCUCUAGGGAAAACCAAGAACUAUUCAAUUUUGUAUUUUUUGUUUGUAAAACAAAAAACAGUUUGCCAAAAAAGGUACCAAACAUAUCCUUAAUGUCUCACAUGAUUUCUUAUUAAGUCCAUACUCGAUAUAUUUAUACAUUUUAGGUAUUUUAGUUAUAAAAGAAGUUGGUCCUCCCUCUGUUUAUAAAAGGUAACUUUAUUUCGAGAUUACCACUAAAGUCUUACAAAGAAUUAGUGUAAUGUUAAGAGAGACUAACACAGUUUUCCAUUACCAUUUUGAAAAUAGAAAGAUAUGGAUGUGUGCAUUUAAUGGUGCGUUUACUUGCCGGAUUGGGGAAUCAGAAUCUGGAAUCAGAAUGAUUGAUGGUGUUUACUUCACAAAUAUGGAGCAGGAAUCGGAAUUGGAAUGGUGGGGCCCACCACUAUUUGGGAAUGGGAGAUUGAUUCCCAUGGGGGAAGGUGGGAAUGAGUCUCUCAUUCCCUGGAUUGACCAUUUUGCCCUCCCUCAAAAUUAAAAAUGCCUACUUUGUCCUCUUUUAUAAUUAAUUAAUAUAAUAUUAUAAUUAAUUAAUUAAUAUAUAAAUAUUUUAUUAACUAUAAUUAUUAAAAAUUAUAGUUCUUGAAUAAAUAAUCACAAUAAUUAAUUUAUUAUUAUUAUUGUUAAUGAAUUAAUAUAAUUAUUACUAUUAAUUAAUAUAUUAAUAUAUUAUUAACAAUAAUAUAUUAAUAAUUAUUGUUCGUGAAUAAAUAAUCACAAUAAUUAAUAUAUUAUUAUUGAAAUUAAUUAAUUAAUAUACUAUUAUAAUAAUUAUUAUAAUUAAUUCAUAUAUUAUUAUUAAUUAAUUAAUAAAAUUAAAAUUAUUAAUUAAAUAAAUAAUAUAAUUAUUACUACUAAUUAAUAUAUUAAUAUAUUAUUAAAAAUAAUUAUUAAUAAUUAUAAUUUUUGAAUAAAUAAUCACAAUAAUUAAUAUAUUAUUUUAAUUAAGUAAUUAAUAUUAAUAUUAUUAGUUAAUAUAUUUUUAUAAUAAUUUUUGAUAUAGUUAUUAUAAUUAAUUAAAAUUUUUUACAAUUAAUUAAUAUAUUAGUUAAUAAUAAUUAUGACAAUAAUUCAUUAAGUACUUUUUAGUAAUUUGUUACAAUCUAAUUCAUUCCGAUUCCGAUUUCAAGACAAAGUAAACACAUUAAUGGCAAUCUAGCUCAUUCCGAUUUCGAUUCUUACAGUUCAAGUAAACAACUUAUUUUGAUUCCCAUUACCUAUUCCCAUUCCAGCCCAUUCUCAUUUCUGCCCAUUUCAAUUCCAGCUCAUUCCGAUUCCAGUUUAGUAAACGCAGCAUAAGAGUUAUCAUGAAAAUCAUACAAUUUAAUUUCCUGAAAUAUAUAUUUUAUUCACAUGUGCCAAAAGAAUAAAUAGAUAGAAAGUAAAUUUACAAUCCUCACUCCCUCAUAAUUGUUAAAGUGAAUAUGCAUUACAACUGUGAACUGUCACUACUUUAGCCCUUUAUUUGUUUUUUCAAUUAUAGUGUGAUGGAGACAGUGAACAUUAAGGAUAAAGUGCUCUGCUGAAAGCCAAACUUCCUUUGGCUAAUUAAUUUAGAAGUAAAGCAGAGAAUAAAGUCCUUGAUGCCUUCUGAAAUUAGAAAUACAUUUUAUAUGCUUUAAUUAUGAUUAUUUGGUAGACUAUUGACCAAAAGACAUGUUAAAGUAUAAAACAGAGCGAUUAAAGAAAAAAAAAAGGAGCGUUUGUGACGUAGAAUAACAAUUUGUAAGCAAAGUCCUAAUUUGAGUUGUCAAAAAGCAAACAUAACAGAGAAGGUAAGAGAGAUGCAAAAACAGAAAACUAUUAGCUUAUCUUGAUUUUCCCACUAUAUUCAUUUUCGAUGCUUUUCAAACGAGAUUCUUUUAAUCCUUCUGGCGUCUGCAGCCCCUGCUCUUCUUAUAAAUCUCCUUCCCACAUCUGCACUACGAACAAGUUGACUAAAAUUAAAUAAUGUUGGAGACGAGGGGUGAGCCGUCAACUUAUUAAAAAAAACUCAUGUAUAAUAUUAUCAAUAAUAUAAAAUAUAUAAUAAUUAUUAUAAAGAAUCAUAAAUUAGAAAAAUUAAUUAUUUUACAAUUUAUUUCUUAAGUAAGAUAAAUCUCGUAAUAAGUUAAGUUUAAUGUAAAAAAUAUUUUCAAUUUAUAAUCAUUUAAGAAGUCAUUUAACAAUAAAAUCUUUUUUUUGAUCAGGUGGCCAUGCCAUAGAGUAUCAUCUAUAUUCGUGGUGAUAUUAUUAUUACUCAAUAUCCUCAAAAGACACUAUUUAACAUUUAGAGAAAAUUUCUGCCUUUUAAAAAGAACAUGUAUGCAAUAGCUAGCCACACUUUAUUUUACCACGACAAAAUUGAUAGUGAUUAAAUCAAUUUUCUCAAUUAAAGAAAUUUUUUUUAAAUUGAUUUAAUGCACAAAUAUGAUGAGUUUUUGCAAAAAUUAGUUUUGGAAAAUAUAGUGAGAGAGAAUGGUGACGAUUAUUUUUCAGAUGUGCAAAUAGCCUAAACAUAAUCUCUAAUACCAAUAUCCUUGUGCAUCUUAACACCUUUCAUGAUAUUCUUUCAUUCAUAACCAUUUGUUCAAUAUUUGAAUUUGAUUAUUAAAUUAUGUUCAAUAAUGUUAGAGACCCCAACAAUUGGGUACCAACUUAAAUCCCAAUGCUAUGUGUCAAUGUAACAUAGCAAAAUCCCAUUAACAAAUGUUGUGUCAUUUAUCAUUAUUGAAUGAAUAAUUCGUUAAUUUAUUGAUAAAUGAAAAUUUAUUAAUUUAAAGAGAGAUUUUUUUUUUUGGUUUUAAGAAGAGUUUUGUUGGUACAUGUACAUACUUAUAAAGGAAAAACUUGUAAUUAUACUAUAUCUUUCUUUCUUUGUUCAGUUUGGUGGGAUAUUGUGAUAAAUCAUUGGAUUAAAAUGCAUUUCUAAAUUGAAACUUGUUAAAAUCUAAUUUAUUUGGGAAACGCAUAUUAUUUGUCAGUCGUACUUCUCAACUUAGCAAGUUAUUUCUAACUUGUCGGUCUCUAUUGGUUCUCUUAAAACUAAUAGUCUCGUAUCUCCCGCAUUUGAUAUCUUGCCAUUACUGUUGGCAUUAACAUGUUACCUGAGAUUGGGAUUCAUUAAAAUCCUCAAUGUAAUCGGUGGAACGAAUGGAUUUCUUCUGUUCACCAAUCCACCAAAAUUUCUGUAAUUAAAUUCAAAAGUCAAGAUCUAUGCUUAUAAUCUAUUCAACAGCUAAUAUUCUAUUUUAUAUUUACUUAAAUAUGAAGAGCUAUGCUUGUAGUUAACUUCAAAUGUGAUCGAAGCAGCCUUACAUCUAUAUAUUACUUAUGCCCAACCUUUUUUUUUGACUUCAUAUACAUUCUUUUCAUGUUAUUUACUCUUUUUUCCCCCUCUCUGACAAUUGAGGUAGGGGGUCAAACUUGAAAGUAUCUUAAAAUCAGACAAUAAUUUUUUUUUUUUAAAGAUAGCUACUAAUAUGCUCUAUUAGACAAUGAUAAGUAAUAACCUAGUUGUUUGCAUUAGAAAUGAUAUUUUUUGUGGUGCUGAUAAAGAGGUUGAUUAUGAUUCAACAAUUUAAAAUAUGAAAACAUGUGGAAGACGGCCGCAAUUAAAUUGAUUGUAUGAAAAUAUUUCAAUGAAAUUUUAAAAGUUUAGUACUUGUUAUCUUAUCGAGAGUUUUUUUAAAUUAUAUUACUACUUGAACUUGACUGCUUUUGUAUUGAAUUCCUACCGUUGCCAUUGCUUCUACUCAAAAGCCAUUUAAGUUUGUGUAAGCUACCUAUAGUUUGAACAACAAUUUACUCAUGAAUUGUUGUUCAUAUUAGCAAUUUGAUUGAAAGUGCGGCUGCACUAAUUUUCUAGAUGAAUUUUUUCCUACAUGCUUGUUCUCGUAUGACCCAAAAUCCUACUACAUCAGUUGUAUUAGAAAUUAAUCAACUGGGUUACAAUUAUGCAUCCCCACCAAUAUUUAAGCAAUUUAAUUACAGAAAUAUUUCUUGAGGAAAGAAACUCAUAUCGCCACUAGGCUUGUAAUGAGGCUCAUUUUUAUGAAUCUGGAUGGCAUUAGAUAUCUCUACGAAUAUUGGUGGGAGUAGAUCGCAGAUCUCUGGGCUAUACUACAAAGUUUAUGUACGUUGACUCUCAAUAAAUACAAACGAUUCUCUGAUAUGAUUCAAACAUCAGUGCAUGCAUCAUUUUAAUGAGAAAGAAUAUUCUAAGAACGAAAUUGAAGGUGCAAUCAGCAGCUAAAAUGAAGCCAGAAAUGUACAUGCAUGAGGAAUUUUUCCUAGAAGAUUGAUAUUUCUUUGACUAGCAAACCAUACAAGUCCAAAGCUAGCCAAACCAUACCUGCAAGGUGGGGGUUUAAAUGGAAUACUUCUAAGCAUAAAACAUUGAUUAAAACAGAAUACACACAUACAUACCAGCAAAUUCAAAAUAGCAAGAGGAGUGCAAAAGUUCAAGUUUGUAGACAACAUUGCAACCAUGGCAAGUUUAUAGCAAAUCCUCGAAAUCUGCUAAAUAAAACAAUGCCCUGUCUCAUGAAUCAAUGCUUAAUUAAAAUUGAAACUGAAAGUCUGGCUGACGUUGUUUCCCUCUCCAAUUUUGCCUACAUAAGUGAAAAUAAGAAUAAUAAAUGAAAAUCUGCUUUUACAGUUCUUAUUAGAUAGAUAUAAAUGGAUCUUUCUUUGUUUCUCUGCUGUAUUUUGUGGCUAUCCCACUCUGUUUUGCCAGUCAAGCUGAGUCUAUGUUGAGACAUAAUUUUGACAUCAGAAGCAAUCUCAAUUAGUUUGGCACUUUUAUGACCUCCUUAAAGGUUUUACAAUAAACAUAAAUCUACUGAGAAAGUGGGAAAAAAAAGAAAAUGCAUAUAAAAAUAUGAGUUAUCAGAUAAGAUUAAAACUCACCCAAUUCAAUCCAUCAGAUUCCGUAAGGAUAUAACUGGAUGUCAUACCGCCACUCCAUAUCCUUGAAAGUCCGUAGUGUUUGUCUCAACUCUGUCUGAGGCCAAUGUAAAUUCAAUUUGCGCAAGCUCUUUAUGCACCACAGCUCUUCUGGAAGCUUUCUCAAGUAAGCACAUGGGUUGACGAUUAAGCUUUCAAGUUUCGGCAUUGCUCCAGCCCCCAUCGUCCACUCAUCUAGCCAAUACAUUGAUUUCAGGUGCAAAACCUUAAGUUCGGGAAAGCUACUCAAGCCAACACAAGCAAGCUUUCUUCCUAAAUACGAGUUCUGCUUCAGUUUCAGCACUCGAAGGCGUGGAAGAUUUUCCAGAAUUGGCAUGGGAUCCUCCAUUAGCUCAGUAUUUGAUAAGCUCAGUUGGAUCAGACUUGGGGGAAAUUGGUAUUCAGACAGGACCAUCCGUGAGGGCUUGCUCUCAUUCACCAGCUUCAAGCAUUCAAGUUUGUGGACUUCGCAAAGGCUUUUGGAAACCCCAGAUUGAUAGUAACUCAAAUCUCCAGAUAUCCGAAGAGUCUGAACACUAGGUAGUCUGCCCAAUAUUUCAGGAGUACAACUACUAGGGUUUAAAGCUGAUAUAAAAAUGAGUUUUUUCAGAGAGCUAGAAUAAUUUUUUGGAGGUGCGGGUAGAGUGAUAGAACCAAAGUUUAGAUGUAUGAGUUUUUGCAUCAUCCAAAUAUCCUCUGGUGACUGAUCUAUGUAGCUAGAUGGCAUUUCUAGUGUUUCAAGGUUUAAAAGGGUGCAUAGCAGUGGAGGAAGGCAUUUGAGCGAAGGGAUAUUCAUUUUCAAAUACUUCAAAAGAUAUAAAUUUUCUAAUCCAGGUGGAAAUUGGUCGAGAACUGCAGAACCGAAGUUCAGUACCCGAAGGUGUUUGAACUUUUUACAAAAAUUCUCGCAAUCUAUCACAGCGAGAUGAUCGCCUUCUGAACUUUGAUUGAUAAAAGAUUGGAGAUAGAUCUCACCAUGUUCUAAAGAAAUGAACUCAGUCAGAUGCUCCAAAAUGAUGUACCGUUUAACAUUUGCAAAUGGUUCCGCUUCCCUGUCAGGCAUCCAGAGAAAUUUCGUCUUGUCUGCCAUCAAACCCAAUGAAGUAUAUACAAAACUUGGAACAUAGCAAGCUGUAAUUGUGCCGCCGGCUCUUCUCUUACUCACAUGAAUGAAGCCGCGAUGGAUUAGCUCUUUUAAGUAAUGUUCGGCAGUUUCCUCACCGUUGUAUGGAAUAAAGCCUUCAGCUAUCCACAACUGACAUAAUUGCCUGGUAGAUAUCUCAAUGCCUGGACGGAAGACACACAAAUAAAGGCAGCAGACUUUCAAGUGAAAAGGUAACUCCAACACAGAACAAAUUCGACUCAAGAGUGUCAAAACCACUUUUUCAUCCAUAUAAUUUACUAAUGGGGCACUUCCAUAGUGUAGGAUGAAAAAUUUCCAGGCUUCAUGCUUUAAUCUGAUCAAUGGUCCUCCAACAGGCACUGAAUAAAGCGGAAUGAUCCCUCCAUGCUCCAAUUCAAAAAAGGUAAGGAGGAAUGGAUCAGUGACCAAUAUCAAUACUCUGCUUCCAUUCUGCUUAUCAGGAAGAACUUCUUCAAGAUCAUCCCAUAUGUCACUGUCAUUGAAGACAUCAUCAAGCACAAUAAAGUACUUCUUGUUUGUCAGGUAAUCUCGAAGAAUAGAUUUCUUCAAGUGAUAAUCUUCACCGAUAAUUACCCUAGCCCGAGAUGGAGGCAUUAAAGAAUUGAUUAUGUCAUCCAAUAUCUUGCCAAAAUAGUAGCCUAUAGAAACCCUUACCCAAGCAAGACAGUCAAAAUAGAACUUGACAUGAUUAUUAUUGUAAAUAUCUGCAGCAAAAACAGUCUUAUGGAAGCCAUUGCUGUCGAGAAUUGCAAUCACUGAAAGCCCAGAUGGUCCCUCAAUCAAUAGAUCAAACAACUCCUCUCUGCCCCUUUCAAAUUCACUGACAUCAAGCCAGUGUUGUCCCUUACUCAAUAGGCGAAUGAUUUUGUUACUUUGUUCAGUGAUAUCAAAACCAUUGUCGCUGGGUGGAAGUUGUUGCAUUCGAUCUCUAAUAUCAAUGAUUUUACUGUGGAGUCCAACAAGAAGAGCCAUAUUAGUACUGCUUUCACUUUCGUUUUCACUGUUUUGCUGCUGCAUGAUGUUGAUGAAGAAUGUGUCAAUCGCUUCAUCAGAUUCAUGGACAAAGUGAUUGAUGUCGUCCAGAAUUUCCAAAAUGUCCCGUCUUUUUACGUCUUCAUCAGUGUCUUCUAAGUCUAACAGUUGCAGACAAAGCCAAGCCAUUUCAGCUCCAUUGAGUUGUUCUCUAAUGAUGCGUCGAAUCACACGACGAGUCAUGUCACCUUCAUAGUUCCCGAGCAGAGUAGUAAUAAUUUCAGUCUCCGUAAAAAGGUUUUGAAAAAGCGGGGCUAAGUUUGUUGAAUCAGGCAACGUUAACGUGCCUUCUUCACCUGCUACCACCCUUUUCAACCUCUCACAAAAUAGUCGGAGGUGGACGUCCAGCAUAUCUCCUUCUCUCUGUGGCACCCAGAGGUAUUGUUAUUUGCUCCAAGAAAUGUUAAAAGGAUUGGUCCUAUCUCAAAGAGGUUAGUGGUGUAAAGUUAAACACAAUGGAAGAAUUUGAAAGGAAUAUACCAAGAAACUGUGUAAGUGGCUAAAUUCCACAAAUAUGGCAUUGUUGCUCAUUUUUAACUCAAAAAAAUACACGUUAAUUUAGCGAAAAGUCCAAGACACGUGCUUUUUGAAAAGAACAGGUAUCCCAAUAGGUAUCCAACCUUUAUCUUAAUCAAUUACUACCAUGACAUACUUGAUGGUGCUUAAAUCAAUUUUUCUUUUCUUAAUGUAAAGAUUUUAUUUUUUUAAAACAGAUUUUAAUAUCAAGAAAAAAUAUCACUCGUAUAUCCUUAAAUGACACUUGUAUCAAACGUACUACAACACUUUUAACAUGUAUCACUUGUAUACCUUAAGUUGACAAAUUGUGUCUACCAUCCACCAAACCGUUAGUUGCCGUUUGCAAGCGCUGACAUCAUAAAGGUAAUCUAGUCUUUUCAAAUGGAAGAAACUUUGAUUAAAAAAACGACAUGUCAUCCCAUUUACCUCGUAAAAAAUGACAUAUCAUAUGAUAUAUAUUGACAAAAAAUGACAUGUCAUCCCAUUUAUCGGAAGAUGAUGUCAUCUAUGUGAAACAACGUUGUUUCAACGGGACUAAAAAAAAAAUGAUACUCCACAACCGAAUCGACUCCUCCAAACUUUAACUUGAAUAUUUGAAGAUCUACUCAUCCAAGCUCCAACUGGAAUUUUUUAUGGUAUAAUAUGUUGUUAAUAAUUUUUUAUGGUAUAAUAUGGAUUAUUUUUUAUGGAUAAUUGUUAAUAAUACGUACCAUUAAUAAUUCAUUUUUUAAUAAAAAAUGUAUUGUUAAUAAAAAAUAAAAAAUAUAUUGAAAAUUUACGUUAAUUUUUUGGGCAAAUAUGUAUUUUUACCUUAUUUUGAGUUUCAAGGGCGAAAUAGUCAAUUUGUCAUAAUUCUGUUAACUUUCUAAUGGUAGCUAACAGUUUGGUGGACAGCAGACACAUUUUGUCAACUUAGGGUGUACGAGUAAUACAUGUUAAAAGUGCUGCAAUACGUUUGAUACAAGUGUCAUUUAAAGGUAUAUGAGUGAUACAUGUUAAAAGAGUUGUAGUACAUUUGAUACAAGUGUCAUUUAAGGGGAUAUAAGUGAUAUUUUCCCUAAUAUCAAAUUGCCUUCGAUGUUUUUACAGCUACAAGCUCAGUAACAGGAUUAAUUAAAAAGUUUAGAAUUGUUGGGCGUGCAAAGAGUAGUUUUAAACACCAGAAAGCAAAGGUUGUUAUUGACAUAAUUUUAUUUUUGUUUUCGAGGGAAUUUGUUUUUUUUGUUGACAAGAAAAUAGUAUUAUAUUUUACAAUCUAUUAUACAUAUUUUAUCAUAUUAAAGUAAUUUUAAUAUUAAAUGGAAACAUUAAAUUUAAAUUAAUUAAUUAAAAAUUGAAUUAUUUUGAAUAUUAUGUAAAAAAUUAUUUUAAUAUCAUUAAUAAGGAGAUAUUUUGUUAAUUGUAAAAUAUUUUUAACCCAAAUAUAUAUUAAAUUUUUUAUAAUAAAUACAAAUACAAAUAUAAAAAUAAAAUAAAUAUCAUAGUUUAAAAUUUUAAUGUUAUUUUAAAUAUUAAAAAUAAUUUAAUGCUAUUAGUCUAUUACACAGGUUAUAUUAUAUUUGCAUUAAUUAAAAGUUUUAAAGUCAAUUUUCCAGUUUCUAUAUUCAAAGGUAUAAUGGUUAAAAGAAAGUUCUUGGUGUUUCUUUUUAAAAAUUUGAGGGUCUUAAUGAUAAUUUUUCUAAAUCGUAAGGGUAUAGGUGUCUUUUUUUCCGAUAAUUUAUUUCACGGGUAUCCAAUAAGAAACAUGGUAAGAGAACGUCAAUUACUUAUCAUUUUCUAUUUUUUCUAUGAGUCAUUUAUUUUGAGCAUUAGUGAUCUUAUCUGGACUACUCCAACUAUUGAUGCAACUCCAGUGGCUGCAUCCACAGUUAAAUAUAUGAUAGUGUUAGCUCUUAUUUGAGAAUUUAGAGGGAUCUUUCUUUGUUUCUCUGUUGCAAUGUGCUAGUAUAAAUUUCUUUACCUUAAAAUUUAUAUAGUCUUGCAGUUAAAGAAUUCACUGAGGCAUUGUUGAUUCAAUUUCAGUGAAGCAAUUGUGGGUGAAAGAUAAAUGAAGGAAAAGAGAACAGAGCUGAAGUGCUAAAUUGGCUAUUGAAGAAGGAUGUCACAUGAUCACAAUCACAUUGAUGCACAACUCUCUGGAGGCAAAGUUUGUCUAUAUGUACUCUGAAUUCAGCCAAGCCAUACAUGCAUGAACAAAAAUUAAACCGUAGUUCUAAUCACAACAGUAAUUGAAGCUACAAAAGCCAGCAAAUCUGAACGAAGACUUAAAAGAAAGAUCUUAUUCAAGUUUGUCCCCAAAAGACAGCUGAAAUGAAAAAUAUUGACUGUUGAAUGGGCCAAUGCUGAAUUACAUUUCAAAUGGAAAGCUUGGCAGCAGUUACAAUGUUUCCCCCUCUGAUUUUCCUCCAAAACAAAUUCAGUUGUAAACAAUAACCGAAGUAGUAAUAAUUUAUUCAUCAAAGAAAAUGCCCCCAAGUUUUCAAUUAAAAAAUCCUCUUGUCCAAACUAAAAGAACUCAUAUCUCUAAAAUUUAUUUGCAAAAUGUUGGAAAUGAGGAGUGAUCCGUUAACUCUGUAAAUAAACUCAUGCAUAAUGUUAACAAUAAUGAUAAAUUACAUAAUAAUUAUUAUAGAGAAUCAUAAAUUGGAAACGCUAAUCAUUCUACUAUUAUAUAAGUAAGAUAAAUAUCAUAAUAAGUUAAGUUAUAAUGUAAUAAAUAUUUGCAAUAUAUAAUUAUUUAAGAAGUCAUUUAACAAUAAAAUAUUUUUUUAUCCAGUUGAUCAUAUAGCGUUAUCUAAACUCUUGACAAUAUUAUUAUUACUCACUUUUCUCAAAAAAACAUGAUUAACUUUUAGAGAAAGUCAUGUCUUUGAGAAAGAAUAUGUAUACAAGCUAUCCAUACUUUAUCUUACUGUGACAAAAUUGAUGGUGAUUAAUUGUAUUUUUUAAAAUAGAUUUAACGCACAAAUAAGAUGACUUUUGGCAAAAAUUAUUUUCGGAAGAUAUAGUGAUAGAAAAUAGUGAUGAUAAUUAUUGUUUAAAUGUGUAAAUAGCCUAAGCAUAGCCCGUAAUACCAAUAUUCAUUUGCACCUUGAAAGAAACUUAGUUCUAUAUUGUUUGGCAAGCAAGAAAGUAAAGGAAAAUGAAAGAGAACUCUAAAGAACCUUUUUUAUUAUACUCAGAUAUCUCAACUUAAUGAAUACUGAUUGACAUUUAUACUAAGCUACAAUCUUCACUACACACACGAGUUUGUAACAUCACAUAACCAUUUGCUGCAUAACUAACUUUACACAUCAGCUCAACCAGCUAACUAACUUUGACAGGUCAGCUCAGUGAGUUGAUCUGCUACAACCAGCUACACAGCAACAGCAUGCUCUGCUCCAGCUAUACAGCAACAUCAUGCUCUGUUCCAGCUUUAUCCGCUCUGCUUUGCUCUGCUCCAGCUUUGACAGGUCAGCUCAGUGAGUUGAUCUGCUACAACCAGCUACACAGCAACAACAUGCUCUGCUCCAGCUAUACAGCAACAUCAUGCUCUGCUCCAGCUUUAUCCAAUUCACUAACAUCCCCCCUCAAGCUAAAAUGUUUAGGAUGAACAUUCAGCUUGCUUCUGAAGUAACUGAAUUGUUUGAAAGUAAGAGCCUUAGUUAACACAUCUGCUGUUUGAUCUGGACUAGGCACAUAGCAUACUGCAACCUCUUUAGCAGUGACCUUAUCUCGGAUAAAAUGUAUAUCCAAUUCAACAUGCUUAGUCUUAGCAUGAUAAACUGGAUUAUAAGCUAAAGCAAUUGCUCCUUGAUUAUCACACCACAUUAUAGGAGUGGAGCUUAAUGUGAUACUAAGUUCACCAAGUAAGGAUUUAAUCCAGGUAACCUCUGAAGCAGCAUGGGCAAGAGAUCUAUACUCAGCUUCUGUGCUGGAUCUGGAAACAACAACUUGUUUCUUUGACGACCAGGAAACAAGAUUAGGACCUAGAUAAACAGCAAAGCCAGCCACUGACUUCCUAUCAUCAUGAUCACAAGCCCAAUCAGAAUCUGAAAAACAAUGUAAUUGCAGAGCUCCUUGAUUGUAGAAAUGCAGCCCCAGAUGGAUAGUGCCUUUUAAGUACCUCAAUAACCUUUUACAUGCUUCCCAAUGUUGAGUUCUAGGACUGGAAAGGAACUGACUUAACUUGUUUACAGAGAAGGCAAUGUCAGGUCUGGUAAGAGUAACAUAUUGAAGAGCUCCUAUAACACUUCGAUAUUGAGAAACAUUUUCAAGUGGCUCUCCUGAGUCUUUGGUGAGAUAAAAGCCUGUAGACAUUGGAGUUGGCACAGGACUGCAGUCUGUCAUGCCAUGUUUAUCCAGAAUAUUAGCAAUGUACUUUGCUUGUGUCAAGGAAACCCCUUGUGAAGAUUUGCUGACUUCAAUCCCCAGAAAAUAGUGAAGUUCCCCCAGGUCUUUUAAAGCAAAAGCUUGAUGCAUAUGCUGGAUAACUUGUUGAAUUAUGGAUGGACUGGAACCAGUGAUGAUAAUAUCAUCAACAUAGACCAAAACAACAGUUAGAUGACCACUGUUCCAGGCAUAAAAGAGAGAGUUAUCAGACCUGGAAUGCUGAAAAUGCCACUUGGAGAUCAUUGCAUCCUUAAACCUAUCAAACCAGGCUCUAGGAGCUUGUUUUAAGCCAUACAAAGCCUUAUUUAGCUUGCAGAUAUGAUUAGGUUUAGUUGAAUCAACAAAACCUUGAGGUUGAGCCAUGUACACAUCUUCAAUUAAAAUGCCAUUUAGAAAGGCAUUGUUAACAUCCACCUGCCUUACAACCCAGUGACUCAAUACUGCUAAGCUAAGAAUAACUCUAACAGUGGAGGACUUAACCACUGGACUGAAGGUUUCUGUGUAGUCAAUCCCAUGUGUCUGAUGAAACCCUUUAGCCACAAGCCUGGCUUUAUACCUUGAAACUGAACCAUCUGAGUUAUACUUUACUCGAAAUACCCACUUGUUGCCAACUAUCUUCACUGGAGUAGCAGGUAAGACUAAAUCCCAGGUGUGAUUGGUUUUAAGAGCUAGAUACUCUUCUUGCAUAGCUUUAUACCACAUAGGAUCAGAAAGUGCUUUGGAAACAGAGGUUGGUUCUGACUUCUGAGCUAGUAAAGCUGACAAGUAGAUCUUGGGCUUGAAGAUACCUGCUUUUGACCUGGUUAUCAUUGGAUGACCAGAUGAUGCAGGUUGUGACAAGGUAUGUGGAGGUGAAUGAUGGGAUGGUGAAGAAGGAGAAGAAGAAGUGGAAUUGAAAUUAUCAGAAAAGUAAACUGGAGUAGAAUUUGGGAAGGAAAUAGAAGCAUGUGACUGAGAAUCAUUAAGAAGAUAUUCUGAUGAUGCUGCUAAAGGUGCUUGUAACUGAGUAACAAAAGGAGUAGAAGAAUUAAAAGAAGACUCAGAAUGAGUUGAUGACUGACAGUUUGAAGAAACUGAAGAAAAAUCUGUUCCUGACUCAUAAGGAAAAGAACGUUCAUAAAAGGUUACAUGAUUUGAAAUAUAGACCCUCCCAGAAGAGUGAAGACACUGAUAUCCCUUGUGUUGUGAACUGUAGCCAAUGAAUAUACAUCUAGCUGUUCUGAAAUCAAACUUAUGUCUAUUGUAUGGUCUGAGUGUUGGAUAACAAGCACAGCCGAAAAUUUUAAGUGUUGAAUAAUCUGGUUGGGAAUGAAACAACUUUUGAAAAGGAGAAAUGCUGUUUAGAACUGGAGUUGGAAGUCUGUUUAUCAAGUAGACAGCUGUAUGGAAUGCAUUCCACCAAAAUUUGAGUGGUAAAUGUGCUUGAGCUAAUAAAGUCAGUCCUACAUCAACUAUGUGUCUAUGUUUCCUCUCAAUUUUUCCAUUUUGAUGAUGAAUGUGGGGGCAAGGAUGUCGAAAAUGGAUGCCAGAAGUGGUGAGUAAUGAUGAAAAUGUUCUGAACUCCCCUCCCCAGUCAGUUUGGACAGUUUUGAUGGAAAGUUGAAGAUGCUUCUCAAUGAAUAUUUUGAAAUUGGUAAAAACUUCAAGAGCAUCAGAUUUUGCUGAUAAGGGAAAAAUCCAGGUAAACCUACUGUAAUCAUCUAGGAUUGACAAGUAGUAAUUAUAUCCUUGGGUAGAACAAACAUGAGAAGGGCCCCAAAGAUCUGCAUAUAUCAGUUGUAAAGGUGCUGAAGUUUUUGUUUCUACUGAAUCAAAAUGCAGCAUGUGAUUUUUACCAUAUUGGCAUGCUGAACAAAAUUUCAAACUGUCAACUUUAUUAAAAGCAGUAGAGUUGUUACAAGCUUUGAGAAUGGUUUUGAGAGUAUAAGAUGCUGGGUGUCAUAAUCUUCUAUGAAGAAGAUUUACAUCAAUAGAACCCUUUACAACAACUGACAGACAUGACUUUUUAUUCAACUCAUAAGAGCUAACAGUAGAGAGCUGAGCAGAAUUAAAAACAGGAGAACAAGCAAAAAGAGACUGAAUUUUGUUUUGACCAACUGAACUGAGAAAGACUGAAUGAACAGCAGCAUGAGAAGAGACUUUAUACAAGCUGUUGUGCAAAUUUUAAUGUACUCGCAAGCGCACGAAUCUAUUAUAGUAUAGAUCAAUGGUGACGAGUGUCGAUCCCACGAGGAGGUAGAUUUUAAUUGUGUAUAGAAUUAAUUUUGCAAAUGGUUGAUUGGAUUUGUAGUGGAAAUGAUUAGGAAUAUGCUAAAACUUAAAUUAAAAUGGCGAGAAUAAAUUCUAAAAUUGGAAUUGCAAUGGCGAGAAUAAAUUGAAGAGAAAUGUAUUGAAAUGACGUACUUGGGUAUCUGGAUCCGUAUCAACAUGCAUCAUGGGCUAAAUAAUCCGUAUUAAUGCCAAUUAAAUCAUGAGGGGGGAAUCCACACCUCAUGAACCACGCUCUAAUCAAUAUGGUGCUAAGGGCUUAUCGUGCCAAAUAAUAAUAACCUUAUACUAGAGAGCCGGUGUAACCAAGGCGGUAUCUAGACAAGAUCAGUAUUAUUUGUCGACGAUAAGUCAAAUCAUCCACAAAAACUAGAGGGGAAAAGAAAAUAAAUUUACCAAAUAAAGCCCAUGACACAUGUUGAGACUUCACCUUCAACCCAAGCUUGAAAGGAAAUUAGCUACUCAUAAUUGAACUAGGGGCAAAAUGGGAAUUUAUUAAAAUACAAAGAAAAUACAAGAUGGAGAGGGAAUUACAGAAAAUGGAUCCCAAAAAUGGAUUCAGAGAUAUCAAAUUAGGGGGGGAGGCCCAUUUUUUAUAGAUACAUGGAGUAAAUCAUGGCCAUCGGAUUAAAAACAGUUUGGACGCUCAGGAUUGCGCCACGUCAUCAGUCAACAGUCAACGGUUUGACCACGCGGAUGAACAGUAACAUGGUUUGGUUGAAAAUAAUCCUGUGUGAUGCAUACACCGUACGCGAGAUUUUUCGUCCACUGAUAUGCUGCCACGUCACCAUCAACAGUACAUAAGAAUUUUAGUCCAACAGGAUCGUGACACCUCAUCAGUCAAUGCCACAUCAUCGGUCAAUGCCACGUCAUCGAUCCGUCUAUGUGAACAGUGUCGUGAACAGUAACGUAGACAGUACCGUAUACGUGAAUAGUACCGUACAUGUGAAUAGUGCCAUUUUUCCUUUUAUGCUCCUCCUAAGGUUUUCGACCGUCCUGAGUUCAAAAGUGAUGUCCGUUUUGCCGUCUGAUCUCUCCUUUAUUGUGAAAUGACUAUAAUGCCCCUAAAAUACAUAAAAUACUUAAUUAAAAUAACACACACGUAAUUACAUCACAAGAGGGUUAAAUACAUAAAAGUAAGGGUUGUUAGUAAGACUUGAAACGUAAAAUGACGGUUUUCUCCUUUAUAAAUAUGCAUUUUCUAACACUCAACACAAGCCACCUUUAGCAACACCUUCAAGUAAAAUUUUCCCUGUGUUCCUGGCCUUUAUAAAACACAAAUUACCAAGAAAUUCAACAGUAACUGGAUUGUCAGCCAACAAUUUUGAGAUGCUAAGCAAAUUCUUAGUAAUAAAAGGGACAUGAAGAACAUGGUUAAGAAAUAAGGAUUGAGAAGCUGAAGUAUUUAGCACAACUGACCCUACAUGUGUAAUAGCUAAUGCAUUUCCAUCUCCAACAAAUAACCUUUCAGUACCAGUGUAAACUUUUGAAUCCAGAAGCUUACCUAGAUCAUUGGUAAUAUGAUUUGUUGCUCCACUAUCAAUAUACCAGGAAGGAUCUUCAAUGUGUUCAGGUGGGAGUGAAGAAGACAUAGCAGAGGAGGAGGAAGCACUUGACUGUUCCAGAUUAUUAUGUCCUAGACAGAAACAAAAUUAGAUGAUCCAGGGUUGAAUGAGAAAUAAGCAGAUGGGUUGCUUUCUGGAUAUACUAUAUUUCCUUGAUAGCCAAAACCCCUGGGGGCAUUACCAAAACCAACAUUUUGUCCAAAACCAGCAUUUGAACCAAAACCUCCAAAACCUCUUCCACUAUUACCAUUAAAGGCUCUUCCUCGACCAUAUUGCCCUUGAUUAAAACCUCUGCCACCAUUCAUAUUACCUCUACCAUGGUUCCUCUGUGGAACAAAAGAUGAGUUGUACCUAUUUCUGCAUUUAUAGGCUGCAUGACCAGGUAUGAAGCAAAUUUGGCAAACAACUUCAGAGAAAUUACUAUUAUUAUUAAACUGACCAUAUCCAUAUCCAGAAUUAUUACCACCUCCAGAGUUAUUUCCAUACUGUUUCUGAAAAUUUCCAUUAUUCUUUCCAGCAUAUGAGUUCUUCUGAACAAUAUUUGCUGUCAUGUUAUGCAUCACAUCACCAGCAAUUUUUCCUUUCUUUUGCUCAACUCUAUUUUCAUGAUUCAACAGCAAAGAAUAUAGUUCAUCUAAUGUUAUCUUUUCACCUCGAGCUAACACAGCAGUGACUAAAGAUUCAUAAUCUGAUGAAUCAAGACCAGUUAAUACAUGCAUCACAAGAUCAUUUAACUCAACAGGUUUUCCAGCUAGAGCUAAAGUAUCAGCUAUACGUUUUACUUUUACAAAGUAAUCAGACAUAUGCAUUGCACCUUUCUUAAUAGUUUGAAUCUGCAUUCUAAGUGUUUGAAUUCUAGCUUGUGAUUGAGAGAUAAACAUACUAGCAAGAGUCUCCCAAAGCUGUUUUGAGGUUGUUGAGUCAAUCACAGUAGCAAGCAGAUUUUGUUGUAUCAAUGACAUCAUCCAACUCAGCAGAAGUUGAUCAGCCUUCAUCCAAGCUACGAACUCUGGAUUAACAGAUCUGGAUCCAGAUUCAGUAACAGAUCUGGAUCCAGAUUCAAUUAAGAUUUCAGCUCCAUUGUUGUUGCCAGAAGAAAGAAACUGCUCAGGACAUUCUCGAUCACCAUUGAUAAAACCUUCCAAACCAUUUCCUUUGAUCGAAGCUAGAAUUUGUGUGCGCCACAAAAUAUAGUUGUUUUGAUCUAGCUUUACAGGCGUAACAAAACUAAAAGAGUUGUUGUUUUGAACUGUAUUUGCCAUUUAUGGCUCUGAUACCAUGAAAGAAACUUAGUUCUAUAUUGUUUGGCAAGCAAGAAAGUAAAGGAAAAUGAAAGAGAACUCUAAAGAACCUUUUUUAUUAUACUCAGAUAUCUCAACUUAAUGAAUAUUGAUUGACAUUUAUACUAAGCUACAAUCUUCACUACACACACGAGUUUGUUACAUCACAUAACCAUUUGCUGCAUAACUAACUUUACACAUCAGCUCAACCAGCUAACUAACUUUGAUAGGUCAGCUCAGUGAGUUGAUCUGCUACAACCAGCUACACAGCAACAGCAUGCUCUGCUCCAGCUAUACAGCAACAUCAUGCUCUGCUCCAGCUUUAUCCGCUCUGCUCUGCUCUGCUCCAGCUUUGACAGGUCAGCUCAGUGAGUUGAUCUGCUACAACCAGCUACACAGCAACAGCAUGCUCUGCUCCAGCUAUACAGCAACAUCAUGCUCUGCUCCGGCUUUAUCCAAUUCACUAACACACCUUCAUUUGUGUUAUCACAUUUCAUGAUAUUCUUUCAUUUAUGACCAUUGUUCAAGAUUUUAAUUUGAUUAUAAACUAAGUUGCAAGGGAGCUUACUUCAGUUUCUAAGCUUUUCAAUCGUGAUUCCUGCAUGCCAAACGUAACUGACCUUAUAAUUGGUCUGUAUAAGAAAUCAAGCCCUUUCAGGAUCGUUUUCUUUUUCUCCCUAUUGUAGUAGUCAACUAAAUAAAGAAUGAACAACUAAACUUGGUCUAUUUCGAGGAAGACUAAGGCUUCCAAUACUAGAUGAACUUUGAAGAAAAUUAAUCCGUUGUUUUUAUUCAUCUUUGGACUAUGAAUUUAUACAAAGACUUUAACAGAAAAUAACAAAGACACAGCUAAAUGAUAGCAAUAAGUGCUGACUUGGUGGACCACUUCUGCAAGUAAAUAAAAACUAAAUAUUUAUUUUGACUAUAACAACAACUACGCUGAUGAAUAGGAUUUCACAGCAGCCACGUGACAACUAAUUUCUCCUUAAUAUUAUUAUUAGUAGAAGUAGAUUUUAAAACUAGUCUUGAUAUAUUUCAAAGUUGUAUUAUCAAUGUAUAUGUGUCUAGAUUGUAACUAUAUUUUAAAAAAUAUAAAAUUUUUAAUUAUUGCACAGUAUAUGUAGCAAAAUAUCUAUAGAAUGAUAUUAUUAGGACUAAGAUUUUUUUUUAUUUUAGAUAAGUUAUUUAUUUAUUAUCGAAUGAAUAAUUUAUUAAUUUACUGAUAAAUGAAUAUUUAUUAAUUUAAAGAGAGAUUUUUUUGGUUUUAACAAGAGUUUGUUUGGUAAAUGUACACACUUAUAAAGAAACAUAAAAAGUGGUUCCUCAAGUCAAUAGUAUUUGCUUCAAUCGCAAUGGUUCAUAAUAAUAUAGCAUAGUUAGGAAAUUUGUAAUUAUAUUAUGGCUCUGUUUGGUAGUAAAACUCAUUUAAGUAGAGUUGUUGUUAAUAGAGCUUUUAUAAAUAAAGCUUUUACUAAAAAAAAUUUAGUUGUUUGCUUGUCAAUGUCCAAAUUGAUAAACUUUUGUUCUUUUGUUAAGAUAUGUUUGUUUUACUUAAUAAUAGCAUCGGCAAGAGUUUUCGAUUGUUGCAACUUGCAAUGCACGCGGUGAGAGAAAAUGAGAAUCUUGUUUAAUUGUCAAUAUAUAAUGACAAACCUAAUCCUUUCAUUAGGAGUAAUUUAAUAAUCGUUUGUUAUAACUGAAUAUGUAUAAAGAAAGGAAAAUUCUAUUCAUAAAUUUCGACUUAUUUUUUGUUUAAAGUAAUUAAUCAUUCAACCAUCUUCAUUUGCCUCUGGCCAAUGCCCUUGUAGAUUAGUUUACUUAAUUAUGAUUAUAUACAUUUUCAUAUAGCAAGUGGCAUUGUAGAUCUAAACUAAGUUGCUAUUUCAAUACCAGCAAAUUCAAAAUAGAAAAGGAGUGCAACUAUUCAACUUUGUAGACAAUAUUGCAACCAUGGCAUAUUUAUAGCAAAUCAUUGAAAUCUGCUAAAGAAAACAAUGCCCUGUCUCAUGAAUCGAUGCUCAAUUAAAAUUUAAAUUGAAAGUCCGGCUGGUGUUGUUUUCCUCUCCAGCGAAAUAAGAAUCAUAAGUGAAAAUAGGCUUUGACAGGUCUUAUUUCUUUGUUUCUCUGCUGCAAUGUGUGGUUAUCCCACUCUGUUUUGCCACUCAAGCUGAGUCUACGUUGAGACAUUAUUUCAGUAUUGAGGUAACAAUAAUUUCGGACUCCGUAAGAAGGUUUUGAAAAAGUGGAGUCACAUUUGUUGAAUCAGGCAACGUCAACGUGCCUUCUUCACCUGCUAACACCCUUUUCAACCUCUCACAAAAUAGUCGGAGGUGGACGUCCAGCAUAUCUCAUUCACAUUUGUUGAAUUUGCAUGGAAUUUGCAAGGAGUAUGCCAAAGAAUUUGCAAGGAAUAUGCCAAGAAUUUGCAAGGAAUAUGCCAAGAAACUGGCCAACCCGCUUAGCUUAAUUCCACAAAUAUGACGUUAUUGCUCAUUUUUCUCUCAAGCACAUAAUACACGUUCUUCGAGACGCGUGCCUUCUGAAAAGGACAGGUAUCCAACCUCAUCUUAAUUACUACCAUGACAUAAUUGAUGGUUGCUUAAAUCAAUUUUUUCUUCUUUUUUUUUUUUAAUUUAAAGAAUUUUCCCUUAAAAAAAAUUUAAUAUCAAAAUGCCUUCAAUGUUAUUACUGCCGAAAGCCAAACUUCCUUUGGGUAAUUAAUUUAGAAGUGAAGCAGAGAAUAAAGUCCUAGAUGCCUUUUGAAAUUAGAAAUACAUUUUAUAUGCUUUAAUUAAUCAAUUCACUGAGGCAUUAUUGAUCCAAUCCCAGUGAAGUAAUUGUGGGUGAAAAAAAAAUAAAGUGCUGAAUUGGCUACUAAGAAAGAGUGUCACUUGAUCACAAUCACAUUGAUCCACAACUCACUCGAGGCAAAUUUCAUCUAUGUGUACUGCAAAUUUAGCCAAACCAUACAUGCAUGAACAAAAUUAGGCCGUAGUCCUCAUCACAACAUUAAUUGAAGCCACAAAAGCCAGCAAAUCCAAACAAAAACUUAAAAGAAAAUGCUUGGUAUAGAGAAGCACGAGAGAAAGACGAGAAAAACAAUGAAGAAAGUGGUAGAGAGAGAGUGAGUGGGUAGAGAGAGAGCAAAAUUCUCUCGUCUUUCUCUCGUGCUUCUCUCUCUCUAUCACUACUCAAACUUAAAAGGAAGAUCUUAUUCAAGUUUGUCCCCAAAAGACAGCUGAAAUGAAAAAUAUUGACUAUUGAGUGGGUCGAUGCUGAAUUACAUUUGACAUGGAAAGCUUGGCUGCAGUUGCGAUGUUCCCCCUUCUGAUUUUCCUCCAAAACAAAUUCAUUUGUAAACAAUAACGGAAGUAGCAACAAUUUAUUCAUUAUAGAAAAUACCUAAAUUUUCAACUAUCAAAUCCUCUUGUCUAAACUAAAAAACUCAUAUCUCUAAAAUCUAUAUACAAAAUGUCAAAAACGGGUGAUCUCUCAAUUCGAUAAAUAAAUUCAUGCAUAAUGUUACUAGUAAUGAUAAAUUACAUAAUAAUUAUUAUAAAGAAUCAUAAAUUGGAAACAUUAAUCAUUUUACAAUAUAUUACAUAAUAAAGAUAAAUUUUAUAACAAGUUAAGUUAGAACAUAUCAAAUAUUUUCAAUAUAUAUAAUUAUUUAAGAAGUCUUUUAACAAUAAUUUUUUUCUUUUUCAGUUAAUCAUGUCAUAUACCGUUAUCUAAAAUGCUGGCGAUAUUAUUAUUCCUCACUUUUCUCAAACAAAAAAGAAAAGAAAAAAGAAACAUGAUUAACGUUUAGAGAAAAGUCACGCCUUUUAAAAACAAUAUGUAUACAAUAGCAAUCCAUACUUUAUAAAAUUGAUGGUGAUUACAAAGAAAAAUUGUUUAAAAUAGAUUUAAUGCACAAAUAUGAUGACUUUUGGCAAAAAUUAGUUUCGGAAAUGUUGGGAUGAAAACCAUAUUAAUUGAGAAUUAAAAUUACUUAAUAAAAUUACUUAACUACCAUCUAAUAGAUGAAAACCAUAUCAAUUGGGACUUAAAUUAAGAUUUAAAUGUUGAAAUAUCUAGCAUUACUCACAAUAACCAAUUCAAAUUAUGACUAUCAUGUAGAAGCAAAUGUUUAUGCUUGGGUUUUUUACUUCUUGAAUUUGAUUGGAAAAAUUUCUGAGAUAGAGAAGUGUUUUGGAUAAUUUUUUCGGGAUUGAAACCACAAAUUGGUAGAGGAAAUUAAUUUUGGACAAAUUUUUCUUAUAUUGUAGGACCUUCUAGUUGGAGUAGUGAUGGCUUUGUCUUCAUUUUUGGUUCCUUUUGUGUCAGCAACCCCUUACUAUUCUCUUGACCCUGAGUUUGAGAUAGAAAUUUAUCAACCUCCAACCCCACAUCCACAAACAAGUUGAUUGAAACAAUUACUCUUUUAAUUAAGAGGACCCAAAUGAUUUAGGUUUCAGUUCUUAUCAUUUGUCUAUUAUUUCUUUGAAACAUUUAUUUUGAGCGUUACUGAUCUUAAUUAUCUGUAUUUCUCCAAUUAUUGAAGAAUUUCAAGUGGCCACUUUUUCUCCUUUUUAUAUAUGUUUAUUUUUUGGAGUGAUCAAACGGGUGAAAAAUCAAGUAUUCGCUGGUCUGUAGUUUAGCCAACGAUGGCUGAUCCACACAGUUGAUUAUAUGAUACUAUUAGCUCUCAAAAUCUUUCUUAUUUGAGAACAUAAAUUGCCCAUUGAAGUUAAACUAUGUUACCCAGCUCCAUGCACAUACAUUAAAUGUUUAGGUAGUUUUACAAAAUGAUAACAGCAUGCCAAAACUUGAUGUUGUCAUAUUCGACAUUUCAAAUUGAAAAAUAUGCAAGCAAUCUUCAGUGACCAUUACGUUUUUAUUGAAUAAUUUAAAUGGCCAGUAAAUCAACAGUCCGUGAGUUUUAAAUCUGUUAUGACUUAAUGUAUCUUUCUGUAUUCGUACACAGGUUAUAUUAUCAUAGUUUAAAAUUUUAAUAUUAUUUUAAAUGUUAUAAAUACUUUAAUGCUAUUAGUCUACUACACAGGUUAUAUUAUUUAUAUUAUAUUUGUAUUAAUUAAAACUUUUAAUGUCAACUUUCUAAUUACUAUAUUGAAAAGGUAUUAUGGUUAAGAAAAAGUUUUGGCAUUUCUUCUAAAAAAUUUGAGGGUAUGCAUGACAACACUACAAGAAAAAUGACCUACCAUGACAGUCCUCUGUGUGACAGUUUUUGGUCUGCAGAGCUACUACGAUAGAUGGAUGAUAAAUUUUUUUUCUAUCAUUCAUUUAUGACAUACUUGUGAUAGAAAUUUCAUCUAUCAAGCACUUAUGAUAGACUGAUGAUAAAUUAUUUGGUUAUCAAGAAGUAAUGACAAGUUUGUGAUAUAAUUUAGAUCAUCAAGUAGCUUUUUUAUUUUGACUUUAUUUCACAAGGUUGACUGAAAAUUUUAAAAUGAAUGAAAAAAAUAAAUAAAGAAUAAACGGUACCGUUUGGAUUAAAAGUUUCUCUUUGGACAAGAAACGACACCGUUUAGAUUGAAGCUAAAUAAAAACAAAACCCUCUUCAGUUUUCACUAAUCGAAUUUUUUUUCCCUAAGUGUCGGCACUCUCACUCACUCUCGUCUCUCGCUCAGUCAUUCUCGUCAAUCUCACACUCACAAAGCCCUUUUCACCCGAAAUCCUUGCAUGGGCACUGAACCACUGCCGCCAUUCUCUUGUAUUUGACUAUCAAUUUUGGCUCUCACCGAGAACUAUAUGGAAUACCCACCAAACGCAUGUGCUUCUACUAUUGAAUUUCAAUACCCUAACUGAGAGCCCACGCUCACCCACUAUUGUAACCGUUCGAUCAAUACAGGUAAAUAAUAUUUCUAGUGUUGUGUUCCAUUUCAAUUUUAAUGUUCUUGUCAAACUCGAACCCUAUAUAUGUAAACUUAAAAACCCUAGAUGUGUUCUUGUCAAAUUCGAACCCUACACACCUAAAUCUUGUAAAACCUAGAUGUUUUCUUGUCAAAUUUGAACCCUGUACGUGUAAAACUUGAAAAUCCUAGGUGUGCUCUUGUUAAAUUUGGAUCUAUUUGAUUGGUCUUCUAUGUUUCUUUAUUUAUGGAAUUUUAAACAUUUAUUUGAUUUUUUUGGAAUUUAAUUAUUAUAGUUUUAUUGUUAAAUUAAUUUGAUUUAGGCUGUAAAGAUCCUUGCCAAUUUAAUCGUGAUGGGUGUUGGGAUAUUGUCUAGGCUGCUUUAUCUUUGGGGUUUUCUAAUAACUAAUUUUUUUUUUUCACUUUUUUGUGGAUGCAUGGAACUAUAUAUAUAGAUAAUUCUCAAAUUCGUUCACUGUGAUGCAAAGUCUUUUUUUUUUCAAUUUCAUUGGUUAAAUUCACUAAUUCGUUGAAAUUAGUGGUGAUUGUGGGCCGAGUCGCAUGUGCAGGAAGUGGUGUCAGGUCUGGGCGCACAUUGAGUCAUGCACUUGGUGGGCAAUUGGUAUUGUUUCUAUUGUGUGUGUUGGAAAUAAUGUCAAUAUCAUCCAACCAAUGUGUGUUUCUAGUGGCUGUUUUUGCACCGAGCAGAUAAUUUAUUAUUACAUCAGAGUUCCCCAUCCCUUGUUUCUCUUUUGGGUAAUGCAGGUAUUGACUAGUUCAUUUCCAUUUUCAUUUGUCUUGAGGGAAUGUUAUCAAUUUUUCGAUCUUACAAGAUAUUGAUUGAUACAUAUGUGUACAAUACAUUAAAAAUCAUUAAACAUUUUGCUCUUAGUUACAAUUUUGAAUGAAUGUCACAUGGAAAGAUCCUCUAAGAAUAUCAAUAGUAUUGUGGUUUCUACUCAAUUUCCACUCUCCGCACUCAUAUGAGCAUGGUUUGAAUCUCAAGCCUUUUGUACCAUUCAAAAAUUUAUACCAAUUAACAACAUAGCUUGCUAGCACCACAAAUUGUUUCAACUCCAAGGCAGAGAAUUCCUAGAAGAUAUAUACAUAUUGAUAUAUACUUGCAUGUAGCCGUAUGCUCACUACCUUCGAAUUGGGGAUAUAGUCACUAUUUUUGUAUUCCCUCCAAGUGUUUGAUAAAAAGCAUGAAUGAAUCUUGGCUCUUUAAUUGUUGCAGGCCAUUUCUACCUAUGAGGAGCAAAGGAAUAUGAAGCUUAUUAUAUUCAUUCACAAAGCAAAGCUGAUAUAAUUCAUGGCAAAGCUUGAUGAGGUGUUGUAUUUAAUCUUGCUCAUGAGAUCAAUUACCUAUCUUGUUGGACUUUAUUCUUGUAAUUAAGGUCCAUCCAAAGUUGAUGGCUUGUUUGUCAGAAAGAUAAUCUGAAGGCUAUGAUUGAUUACUUGCGGGCCGAUGGAAAUGUCUCCAUGAUUGGUUUAUGAGGUUGUUAAAUUACUAAAUAGGUAUAUUUACUUUUCAUGAGCUUUAUCUUCGUUUUUCCAUUAUGGAAAUGUCUCUAUGAUUGUAACUUUUAACACGUGGAACUCUUGAACCCUAUGUUUAGUUAUAUACUUAUAUUGGGACUUGUAUAAAUUAAUAUGAUGGUUUUAUUAUUAUUAUUAUUAGUAGUAGUAGUAGUAGUAGUAGCAGCUACAAAAGAUCAAAAGAACUUAAAGGUGUGGCUUGUGGCUUUCUUGCUGUUUGGGCUUUAACUGCUGCCUCACUUGUCAUUGUUGCUAAUCUGGUGUGCCACGUCCAUUUCAGUGUAAUUACAUAAGUUAGUUUGCUUGAUUAAUUAAUUAAUUAGUUAGCGGAUUGAAUAGCCAGAGUACUACAUUUUGCAUAGGUCUGAUGCUGGAUGAAUUUUCAUGUCUUGGCUUUGGGGCUGCUGGAUUUUGCUGCUGGAAGACUAGAUUUUGCAAUUUUGUUGCUGGAAGACUACAUUUUGUGUAGGUUUGUUGCUGGAUGUUGCUGAAUGCGGAGUACUUUGCUUGGUUUUGGAUUGGCCUUUGUUGUCUAUUGGCUCGACUUUGGAAUAUGGAUUAACUAAUGUAAUGUACUUUGGAUAUUUUUAUGGUUAAUAAAGUUCACUAAUUUAGUUCAUUAGUUUUGGAUUUAAUUGCAUUUAGUAAUUUAUUUUCUUUCAUAUAAUUUUAAUAAUUUUAAUAAUUUUAAUUUUUAAAUUUCAUAAUUUUUAUUUUAAAUUAAUAAAUAAAAUAAAUAAUCAAUUUUUUCAAAAAAAAUGUGAUAGAAAAUACUAGUCAUACACACAAUUGAUAUCCCAAAAAAAAAUACAAUCCAAAAAUUUCUAAAAAAAUGAAAAUAUAAAAUAAAAAAAUAAUUUCCCUCUUCUAAGUAGUAUGACAUAAUUAUGAUAGGUAAAAUCUAUCACAACUUGUGACGCGAUUUUAUCUGUCAUCUUUUCUUGACGCUGACUAUAAUGACAGUAAGGAUAACCGUCAUCUACCCCCUAAGAUGACAGUUUUUACCUAUCAUAAUAGGUCAUUUUUCUUGUAGUGCAAUUUUUCCAAUUCUAAGGGUAUAGGUUUGAAAAUUUAACGUUAUUUAACUUAAUGAAACAAAAGGGGAAACCAAGAACUAUUCAAUUUUGUAUUUUUUGUUUGUAAUUCAAAAAAUACAUCCACCAAACAAGUUUUACACAUUAAUGCUGUCAUAAAACGAAAAACAGUUUGCCAAAAAAUGGUACCGUCACAUGAUUUCUUAGUAAGUCCAUAUUAGAUAUAUUUAUACAUUUUAGGUAUUUUAGUUAUAAAAGAAGUUGGUCCUCCCCCUAUUUAUAAAAGAUAACUUUGUUUCGAUAUUACCACUAAACUCUUACAUAGAAUUAGUGUAAUGUUAAGAGAGAGUAAUGCGGUUUUCCAUUACCAUCUUUGAAAAUAGAAAGAUAUGGAUGCGUGCAUUUAAGAGUCAUCGUGAAAAUCAUACAAUUCAAUUUCCUGACAUAUAUAUUUAUGCACGUAUGCCAAAAGAAUAAAUAGACAGAAAGUAAAUUUAUAGUCCUCACUUCCUCACAAUUGUUAACGUGGAGAUGCAUUACAACUGUGAACUGUCACUACUUUAGCCUUUUUUUUUUUUAAUUAUAGUGUGAUGGAGACAUUAAGGAUGAGCAUAAUAGUUAAAGAUGACUCAUUUCUCAUUUUCUUUUUAAAGUGCUCUGCUGAAAGCCAAACUUCCUUUGGCUAAUUAAUUUAGAAGUAAAGCAGAGAAUAAAGUCCUAGAUGCCUUCUGAAAUUAGAAAUACAUUUUAUAUGCUUUAAUUAUGAUUAUUUGGUAGACUAAAGACCUAAAAGAUAUGUCAAAAGUAUAAAACAGAGCGAUUAAAGAAAAAAGAAAAAAAAAACAGAGUAUUUGUGACGUAGAAUAACAAUUGGUAAAUAAAUCCUAAAUAUUUGAGUUGUUAAAAGCAAAUAUAACAGAGACGGUAAGAGAGAUGCUGAAACAGAAAACUAUUAGCUUAUCUUGAUUUUCCCACUAUAUUCAUUUUCGAUGCUUUUCAAACGAGAUUCUUUUAAUUCUUCUGGUGUCUCUUAUAGAUCUCCAUCCCACAUCUGCACUACGAACAAGUUGAUUAAAAUUAAAUACUGUUGGAGAUGUGGGGUGAGCGGUCAACUUGGUAAAAAAACUAUGUAUAAUAUUGUUAAUAAUAUAAAAUAUAAAAUAAUAAUUACAAAGAAUCAUAAAUUAGAAAAAUUAUUUAUUUUACAAUCUAUUUCUUAAGUAAGAUAAAUCUCGUAAUAAGUUAAGUUAUAAUGUAAAAAAUAUUUUCAAUUUAUAAUCAUUUAAGGAGUCAUUUAACAAUAAAAUCUUUCUUUUUUUGAUCAAUUGGUCAUGCUACAGAGCAUCAUCUAUUCGUGGUGAUAUUAUUAUUACUCCGUAUUCUCAAAAAACACGAUUUAACAUUUAGAGAAAGUUCCUACCUUUUAAAAAGAACAUGUAUGCAACAACUACCCAUACUUUAUCUUACCACGACAAAACUAAUAGUGACUAAAUCAAUUUUCUCGAAUAAAGAAAAAUUUCUUAAAAUUAAUUUAAUAUACAAAUAUGAUGACUUUUUGCAAAAAUUAGUUUUGGAAAAUUAGUGACAGAAAAUAGUAACGAUUAUUGUUUAGAUGUGUAAAUAGCCUAAACAUGAUCCCUAAUACCAAUAUCCACGUGCAUCUUAACACCUUUCGUCAUAUUCUUUCAUUCAUGGUCACUGGUUCAAGAUUUGAAUUUGAUCAUUAAAUCAUGUUCAAUAAUAUUAGAGAUCCCAACAAUUGAGUACCAACUUAAAUCCCAAUGCUAUGUGUCAUUAACAAAUGUUGUGUCAUUUAUAAUUAUUGAAUGAAUAAUUCGUUAAUUUAUUGAUAAAUGAAAAUUUAUUAAUUUAAAGAGAGAUAUUUUUUUUUUGGGUUUUAAGAAGAGUUUUGUUGGUACAUGUACAUACUUAUAAAGAAAUAAACUUGUAAUUAUACUAUAUCUUUCUUUCUUUAUUCAGUUUGGUGGGAUAUUGUGAUAAAUCAUUGGAUUAAAAUGCAUUUCUAAAUUAAAACUUGUUAAAAUCUAAUUUAUUUGGGAAGCGCAUAUUAUUUGUCAGUCGUACUUCUCAAGUCUCAACUUAGCAAGUUAUUUCUAACUUGUCAGUCUCUAUUUGUUCUCUAAAAGCUAAUAGUCUCGAAUCUCCCGCAUUUGAUAUCUUGCCAUUAUUGUUGGCAUUAACAUGUUACCUGAGAUUGGGAUUCAUUAAAAUCCUCAAUGUAAUCGGUGGAACGAAUGGAUUUCUUCUGUUCACCAAUCCACCAAAAUUUCUGUAAUUAAAUUCAAGAGUCAAGAUCUAUGCUUAUAAUCUAUUCUAACAGCUAAUAUUCUAUUUUAUAUUUACUUAAAUAUGAAGAGCUAUGCUUGUCAUUAACUUCAAAUGUGAUCGAAGCAGCCAUACAUCUGUAUAUUACUUAUUCCCAACCUUUUUUUUUGACUUCAUAUACUUUCUUUUCAUGUUAUUUACUCUUUUUUUCCCCUCUCUGACAAUUGAGGUAGGGGGUCAAACUUGAAAGUAUCUUAAAAUCAGACAAUUUUUUUUUUUUUUAAGAUAGCUGCUAAUAUGCUCUAUUAGACAAUGAUAAGUAAUAACCUAGUUGUUUGCAUUAGAAAUGAUAUUUUUUGUGGUGCUGAUAAAGAGGUUGAUUAUGAUUCAACAAUUUAAAAUAUGAAAACAUGUGGAAGACGGCCGCAAUUAAAUUGAUUGUAUGAAAAUAUUUCAAUGAAAUUUUAAAAAUUUAGUACUUGUUAUCUUAUCGAGAGUUUUUUUAAAUUAUAUUACUACUUGAACUUGGGUACUUGUUAUCUUAUCGAGAGUUUUUUUAAAUUAUAUUACUACUUGAACUUGGCUGCUUUUGUAUUGAAUUCCUAGCGUUGCCAUUGCUUCUACUCAAAAGCCAUUUAAGUUUGUGUAAGCUACCUAUAGUUUGAACAACAAUUUACUCAUGAAUUGUUGUUCAUAAUAGCAAUUUGAUUGAAAGUGCGGCUGCACUAAUUUUCUAGAUGAAUUUUUUCCUACAUGCUUGUUCUCGUAUGACCCAAAAUCCUGCUACAUCAGUUGUAUUAGAAAUUAAUACUGGGUUACAAUUAUGCAUCCCCACCAAUAUUUAAGCAAUUUAAUUACAGGAACAUUUCUUGAGGAAAGAAACUCAUAUCGCCCCUAGGCUUUUAAUGAGGCUCAUUUUUAUGAAUCUGGAUGGCAUUAGAUAUCUCUCCGAAUAUUGGUGGGAGUAUAUCGCAGAUCUCUGGGCUAUACUACAAAGUGUAUGUACGUUGACUCUCAAUAAAUACAAACGAUUCUCUGAUAUGAUUCAAAACAUCAGUGCACGCAUCAUUUUAACGAGAGAGAAUAUUCUAAGAACGAAAUUGAAGGUGCAAUCAACAACUAAAAUGAAGCCAGAAAUGUACACGCAUGAGGAAGUUUUCCUAGAAGAUUGAUAUUUCUUUAACUAGCAAACAAUACAAGUCCAAAGCUAACCAAACCAUACCUGCAAGUCCGGGGCUUAAAUGGAGUACUUGUAAGCAUAAAACAUUAAUCAAAACACAGUAUAGACACACACACACACCCCUACAUACAUACCAGCAAAUUCGAAAUAGAAAAAGGAGUGCAACUAUUCAAGUUUGUUGACAAUAUUGCAACCAUGGCAUAUUAAAGCAAAUCCUUAAAAUCAGCUAAACGAAACAAUUCCCUGUCUCAUGAAUCGAUGCUCAAUUAAAAUUGAAAUUGAAAGUCCGGCUGGUGUUGUUUCCCUCUCCAGGUUUGCCUACAUAAGUAAAGGGAAAUGAGAAUCAUAAAUGAAAAUCUGCUUCGAUCACUGUUCACAAAUCACUGUUCACAAAUCCCUAAUUCAAAAAUUACUGUUGAUUAUCGUUUUACAGCAGCGCCUCAGCUCCAGCCUUCACCCCGCAACGCAAGCAGCAGCCAGCGCGAACCAGUCGCGCCCAACGCAAGCCCCAGCAACCCAGAUUGUUAGCUCCAGCCGCGCGCAACGUAGCUGAGCAGCAGCAGACCAGCAGCGCGAACCAGCUCUCGCGCGCAACACAACGCGAACGCAGCAGUGCGUAGAUGCAGCCCAGCAACGCAGCGCGAACCAGCAAUGCAGCCUCACCAGCGCGCAACGCAAGCCCCCGCACGCGCAGCACCAGCAUCCCGUUUCUCGCAGCGCAGCAGCGCGCAACGCAGCGCAGCACCCGCAAAGCAAGCCUCACCAGCGCGCAACGCAAGCCCGCAACGCAGCAACGAGCACGCCCUGCAACGCAACCAGCUUACGCCUUGUAUUCCAGCCGGGUAAAUCGAAAUCCGUGAGUACAAUUAUUGUAACAAUGCCGAAGAGGAAAGCAUCCACUUCCAAGUCAUCGAAAAAGACACCCAUCGCAAAGAAAUCUAAGAUUGCCGCUCCCACUACGGUUCCAUGGAACACAAUUUCAGAUUCACGCCAAGCCGUGAGACAAAGAUCGAAGCAUGGAAAAGGCAUGAGUAUUUUGCCACUUGCGGAAUCCAAUCUCGAAGGGUGCCUUGCAUUCGCGACUCAACAAGAGAAAGAGAGGUACAAAGAUAUUUCCACGGGCAAAAUACUUCCAGCUAAGAAUUUUUGGAUAUGUCUAUGUUUGAAAGAACAUGUGUGGUUGAAUUCAAGGAGGGGAGAUUUCAGUUUACUGAACCAGGACCCACUCAACUUCCGAAGAAGCUUUAUGCUAGGAGUGGUGCUACCUCUGAUGACGAGUUUGACGACGACACUGCUGCCCCGCCAACUAUUCCUUCUACAUCCGCACCACCUUUGAGCAUUCAAUUAGAGAAAAUGGAGCACAAGCUGAACAAGAUGGAGCAGAAUUUGGCCGCAUACUUCGAGAGUGUGGGAUUUACCCCACCAUUUCCGCCAAGCCCAUAGACGUUAUGUGGAUCAAAGCUCACAAUUCAGGGAAGUUUCUUUUUGCCCUUAAUCCUUUAUCCUUACGCUUUAAUUUUUAUGUGAGCUUUGAUUAUCUUACAUUGGGGACAAUGUAAGUUCUUGGUGUGGGGGAGGGAUUUUUGCAUUAUUGAUGUCUGGAAUUAUUGUUUUCACUCUACUUAUUUUUUUUUUUCACUCUACUCAUCCUUAAAUGAUUUUGGAGUUAGUAUGCUUUAUAUAUUAUUAUUUUUUCUUUUCUUUUAUUUCUCACAACUUUUUUUUUCCCAUCUAUCUCAAAUUAUUUACAUCUAUUUUUAUUCUAUCAUACUGUUUCAUCGCUCACAUUUUAUCUUUCACUUUUCAUCUUUCUCACUUCUUAUCAUUUUUACCUUUCCUUUUAUAUAUCACCCAUACCUUCUUCUCAUUCUACACCACUAUUGAUGGUUGAUUCAUUUGAAGAGUGUACAUGAUUUGAUGGCAAAUUUACCAACUUUGUGAGGAUUUGAGCCUAUGAGCAACCACUUUGCUCUAAUAUUUUUGUUAUGUGAAUAUCAAUCUUAGUUUGUUUAUUCUAGAACUUGCUUUGUUAUGCAUGUUGAAGCCGCAUUACGGGAUUUUAUGCACUAAAAUGAUAAGGGCAAACCCUUUUCCAUUUUUCUAUUCUCGCAUUUUUUUUCUCUACCCGAAGAUCUUUAUUUGCUAUCUUUGUUUGAGCCUUAACAAUUACCCAUCUAAUUCUCUCCGUCUACUUAACCAUUUUUCUUCUUUUUUUUGAGCCUCAAUUUAAGGAGAUUUUUGGACUCAUUGUGUGGAUAUAUUUUGUUGCUUUUUCUACCUUGUAAUAAAGUUUCUCAAUUAGAUCAACAAGCAUUAUGCUUGAAUUAAAUUGUGCAAGGUUCGUUUCUUUUGUUUGAUUCAAAAACAAAAACAAAAAAAAAAAAACAAAAAACAAAAAAAAAAAAGAAAAAAAAAGAAAAAAAAAAAGAAAAAGAAAAAUCACAAAAAAAAAACAAAAAAAAAUGUUUACAUUCUUGGUGACUUAAGUAGAAAUAAGCAUUUUGAUAUCAUAAGUUCAUUCAAUGAGUUCAUUUUUCUCGUUUUAAUCUCUUUUUCUUUCGUAAACCUUUCUUUUUCAUUUAACCCAUUUAACCCCAUUACAACCCUCUUAAGACCCUUAGAUUUUUGCAUUUUAUUCAUGUUUUGUGGAUUGAGAUGUGAUAUAUGAGCAAGCUUAUGGUAAUAGCAUUCUUUGAUUUGAUUUGAGUGGAUAAAUGACACCCUAAAAACUUUGAGUGCAUGGAGUGAAGUUAUUGAGAGGGCUAUUAAAUCUUGUUGCACUUGAAUUUUGAAUGGAUCUCCUUGGUGGUUGAAUGUUCUUAUUCUAUCUUAUGAAAUUCUAUGCUUUAAAAUCCUUGUCUCUCGAAUGUUAAUCGACUUAAUUUCUUGAGGUAUGCUUUCUUAAAAUUGUUUUUGGAUGAGUUGAGAUGAGAAUUGAGUGGAGAUUUGAGAUUAAUCUUGAGUUAUAUGCUUGAGGACAAGCAUCAUCUUGGUGUGGGGGAAUUUGUUAGAGUGCAAUUUAUGCACUAGUUUUGCAUUGUUUACUUCCCUUAAUAUCGAUGUUUUACACUUAAUAAUAAUGUUUUACUUGUGUUUUACUUUUGUAGGUGCAAUUCUAUUGAUUGGUGAUAAAAUUGAGCUAAAAGAUGAUGUUUAAGGAGGAUUGUUCUCUUGGAGAAAUUAUGAGCGUCGAAAGAACUUUGUUGAUAAGGCGUGGGCGCGUGCUGUCAACUGCGGACCUGCAGUUUUUAGUUUAACGUGUUUUGUAUUUUUGGUUAUUUUUGUAAUUACGAAUUUAAUAUUUCAGAUAUUAGUAUUUUAUUUUAAAUAGAAUUCUAAAAGAGAAGAGAGAGAGAGUAUUUAAGGGAGGAAUCUAUUGUGAAAAGGGGGAUUUGGAUUGGAGAAAAAGAAAGAAACCCUAGAUCUAAUUUUUCUCUUCUCUCUAUGAAGAACUAAACCUAUUUUUCUGGUUGAAGGAUAAUGACGCUUUGAUUCAUCACUACUGUGAGAUUUUUCUUAUGCUUUAAUUGUUUUAUUACUUUUUGGGUAUUUGUUUAUUCUCUGAAUUAGUUUCAUGAUUAUGUUUGUUAAUUAGGUAAUUGUCCACUAUUUAAUUAUCAACUUAAUCUAUUGUCAAUUAAAGGAUUCAUCGUAUGAAGAAUUUAAUGUUUGUGACAAAUAACAUAGCAGAGAGUUGUGUUGUGAGAAUAAACAAUCUAAUUUAAAUGAAUCAUCAUAUGUGUUGAUUAGGAUUUGGGUCUCUCUGGUUUUUCAGGCUGUCAAUUGAUUAAAUCCUAUGAUCGUAUCAAGGGUUGUCUAUUGAUUAGGGAAAUAUCCAACGGUCGUACCUUGGUUAUCGACUAGUUAAGGAGAGAUUGGCUAUUAGAGGGUCUCAAUAGCUAUAACCGGUCUAUUCAUAAGUAAUAAUAAUAUAUAUUUGAAUCAAUGAUCAGUAGUCGAAUCAAGCUGAGUUAAUUCCUUCAACCAGAGCUUUCUCCAAUUUGAAUUACAACUUUAAUUUGCAUUUUGUAUUUAAUUUGAUUUUUAUUAUUGUCUACAAUUCCCCCAUUUUAUGUUUUACGUUUCAAAAGGAUUUAAAUAAUUACCGAUCUCUGUGGACACGACCCUGCUCAAUCACUAUACACAAUUUAUUUAGAGUAGGAAUUUAUUUUUGUUGGCUUCGACACCCAUCAGUUGAUUUGUGUUGUUUAUUGCUAGAUUUCGCAUAAUUGUUUGCUGAUUACUAGAACUGGCUCUGUUUGGAUCUGAUACCAUGUUUAAAAACAUAAAAAAUCACUGAUCAGUUUGUUUGGUUGCUAAGAAAAUUUGCUCUGUUUGCUGAGAAAGUUUCAAAGAAGAUUCUCGAUUUUUUUUAUUUCAUCUUUCUUACUUCACGAAUGAUUACAAACACACCUUUUAUACACAACUCAACUAGCUAACAGAAAGAAAGCUACAAAACAGAAUCUCAGUAAGCUUAACUAAUUUUGCUGAGCUGGCAUUACACACUUAACUAACUUCGGCUAACUAAAUUCUCACAUGUGCUAAGCAUGAGCAGACUGUUUGUACACAUUAUGUGCUUCUUUAACACAAUGGAGUUUUAAAAAUUUGGUACUUGUUAUCUUAUCGAAAGUUUUCAAAAUUAUAUGAAUGUUCAAACUUAGCCCCUCCCGGCACUGCCACUGCUUCUACGUGAAAGUCAUUUAAGUUUGUGUUAGCUGCCUAUAGAUUGAAUAACAAUUUUACUCCGGAUUUUUUGUCCAUUAUGAAAAUUUGAUUGAAAGUGCGGCUGCACUAAUUUUCUAGAUGAACUUCCCUACAUGUUUUUUCUCAUAUGACCCAGAAUACUGCUAUAACAAUUGUAUUGGAAACUAUUCAACUGGGUUACUAUUCUACAUCCCCACCAAAAUUUAAACAGUCGACAUUGUGGAAAGAAACUCAUUUCGCCACUAGGCUUUUAGUGAGGCUAAUUUCUCUGAAUUUGGACAGAGUAGAUUUCUAAGCUAAUGCUUGGAAGAUCUCUGGCGAUAUUACAAAGUGCAUGUACAUUGAGUCUUAAUAAAUAUAAACGAUUCUCUAAUAUGAUUCAAAACAUCACUACAUGCAUAAGUUAAUAAGAGAAAAAAUUAUAAGAUUAUUUAUGCAUCACCAUUUAUAGUUGCACCCUCUCUAAUGAAAUUGAAGGUGCAGCCAGCAAUUAAAAUGAAGCAGAAAUGUACAUUGACCCUUAAUAAAUAGAAACUAAGGCGUUAUCGAUUCAACUUCAGUUGAUCAAUUGCGGGUGAAAGAUAAAUAAAGGAUAAGAGAAUAGAGCUGGAGUGCUAAAUUGGCUAUUGAAGAAGGGUGUCACAUGAUCACAAUCACAUUGACGCACAACUCUUUGGAGGCAAAUUUUGUCUAUGUGUACUCUAAAUUCAGCCAAACCAUACAUGUAUGAACAGAAUUUAAACCGUAGUUCUCAUCACAAUAGUAAUUGAAGCUACAAAAGCCAGAAAAUCUGAACAAAAACUUAAAAGGAAGAUUUUAUUCAAGUUUGCCCCCAAAAGACAGUUGAAAUGAAAAAUAUUGACUAUUGAAUGGGUCAAUGCUGAAUUACAUUUCAAAUGGAAAGCUUGGCAACAGUUACAAUGUUUCCCCUCUGAUUUUCCUCCAAAACAAAUUCAGUUAUAAACAAUAACUGAAGUAGGAAUAAUUUAUUCAUCAAAGAAAAUACCCUAGUUUUCAACUAACAAAUCCUGCUAUCCAAAUUAAAAAAACUCGCAUCUCUAAAAUUUAUUUGUAAACUGUUGGAAAUGAGGAGUGAUCUGUCAACUCCGUAAAUAAACUCAGGCAUAAUAUUAAUAAUAAUUAUAAAUUACAUAAUAAUUAUUAUAAAGAAUCAUAAAUUGGAAACGCUAAUCAUUCUACAAUCUAUUAUAUAAGUAAGAUAAGUCUCAUAAUAAGUUAAGUUAUAAUGUAAUAAAUACUUUCAAUAUAUAAUUAUUUAAGAAGGCAUUUAACAAUAAAAUAUUUUUUUUUCUAUUCGGUUGAUCAUAUAGUGUUAUCUAAACUCUUGACGAUAUUAUUAUUACUCACUUUUCUAAAAAAAAAACAUGAUUAACGUUUAGAGAAAAGUCAUGCCCCUUAAAAAUAAUAUGUAUACAAGCUAUCCAUACUUUAUCUUACCAUGACAAAAUUGAUGGUGAUUAAAUCUACUUUUAAAAUAGAUUUAAUGCACAGAUAUUAUGACUUCUGGCAAAAAUUAGUUUUGGAAGACAUAAUGGUAGAAAAUAGUGAUGAUCAUUAUUUAAAUGUGUAAAUAGCCUAGGCAUAGCCUGUAAUACCAAUAUCCAUUUGCCUUUAUUUGGAUUAUCACAUUUCAUGAUAUUCUUAUAUUUAUGACCAUUGUUCGAGAUUUGAACUUGAUCAUAAAUUAAGCUGCAAGAGAUUUUACUUCAGUUUCUAAGCUUUUCAAUCGUGAUUCAUCCAUGCCUUUCUUGGAUACCAUUAUGUUACGUGCCAAUGUAACUGACCUUGUAAUUGGUGUGUAUAAGGAAACAUGCCCUUUCAAGAUUGUUUUCUUUUGUUUCCUUAUUGUAGUAGUCAAAUAAAUAAAGAACGAACAAUUGAACUUGGUCUACUUCGAGGAAAACCAAGGCCUGCAAUAUUAGAUGAACUUUGAACAAAAUUAAUCUACUGCUUUUAUUCAUCUUUGGACUAUGAAUUUAUACAAAGACUUUAACAAAAAAUAACAAAGACACAACUGAAUGAUAGCAACAAGUGCUGACUUAGCGGACUACUGCAACAACUAAAUAAAAACUAAAUAUUUAUUUUGACUGUAACAACAAUUGCCCUGAUGAAUAGGACUCCACAGCAGCCACGUGACAACUAAUUUCUCCUUAAUAUUAUUAUUAGUAGAAGUAGAUUUUCAAACUAGUCUUGAUAUAUUUCGAAGUUGUAUUAUUAUCAAUGUAUAUGUAUCUAGAUUGUAACUAUAUUUUAAAAAAUAUAAUUUUUUUAAUUAUUGCACAGUAAAUGUAGAAAAAUAUCUAUAAAAUAAUAUUAUUAGGACUAAGAAAAAAAUAUUAUUUUAUAUAAGUUAUUUAUUUAUUAUUGAAUGAAUAAUUUAUUAAUUUAUUGAUAAACGAAUAUUUAUUAAUUUAAAGAGAGAUUAUUUUGGUUUUAAGAAGAGUUUGUUUGGUACAUGUACACACUUAUAAAGAAACACAAAAGGUGCUUCCUCAAGUUAAUAGUAUUUGCUUUAAUCGCUAUAGUUCACAAUAAUAUAGCAUAGUUUGGAAAAUUGUAAUUAUACUAUGUCUACGUUUGGUACAAUUUUUCAAGAAGAACUUAUUUAAAUAGAGUUUUUGUUAGUAGAACAUUUAUAAAUAAAAUUUUUACUGAAAAAAUUUAAGUUAUUUGGUUGUCAUUGUCAAAAUUGAUGAACUUUUGAUCUUUUGUUAACAUGUGUUUUUUUUACUAAAUAAUAAAUGUUAGGUUACAAUUAUUUUCAAUAGUUUUUGAAGGAAUCAAGUUAUGAAAUUUUUAUCAAUGAACUUUCAAUAUGUCAGCAUAUGGUCUGUAAAAUUUGAGAGUUUUCCAAUGAGGGAAUAAUUUAUUAAAAAUAAGAGAAUAUGGAUUGUUCUGUUUUAAGGGCCGAUUAUUGAGGACAUUUGAGGUUGAGCUUAGGAGAUGUUUAAAUUGAGAUAUUUGAGGACAUUAUGUUAGCCUAAAGGGCUACACAUAAUGUAAUUUUGAUGAUAACAAACAUGUGUCUUAAGUAAAAAUAAUAAAUAUUGUAUUUCACAUUUUCACUAGUUUUUGAAGGAUAAUAUUUAUGCAAGUGAAUCAAGUGAAAUCAAGAUUGAAGAUACUCAACGGACAACGGCGACAUCAAGAAUAUAGUUUAGAGCUCAAUGAACAAAUUAGUGCGAUAAAUUCUUGUAAAGCCGGUAUGAUUUAAUUGAUGCAUGAUUUAGCAUUUGAGAAGCUCAAGAGAUUAAUUUAAUUAAAUACUUUUCAUAAACUAAAAGGUUUUAUUUUUAUAAAGUAAAGUAUUUUGUGGAUUUGAGUAAUUUGGACUUAAAUGCUAAGAUUUGAAAUCUUUGAUUUUAAUAAGUAUUAAAUUUCGGAGUUGGACGUUUUGAUAAACAUUUGAAAUGUUUUGGGUCAUACUAUAAUUUAUAAAUAUUUUGGACUAAAGUGAAAGGUUUUGAGAACUUUGAAAAAUAUGGGUAUUAUGUUGAAAAGGACCUUUGUGCGAACUAAAAAUUUCUUUGGGGCCAUAUCAUAAUUUCAGAAAGUUUGGGAAGACAACUACUCUUAGGAAGUUCUGAAAUUGGACCUAUUUGCAAAGUUUUAUGACAUUUUGAGCCAUAGUAUAAUUAUAGAAAGUUUUGAGCCAAAGUAUAAUUUUAGUGAACAGUGUUACUAUAGCAAUUCAAAAAUAACGGUAAUAUCACUGUUCCUGAGCGGCUAGCCGGAUAAAUCAAGCGGCUAACUGCUUGGGCGAGGGAAUUUGCCUAUAACGGCUAGUUUUCAGGCUUUAACUAUAAAAACUCAGCUCAAACUUCAUUCUAAGUACUAAUGCAUGCAAAUAUAAGAUCAUACAACAUAUAUUGAGCUUCCAAAAUGCAAAUCAUCAUUGAUUGAAUCAUUGUUGAGCUAUUAGUUGCAUAUCCACUCUUAAAGAGAGUUUUUGUUGUAAUUUUCAUUUCUUAUCAAAUUGUGAGUGUGUGAGUGUGUAAGUGUGGGAAACACUUGGGGUGAAGAGAUUGGGGAGAUAAUCUCUUGGUUGUAAAGGUUCAUUGACACCUUGGAAGUCAAUUGUAAAAACUUGAACCCUUGAGAGGCUUGGAUAGUGAAAUCCUCGAGCAUGGUUGGCUUGGAGGCGUGGACGUAAGCAGGGAUUGCCGAACCACGUAAAAAUCCGCGUGUUUGUUUCUCUCUUCCCUUGCUCUUUUAUUUUUACGCUUGUUUGAAUUUAUUGUUCUCUAUUUCAUUAAGGCGUUAGAUUGAUUUAUUGUGCGAAUUGUAUUGCAUUAUUUUUAAAAACUCAAUUCACCCUCCCUCUUGGGUUGCAUUACUUGCAUUUACAUUAGAGUUUAUGAUUGAGACUCGAUUAUAUCUUAUGAGAAAUUUAUUGAUGAUUUUAGGUUGAUGAUAACAGUACGCAUUUGUUACAUGAGGAUGCCAAGAGGUAAGUAAACUAGACUUAAAAACGAAUCACAAUAAACAAUAUAUAUGUUUGACUUGUAUGAAAAGUCUAUUUUGAUAUGUACGAAUAUAGAUUUAUAUGUCUCUACUCAUGUGUUUAUGUGAUGUGUUGUUAUGUAUUGGGCGUGAUUAUGUACAUAGGCAUAUGUAUGUGUGAUGGUUCAUUGUCAUGAGCACGAAAAUGCAUUGAGUUUUCUAUGAAUGAAAAGUGGAUUUUAGCAAAUGAGAUUUCUCUUUUAUGAGAUUUUGCAUUGGGGGCCACCUCUUGAGGGCCAGAGUGCCGCAAAGUACCACGCACAACACAAAGUGCCACAUUGCAGGAUACGUAUUUUAUUGAAAGGAAAUAUGAAAGUUUGAAAGCGACAGAAAGAGAUUUUUAUGAAUUUGUUUUACAGUAUUUCCAAAAGAUCAUGGCAUAGCAUCCAUCUACAUUAUGUAUAAGUAUGCAUGUUUGCUUAUUGAGUUUUGUACUCAUUAUAGUUUAUUAUGAUUCAGUUUCCAGAAGUCAGGAUUGAUUCGUGAUGAGUGAGAAGAUGAAUUUAAAUUGAGGAUGGUAGAUGGUUUGGCUAAAUUUUUAAGUUAUUCCGCUGGCUUUUGUAUUCGAGGCUCGAAUUUUAUCGGUUGUAAAGAGUUAUUUAAAUUCAUAUGUGAGUUGUAGUCAGAUUUGCCCUCGGAGUUCGGGUUGGGGCGUUACAGAUGCAGAAACAGAAAACUAUUAGCUUAUCUUGAUUUUCCCACUAUAUUCAUUUUCGAUGCUUUUCAAACGAGAUUCUUUUAAUCCUUCUGGCGUAUGCAGCCCUUGCUCUUCUUAUAAAUCUCCAUCCGACAUCUGCACUAGGAACAAGUUGAUUGAAAUUAAAUAACAUUAGAGAUGACGGACGGUUGAGCCGUUAACUCGGUAAAAAAACUCAUAUAUAAUAUUACUAAUAAAAAAAAAUAUAAUAAUCAUUACUAAGAAUCAUAAAUUAGAAAAAUUAAUUAUUUUACAAUCUAUUUCGCAAGUAAGAUAAAUCUCAUAAUAAGUUAAGUUAUAACGUAAAAAACAUUUUCAAUUUAUAAUCGUUUAAGAAGUCAUUUAACAAUAAAAUCUUUCUUUUGGUCAGUUGGCCAUGCCACAGAGUAUCAUCUAUAUUCGUGGUGAUAUUAUUAUUACUCCGUAUUCUCAAAAAACUUGAUUUAACAUUUAGAGAAAAUUCCUACCAUUUAAAAAGAACAUGUAUGCAGCAGCUACCCAUACUUUAUCUUACCCCGACAAAAUUAAUGGUGACUAAAUCAAUUUUCUCGAUUAAAGCAAAAUUUUCUUAAAAACGAUUUAAUGCACAAAUAUGAUGACUUUUUGCAAAAAUUAGUUUUGGAAAAUAUAGUGAGAGAAAAUAGUGACGAUUAUUGUUUAGAUGUGUAAAUAGCCUAAACAUAAUUGCUAAUACCAACAUCCACGUGCAUCUUAACACCUUUCGUGAUAAUCUUUCAUUCAUGGUCACUGGUUCAAGAUUUGAAUUUGAUCAUUAAAUCAUGUUCAAGAAUAUUAGAGAUCCCAACAAUUGAGUUCCAACUUAAAUCCUAAUGCUAUGUGUCAUUGACCAAUAUUGUGUCAUUUUUUGUUAACUGGGUGAUGAAUUUCUAGUUGAUAAAAUUACUUAAAAAUAUCUUAAAAAUCAGAUAAUAGUUAGCUUAAUUUUUUGAAGCUAACUGCUCAAGAUGCUCUAUUAGAAAUGAUAACCUAAUUAUAUAAAAAAAAAAAUGAUGUAUUUUUUUCGGUGUUGAUAGUGAGAUUAUCAUUCAACAUGUUAAAAUAUGAAAACAUAUGGAAGAAGGUUGUAAAUUGAUUGAAUGAAAAUAUUUCAGUGAAGUCUAAAAAAUUUGGUACUUGUUAUCUUAUCGAAAGUUUUCUAAAUUACAUUCGUGGCACUGCCACUGCUUCCAUGUGAAGGUCAUUAAAAUUUGUGUUAGUUACCUAUAUGUUGAAUAAUAAUUUUAUUCAUGAAUUGUUGCUCAAUAUAGCAGUUUCUAGAUGAAUUUUCCUACAUGUUUGUCCUCAUAUGACCUAGAAUGCUGCCAUAUCAAUUGUAUUGGAAAUUAUUCAAGUGGGUUUGUGCUCUAUACCCCCACCAAAAUUUAAGCAAUCUACAGAACAUUCCUUGUGGAAAGAAACUUAUUUCGCUACUAGGUGGGAGUAGAUUUCUAAGCUAAUGCUCGGCAGAUCUCUAGGCUAUACUAAAAAGUGUAUGCACUUUGACUCUCAAUAUAUACGAGUGAUUCUAUGAUAUGACUGAAAACAUCAGUACAUGCAUGAUUUUAUAAGAAAGAAUAUUCUAAAAUUAUUUAUGUAUCACCAUUUGAAGUUGUACCCUCUCGAAUGAAGGUGCAAUCAGCAACUAAAAUGAAGCCCGAAAUGUACACGCGUGAAGCAGUUUUUCUAGAAGAUUGAUAUUUCUCAAACUAGCAAACCGUACAAGUCCAAAGCUAGAAAAAGGAGUGCUUCUAAGCAGAAAACAUUGAUUAAAACAGAAUGCACACAAACAUACCAGCAAAUUCAAAAUAGAAAAAGGAGUGCAACUGUUCAAGUUUGUGGACAAUAUUGCAACCGUGGCAUAUUUAUAGCAAAUCCUUGAAAUCUGCUAAAUAAACAAUGCCCUGUCUCAUGAAUCAAAGCCGAAUUAAAAUUGAAAUUGAAAGUCCGGCUGGUGUUGUUUCCCUCUCCAGUUUUGCCCACAUAAGUGAAGGGAAAUGAGAAUCAUAAACUAAAAUCUGCUUUUACAGUUCUUAUUAGAUAGAUAUAAAGGGAUCUUUCUUUGUUUCUCUGCUGCAAUUUGUGGCUAUCCCACUCUGUUUUGCCACUCAAGCUUAGUCUACGUUGAGACACAAUUUUGACAUCAGAAGCAACCUCAAUUAGUUUGGCAUUUUUAUGACCUCCUUGUACGUUUUACGAUAAACAUAAAUCUACUGAGAAAGUGGGAAAAAAAGAAAAUGCAUAUAAAAGUAUGAGUUAUCAGACAUGAUUAAAACUCACCCAAUUCAAUCCAUUAGAUUCCGUAAGGAUAUAACUGGAUGUCAUACCGCCAUUCCAUAUCCUCGAAAGUCCGUAGCCUCUGUCUCAACUCUGUCUGAGGCCAAUGUAAAUCCAAUAUGCGCAAGCUCUUUAUGCACCACAGCUCUUCUGGAAGCUUUCUCAAGUAAGCACAAGGGUUGACAAUUAAGCUUUCAAGUUUUGGCAUUGCUCCAGCCCCCAUCGUCCACUCAUCUAGCCAAAACAUUGAUUUCAGGUGCAAAACCUUACGUUCCGGAAAGCAACCAGGGCCAACGCAGGCCAGCUUUCUUCCUAAAUACGAGUUUUGCUUCAGUUUCAGCACUUGAAGGCGUGGAAGCUUUUCCAGCAUUGGCAUGGGAUCCUCCAUUAGCUCAGUAUUCGAUAAGCUCAGAUGGCUCAGACUUGGAGGAAAUUGGUAUUCAGACAGGAUAAUCCGUGAGGGCUUGCUCUCAUUCACCAGCUUCAAGCAUUCAAGUUUGUGCAGUUCGCAUAGGCUUUUGGAAACCCCGGAUUGAUAGUAACUCAAAUCUCCAGAUAUUCUUAGACUUUGGACAAGAUAUUCUUAGACUUUGGACAUUUGGUAGUCUGCCCAAUAUAGCUGGACUGCAACUACUAGGAUGUAAGGCUGAUAAGAAAAUGAGAUUUUUCAGAGAGCUUCAAUAAUUUUUUGGAGGUGCGGGCAGAGUGAUGCAACCGAAGUUUAGAUGCAUGAGUUUUUGCAUCAUCCAAAUAUCCUCUGGUGAAUGAUCUAUGUAGCUAGAUGGCAUUUCUAGCGUUUGAAGGUUUAAAAGGGAGCAUAGCAGUGAAGGAAUGCAUUUGAGCGAAGGGAUAUUCAAUUUCAAAUACUUCAAAAGGAAUAAAUUUUCUAAUCCGGCUGGAUAUUGGUCGAGAACUGCAGAACCCAAGUUCAAUACCCGAAGGUAUUUGAACUUGUCGCAAUCUAUCAGAGCGAGAUGAUCGCUUGCCGAACUGUUAUUCAGAAAAGAUUGGAGAUACAUGUCAGAAUGUCCUAAAGAUAAAAACCCAGUCAGAUCUUGGGCAAUGACGCACCGUUUAACAUUUGCCACUGGCUCCUCUUCCCUGUCACGCAUCCAUACAAAUUCCGUCUUCUCUGCCACCGAGCACAGUAAAGUAAAUUCAAAACCUGGAACAUAAAACGCUUUAAUUGUGCCGCCGGCUCCUCUUACUCACUUGAAUGAAGCCGCAAUGGAUUAGUUCUUUCAAGUAAUGUUCUGCCGUCUCCUCACUGUUGUAUGGUAUGAAACCUUCAGCUACCCACAACUGAUAUAAUUGUCUCGUAGAUAUCUCAAUGUCUGGACGGAAGACAAACAAAUAGGUGUAGCAGACUUUCAAGUGAAAAGGUAACUCCAUCACAGAAUAAAUUUGUCUCCAAAUUGUCCGAAUCGCUUAGGCUUGAAGAUAAUUUUCUAAUGGCAUACUUCCAUAGUGUAGGAUGAAAAAUUGCCAGGCCUCAUACUUUAAUCUGAUCAAUGGUCCUCCAACGAGCACAGAAUCAGGCCGAAUCUUCUCUCCAUUUUCCAUUUCCAACGACACAAGGAGUUCUGGAUCAGUGACUGUUAUCAAUACUCUGCUUCCAUUCUCAUUAUCAGGGAGACCUUCUUCGAGAUCAUCCCAUAUCUCACUGUUAUCGAAGACAUCAUCAAGCACAAUAAAGUACUUCUUGUUUGUUAGGUAAUCUCGAAGAAUAGAUUUCUUCAAUUGAUAAUUGAAAGAGUUUGUAUAUAGUGUUUGGUUUAAGAGAAACUAACAAGAAAAUAAAAGAAAAUCAUAAAGAACCAGAUCUGAAAAUGAUCAUAUUCUCAUUUUUUGACUAAUGAUUACAACUUGUUAUUUAUAGUAAAGAUCAGAGGCGUCACGUAGCUUGUCAGUUUGUUGGAUCUAAUAUGCAUGCAGUACAGUUCGUUAUCUUUGCUGCUGAGCUGGAUAACUAACUCAACACACGUAAGCAUCAGCAGCUCCAUUUAAUCAGAUGCUCUCAUCUAUACCAUAUUAUCAUACUCUAUAACAUCCUCCCUCAAGCUGAACUGACCUGGAUGGACAUUCAGCUUGCUUCUUAGAUAGUGAAACUGAUUGAAGGUUAGUGCCUUGGUAAGAACAUCGGCAUUUUGGUCUUCACUGGGAAUGAACUGAACUGUAAUUUGCUUAGCUGUUACUUUGUCUCUGAUGAAGUGAAUAUCAAGCUCAACAUGCUUAGUUUUAGCAUGAUAAACAGGAUUGUGAGCUAAAGCUAUGGCACUUUGAUUAUCACACCACAUUAUGGGGGCUGUGACAAGAUGAAUAUGUAGCUCUUUCAGUAAGGACUGAAUCCAAGUAACCUCAGCUGUAGCUUGAGCCAAAGCUCUGUAUUCAGCUUCAGUGCUUGAUCUGGAAACUACUGCCUGUUUCUUAGACGACCAAGAAACCAAAUUUGAACCAAGAUAAACAGCAUAACCAGCCACUGAUUUGCGAUCAUCCUUAUCACAUGCCCAAUCUGAGUCACUAAAACAAUUUAUCUGCAUAGUGCCGUAAUGAUAAAAAUGUAAUCCAAAAUGAAUUGUUCCUUUCAAAUAUCUAAGAAGCCUCUUACAAGCCUCCCAGUGCUCUGCUGUUGGUGAAGCUAAAAACUGACUAAGUUUGUUUACAGAGAAAGCUAUUUCUGGCCUAGUGAGAGUCACAUAUUGUAAAGCUCCAACUGCACUUCUAUAUUGAGAACUAUUUGAAAUAACACUUCCUGACCCCUUUGUAAGAUAAUGACCAGUGGCCAUGGGAGUAGGAACUGGACUGCAGUCAGCCAUAUUGUGUUUGGCUAGAAUAUCAGCUAUGUAUUUAGAUUGAGAGAGAUAAAUUCCAGAUGCUGUUUUGGUAACUUCUAUCCCAAGAAAAUAACUCAAUUUGCCCAGAUCCUUCAAAGCAAAAGCAUUUUGCAUAUUGGUAAUCACUUGCUGCACCAUUUGAUCACUUGAGCCUGUUAUGAUUAUAUCAUCCACAUAGACAAGAACAAAAAUUACUUGAUCACCUAUCCACUUGUAGAAAAGGGAGUUGUCUGACCUUGAAUUUUGGAAACCCCAUUUCACAACCAUAGCAUCUUUCAGUCUCUCAAACCAUGCCCUGGGGGCUUGUUUUAAACCGUAGAGAGCCUUUUUCAACUUACAGACAUGAAGAGGUCGAGAUGGAUCAAUGAAGCCCUCUGGCUGCCCCAUGUACACAUCUUCAACUAAUAUGCCAUUCAAAAAGGCAUUAUUCACAUCCACUUGUCUGAGCUCCCAUUUAUUCAUAACUGCCAAACUUAAAAUAACUCUGACUGUGGAUGCUUUAACAACUGGACUGAAUGUUUCUGUGUAAUCAACUCCUUGUGUCUGAUGAAACCCCUUAGCCACUAACCUGGCUUUGUAUCUAGAAAUGGUUCCAUCAGCAUGAUAUUUUAUCUUGAAUAUCCAUUUGUUACCAACUACCUUAACUGGUUCACUUGGCAAAACCAGAUCCCAUGUAUGAUUAUUCUGAAGUGCUUGAAAUUCUUCUUGCAUUGCCUUAAACCAUUUUGGAUUAGAUAAAGCAGCUGAAACAGAAGUAGGUUCUGAAGGUAUGGCUAGUAAAGCAGCUAAAUAAGAUUUAGGCUUAAAUAUACCAGCCUUGGAUCUGGUUAUCAUGGGAUGACCUAUAGGUGGUGCAGCAGGUAAUAUAUGAGGAGGAGAUUGUGUAUGAUGUAUAGGAUGUGUAUGUGAUGUCAAAGUAGAAGAUGAAGAGGAGGUUGAAGAAGGAGAGAAUACCUGUGGAGUGUCAGCAGGUAGGUAAUCACUUGCUAGAGAUUGUUGCAGGGGGGAUUGUACUUGUGGGAUUGGAACAAGAGUAACUUUGGACUCUGAAGAAAUAUCUGAGGGACUGCAAGACUGAGCAAUGGAAGAGAAGUCUAAUCCAGAUACAUAUGGAAAAGAUUGUUCAUCAAAGAUGACAUGAUUGGACACAUACACACGACCAGAUGAAUGAAGACACUGAUACCCUUUAUGAGAAGAGCUAUACCCAAUAAAAACACAUCUGUUUGAUCUAAAACUGAGCUUGUGUCUGUUAUAAGGUCUGAGAUAAGGAAAGCAAGCACAACCAAAGACCCUAAGAGAGACAUAAUCUGGUACUUGCUGAAAAAGUUUUUGGUAAGGUGAAAUGUAUUCAAAGUUGGUGUGGGUAGUCUGUUAAUAAGGAAUACAACAGUAUGAAAGGCAUUCCACCAGAACUUAAGUGGUAAAUUAGCUUGAGCUAACAGAGUGAGGCCAAUGUCCACUAUGUGUCUAUGUUUUCUCUCAAUUCUUCCAUUUUGAUGAUGGAUAUGUGGACAAGGAUGCCUGAACUGAAUUCCAAACUGAGUGAGAUAUGAUGCAAAGGUUCUAAACUCCCCUCCCCAAUCUGUUUGAACUGUUUUGAUGUGUUGUUGUAAGUGUUUUUCAAUAAAAGAUUUGAAUUCUGUGAAAACUUGGAGUGCAUCUGAUUUGGCAGUCAAAGGAAAAAUCCAUGUGAAUCUGCUAAAAUCAUCUAAAAUGGACAAAUAAUAUAUAUAGCCUUGAGUGGAUGCAACAUGUGAUGGUCCCCACAAAUCAGCAUAUAUAAGUUGUAAUGGUGCUGUUGUUUUUGUUGGAAUAGAUCCAAAAUGUAAAAGGUGACUUUUACCAUGUUGACAGGCAUUGCAAAAGUUUGGAGUUUUAUUGAGUACAUUGAAACUAUUACAAGCUUUCAAUACAGAUUUGAGUGUGUGUAAGGCAGGAUGUCCUAGCCUUUUAUGGAAAACAUUGACAUCGACUGAGCUAGUAUUGACAGCCAAGGCUGAUUUACACAGCAAAUGAUGAGACAAAGUACUCUUACUUAUUUCAGGAGAAAUAUCACUAGACAAAGGAGAAUGAAAAGCAAACAAAGACUGAGGUUUAUUGGAAGAAAGUUGACAAGACAAGGCUGAGCUAGUUUCAGAGACUUGAGCUGCAGAUUGGACUUGAUACAAUCCCCCUGUUGCAAUUCCUCUAAGCAAAGUGAUCCCUGAGUUCCUGGCCUUGACAACACAGACAUUUGCAAAAAACUCAAGUGUCACAUUAUUAUCUACUAAGAGCUUUGAAACACUGAGUAAAUUUUUCUUAAUAUUUGGAACAUGAAGAACAUGGUUUAAACACAAGGGUUUAUUUGCAGUAGUAGCUAGCAAUACUGAUCCAAUAUGCUGAAUAUGCAAUGCAGAACCAUUCCCAACAAGCAAUUUGUCAGUUCCAACAUAUGGCUUGAGAUCCAGUAAUUUACCUGGGUCAUUUGUGAUGUGGUUAGUAGCACCACUGUCAAUGUACCAAGCUGGAUCUUCAAUCAUCUCAGGUGCAUGAGCUGGAACAGGGACUGAAGGAGAUCCAGAGUAAUCUCCAGUAGGAGCAAAAGCAUGAGCAGGAGAGUAACCACCAUGAGAAUUAGAUGGUUGAUAAACAUUGAAAGCAGCUGGAUCUGAAUACAUCAAAUGGCCUUGAUAACCAGGUGCUCUUGGUAUGUUGAAAUUACCAAACUGAGAGUUACCAAUUCCAGCACCAUAUUGAGGAUUAAGAUUUCUACCAAAAUUACCAAAAUUUCCAUAAGCCAUAGAAGACCUAUUGCCAUUAGCAUAGCCAAAACCUCUACCAUACUGCCUCUGACCAGGCCUAAAAUUUCCAUUAAAACCACCUCUUCCUUGAUUUCUUGAAGGAACAAAAGCUGAGUUAAACCUAUUCCUGCAUUUAUUGGCACCAUGACCAGGAAUGAAAUAGAUCUGACAUACAAUUUGUGAGAAGUUACCAUCACUAGAUCCAGCUCCAGAAUUAUAACUUCCUCCAUACGAUCCAAUGUUAAACUUCUGAUUACCACUAGUGUUUUUACUAGGAUUGAACUGCUUUUGAGCAACAUUAGCUGACAAGUUAUGUGUAACAUCACUUGCAAUUUUUCCUCUCUUUUGUUCCACAUGAUUUUCAUGACUCAAUAACAAUGAAUAAAACUCAUCAAGACUGAUAUUAUCUCCUCUAGCUAACACAGUAGUAACUAGUGAUUCAUAAUCAGAGGAAUCCAAUCCAGUCAAAACAUGUUGAACGAAAUCAUUCACUUCAACAGGUUUUCCAGCUAAAGCCAAGCUAUCAGAUAUCCUUUUCAUUUUUGCAAAAUAAUCAGUUAUGGACAUCGAGCCUUUUUUAAGAGUUUGGAUUUGCAUUUUUAGAGGCAUUAUUCUAGCUUGUGACUGGGAAACAAACAUACUUGUAAGUGUAUCCAGCAGCUCCUUUGCAGUUGAGCAGUGGAUCACAGUUGUCAACAGAUUCGGCUGAAUAGAUGAGAGCAUCCAGCUCAGAAUCAAUUGAUCCGUCUUUAUCCACAUUGUGUAAGCUGGAUUGAUCUCUUGAUUCUCUGUUCCAGUUGAGAAACCAGCAGCAGAGCUUAUAGCAGAGAAAAAUUUUCCCGGACAGACUUGAUUUCCAUUGAUGAAAUCUUCUAAACCAUUUCCUUUAAUGGAUAUGAGAAUCUGAGUUCGCCAAACAAUGAAGUUAUUAUGAUCUAGUUUUAUCGGAGUAAUAAAACUAUAGGAUCCAGAAUUUUGAUUCGAAUUUGCCAUUUGUUAGCUCUGAUACCAUGAAAGAGUUUGUAUAUAGUGUUUGGUUUAAGAGAAACUAACAAGAAAAUAAAAGAAAAUCAUAAAGAACCAGAUCUGAAAAUGAUCAUAUUCUCAUUUUUUGACUAAUGAUUACAACUUGUUAUUUAUAGUAAAUAUCAGAGGCGUCACGUAGCUUGUCAGUUUGUUGGAUCUAAUAUGCAUGCAAUACAGUUCGUUAUCUUUGCUGCUGAGCUGGAUAACUAACUCAACACACGUAAGCAUCAGCAGCUCCAUUUAAUCAGAUGCUCUCAUCUGUACCAUAUUAUCAUACUCUAUAACAUCCUCCCUCAAGCUGAACUGACCUGGAUGGACAUUCAGCUUGCUUCUUAGAUAGUGAAACUGAUUGAAGGUUAGUGCCUUGGUAAGAACAUCGGCAUUUUGGUCUUCACUGGGAAUGAACUGAACUGUAAUUUGCUUAGCUGUUACUUUGUCUCUGAUGAAGUGAAUAUCAAGCUCAACAUGCUUAGUUUUAGCAUGAUAAACAGGAUUGUGAGCUAAAGCUAUGGCACUUUGAUUAUCACACCACAUUAUGGGGGCUGUGACAAGAUGAAUAUGUAGCUCUUUCAGUAAGGACUGAAUCCAAGUAACCUCAGCUGUAGCUUGAGCCAAAGCUCUGUAUUCAGCUUCAGUGCUUGAUCUGGAAACUACUGCCUGUUUCUUAGACGACCAAGAAACCAAAUUUGAACCAAGAUAAACAGCAUAACCAGCCACUGAUUUGCGAUCAUCCUUAUCACAUGCCCAAUCUGAGUCACUAAAACAAUUUAUCUGCAUAGUGCCGUAAUGAUAAAAAUGUAAUCCAAAAUGAAUUGUUCCUUUCAAAUAUCUAAGAAGCCUCUUACAAGCCUCCCAGUGCUCUGCUGUUGGUGAAGCUAAAAACUGACUAAGUUUGUUUACAGAGAAAGCUAUUUCUGGCCUAGUGAGAGUCACAUAUUGUAAAGCUCCAACUGCACUUCUAUAUUGAGAACUAUUUGAAAUAACACUUCCUGACCCCUUUGUAAGAUAAUGACCAGUGGCCAUGGGAGUAGGAACUGGACUGCAGUCAGCCAUAUUGUGUUUGGCUAGAAUAUCAGCUAUGUAUUUAGAUUGAGAGAGAUAAAUUCCAGAUGCUGUUUUGGUAACUUCUAUCCCAAGAAAAUAACUCAAUUUGCCCAGAUCCUUCAAAGCAAAAGCAUUUUGCAUAUUGGUAAUCACUUGCUGCACCAUUUGAUCACUUGAGCCUGUUAUGAUUAUAUCAUCCACAUAGACAAGAACAAAAAUUACUUGAUCACCUAUCCACUUGUAGAAAAGGGAGUUGUCUGACCUUGAAUUUUGGAAACCCCAUUUCACAACCAUAGCAUCUUUCAGUCUCUCAAACCAUGCCCUGGGGGCUUGUUUUAAACCGUAGAGAGCCUUUUUCAACUUACAGACAUGAAGAGGUCGAGAUGGAUCAAUGAAGCCCUCUGGCUGCCCCAUGUACACAUCUUCAACUAAUAUGCCAUUCAAAAAGGCAUUAUUCACAUCCACUUGUCUGAGCUCCCAUUUAUUCAUAACUGCCAAACUUAAAAUAACUCUGACUGUGGAUGCUUUAACAACUGGACUGAAUGUUUCUGUGUAAUCAACUCCUUGUGUCUGAUGAAACCCCUUAGCCACUAACCUGGCUUUGUAUCUAGAAAUGGUUCCAUCAGCAUGAUAUUUUAUCUUGAAUAUCCAUUUGUUACCAACUACCUUAACUGGUUCACUUGGCAAAACCAGAUCCCAUGUAUGAUUAUUCUGAAGUGCUUGAAAUUCUUCUUGCAUUGCCUUAAACCAUUUUGGAUCAGAUAAAGCAGUUGAAACAGAAGUAGGUUCUGAAGGUAUGGCUAGUAAAGCAGCUAAAUAAGAUUUAGGCUUAAAUAUACCAGUCUUGGAUCUGGUUAUCAUGGGAUGACCUAUAGGUGGUGCAGCAGGUAAUAUAUGAGGAGGAGAUUGUGUACACACUGAUCCAUGUACAACACAUCUCUUGAUUAUCUGUGUGUGUGCUGCUCAUCAAUGAUUAACAAGAUACAGUAGUUUUGUGAAGUCUCAUGUCUUGUGUUACAAAAUUUUGUGAUGGAAAGAAGGAAUAAUUCAACUAAAAAAAAAAAACACACGCGCGCAGCACACACACAGAGGGCCGCAACUAGCCCUUGAACCCCUAUUGAACUCGCACAAGAUACUAUUGAACUAAAUUCAAAAACAGCUGUUAAUAGCAUCUUAAAAUAUGGGUUCUAUCCAUACUCCCACCUGAAUCAUUUCUUGCGGCAUGACUCAAAAAUAACAAUAAGCCUGUCGCACCGAUAACUCAUUAGUGCAAUUUUUUUAACUCAAAAAAUUGAUACGCGUUCAUUUAGCGAAAAGUCCAAGACGCUUGCCUUUUGAAAAGAAGAGGUAUCCAAUAGAUAUCCAACCUUUAUCUUAUUUAAUUACUACCACGACAUGAUUGAUGGUGCUUAAAUCGAUUGUUUCUUUUUUAAUUUAAAGAAUUUUUCAUUAAAAAAUAUUUUAAUAUCAAAUUGCCUUCAAUAGCGUAACUGCCGCAGGCCCAGUAACAAGAUUAAUUAAAAUUUUUUGAAUUUUUGGGCAUGGAAAGAGUAGUAUUAGACUUCAGAAAGCUUAAGGUUGUUAUGUUAAAGAAUUGAUAUUGACAUAAUUUUAUUUUGGUUUUCGGGAAACAAAUUAUUUGUUGACAAGCAAGAAAAUAUUUUUGUAUUUUACAAUUUAUUAUACAUAUUUUAUCAUAUUAAAGUAAUUUUAAUAAUAAAUAGACACAUAAUAUUACAACAAAUAAAGUAAAGUUUAAAUUAUUUUGAAUAUUAUAAAAAUAAUUUUAAUAUUAUUAAUAGGAAGACAUUUUGUUAAUUUUAAAAUCUUUUUAACCUAAAGGUUUAUUUAAAAUCUUUAGAAAUCUCCAUCCCACAUCUACCCUAUUAAACAAGUUGAUGGAAAUUGAACAAUUGCUUUUUGAAGUGGACCCAUUGAGUUAUGUUCAUUACUGGUCAUUGUCUAUUCUUUCUAAGAGCCACUUGUUUUGAGCAUUAGCAAUCCUAUCUGGACUACUCCAAUUAUUGAUGUAACUCCAAUGGUUGCAUCAACAGUUGAAUGUAAGAUAGUGUUAGUUCUUUUUUGAGAAUAUAGAGGGAUCUUUAUUUGUUUCUCCGUUGUAGCGUAUUAGUAUAAAUUUCUUUACCUUACAGUUCCUACAGUCUUCCUGUUAAUGAAUUCGCUGAGGCAUUAUUGAUCCAAUCUCAGUGAAGUAAUUGUGGGUGAAAAAAAAAAAUAAAGGAUAAGAGAACGUAGCUGAAGUGCUGAAUUGACUAUUAAAGAAGAGCGUCACCUGAUCACAAUCACAUUGAUGCACAACUCACUCAGAUCAUUACAACGUCCUUUUCGCUAAUUAAUUAUGAUUAUAUACAUUUUCAUAUGGCAAGUGGCAUUGUAGAUCUAAACUACGUUGCUAUUUCAUUACGUUAAUUAAGUGAUUCUCCUCAUUGUCAUCAGCGCUUUUUGGGCAUGGAAAGAGUAGUAUUAAACAUUAGAAAGCAAAGGUUGUUCUGUCAAAGAAUUGAUAUUGGCAUAAUUUUAUUUUUGCUUUCGAGUAAAAAAAAAAAAAUUGUUGACAAGCAAGAUACUGUUUUUAUAUUUUACAGUCAGUUAUACAUAUUUUAUCAUAUUAAAGUAAUUUUAAUAAUAAAUGGAAACAUAACAUUACAAUAAAUCAAUUAAAGUUUAAAUUAUUUUGAAUAUUAUAAAAAAUAAUUUUAAUAUUAUUAAUAGGAAGAUAUUUUGUUUAUUGUAAAAUCUUUUUAACCCAAAGGUUUAUUUAAAAUCGUUAUAAUAAAUAAAAAUAUAAAAACAAAAUAAAUAUCAUAAUUUAAAAUUUUAAUAUUAUUUUAAAUAUUAAAAAUACUUUAAUGCUAUUAGUCUACUACCCAGGUUAUAUUACGUAUAUUAUAUUUGUAUAAAUUAAAACUUUUAAAGUUAAAUUUUUAAUUACUAUAUUGAAAAGUUAUUAUGGUUAAAAAAAGUUUUGGCAUUUCUUUUUGAAAAUUUGAGGGUCUGCAUGACAAUUUGUCCAAAUCCUAGAGGUAUAGGUGUCUUUUUUUUUUUUCGAUAAUCAUUUUACUUUUGAGGGAAUCCGAUGAGAAAUAAGAUAAGAGAAACGUCAAUUUAAGGUUCUCUAGGGAAAACCAAGAACUAUUCAAUUUUGUAUUUUUUGUUUGUAAAACGAAAAACAGUUUGCCAAAAAAGGUACCAAACAUAUCCUUAAUGUCUCACAUGAUUUCUUAUUAAGUCCAUACUCGAUAUAUUUAUACAUUUUAGGUAUUUUAGUUAUAAAAGAAGUUGGUCCUCCCUUUGUUUAUAAAAGGUAACUUUAUUUCGAGAUUACCACUAAAGUCUUGCAAAGAAUUAGUGUAAUGUUAAGAGAGAAUAACACAGUUUUCCAUUACCAUUUUGAAAAUAGAAAGAUGUGGAUGUGUGCAUUUAAUAUUGCGUUUACUUGCUGGAUUGAGGAAUCGGAAUCUAGAAUCGGAAUGAUUGAUGGUGUUUACUUUGCAAAUAUGGAGCAGGAAUCGGAAUUGGAAUGGUGGGGGCCACCACUAUUUGGGAAUGGGAGAUUGAUUCUCAUGGGGGAAGGUGGGAAUGAGUCUCCCAUUCCCUGGAUUGACCAUUUUGCCCUCCCUCAAAAUUAAAAAUGCCUACUUUGUCCUCUUUUAUAAUUAAUUAAUAUAAUAUUAUAAUUACUUAAUUAAUAUAUAAAUAUUUUAUUAACUAUAAUUAUUAAAAAUUAUAGUUCUUGAAUAAAUAAUCACAAUAAUUAAUUUAUUAUUAUUAUUGUUAUUUUAAUUAAUUAAUUAAUAUACUAUUAUAAUAAUUAUUAAUAUAAUUAAUUUAUAUAUUAUUAUUAUUAUUAAUGAAUUAAUAUAAUUAUUACUAUUAAUUAAUAUAUUAAUAUAUUAUUAACAAUAAUAUAUUAAUAAUUAUUGUUCGUGAAUAAAUAAUCACAAUAAUUAAUAUAUUAUUAUUGUAAUUAAUUAAUUAAUAUACUAUUAUAAUAAUUAUUAAUAUAAUUAUUAUAAUUAAUUCAUAUAUUAUUAUUAAUUAAAUUAAUAUUAUUAAAUAAAUAAAUAAUAUAAUUAUUACUACUAAUUAAUAUAUUAAUAUAUUAUUAAAAAAUAUUAAUAAUUAUAAUUUUUGAAUAAAUAAUCACAAUAAUUAAUAUAUUAUUUUAAUUAAGUAAUUAAUAUUAAUAUUAAUAUUAUUAGUUAAUAUAUUUUUAUAAUAAUUUUUAAUAUAGUUAUUAUAAUUAAUUAAUUUUUUUUACAAUUAAUUAAUAUAUUAGUUAAUAAUAAUUAUGACAAUAAUCCAUUAAGUACUUUUUAGUAAUUUGUUACAAUCUAAUUCAUUCCGAUUCCGAUUUCAAGACAAAGUAAACACAUUAAUGGCAAUUUAGCUCAUUCUGAUUUUGAUUCCUACAGUUCAAGUAAACAACUUAUUUUGAUUCCUAUUACAUAUUCCCAUUCCAACCCAUUCUCAUUUCUGUCCAUUCUCAUUUCUGCCCAUUCCGAUUUUAGCUCAUUCCGAUUUCAGUUUAGUAAACGCAGUAUAAGAGUUAUCAUGAAAAUCAUACAAUUCAAUUUCCUGAAAUAUAUAUUUUAUUCACAUGUGCCAAAAGAAUAAAUAGAUAGAAAGUAAAUUUACAAUCCUCACUCCCUCACAAUUGUUAAAGUGAAUAUGCAUUACAACUGUGAACUGUCACUACUUUAGCCCUUUUUUUUUUUUCAAUUAUAGUGUGAUGGAGACAGUGAACAUUAAGGAUAAAGUGCUCUGCUGAAAGCCAAACUUCCUUUGGCUAAUUAAUUUAGAAGUAAAGCAGAGAAUAAAGUCCUAGAUGCCUUCUGAAAUUAGAAAUACAUUUUAUAUGCUUUAAUUAUGAUUAUUUGGCAGACUAAAGACCUAAAAGAUAUGUCAAAAGUAUGAAACAGAGAGAUUAAAGAAAAAAGAAAAAAAAAAAAAAACAGAGUAUUUGUGACGUAGAAUAACAAUUGGUAAAUAAAUCCUAAAUAUUUGAGUUGUUAAAAGCAAAUAUAACAGAGACGGUAAGAGAGAUGCAGAAACAGAAAACUAUUAGCUUAUCUUGAUUUUCCCACUAUAUUCAUUUUCGAUGCUUUUCAAUCGAGAUUCUUUUAAUUCUUCUGGUGUCUGCAGCCCCGGCUCUUCUUAUAAAUCUCCAUCCCACAUCUGCACUACGAACAAGUUGACUGAAAUUAAAUAAUGUUGGAGAUGAGGGGUGAGCCGUCAACUUGUUAAAAAAAACUCAUGUAUAAUAUUAUCAAUAAUAUAAAAUAUAUAAUAAUUGUUACAAAGAAUCAUAAAUUAGAAAAAUUAAUUAUUUUACAAUCUAUUUCUUAAGUAAGAUAAAUCUUGUAAUAAGUUAAGUUAUAACGUAAAAAAUAUUUUCAAUUUAUAAUCAUUUAAGAAGUCAUUUAACAAUAAAAUCUUUCUUUUGAUCAUGUGGGCAUGCCAUAGAGUAUCAUCUAUAUUCGUGAUGAUAUUAUUAUUACUCAGUAUCCUAAAAAAAACACGAUUUAACAUUUAGAGAAAAUUCCUGCCUUUUAAAAAGAACAUGUAUGCAAUAGCUAGCCAUACUUUAUUUUACCACAACAAAAUUGAUGGUGAUUAAAUCAAUUUUCUCAAUUAAAGCAAAAUUUUAAAAAUUGAUUUAAUGCACAAAUAUGAUGAGUUUUUGUAAAAAUUAGUUUUGGAAAAUAUAGUGAGAGAAAAUGGUGACGAUUAUUUUCAGAUGUGCAAAUAGCCUAAACAUAAUCUCUAAUACCAAUAUCCAUGUGCAUCUUAAUACCUUUCAUGAUAUUCUUUCAUUCAUGGCCAUUUGUUCAAGAUUUGAAUUUGAUUAUUAAAUCAUGUUCAAUAAUGUUAGAGAUCCCAACAAUUGAAUACCAACUUAAAUCCCAAUGCUAUGUGUCAUUAACAAAUGUUGUGUCAUUUAUAAUUAUUGAAUGAAUAAUUCGUUAAUUUAUUGAUAAAUAAAAAUUUAUUAAUUUAAAGAGAGAUACUUCUUCUUUUUUUGUUUUAAGAAGAGUUUUGUUGGUACAUGUACAUACUUAUAAAGAAAUAAACUUGUAAUUAUACUAUAUCUUUCUUUCUUUGUUCAGUUUGGUGGGAUAUUGUGAUAAAUCAUUGGAUUAAAAUACAUUUCUAAAUUAAAACUUGUUAAAAUCUAAUUUAUUUGGGAAACGCAUAUUAUUUGUCAGUUGUACUUCUCAACUUAGCAAGUUAUUUCUAACUUGUCAGUCUCUAUUGGUUCUCUAAAAGCUAAUAGUCUCGAAUCUCCCGCAUUUGAUAUCUUGCCAUUACUGUUGGCAUUUGUUAAGUAUAGCUGAAGCUGGUGACGUGUAUAAGCUGCUGAUGAAGCUGCUGAGUUGGCUGGCUGGUGAUGUGUAUAAACUGAAGGUGCUGAGCUGGAUUGGGUUGUUGUUCACACCAACUAAAGAUGUAACAGAUUAUCCAGCUGGCUUGUUAUGAUUGGAAGUUAGAUUAGUUUGUUAAUACAGCAAACAAUGAGCUCUGUUUUGGUAGUUAGUUUUGAGUGUAACUAUAAAUACUGGCUAACAUGUUUUCAGUGUUAAGCUUGAGUUUUAAUCAAUAAAAAUCAAUUCAGUUAAAGUUUCUUUGUUAACUUUCUUUCACUUUCUCACUUGCCAAACAACCUAUUAAUUCUAAAAUGGUAUCAGAGCUUGCACCUAUGUCAGGAUCUAAUCAUAUAGCUUCCUCAUCACUUUCAUUCAAUUUUGUUCAACCUAUAAAACUCGAUAGAUCAAACUACUUGGUGUGGAAAGCUCAAGUUAGAACAUCGAUCAUUGCUAAUGGACUUGAGAGCUUCAUCAAUGGUGAGAGUGUAUGUCCAAAAUGUUAUCUCAUUGAUUCUAUUCAAGAACUUCAAAGAUCUGGAGCUGAAACAUCACAGAAGCAGGAAAAUCCAGAGUAUAUCUUAUGGAUGAAAACUGACAAACUUCUGCAGAGCUGGAUGCUUUCGUCAAUGGUGGACAAUGUAUUAAUCAUGGUGAUCAAUUGUGAAACAUCACUUGAACUUUCGGAGAUGCUUGCUAGAAUCUUCAUGUCACAAUCCAAAGCGAGAUAUCUGCCUUUGAAGAUGCAGAUUCAAUCAACAAAUAAAGGAUCUCUCUCCAUCAGUGAUUACUUCAAAAGGAUGAAGAAAAUUGCUGAUAGCUUGGCCAUUGGAGGUAAUCCAAUUACUUCGAAUGAACUGAUUAUUCACUUGCUUACUAGAUUGGAUGAAAACUAUGAAUCCAUAGUCACAAAUAUACUUACUAGACUGGAAAAAGAGAGACUUACUGCUGAAGAGGUGUACUCUAUGUUACUUAGUCAUGAAACUAGGUUGGAAAUGAGCAAAGGAAAAUCACAUAAUGAACCUCUGCAUGAUAUGACAUCAAAUUUUGCUCAGAAAGGCCAAGGUUAUAAUACUGGUCCUGGAAGAGAUGUUGUGUGUCAAAUCUGUUACAUUCCAGGCCAUGGAGCUUAUAAGUGUAAACAUAGAUUCAAUCAAGGGUUUAUUCCUAGAAACAAAGGCUUUGGUGGUUUCAGGCCAAGAGGUGGAGGUCAGAAUUAUAGAGGAUUCCCUAGAAAUAAUCAGAAUUAUUUUGGUAGAGGUUCUGGAUACAAUAGUUCUGCUUUUGGAUCUGGAUUCAGACCUAACUUUCCCAGGCAAGCCGGACCUACUGGACCUUUCUUUGGCUAUGUUGCCUAUCAGAAUCCAGGAUUCAUGAAUCCUCAAGGUGCCUUUGACUUUCCAAGUGCAAAUGGUGAUUAUACUGGUGUUCCAACAGCAAACAUGUAUGUUGGAAAUUAUGGCAUUCCUCAUAAUGUCUCUCCCUCUGCACAAUUGGCAAACUUCAGCAAUGUAGCUGAUUCAGCCUGGUACCUUGACUCUAGAGCAACAAAUCACAUUGCUCAAGAUGCAGGUAUACUUUCUAAGUGCUCAACUUACCAUGGCCUUGAAAAACUACAUGUAGGAAAUGGUAUGGGGCUGCCUGUUCAUAAUGUUGGUUUUGUUGCUGUUAAAACCUUGACUACAACACCUAUAUACCUAAAUCAUGUUCUGCAUGUCCCUAAAAUUACUAAAAACCUUAUCAGUGUUUCCAAAUUGCUUGCUGAUAACAAUGUUUUUAUUGAGUUUUACAACCAUGUUUGUUUUGUUAAGGACAAGAAUUCAAGAAUCACAUUGCUCAAGGGGAUUGUUAGAGGAGGUCUUUAUCAAGUUUCAAGCUUAAAUACAGUCUGUGAUAACUCCAGUUCAGUGUUCCCAGUGUCAACCACUUCUGAGUUUGUUUUUACUUCAAUAAGUACAUUCCCAGCAACUCCAGUGUCUAUGUUUACUCAACUAAGUUCAUUUGAUACUAAGUUUCACUCUUGUAUGCUUGUAAAUAAUUCUCAAAUCAAUAAGAAUGUCCCUGUGGCUCACUUUGCUUCAUAUAACAAGCCUAUUGAUUAUAGUUUACUGCACAAAAGAAUGGGUCAUCCAACUACUCAUGCUUUAAAACAGAUCAUGAAAUGCCUGAACUCAAAUUUUAUUCUUCCCAAAGAUUUCACAACACAGUUCUGUGAUGCCUGUCAACUAGGCAAGUGCCAUACGCAGCAUUUUCCCUCCAUAGAAACUUCAACCACUCAGCCCCUUGAAUUACUACAUGCUGACCUUUGGGGACCAGCUCCCAUUACCUCUUCACAAGGUUACACCUACUAUCUAUCUAUCUUAGAUGACUACACUCGAUACACUUGGAUUUUUCCUCUCAUUGCCAAAUCCAAAACCUUGUCAGCCUUUAUUGAAUUCAAAAACAUGAUUGAAAACUGCCUGAACUUGAAAAUUAAAUGUUUACAAACUGAUUGGGGUGGAGAAUUCAGGCCUUUUGUGUCAUAUCUUUCUAACCAGGGUAUACAAUUUUGACAUCCCUGCCCUUAUAUCCAUCAUCAACAUAUUACCUGAGAUUGGGAUUCAUUAAAAUCCUCAAUGUAAUCGGUGGAACGAAUGGAUUUCUUCUGUUCACCAAUCCACCAAAAUUUCUGUAAUUAAAUUCAAGAGUCAAGAUCUAUGCUUAUAAUCUAUUCAACAGCUAAUAUUCUAUUUUAUAUUUACUUAAAUAUGAAGAGCUAUGCUUGUCAUUAACUUCAAAUGUGAUCGAAGCAGCCUUACAUCUGUAUAUUACGUAUUCCCAACUUUUUUUUGACUUCAUUUACUUUCUUUUCAUGUUAUUUACUCUUUUUUCCCCCUCUCUGACAAUUGAGGUAGGGGGUCAAACUUGAAAGUAUCUUAAAAUCAAACAAUUUUUUUUUUAAGAUAGCUGCUAAUAUGCUCUAUUAGACAAUGAUAAGUAAUAACCUAGUUGUUUGCAUUAGAAAUGAUAUUUUUUGUGGUGCUGAUAAAGAGGUUGAUUAUGAUUCAACAAUUUAAAAUAUGAAAACAUGUGGAAGACGGCCGCAAUUAAAUUGAUUGUAUGAAAAUAUUUCAAUGAAAUUUUAAAAAUUUAGUACUUGUUAUCUUAUCGAGAGUUUUUUAAAUUUUUCUACUUGAACUUGACUGCUUUUGUAUUGAAUUCCUAGCGUUGCCAUUGCUUCUACUCAAAAGCCAUUUAGUUACUCAUGAAUUGUUGUUCAUAAUAGCAAUUUGAUUGAAAGUGCGGCUGCACUAAUUUUCUAGAUGAAUUUUUUCCUACAUGCUUGUUCUCGUAUGACCCAAAAUCCUGCUACAUCAGUUGUAUUAGAAAUUAAUCAACUGGGUUACAAUUAUGCAUCCCCACCAAUAUUUAAGCAAUUUAAUUACAGAAACAUUUCUUGAGGAAAGAAACUCAUAUCGCCACUAGGCUUUUAAUGAGGCUCAUUUUUAUGAAUCUGGAUGGCAUUAGAUAUCUCUCCGAAUAUUGGUGGGAGUAGAUAUGCUACAAAGUGUAUGUACGUUGACUCUCAAUAAAUACAAACGAUUCUCUGAUCUGAUUCAAAACAUCAGUACAUGCAUCAUUUUAAUGAGAAAGAAUAUUCUAAGAACGAAAUUGAAGGUGCAAUCAGCAGCUAAAAUGAAGCCAGAAAUGUACACGCAUGAGGAAGUUUUCCAAGAAGAUUGAUAUUUCUUUGACUAGCAAACCAUACAAGUCCAAAGCUAGCUAAACCAUACCUGCAAGUCGGGGGUUUAAAUGGAGUACUUCUAAGCAUAAAACAUUGAUUAAAACAGAAUACACACAUACAUACCAGCAAAUUCAAUAUAGCAAAAGGAGUGCAAAAGUUCAAGUUUGUAGACAACAUUGCAACCAUGGCAUGUUUAUAGCAAAUCCUCGAAAUCUGCUAAAUAAAACAAUGCCCUGUCUCAUGAAUCAAUGCUGAAUUAAAAUUGAAACUGAAAGUCUGGCUGGCGGUGUUUCCCUCUCCAAUUUUGCCUACAUAAGUGAAAAUAAGAAUAAUAAAUGGAAAUCUGCUUUUACAGUUCUUAUUAGAUAGAUAUAAAGGGAUCUUUCUUUGUUUCUCUGCUGUAAUUUGUGGCUAUGCCACUCUGUUUUUCCAGUCAAGCUGAGUCUACGUUGAGACAUAAUUUUGACAUCAGAAGCAACCUCAAUUAGUUUGGCAUUUUCAUGACCUCCUUGAAGGUUUUAUGAUAAACAUAAAUCCACUGAGAAAGUGGGAAAAAAAGAAAAUGCAUAUAAAAGUAUGAGUUAUCAGAUAAGAUUAAAACUCACCCAAUUCAAUCCAUCAGAUUCCGUAAGGAUAUAACUGGAUGUCAUACCGCCACUCCAUAUCCUCGAAAGUCCGUAGUCCUUGUCUCAACUGUGUCUGGGGCCAGUGUAAGUCCAAUUUGCGCAAGCUCUUUAUGCACCACAGCUCUUCUGGAAGCUUUCUCAAGUAAGCACAUGGGUUGACAAUUAAGCUUUCAAGUUUCGGCAUUGCUCCAGCCGCCAUCGUCCACUCAUCUAGCCAAUACAUUGAUUUCAGGUGCAAAACCUUAAGUUCGGGAAAGCUACUCAAGCCAACACAAGCAAGCUUUCUUCCUAAAUACGAGUUCUGCUUCAGUUUCAGCACUCGAAGGCGUGGAAGAUUUUCCAGAAUUGGCAUGGGAUCCUCCAUUAGCUCAGUAUUUGAUAAGCUCAGUUGGAUCAGACUUGGGGGAAAUUGGUAUUCAGACAGGACCAUCCGUGAGGGCUUGCUCUCAUUCACCAGCUUCAAGCAUUCAAGUUUGUGGAGUUCGCAAAGGCUUUUGGAAACCCCAGAUUGAUAGUAACUCAAAUCUCCAGAUAUCCGAAGAGUCCGAACACUAGGUAGUCUGCCCAAUAUAUCAGGAGUACAACUACUAGGGUUUAAAGCUGAUAUGAAAAUGAGAUUUUUCAGAGAGCUAGAAUAAUUUUUUGGAGGUGCGGGCAGAGUGAUGCAACCGAAGUUUAGAUGCAUGAGUUUUUGCAUCAUCCAAAUAUCCUCUGGUGACUGAUCUAUGUAGCUAGAUGGCAUUUCUAGUGUUUCAAGGUUUAAAAGGGUGCAUAGCAGUGAAGGAAGGCAUUUGAGCGAAGGGAUAUUCAAUUUCAAAUACUUCAAAAGAUAUAAAUUUUCUAAUCCGGGUGGAUAUUGGUCCAGGACUGCAGAACCCAUGUUCAAUACCCGAAGGUAUUUGAACCUUUUAAAAAAAUUCUCGCAAUCUUUCGGAUUAAGAUGAUUGCUUUUUGAACUGUGAUUCAGAAAAGAUUGGAGACACAUGUCAGAAUGUUCUAAAGAAAAGAACUCAAUCAGAUCAUCGUCAAUGACGCACCGUUUAACAUUUGCCACUGAUUCCUCUUCCACGUCAUGCAUCCAGACAAAUCCCGUCUUCAUUGCCACAAUAUACAAUGAAGUGUAUACAAAACUUGGAACAUAACACGCUUUAAUUGUGCCUCUGGCUCUUCUCUUACUCACUUGAAUGAAGCCGCGAUGGAUUAGUUCUUUCAAGUAAUGUUCGGCAGUUUCUUCACCGUUGUAUGGUAUGAAACCUUCAGCUACCCACAACUGAUAUAAUUGCUCCGUAGAUAUCUCAAUACUUGGAGGGAAGACAUACAAAUAGAUGCAGCAGACUUUCAAGUGAAAAGGCAACUCCAUCACAGAAAAAAUUUGUCUCCAAACUGUCAGAACCACUUCGCCUUGAAGAUAAUUUUCUAAUGGCAUACUUCCAUAGUGUAGGAUGAAAAAUUGCCAGGCCUCAUGCUUUAAUCUGAUCAAUGGUCCUCCAAAGAGCACUGAAUCACGCCGAAUCUUCUCUUCAUUUUCCAUUUCCAACGACGCAAUGAGGCCCGGAUCAGUGACUGUUAUCAAUACUCUGCUUCCAUUCUCAUCACCAGGAAGAAGUUCUUCGAGAUCACUCCAUAUCUCACUGUUAUCGAAGACAUCAUCAAGCAAAAUAAAGUACUUCUUGUUUGUUAGGUAAUCUCGAAGAAUAGAUUUCUUCAAUUGAUAAUCUUCACCGAUAAUUACACUAACCCGAGAUGGAGGCAUCACAGACUUGAUUAUGUCAUCCAACAUCUUGCCAAAAUCAUAGAAUAUAGAAACCCUGACCCAAGCAAGACAGUCAAAAUAGAACUUGACAUGGUUAUUAUUGUAAGUAUCUUCUGCAAAAGCAGUCUUAUCGAAGCCACUGCUGUCGAGAAUUGUAACCACUGCAAGCCGAGGGCGUCCUUCAAUCAAUAAAUCAAACAACUCCUCCCUGCCCCUUUCAAAUUCAUUGAUAUCAAGCCGAGGUUGUCCCUCACUCAAUAGGUGAAUGAUUUCGUUACUUUUUUUACUGAUAUCAAAACCAUUGUCGCCGGGUGGAAGUUGUUGCAUCCGAUUACUAAUAUCAAUGAUUUUACUGUGGAGACCAGCAAGAAGAGCCAUAUUAGUACUGCUUUCACUUUCGUUUUCACUGUUUUGCUGCUGCAUAAUGUUGAUGAAGAAUGUGUCAAUGGCUUCCUCAGAUUCAUGGACAAAGUCAUUGAUGUCCUUCACAAUGCCCAAAAGGUCCGCUCUUUCAACUUCUUCUUCAUCGCUUUCUUCUAAGUCCAACAGUUGCAAAAAAGGCAAAGAUAUUUUGGAGUCAUCGAAUUCUUCUCUAAUGAGUUGAAAGAAAUGCCGAGCCAUGUCAGCUUCAUAUUUUCCCAGCAGGGUAGUAGCAAUAAUUUCGGACUCCGUAAGAAGGUUUUGAAAAAGUGGGGUUAAAUUUGUUGAAUCAGGCAGCGUUAACGGGCCUUCUUCACCUGCUAACACCCUUUUCAACCUCUCACAAAACAGUCGGAGGUGGAAUUCCAGCAUAUCUCCUUCUCUCCGUAGCACUCAGAGGUAUAGCUGAAAGAUUAAACACCAUGGAAGAAUUUGAAAGGAAAAUGCCAAGACAUUAUUGCUCAUUUUUUAACUCAAAAGAUUGAUACGCGUUCAUUUAGAGAAAAGUCCAAGACGCGUGCCUUUUGAAAAGAACAGGUAUCCCAAUCGGUAUCCGACCGAUAUCUUAUUAAAUUACAACCAUGACAUAAUUGAUGGUGCUUAAAUCAAUUGUUUCUUUUUUAAUUUAAAGAAUUUUUCAUUAAAAAAAUAUUUUAAUAUCAAAUUGCUUUCAGUGGCGUAACUGCCUCAAGCCCAGUAACAGGACUAAUUAAAAAUUUUACAAUUUUUGGGCAUGGAAAUAGUAGUAUUAAACAUUAGAAAGGUAAGGUCGUUCUGUUAAAGAAUUGAUAUUGACAUAAUUUUUUUUGGUUUUCGGGGGAAAAAAAAUUGUUGACAAGCAAGAAAAUAUUUUUAUAUUUUAUAAUUUAUUAUACAUAUUUUAUCUUAUUAAAGUAAUUUUAAUAAUAAAUAGAAACAUAAUAUUACGAUAAAUAAAUUAAAGUUGAACUUAUUUUGAAUAUUAUAAAAAAUAAUUUUAAUAUUAUUAAUAGGAAGACAUUGUAUUAAUUUUAAACUUUUUUAACCCAAAGGUUUAUUUAAAAUCUUUAUUAGAAAUACAAAUAUAAAAUUAAAUAUCAUAAUUUAAAAUUUUUAAUAUUAUUUUAAGUAUUAAAAAUAUUUUAAUGUUAUUAGUCUACUACAUAGAUCAUAUUACUUAUAUAAUAUUUGUAUUAUUAAAAAUUGUUAAAAUCAAAUUUUUAGUUAGUAUAUUCAUGAGCUAUUAUGGUUAAAAAAAAAAAGACCUUAUUAUUACUUUUUUAAAAAUUGAGGGCCUGCGUGAUAAUUUUUUCAAAAAGAAAAUGCUUGGUAUGUAGGAGGGGUACAGAAACAGGACUCCCAAAAUCUCUCACCCUUUUUUAAUUAAAAAAAAAAAUUAAAAUAUCAAUAAAAAGUAAUAAAGAAAAUAGAAUUUUAUCUGCUCCUUACUCCAUUUUUGCAACUCUCUCACCAUCCCUAUCGAGCAGCCCUCUCUCUCACUGUCUCACUCACACAGUCCUUUUCACGAUUUGAAAUUCUUUGGCCCUCUGCAUUACAAGAAAUUAACGCUUUGGUUCUCCCAAGGGUAGAUUGGUUUUAUUGGGAAGCUAUUAAUUUUUUUUUUUUUUGAAUACUGAUUAAUCAUCAGAUUACUGCAUUACACAGAUAUUUACAACAACUGCUAUUGUAGCAGAGAUAUUAUACUGAUAUUUACAAUCAGAUAUACAUAAUUGGGACUUAUAUUAUGACAUUGAAUUCUAUGAAGUACAUGCCCAAACAAAUAACCCCUCACAGGAGAGGGAUGUCCAUACUCCACUCGCAUUUCGCAAGGGAGAAUGAUUUUUUGGAAGUAUAAAGAACAUUUAGCCCCCACAAUACUUUUGUGGGGGCUAGAACCGCUGCAGCAUUGUGAGGGCAGCAGCCCACCACUUCGGCCUUGGCCGAAGUGGCGGGAAGCUAUUAAUUAGAAGGAGGAAAAAGGACUAUAUUUAGAAUAUGAUUUGUUGGAGAAUCUCAGAGUUAGUCAAUUUUCAAGCCACACUUUCAAUAGCCAAUUGAUUUAGUAACCAUUAAUUACUUUAAUUUCCAUAAAUUGUAAUGACAGUGCAAAUGCAUCUGGUUGUGAUAGCUAAGGGUUAGCUUGAAGAAUUAAAUUUCAUAAGAUAUUACUGGAAAAUGCUUUGCAGAUAACGUGCUGCUUCCUUUGCUAGACUACAAUUUCAAAAAUCUCACGAGUUUUCCAUUGUUGUCACAAACCGAGAAAUUAUAAAAUACAUGGCCUGGUUCUUUGGCAAUGACCAUCUCAUCGUCGGCGGUCGUGUCGUCAUUGUCACUGUUCUUGCUCGACCGAGACAGUGAGAGAGAGGUUUGUUAGAUGGAGUUAGUGAGAGAGAGUUGUAAAGAUGGAAUGAUGAUAAAAGGAUUCUAUUUGUUUUUAUUGUUUUUUAUUAAUAUUUUAAUUUUUUAAAUUAAAAUGUGCUGCCGUUUCUCUAGCCUUUUUAGCUGCUUAACUUAACAGUAUUCUUUUCAAAAUUUAAGAAUGUAGUAGGUGUCCUUUUCUCUAAUAAUUUAUUUCAUUUUUAGGGAAUCCAAUGAGAAAUAUGAUAAAAGAACGUCAAUUACUUGUCGUUUUCAAUUUUUUCUAUAAGCUAUUUAUUUUGAGCAUUAGUGAUCUUGUCUGGACUACCCCAAUUAUUGACGUAACUCCAGUGGCUGCAUCCACUGGAAAAAGUGGAUGAGACCAUUUUUUUUUUCAUAAAGGUAACUACUCCAAUUAUUGACAUAAUUGAUGGUGCUUAAAUCAAUUUUUUCUUUCUUUUUUUUAAUUUAAAGAAUUUUGCUUUAAAAAAUAAUUAAUAUCAAAAUGCCUUCAAUGUUGUUACCGCCACAAGCCCAGUUAGAGGACUCAUUAAAAAUUUUAGAAUUUUUAGGCCUGGAAAGCAUAGUAUUAAACAUCAGAAAGCAAAGGUUGUUAUGUCGAAGAAUUGAUGUCGACAAAAUUUUAAUUUUGUUUUCGGAAAAAAAAAAAAAUUUUGUUGACAAGCAAGAAAAUAUUUUUUAUACUUUACAAUCUGCUAUACAUAUUUUAUCAUAUUAAAGUAAUUUUAAUAAUAUAUGGAAACAUAAUAUUAUAAUAAAUAAAUUAAAAUUACUUUGUAUUAUUGAAUAUUACAAAAAGAUAAUUUUAAUAUUAUUAAUAGGAAAACAUUUUUUAAUUGUAAAAUCUUUUUAAUACAAAAAUUCGUUUAAAAUCUUUAUAAUAAAUACAAAUAUAAAAUUAAAAAAUAUCAUAAUUUAAAAUUUUUAAUAUUAUUUAAAUAUUAAAAAUACUUUAAUGUUAUUAGUCUACUACAUAAAAUAUAUUAUUUAUAUUAUAUUCGUAUUGAUUAAAACGUUUUAAAGUCAAAUUUUUAAUUAGUGUAUUCAAAGGUACAAAAGAUUUAAGUAUUAUUUUUUAAAAAUUUCAAGAUACGAAUGAUAAUUUUUUCAAAUUUUAAAGAUGUAAAAAUCUUUUUUUCUGAUAAUUUAUUUCACUUUUGAGAGAAUCCGAAAACGUUAAUUUAACAUUCUUUACCUUUGUAAAAAAAGUGAAAAUCAAGAACUAUUCAAUUUUGUUUUUAUUUGUAAUUCAAAAACUUUAUUCAUUUUCGAUGCUUUUCAAAAGAGAUUCCUUUAAAUGUCUGCAGCUCCUGCUUUUCUCAUAAAUCUCCAUCCCACAUCUACACUAUCAAGUAUCAAACAAGUUGAUGGAAAUUCUUAUAAAAAAAAAAAAAAAAUUGAUGGAAAUUGAUCAAUUGCUUUUUGAAGUGGACCCAUUGAGUCAUGUUCAUUUCUGGUCAUUGUCUACUCUUUCUAUCAGCCAUUUAUUUUGACCAUUUGCGAUCUUAUCUGGACCUACUCCAAUUAUUGUUGUAACUCCGAUGGUUGUAUCUACAGUGGAAUGUAAGAUAGUGAAAGCUCUUUCUUUGAGAAAAUAGAGGGACCUUUCUCUGUUUCUCCGUUGCAACGUGCUCGUAUAAAUUUCUCUACCUUACAGUUUAUACGGUCUUGCUGUUAAUGAAUUCGCUGAGGCAUUAUUGAUCCAAUCUGAGUGAAGUAAUUGUGGGUGAAAAAUAAAUAAAGGAUAUGAGAACGUAGCUGAAGUGCUGAAGGGGCUAUUAAAGAAGAGUGUCACUUGAUCACAAUCACAUUGAUGCACAACUCACUCGUGGCAAAUUUCGACUAUACGUUCUGCAAAUUCAGCCAAACCAUACAUGCAUGAACAAAACUAAAAUGUAGUUCUAAUCACAACUGCAGUUAUGAUGUUUACCUCUCUGAUUUUUCUCCAAAACAAAUUCAGUUCAAAACAAUAAUCAAAAUAGCCACAUUUUGUUCGUCAAAAUAAAUGCCCAAAUUUUCAAUUAACAAAUCAUCUUCUCUAAACUAAAAAGCCCACAUCUCUAAAAUCAAUCUACAUAAUGUUGGAGAUGAGGGUUGAAUUGUUAACUCAGUAAAAAAAAAAAAACUCAUGCAUAAGAUUACUAAUAAUAUAAAUUAUAUAUUAAUCAUUAUAAAGAAUCAUAAAUUAGAAAAAUUAAUCAUUUUAUAAUUUAUUACACAAGUAAGAUAAAUCUCAUAAUAAGUUAUAACAUAAAAAACGUUAUCAAUAUAUAAUCAUUUAAGAAGUCAUUUAACAAUAAAAUCGUUCUUUGAUCAGUUGGCCAUGUCACAUAGUAUCAUCUAUAUUUAUGGUGAUACUAUUAUUACUCAGUAUUCUCAAAAAACAUGAUUUAACAUUUAGAGGAAAUUCUUGCCUUAAAAAAAAAACAUGUAUGCAACAGCUACCCAUGCUUUAUCUUACCAUGACAAAUAUUUUCUCAAUGAAAGAAAUUUUUUAAAAAAUUGAUUUAAUGCACAAAUAUGAUGAUUUUUGCAAAAAUUAGUUUUGGAAAACAUAGUGAGAGAAAAUAGUGACGAUUAUUGUUUAAAUGUAUAAAUAGCCUAAACAUAAUCCUUAAUACCAAUAUCCAUAUGCAUCUUAUCAUCUUUCAUGAUAUUCUUUCAUUUAUGUCCAUUGGUUCAAGAUUUGAAUUUGAUCAUUAAAUCAUGUUCAAUAAUAUUAGAGAUUCCAACAAUUGAGUACCAACUUAAAUCCCAAUGUUAUGUGUCAUUGACCAAUUUUGUGUCAUUGACCAAUUUUGUUAUUAACUAGGUGAUGAAUUUCUAGUUGAUAAAAUCACUUAAAAAUAUCUUAAAAAUUAGACAAUAGUUUGCUUAAUUUUUCCAAGUUAACUGCUCAAGAUGCUCUAUUAGAAAUGAUAACCUAAUUAUAUACAUAAAAAAUGAUGGAAAUUGAACAAUUGCUUUUUGAAGUGGACCCAUUGAGUUAUGUUCAUUACUGGUCAUUGUCUAUUCUUUCUAAGAGCCACUUGUUUUGAGCAUUAGCAAUCCUAUCUGGACUACUCCAAUUAGGAUAGUGUUAGUUCUUUUUUGAGAAUUUCUUUAUUUGUUUCUCCGUUGCAGCGUAUUAGUAUAAAUUUCUUUACCUUACAGUUCCUACAGUCUUCCUGUUAAUGAAUUCGCUGAGGCAUUAUUGAUCCAAUCUCGGUGAAGUAAUUGUGGGUGAAAAAAAAAAAAAAGGAUAAGAGAACGUAGCUCAAGUGCUGAAUUGACUAUUAAAGAAGAGCGUCACCUGAUCACAAUCACAUUGAUGCACAACUCACUCGAGGCAAAUUUCAUCUAUAAAUAAAAGAUCCCUUACUAUUCUCUUAACCCUGAGUUUUGAGAUAGAAAUUUCCCGAACUCCAACCCCACAUCCACAGACAAGUUGAUUGAAACAAUUGCUCUUGUAAUUAAGAGGAUGGGUUAGGGUUCAGUUCUUAUCAUUGUCUGUUAUUUCUUUGAAUCAUUAUCUUAAUUAAUUACAUCAAUUGUUUCUUUUUUUUAAUUUAAAGAAUUUUUCUUUAAAAAAAUAUAUUUUAAUAUCAAAAUGCCUUAAAUGGUAUUACUGCCGCAAUCCCAGUAACAGGAUUAAUUAAAAAUUUUAGAAUUUUUGGGCAUGGAAAGAGUAGUAUUAAAUAUCAGAAAGCUAAGGUUGUUCUGUCAAAGAAUUCAUAUUGGCAUAAUUUUAUUUUUGCUUUCGAGUAAAAAAAUAUAUAUAUAUAUAUUUGUUGACAAGCAAAAUACUGUUUUUAUAUUUUACAAUCAGUUAUACAUAUUUUAUCAUAUUAAAGUAAUUUUAAUAAUAAAUGGAAACAUAACAUUACAAUAAAUCAAUUAAAGUUUAAAUUAUUUGGAAAAUUAUAAAAAAUAAUUUUAAUAUUAUUUAUAGGAAGAUAUUUUGUUUAUUGUAAAAUCUUUUUAACCCAAAGGUUUAUUUAAAAUUGUUAUAAUAAAUAAAAUAUAAAAACAAAAUAAAUAUCAUAAUUUAAAAUUUUAAUAUUAUUUUAAAUAUUAAAAAUACUUUAAUGCUAUUAGUCUACUACAAAGGUUAUAUUACUUAUAUUAUAUUUGUAUAAAUUAAAACUUUUAAAGUUAAAUUUUUAAUUACUAUAUUGAAAAGGUAUUAUGGUUAAAAUAUGUUUUGGCAUUUCUUUUUAAAAAUUUGAGGGUCUGCAUGACAAUUUGUCCAAAUCCUAGAGGUAUAGGUGUCUUUUUUUUUCGAUAAUUCAUUUUACUUUUGAGGGAAUCCGAUGAGAAAUAAGAUAAGAGAAACGUCAAUUUAACGUUCUCUAUGGAAAACCAAGAACUAUUCAAUUUUGUAUUUUUUGUUUGUAAAACGAAAAACAGUUUGCCAAAAAAGGUACCAAACAUAUCCUUAAUGUCUCACAUGAUUUCUUAUUAAGUCCAUACUCGAUAUAUUUAUACAUUUUAGGUAUUUUAGUUAUAAAAGAAGUUGGUCCUCCCUCUAUUUAUAAAAGGUAACUUUAUUUCGAGAUUACCACUAAAGUCUUACAAAGAAUUAGUGUAAUGUUAACAGAGAGUAACAUAGUUUUCCAUUACCAUUUUGAAAAUAGAAAGAUAUGGAUGUGUGCAUUUAAUGGUGUGUUUACUUACCGGAUUGAGGAAUCAGAAUCUGGAAUUAGAAUGAUUGAUGGUGUUUACUUCGCAAAUAUGGAGCAGGAAUCGGAACUGGAAUGGUGGGGCCCACCACUAUUUGGGAAUGAGAGAUUGAUUCCCAUGGGGGAAGGUGGGAACGAGUCUCCCAUUCCCUGGACUGACCAUUUUGCCCUCCCUCAAAAUUAAAAAUGCCUACUUUGUCCUCUUUUAUAAUUAAUUAAUAUAUAAAUAUUUUAAUAACUAUAAUUAUUAAAAAUUAUAGUUCUUGAAUAAAUAAUCACAAUAAUUAAUUUAUUAUUUUUAUUUUUAUUUUAAUUAAUUAAUAUACUAUUAUAAUAAUUAUAAAUAUAAUUAAUUUAUAUAUUAUUAUUAUUAUUAAUGAAUUAAUAUAAUUAUUACUAUUAAUUAAUAUAUUAAUAUAUUAUUAAAAAUAAUAUAUUAAUAAUUAUUGUUCGUGAACAAAUAAUCACAAUAAUUAAUAUACUAUUAUUUUAAUUAAUUAAUAUAAUUAAUUUAUAUAUUAUUAUUAUUAUUAAUGAAUUAAUAUAAUUAUUACUAUUAAUUAAUAUAUUAAUAUAUUAUUAAAAAUAAUAUAUUAAUAAUUAUUGUUCGUGAACAAAUAAUCACAAUAAUUAAUAUACUAUUAUUUUAAUUAAUUAAUAUACUAUUAUAAUAAUUAUUAAUAUAAUUACUAUAAUUAAUUCAUAUAUUAUUAUAAUUAAUUAAUUAAAUUAAUAUUAUUAAAUAAAUAAAUAAUAUAAUUAUUACUACUAAUUAGUAUAUUAAUAUAUUAUUAAAAAUAAUUAUAAUUUUUGAAUAAAUAAUCACAAUAAUUAAUAUAUUAUUUUAAUUAAGUAAUUAAUAUUAAUAUUAUUAGUUAAUAUAUUUUUAUAAUAAUUUUUAAUAUAGUUAUUAUAAUUAAUUAAAUUUUGUUACAAUUAAUUAAUAUAUUAGUUAAUAAUAAUUAUGACAAUAAUCCACUAAGUAUUUUUGAGUAAUUUGUUACAAUCUAAUUCAUUUUGAUUCCGAUUUCAAGACAAAGUAAACACAUUAAUGACAAUCUAGCUCAUUCCGAUUUCGAUUCCUACAGUUCAAGUAAACAACUUAUUUUGAUUUUCAUUACCUAUUUACAUUCCAGCCCAUUCUCAUUUCUUCCCAUUCUCAUUUCUGCCAAUUCCAAUUCCAGCUCAUUCCGAUUCCAGUUUAGUAAACGCAGCAUAAGAGUUAUCAUGAAAAUCAUACAAUUCAAUUUCCUGAAAUAUAUAUUUUAUUCACAUGUGCCAAAAGAAUAAAUAGAUAGAAAGUAAAUUUACAAUCCUCACUCCCUCACAAUUGUUAAAGUGAAUAUGCAUUACAACUGUGAACUGUCACUACUUUAGCCCCUUUUUUUUUUUCAAUUAUAGUGUGAUGGAGACAGUGAACAUCAAGGAUAAAGUGCUCUGCUGAAAGCGGAACUUCCUCUGGCUAAUUAAUUUGGAAGUAAAACAGAGAAUAAAGUCCUACAUGCCUUCUGAAAUUAGAAAUACAUUUUAUAUGCUUUAAUUAUGAUUAUUUGGUAGACUAUUGACCAAAAGACAUGUUAAAGUAUAAAACAGAGCGAUUAAAGAAAAAAAAAGGAGUGUUUGUGACGUAGAAUAACAAUUUGUAAGUAAAGUCCUAAUUUGAGUUGUCAAAAAGCAAAUAUAACAGGGAAGGUAAGAGGGAUGCAGAAACAGAAAACUAUUAGCUUAUCUUGAUUUUCCCACUAUAUUCAUUUUCGAUGCUUUUCAAACGAGAUUCUUUUAAUCCUUCUGGCGUCUGCAGCCCCUGGUCUUCUUAUAAAUUUCCAUCCCACAUCUGCACUAGGAACAAGUUGAUUGAAAUUAAAUAACAUUGGAGAUGACGGACAGAUGAGCCGUCAACUUGGUAAAAAAACUAUGUUAAUAUUGUUAAUAAUAAAAAAAAAUAUAAUAAUCAUUACAAAGAAUCAUAAAUUAGAAAAAUUAAUUAUUUUACAAUCUAUUUCGUAAGUAAGAUAAAUCUUGUAAUAAGUUAAGUUAUAACGUAAAAAAUAUUUUCAAUUUAUAAUCAUUUAAGAACUCAUUUAACAAUAAAAUCUUUCUUUUGAUCAAUUGGUCAUGCCACAGAGUAUCAUCUAUAUUCGUGGUGAUAUUAUUAUUACUCCGUAUUCUCAAAAAACACGAUUUAACAUUUAGAGAAAAUUCCUACCUUUUAAAAAGAACAUGUAUGCAACAGCUACCCAUACUUUAUCUUACCACGACAAAACUAAUGGUGACUAAAUCAAUUUUCUCGAAUAAAGCAAAAUUUCUUAAAAUUAAUUUAAUAUACAAAUAUGAUGACAUUUUGCAAAAAUUAGUUUUGGAAAAUAUAGUGACAAAAAAUAGUAAUGAUUAUUGUUUAGAUGUGUAAAUAGCCUAAACAUGAUCCCUAAUACCAAUAUCCACGUACAUCUUAACACCUUUCGUGAUAUUCUUUCAUUCAUGGUCACUGGUUCAAGAUUUGAAUUUGAUCAUUAAAUCAUGUUCAAUAAUAUUAGAGAUCCCAACAAUUAAGUACCAACUUAAAUCCUAAUGCUAUGUGUCAUUGACAAAUGUUGUGUCAUUUUUUGUUAACUGAGUGAUGAAUUUCUAGUUGAUAAAAUUACUUAAAAAUAUCUUAAAAAUCAGACAAUAGUUUGCUUAAUUUUUUGAAGCUAACUGCUCAAGAUGCUCUAUUAGAAAUGAUAACCUAAUUAUAUACAUAAAAAAUGAUGUAUUUUUUGCGGUGUUGAUAGUGAGAUUAUCAUUCAACAUGUUAAAAUAUGAAAACAUAUGGAAGAAGGUUGUAAAUUGAUUGAAUGAAAAUAUUUCAGUGAAGUCUAAAAAAUUUGGUACUUGUUAUCUUAUCGAAAGUUUUCUAAAUUACAUUCGUGGCACUGCCACUGCUUCCAUGUGAAGGUCAUUAAAAUUUGUGUUAGUUACCUAUAUGUUGAAUAAUAAUUUUAUUCAUGAAUUGUUGCUCAAUAUAGCAGUUUCUAGAUGAAUUUUCCUACAUGUUUGUCCUCAUAUGACCUAGAAUGCUGCUAUAUCAAUUGUAUUGGAAAUUAUUCAAGUGGGUUUGUGCUCUAUACCCCCACCAAAAUUUAAGCAAUCUACAGAACAUUCCUUGUGGAAAGAAACUUAUUUCGCUACUAGGUGGGAGUAGAUUUCUAAGCUAAUGCUCGGCAGAUCUCUAGGCUAUACUAAAAAGUGUAUGCACUUUGACUCUCAAUAUAUACGAGUGAUUCUAUGAUGACUGAAAACAUCAGUACAUGCAUGAUUUUAUAAGAAAGAAUAUUCUAAAAUUAUUUAUGUAUCACCAUUUGUAGUUGUACCCUCUCGAAUGAAGGUGCAAUCAGCAACUAAAAUGAAGCCCGAAAUGUACACGCGUGAGGCAGUUUUUCUAGAAGAUUGAUACUUCUCAAACUAGCAAACCGUACAAGUCCAAAGCUAGAAAAGGAGUGCUUCUAAGCAGAAAACAUUGAUUAAAACAGAAUACACACACACAUACCAGUAAAUUCAAAAUAGAAAAAGGAGUUCAACUGUUCAAGUUUGUGGACAAUAUUGCAACCGUGGCAUAUUUAUAGCAAAUCCUUGAAAUCUGCUAAAUAAACAAUGCCCUGUCUCAUGAAUCAAAGCCGAAUUAAAAUUGAAAUUGAAAGUCCGGCUGGUGUUGUUUCCCUCUCCAGUUUUGCCCACAUAAGUGAAGGGAAAUGAGAAUCAUAAAUUAAAAUCUGCUUUUACAGUUUUUUAUUAGAUAGAUAUAAAGGGAUCUUUUUUGUUUCUCUGCUGCAAUUUGUGGCUAUCCCACUCUGUUUUGCCACUCAAGCUUAGUCUACGUUGAGACAUAAUUUUGACAUCAGAAGCAACCUCAAUUAGUUUGGCAUUUUUAUGACCUCCUUGUACGUUUUACGAUAAACAUAAAUCUACUGAGAAAGUGUGAAAAAAAGAAAAUGCAUAUAAAAGUAUGAGUUAUCAGACAUGAUUAAAACUCACCCAAUUCAAUCCAUUAGAUUCCGUAAGGAUAUAACUGGAUGUCAUACCGCCACUCCAUAUCCUCGAAAGUCCGUAGUCUUUGUCUCAACUCUGUCUGAGGCCAAUGUAAAUCCAAUUUGCGCAAGCUCUUUAUGCACCACAGCUCUUCUGGAAGCUUUCUCAAGUAAGCACAUGGGUUGACAAUUAAGCUUUCAAGUUUUGGCAUUGCUCCAGCCCCCAUCGUCCACUCAUCUAGCCAAUACAUUGAUUUCAGGUGCAAAACCCUAAGUUCCAGAAAGCAACCAGAGCCAACGCAGGCCAGCUUUCUUCCUAAAUACGAGUUCUGUUUCAGUUUCAGCACUUGAAGGCUUGGAAGCUUUUCCAGCAUUGGCAUGGGAUCCUCCAUUAGCUCAGUAUUCGAUAAGCUCAGAUGGCUCAGACUUGGAGGAAAUUGGUAUUCAGACAGGACAAUCCGUGAGCGCUUGCUCUCAUUCACCAGCUUCAAGCAUUCAAGUUUGUGGAGUUCGCAUAGGCUUUUGGAAACCCCAGAGUGAUAGCAACUCAAAUCUCCAGAUAUCCGAAGAGUUUGAACAUUAGGCAGUCUGCCCAAUAUAUCUGGAGUACAACUACUAGGGUGUAAGGCUGAUAUGAAAAUGAGAUUUUUCAGAGAGCUGCAAUAAUUUUUUGGAGGUGCAGGCAGAGUGAUGGAACCGAAGUUUAGAUGCAUGAGUUUUUGCAUCAUCCAAAUAUCCUCUGGUGAAUGAUCUAUGUAGCUUGAUGGCAUUUGUAGUGUUUGAAGGUUUAAAAGGGUGCAUAGCAUUGAAGGAAGGCAUUUGAGCGAAGGGAUAUUCAAUUUCAAAUACUUCAAAAGGAAUAAAUUUUCUAAUCCGGGUGGAAAUUGGUCGAGAACUGCAGAACCGAAGUUCAGUACCCGAAGGUGUUUGAACUUUUUACAAAAAUUCUCGCAAUCUAUAAGAGCGAGAUGAUCGCUUUCUGAACUGUGAUUCAGAAAAGAUUGGAGAUACAUGUCAGAAUAUUCUAAAGAAAGGAACUCAAUCAGAUCUUCCAAAAUGAAGCACCGUUUAACAUUUGCCAGUGAUUCCUCUUCCAUGUCAGGCGUCCAGACAAAUCUCGUCUUCUCUACUACCAAAGCCAAUAACGUAUAUACAAAACUUGGAACAUAACACGCUUUAAUUGUGCCGCCGGCGCUUCUCUUACUCACUUGAAUGAAGCCGCGAUGGAUUAGUUCUUUCAAGUAAUGUUCGGCAGUUUCUUCACCGUUGUAUGGUAUGAAACCUUCAGCUACCCACAACUGAUAUAAUUGCCUCGUUGAUAUCUCAUUGCAUGAAAGGAAGACACACAAAUAGAUGCAGCAGAUUUUCAAGUGAAAAGGUAACUCCAUCACAGAAAAAAGUUGUCUCCAAACUGUCGGAAUCGUUUCGCCUUGAAGAUAAUUUUCUAAGGGCAUACUUCCAUAGUGUAGGAUGAAAAAUUGCCAGGCCUCAUGCUUUAAUCUGAUCAAUGGUCCUCCUACGAUCACUGAAUCAAGCCGAAUCUUCUCUCCGUUUUCCAUUUCCAACAGCGUAAGGAGGUGUGGAUUAGUGACCAAUAUCAAUACUCUGCUUCCAUUCUGAUUAUCAGGAAGAACUUCUUCAAGAUCACUCCAUAUCUCACUGUCAUCGAAGACAUCAUCAAGCACAAUAAAGUACUUCCUGUUUGUUAGGUAAUCUCGAAGAAUAGAUUUCUUCAAUUGAUAAUCUUCCCCGAUAAUUACACUAACCCGAGAUGGAGGCAUCACAGACUUGAUUAUGUCAUCCAAUAUCUUGCGAAAAUCGUAGGCUACAGAAACCCUUACCCAAGCAUGACAGUCAAAAUAGAACUUGAUAUGGUUAUUAUUGUAAGUAUCUGCAGCAAAAGCAGUCUUAUCGAAGCCACUGCUGUCGAGAAUUGUAACCACUGCAAGCCGACGAUGUCCUAAAUCAAUAAAUCAAACAACUCCUCUCUGCCACUUUCAAAUUCAUUGAUAUCAAGCCGAGGUUGUCCCUCACUCAAUAGGCGAAUGAUUUUGUUUCUUUGUUCACUGACAUCAAAACCAUUGUCGCCGGGUGGAAGUUGUUGCAUCCGAUUACUAAUAUCAAUGAUUUUACUCUGGAGUCCAUCAAGAAGAGCCAUAUUAGUGCUGCUUUUACUUUCGUUUUCACUGUUUUGCUGCUGCAUGAUGUUGAUGAAGAAUCUGUCAAUGGCUUCCUCAGAUUCAUGGACAAAGCGAUUGAUGUCCUCCAGAAUUUCCAAAAUAUCUGGUCUUUUAACGUCUUCUUCAUCGCUUUCUUCUAAGUCCAACAGUUGCAAAAGAGGCAAAGAUAUUUUGGAGUCAUCGAAUUCUUCUCUAAUGAGUUGAAAGAAAUGCCGAGCCAUGUCAGAUUCAUAUUUUCCCAGCAGAGUAGUUGCAAUAAUUUCGGACUCCGUAAGAAGGUUUUGAAAAAGUGGGGUUAAAUUUGUUGAAUCAGGCAGUGUUAACGUGCCUUCUUCUCCUACUACCACCCUUUUCAACCUCUCACAAAAUAAUCGGAGGUGGGCGUCCAGCAUAUCUCCUCCUGUCUGUAGCAGCCAGAGGUAUUGUUAUUUGCUCCAAGAAAUGUUAAAAGGAUUGGUCCUACCUCAAAGUGGUUAGUGGUGUAAAAUUAAACACCAUGGGAGAAUUUGAAAGGAAGAUGCCAAGAAACUGGCAAAGUGGCUAAAUUCCACAAAUACGGCAUUAUUGCUCAUUUUUAACUCAACAAAUUGAUACGCGUUCAUUUAGAGAAAAGUCGAAGACGCGUGCCUUUUGAAAAGAACAAGUAUCCAAUAGGUAUCCAACCUUUAUCUUAUUUAAUUACUACCAUGACAUGAUUGAUGGUGCUUAAAUCAAUUGUUUCUUUUUUAAUUUAAAGAUUUUUUCAUUAAAAAAUAAUUUAAUAUCACAUUGCCUUCAAUGGCGUAACGGCCGCAAGCCCAGUAACUAGAUUAAUUAAAAUGAAAUUAUGAUUGCACUACUUUUUUAUUUAUUUAUUUAUCUAAUCACUAUAAAAUUUUAACAUAUUUUAUUUACUAUAUUUUUUUUAAAUUUGCAUCAAUUAGUCACUUUUACACUAAUACCGUUAAAUAAUUUAAACGGAAUGAUAAUUUUACCCCUAAAUAAAAUUAAAAGUUCAUUUUAUUUUAUAAAAACUUUGAAAAUAAAAAAUUAUAAUUAUAAAAUAUCCCUAAAUUUAAUAAAGAAAUAAAUCCCAAAAUUAGAAUGUUUAUUUUUAAUAAAAAUUAUUUUAAUAAAAAAUUAUAAUUAGAAAAAUAAUUACAAAAUUUUGGGAUUUAAUAAAAAUCCCCUAAAUGAUUAAAAUUUUAGGAUUUAUUUUUUAAUAAAUAAAUUCAGUUAUUUUAAUAAAAUUUUGCAAAAUUAUAAUUUUUAAUAAAUAAAUUCACUUAUUUUUAUUAUAAUUUUAAAAAAAUUUAAAUUUUUAAUAAAAAUAAUUAUUAAAAUUUUACAACAUCUAAAUUGAAUAAAAAUCAGCUGAGCACCUAUAUUUUGUAUUUAUUUUUAUUAAAUUUAGGGGUAUUUUUAUAAUUAUAAUUUUUUAUUUUUCAAAGCUUUAUAAGAUAAAAUGGUCUUUUAAUUUAUUUAGGGGUAAAAUUAUCAUUUCGUUUUAAUUAUUUAACGGUGUUAGUGCAAAAGUGGCUAAUUGAUACAAAUUUGAAAAGAAAUGUGGCGCAGAGAACAUAUUAAAAUUUUGUGGUGGUUGGAUGAACAUAAGGCAACAGAAAGGUGGUGCAAUAAUAAUUUCCCUAAUUAAAAUUUUAGAAUUUUUGGGCAUGGAUAGAGUAGUUUUAAUUAUGUUAAAGAAUUGAUAUUGACAUAAUUUUAUUUUGGUUUUCAACGAAAAAAAAUUUGUUGACAAGUAAGAAAAUAUUUUUUUUUUACUUUACAAUCGGUUAUACAUGUUUUAUCAUAUUAAAGUAAUUUUAAUAAUAAAUAGAAACAUAAUAUUACAAUAAAUAAAUUAAAGUUUAAGUUAUUUUGAAUAUUAAAAAAAUAAUUUUAAUAUUAUUAAUAGGGAGGCAUUUUGUUAAUUGUAAAAUCUUGUUAACCCAAAGGUUAUUUAAAAUCUUUCUAAUAAAUACAAAUAUAAAAUUAAAUAUCAUAAUUUAAAAUAUUUAAUACUAUAUUCAAUGUAAAAAUAUUUUAAUGUUGUUAAUAUACUACAUAGAUUAUAUUACUUAUAUUAUAUUUAUAUUGAUUAAAAAUUUUUAAAAUUAAUUUUCUAGUUACUAUAUUCAUAAGGUAUUCUGGUUAAAGAAAAUAUCUUGAUAUUACUUUUUGAAAAUUUGAGAGCCUGCAUGACAAUUUUUUCAAAUUUUAAGGAUGUAAUUAUCCUUUUUUCCAUAAUUUAUUUCAAUUUUGAGGGAAUCCAAUAAGAAAUAUGGCAGGAGAAUGUCAAUAGGCGAAUGAUUUUGUUACUUUGUUCACUGAUCUCAAAACCAUCGUCGCCGGGUGGAAGUUGUUGCAUCCGAUUACUAAUAUCAAUGAUUUUACUGUGGAGUCCAUCAAGAAGAGCCAUAUUAGUACUGCUUUCACUUUCGUUUUCACUGGUUUGCUGCUGCUUGUUGUUGAUGAAGAAUGUGUCAAUGGACAAAGUUAUUGAUGUCCUCCAGAAUUCCAAAAAUAUCUGCUGUUUCAACGUCUUCUUCAUCGCUUUCUUCUAAGUCCAACAGUUGCAAAAAAGGCAAAGAUAUUUUGGAGUCAUCGAAUUCUUCUCUAAUGAGUUGAAACAAAAGCCGAGCCAUGUCAGCUUCAUAGUUUCCCACCAGAGUAGUAGCAAUGAUUUCUGACUCCGUAAGAAGGUUUUGAAAAAGUGGUGUCAAAUUUGUUGAAUCUGGCAACGGCAACGCGCCUUCUUCACCUGCCAACACCCUUUUCAACCUCUCACAAAACAGUCGGAGGUGGAAUUCCAGCAUAUCUCCUUCUCUCCGUAGCACUCAGAGGUAUAGUUGAAAGAUUAAACACCAUGGAAGAAUUUGAAAGGAAUAUGCCAAGAAACUGUGUAAGUGGCUAAAUUCCACAAAUAUGACAUUAUUGCUCUUUUUUGAACUCAAAAAAAUGGUACGCGUUCAUUUAGAGAAAAGAACAGGUAUCCCAAUCGAUAUCCAACCUUUAUCUUAUUUAAUUACUACCAUGACAUGAUUGAUGAUGCUUAAAUCAAUUGUUUCUUUUUUAAUUUAAAGAAUUUUUCAUUAAAAAAAUAUUUUGAUAUCUAAUACCCUUCAAUGGCAUAUCUGCCGCAAGCCCAGAACAGGAUUAAUGAAUUUUUUUUUUAAUUUUUUGGGCAUGGAAAGAGCAGUAUUAAACAUCAGAAAGCUAAGGUUGUUCUGUUAAAAAAUUGAUAUUGACAUAAUUUUAUUUUGGUUUCGGGGAAAAAAAUAUUUUCUGAAAAGCAAGAAAAUAUUUUUAUAUUUUACAAUUUAUUAUACAUAUUUUAUCGUAUUAAAUUAAUUUUAAUAAUAAAUAGAAACAAAAUAUUACGAUAAAUAAAUUAAAGUUUAAAUUGUUUUGAAUAUUAUAAAAAAUAAUUAUAAUAUUAUUAAUAGGAAGACAUUUUGUUAAUUUUAAAUUUUUUUAACCCAAAGGUUUAUUUAAAAUCUUUAUUAUAAAUACAAAUAUAAAAUUAAAUAUCAUAAUUUAAAAAAUUUAAUAUUAUUUUAAGUAUUAAAAAUAAUUUAAUGUUAUUAGUCUACUAUAUAGAUCACAUUACUUAUAUUAUAUUUGUAAUGAUUAAAAAAUUUUUAAAUCAAUUUUCUAGUUAAUAUAUUCACGAGGUAUUAUGGUUAAAGAAAAGACCUUGGUGUUACUUUUUAAAAAUUUGAGCGCAUGCAUGAUAAUUUUUUCAAAAUUUAAGAAUGUAUGUGUCCUUUUCUCCAAUAAUUUAUUUCACUUUUGAGGGGAAUCCAAUGAGAAAUAUGAUAAGAGAAUGUCAAUUACUUGUCAUUUUCUAUUUUUUCUGUAAGGUAUUUAUUUUGAGCAUUGGUGAUCUUGUCUGGACUACUCCAAUUAUUGAUGGAACUCCAAUGGCUGCAUCCACAGUUGAAUAUAUGAUGGUGUUAGCUCUUACUUGAGAAUUCAGAGGGAUCUUUCUAUGUUUCUCAAUUGCAAUGUGCUAGUAUAAAUUUCUUUACCUUACAGUUUAUAUAGUCUUGCUGUUAAUGAACUCACUGAGGCAUUAUUGAUUCAAUUUCAGUGGAGCAAUCGCGGGUGAAGGAUAAAUAAAGGAUAACAGAACAGAGCUGAAGUGCUAAAUUGGCUAUUGAAGAAGGUUUUCACAUGAUCACAAUUAUGUAAAAUAAUCAUUUUUCUGAAAUUGUGUUUCCUAAAAUUAAUAAAUUUCCUUUUUUUUAAAAAAAAAAAAAAACUCUUCUACGACGUGGUUGCACAGCAAAUUAGAGAAUUAUAGGGUCUCUAAUCAAUACUCCAACCAAUAAUGAUAUGUGCACAAAAAAUAGUAUCAAUCACAACAAGAUUAAAAUUAAAAAAAGUAACUAUAAGAUGGAAAAAAAAAUUAUUACAAGAAAAUAAUUUUUUUGUCUUUUCUAUCUUUUAUACUAUUUUUGUUUAUAUGUACUCUAAAUUCAGCCAAACCAUACAUGCAUGAACAAAAAUUAAACCGUCGUUCUAAUCACAACAGUAAUUGAAGCUACAAAAGCCAGCAAAUCUGAACGAAGACUUAAAAGAAAGAUCUUAUUCAAGUUUGUCCCCAAAAGACAGCUGAAAUGAAAAAUAUUGACUAUUGAAUGGGUCAAUGCCGAAUUACAUUUCAAAUGGAAAGCUUGGCAGCAGUUACAAUGUUUCCCCCUCUGAUUUUCCUCCAAAACAAAUUCAGUUGUAAACAAUAACCGAAGUAGUAAUAAUUUAUUCAUCAAAGAAAAUACCCCCAAGUUUUCAACUAAAAAAUCCUCUUGUCCAAACUAAAAGAACUCAUAUCUCUAAAAUCUAUCUGCAAAAUGUUGGGAAUGAGGAGUGAUCUGUCAACUCCGUAAAUAAACUCAUGCAUAAUGUUAACAAUAAUGAUAAAUUACAUAAUAAUUAUUAUAAAGAAUCAUAAAUUGGAAACACUAAUCAUUCUACAAUCUAUUAUAUAAGCAAGAUAAAUCUCAUAAUAAGUUAAGUUAUAAUGUAAUAAAUAUUUUCAAUAUAUAAUUAUUUAAGAAGUCAUUUAACAAUAAAAUAAUUUUUUUAAAUCAGUUGAUCAUACAGCGUUAUCUAAACUCCUGACGAUAUUAUUAUUACUCACUUUUCUCAAAAAAAUAUGAUUAAUGUUUAGAGAAAAGUCAUGCAUUUUAGAAAAAAUAUGUAUACUAGCUAUCCGUACUUUAUCUUACCGUGACAAAAUUGAUGGUGAUUAAAUCUAUUUUUAAAAUAGAUUUAAUUCACAAAUAUGGUGACUUUUGGCAAAAAUUAUUUUCAGAAGAUAUAGUGGCAGAAAAUAGUGAUAAUUAUUGUUUAAAUGUGUAAAUAGCCUAAGUAUAGCCCAUAAUACCAAUAUCCAUUUGCACCUUCAUUUGGUUUAUCACAUUUCAUGAUAUUCUUUCAUUCAUGACCAUUGUUCAAGAUUUUAAUUUGAUUAUAAAUUAAGUUGCAAGGGAGCUUACUUCAGUCUCUAAGCUUUUCAAUCGUGAUUCCUGCAUGCCAACGUAACUGACCUUAUAAUUGGUCUGUAUAAGAAAUCAAGCCCUUUCAGGAUCGUUUUCUUUUUCUCCCUAUUGUAGUAGUCAACUAAAUAAAGAAUGAACAACUAAACUUGGUCUAUUUCGAGGAAGACUAAGGCUUCCAAUACUAGAUGAACUUUGAAGAAAAUUAAUCCGUUGUUUUUAUUCAUCUUUGGACUAUGAAUAUAUACAAAGACUUUAACAGAAAAUAACAAAGACACAGCUAAAUGCACUACUAAAAAAAUGAGUUUUACUGACACUAAUUUAGCGUCAGUAAUUACUUUUAUUGACACUUGUUAAUUGUGUCAGUGUUGCUCAAGCCAGAACACACUGACACUAAUUUUUGAUGUCAAUAAUUUUUGUGUCAGUAAUUUGUUUCACUAUAGUAUCACUAAAAUAAUGACACGAUGAUGUUGGUAUUUAAUAAUACUAUUUACACGUCAGUAAUUUAUGUGACUAUAGUAUCAAAAACUGACUCGAUAAUAUAAAAAAUUCUUAUUGUUAUUUUAAAUAUGUAGUGUCAGUAUUUAGUAAUGUUAUGCUGCUUUUGGUUAAUAGUAUAUUUUUUAUUUUAAUUAUAUUUUUCGUGUUUGUUGUACAACCAAAAGAAAACUCGAAAUAUAUUUAUUAUUAAAUAUCUUGCAACACAAUUCAUAUAAUAAACAUCUCAAAUACAUCACUUAAAUUCACACAAUUCAACUACAUCACUAUGUGUAAAAGACUUAACAUAAGUAUCAAAUUAAAUUUUCAACAAUCUCUAAACAACAAGUGCUAACUACUACUCAAUUAAGUUUCCAACCCAAAAGAAAAAAAAAAAAGCACAAGGUCACUCAAUAUCCAUCCACGGCUUCAUUUUGUUCCCACCUACAAAUGCAUAAAAUCAAUUAGUAUACUGUGAAAAAUAAAUCUUAGUUAUUUUGAAGCAAAAAUACUCAUAAAUUACUUCAACAUGGAAGAGUAGGAUUAAAAGAAGCAAGUUAAGGAAUCAGAAAAAGAAAUUGUAGAAUCUACACGUUCCCAAGUUAAUUACAGCCUGCAAUCAUGAUACCACAAAUUGCUUCACCAAAAGUAUUCUAUCAAGUAUUAAAGAGAACACUUAAUAAGUACAUCAAUAUUUAGUAAUGAUGACAUGAACAAUGGUGUCUACAACUUGACAAGCAUAAGUUAUUUUUUUUGUAAUCUAUUUCAUUGUCUAAAUUUAAAGUAAACAAUGCUAUAAUAUAUGAUCAAGUACAUUAAGUUAACAAGCACUAUAACAUUUAUUUAGCCCACAUUCAACGAUGAUCAGUUGGACCGAAAGCCAUAAAUUGAAAAACAAAAGAUAUUUAAUGAGCUUAAAGAGGAAAAAUAAAAGUUAACAAAAUUUAAACGACUAAUGAAGAAAUUAACCAAGCCGAGAUGAAAAACAGAAAUAGAAGGCCACUAUAAGCCAAACAUUACAAAUCAGGUUGCUUUUUAAGACACGAACCCAGUUUCCAAUUACAGUACUUUGCAAUUCUUUAAAAAAAAAAGGGUUUCCCAAUUACUAAAUCUUUUUAGGUUUGAAGUGGAUUGAUAAUUAAAUUGAUGAAAGAAAGGAAAGUGAAGCAAAAAUUAGAUUCAAGUAUGGGUCAAGUAAAAAAGUAAAAGAUAAAAAUCAGAUUCAGUGCAAACCUGGGUUUCAAAUGAUUAGCAAAGGAACAACUUCUUCUUUCUUCAAUCUAAUAUUCUUCUUCGAACAUGGAAUACUAACAAAAUACAAUUAGUAAUUCAUAAACAUAUAGUAAAAUGAGAUAGGUAUUUUUUGAGAGGAGAUUGAGAAAUACAUAUUUGAUUGAAGAAAGAAAACACAACAAAAAAAAAGGACCAGGUCUCCUCAAAGAAAAGCAAAAUGGGAAAAUAGGGGAAUAGUCUAUACAAAAGCCAACCCACCACCCUUGGAGGACCAUCCUUCUUCUGAGCAAAAAUCUAUACAAGAUUAGCCCAAACCUCCAAUAUAGUAAAAUGGGUUCGACAGACUAUUUCUAAUCUGUCAUUUGCAAAGUAAAGCUAAAAUUAGAAUUGUCUACUAACAACCUUCCUAUAGUUUGUCCACUAUAUUAUUACUAUAUUAUUAGAUGUAAAAUGCCCACUAUAAAAGGUAAUUAAUAGAGAAACUUCUCUGUAGUAUUUUCAUACCUGUGCCAAAACAGAGAAGAGAAAGAAAUGGUGUCUGACCUCGGUGGUAAAGGAACCGCUAUGGUAAAGGAUCGAACAUGGAUGAAAAAUAAACUUGUGCAAAUGGAGCCACCAGCAUUUUGCAAGAAUUAAAGAUUUUGGGUGAAAUCCUCUCUUAUAAACACUUAUUUGUAUUGGGAGCAUGCAUACUUCCGAGUAUGAUAUAAUUCUAUAAAAUUUAGACUCCUGAUAGAUAGAUAGAUAACACGUAUUAGCAUUAAUUAAAUGGAAGCAUCAACAAUAAUCAAUAAAUCAUUAUAGAAAAAAAAUUAAAAAUGAAAGGAGCUGAGGCACACCAUUGUGAUGCAAGAUUGACAAUCAAAAGAACCUUUCCUUUGUAGAUGCUAAGAUCAACAUCCUGUCCCUUCGCAUCCUGCAAAUAAGAUAAAUUUUUAUAAAAAUUAAAAAAUAUAUCUGUCAAAUCCCAAAUUGAAUUAAAAAUCAAAACAAGGGAAAGAAAAUGAAAGGAACAUGUCAUCAAAUUGUAGGUGGCUGGUGGUGCUUUUUAGUGAAGUGUUUGUAGAACUGUUAGAUGUAACCAUUCUUUACGCAUCAACUUCGCUAGUGAUUUGAUUUGAUGAAGAGGAUCUUUCCUUAUCUAGUUAUCUUCUUGUGUAGAUCCAUGUAGGAUUCCUUCACGAUUUCUUUUUUUUUUUUUUGGGGGGGGGGGGGGGGAGGUUUAAUUAACAAAACAAUAAGAGUAAAUGAGGAAUCAAUCCCUAAUUUAAGGCCUUCUAAGAUUGCUGAAGCUCUGCAUAAUCAAUGUCUCCAAGAAAAAGGUUUAUUUGCAGGCUGUAGCAGCAAUUUUCUUCCCCAUGAAAUCCAACUGAUCCAUUUGUAUUGAAUUUAAGCACACGCCUGAGGCUGGAAAAGACAAAGAAAUUAAUGAAAACAGGCUAUGUAUCUUUUUUACUUAUCAUUGCUCUAUGAAUUAAUUAUGCUACUAAUCACGACGCCGUUUAAAUCUUAGAACAAUAAUAAUCUUUUAGCAACAAAUAUGACGGUUCAAUAAUAUGUUCCGACUAGGGAUGUCAUAUUGUGAGGGCUGUUAAGUUUAAGAAACGAUCAAAUCUAAUUUUGUGUUCCAAAAACUCAUUGGCUUAACAGAUUAACUCCUCUGUAGUAUUUUCAUACCUGUGCCAAAAGAGAGAAGAGAAAGAAAUGGUUCUUGAUCUCGACGGUAAAGGAGCGGUGGCUGGCUGGGCUGAAGUUGAUGUGACGGCAUAAAAGCGGUAGCAGCGACAUACUGAAAGGUGGCUAGCUAGUCGUAGGUGGCUGAAGCUUGACAACAGUAGAGCAAAGGCGGCAGUGACGUCAAGGAACGGCGGCCGACAGCAGUGAAAGUCGAGGAGCAGCGGCCGGCAGCAGUGAAAGUCGAGGAGCAGCGGCCGGCAGCAGUGAAAGCCGAGGAGCAGCGGCCGGCAGUAGUGAAAGUCGAGGAGCAGGGGAGCGGUCGGCAGCAGUGAAAGUCGAGGAGCAGGGGAGCGGCGGCAGCAACUUAAGAAGUGGUGUGUUUGAUUCGGUUAGAUUUAGGGUUUCUUAUUUUCAUUUUAUACUUUGAAAAAUUAUACAGUGUAAUUGUUCGCAUUGUAAUUUAAUAAAACAACAAACUACAAGUCAACAUGUGGUCAAGUAAAAUUAUUAUUAUUAACAACGAAUUACAAGUUGACAUGUGGCAAAAUAAAAAAUAUUAUUCUCAAAACUAUUAUUAUUAUUAUUAUUAUUAUUAUUAUUAUUAUUAUUAUUAUUAUUAUUAUUAUUAUUAUUGUCCACAAAGUAAUUGUGUAAAAUUUAAUUAAAUAAAAAAAUUAAUCAAAUUGAAAAUUUAAAAACACAUGCAUCAAUGGUUUGCACUCUAAACUUACAAAUUUUAAGUUUAGAGAUCUUGAGUUCGAGUUCAAAUUAAAACAAAAUUAAUAUUAUUAUUUUUUUAUCACUGAUGCUUUAGUAUCAAUAAUCAUUGAAUUUUAAGCUACUGACACCUUAGUAUCAAUGAUUUAUGAUACAUACUUGUUAAAGGCGGAAAAUGGUCCAAACGUACACCAUUUCUGACACUUUUUACUAAGUGUCAGAAACAAAGUGUCAGUAAAUGUCAUUUUUGUAGUAGUGAUGAUAGCAAUAAGUGCUGACUUAGACACUUAGUGGACCGCUUCUACAAGUAAAUAAAAACUAAAUAUUUAUUUUGACUAUAACAACAACUACGCUGAUGAAUAGGAUUUCACAGCAGCCACGUGAGAACUAAUUUCUCCUUAAUAUUAUUAUUAGUAGAAGUAGAUUUUCAAACUAGUCUUGAUAUAUUUCAAAGUUGUAUUAUCAAUGUAUAUGUGUCUAGAUUGUAACUAUACUUUAAAAAAUAUAAAAUUUUUAAUUAUUGCACAAUAUAUGUAGAAAAAUAUCUAUAAAAUGAUAUUAUUAGGACUAAGAAUUUUUUAUUUUAUUUUAGAUAAGUUAUUUAUUUAUUAUCGAAUGAAUAAUUUAUUAAUUUAUUGAUAAAUGAAUAUUUAUUAAUUUAAAGAGAGAUUUUUUUGGUUUUAACAAGAGUUUGUUUGGUAAAUGUACACACUUAUAAAGAAACAUAAAAAGUGGUUCCUCAAGUCAAUAGUGUUUGCUUCAAUCGCAACGGUUCAUAAUAAUAUAGCUUAGUUAGGAAAUUUGUAAUUAUACUAUAACUUUGUUUGGUACAACUUUUCAAGUAAAACUUAUUUAAGUAGAGUUGUUAUUAGUAGAGCUUUUAUAAAUAAAGCUUUUACUAAAAAAAAUUUAAUUGUUUGGUUGUCAAUGUCCAAAUUGAUAAACUUUUGUUCUUUUGUUAAGAUAUGUUUGUUUUACUUAAUAAUAGCAUCGGCAAGAGUUUUCGAUUGUUGCAACUUGCAAUGCACGCGGUGAGAGAAAAUGAGAAUCUUGUUUAAUUGUCAAUAAUGACAAACCUAAUCCUUUCAUUAGGAGUAAUUUAAUAAUCGUUUGUUAUAACUGAAUAUGUAUAAAGAAAGGAAAAUUCUAUUCAUAGAUUUCGACUUAUUUUUUGUUUAAAGUAAUUAAUCAUUCAACCAUCUUCAUUUGCCUCUGGCCAAUGCCCUUGUAGAUUAGUUGAAGCGUUAAUUACUUAAUUAUGAUUAUAUACAUUUUCAUAUAGCAAGUGGCAUUGUAGAUCUAAACUAAGUUGCUAUUUCAAUACCAGCAAAUUCAAAAUAGAAAAGGAGUGCAACUAUUUAACUUUGUAGACAAUAUUGCAACCAUGGCAUAUUUAUAGCAAAUCCUUGAAAUCUGCUAAACAAAACAAUGCCCUGUCUCAUGAAUCGAUGCUCAAUUAAAAUUUAAAUUGAAAGUCCGGCUGGUGUUGUUUUCCUCUCCAGUUUUGCCUACAUAAGUAAAGGGAAAUAAGAAUCAUAAGUGAAAAUAUGCUUUGACAGGUCUUAUUUCUUUGUUUCUCUACUGCAGUUUUGCCUACUCAAGCUGAGUCUACGUUGAGACAUAAUUUCAGUAUUGAGGUAACAAUAAUUUCGGACUCCGUAAGAAGGUUUUGAAAAAGUGGAGUCACAUUUGUUGAAUCAGGCAACGUCAACGUGCCUUCUUCACCUGCUAACACCCUUUUCAACCUCUCACAAAAUAGUCGGAGGUGGACGUCCAGCAUAUCUCCUUCUCUCUGUAGCACCCAGAGGUAACAGGAUUAAUUAAAAAUUUUAGAAUUGUUGGGCGUGGAAAGAGUAGUAUUAAACAUCAGAAAGCAAGGUUGUUCUGCUAAAGAAUUGAUUUGUUGACAUAAUUUUUUUUUUUUUUUUUUGGUUUUCGAGGAAAAAGGCAUAUUUGUUGACAAGCAAGAAAAUGUUUUUGUAUUUUACAAUCUGUUAUACAUAUUUCAUCAUAUUAAAGUAAUUUUAAUAAUAAAUAGAAACAUAAUAUUAUGAUAAAUAAAUUAAAGUUUAAAUUAUUUUGAAUAUUAUAAAAAAAUAAUUCUAAUAUUGUUAAUAGGAACAUAUUUUGUUAAUUGUAAAAUCUUUUUAAUCCAAAGAUUUAUUUAAAAUCUUUAUAAUAAAUACAAAUAUAAAAUUAAAAUAAAUAUCAUAAUUUAAAAUUUUUAAUAUUAUUUUCAAUAUUAAAAUAUUUUAAUGUUAUUAGUCUACUAUGUAAGGUAUCAGAGCCAUACCCAUCCUUGAAUGGGUCAAUGCUGAAUUACACUUGAAAUGGAAAGCUUGCUGCAGUUACGAUAUUUCCCCCUCUGAUUUUUCUCCAAAACAAAUUCAGUUGUAAACAAUAACCGAAGUAGCAAUAAUUCAUUCAUCAAAGAAAAUACUCAAAUUUUCAACUAACAAAUCCUCUUAUCUAAACUAAUUAAAAAAAACUCAUAUCUCAAAAAUCUAUCUACAAAAUGUUGGAAAUAAAGGGUGAUCCGUCAACUCGAUAAAUAUACUCAUGCAUAAUGCUAACAAUAUGAUAAAUUACAUCAUAACUAUUAUAAAGAAUCAUAAAUUGGAAACACUAAUCAUUCUACAAUCUAUUAUAUAACUAAGAUAAAUCUUAUAAUAAGUUAAGUUAGAACAUAAUAAAUAUUUUCAAUAUAUAUAAUUAUUUAAGAAGUCUUUUAACAAUAAAUUUUUUUUCUUUUUCAGUUGAUCAUGUCAUAUAGCGUUAAUGGUGAUUAGUGACUGAUUACAAAGCAAAAUUGUUUAAAAUAGAUUUAAUGCACAAAUAUGAUGAAUUUUGGCAAAAAUUAGUUUCGGAAAUGUUGGGAUGAAAACCAUAUUAGUUGAGACUUAAAGUUACUUAAUAAAAUUAUAUCACUACCAUUCAAUGGAUGAAAACUAUUUUAGUUGAGACUUAAAUUUAGAUUUAAAUGUUGAGAUAUCUAGUAUUACUCAAUCAGAAUAAACAAGAACCAAUUCUGACUAUCAUGUAGAAGCAAAUAUUUAUGCUUGGAUUUUUUACUUCUUGAAUUUGAUUGGAAAAGUUUCUGAGACAGAGAAGUGUUUUGGAUAAUCUUUUUCGGGAUUGAAACCACAAAUUGGUCGAGGAAAUUAAUUUUGGACAAAUUUUUAUUGAGUUGUGCUAAACAUCAAGAAGGGCGAGAGAAUGCUGAGAGAAACGGCAGCUUUGUGCUGCUGUUUCGACUUCUCACUCUCUCGCCAUUCUAAUAAUUUUUUAUUAUUAAAAAUAAAAAAGCGGAGAAAAUGAUAGCAGACAACCCACAUCUACCAAAUCUCCAUCACUCCAUCACUCUCUUUCUCUCUCUCCCUCUCUUGAUUUUCAUCCUCUCUCUGGCUUCCUCACUCUCUACGGCUCCCCAUCAAGCUUCCUCAGUCUCUUCGGCCUCACUAUCUCUAGCCUCACUCUCUCCAGAUUCUUUCAUUUUCUCCUUUUUUUUAUAUUUUUAACAAUAAAAAAUUAGCAUUCUGCUGAGAAAGAGAGUGGUACACGACUCUUGAACAAUUUUUUUUCUGUCGUGAUCGUCUAUCAAACCACCUAAAAAUGAGCCAAGGGGGUUCUCAGCCCUAGCAGCUCACGUACUUUCAAGAUUUAGAGUAUGGUUCCAGUCCAAGCUAUUUAAUUAGUAUUGGGAUUCGAUUUAGUUGUUCUUCUAAUUUAAUAGGAUAAAGAAUUUAAUUGGAGAAAUGUCAUUAAUAUCAUAGGAGCAUAUAUAUUGUUUUGAUUUAAAUAUUGCUAUUUUUUUAUUGUUGAAAAAAAAAACACUAGAAAAUGGGAAGCCAAAAUCUUAGCCCUGUGUUUUUACUUUUACUUUUCUCUUAAACAUUUUAAAGAUGUAAAGGAAAAUGCUCAGAAUGGUGAGAGAGUGAUGGACGUGAUGGGCUAUCUUCUAUCCUUUUUUUAAUAAAUUUUUAAGAAUAAAAAAUUUAUUAAAACAGUAAGAGAGCGAAACCAAAACGGCAGCUUGUGCUGUCGUUUCUCUUAACAUUCUCUCGUCAUUCUUGAUGUUAAGCAUUUUCCAUUUUUAUUAUGUUGUAGCACCUUUUUGGUUCCUUUUGUGUCGGCAGCCCCUUACUAUUCUCUUAACCCUGAGUUUGAGAUAGAAAUUUCCCGAACUCCAACCCCACAUCCACAGACAAGUUGAUUCAAACAAUUGCUCUUUUAAUUAAGAGAAUGAGUUAGGUUUCAGUUCUUAUUGUUGUCUGUUAUUUCUCUGAAUCAUUAAUUUUGAGCAUUACUGAUCUUAGUUAUCUGUAUUUCUCCAAUUAUUGAAGAAUUUAUUAUUGAAUGAAUAAUUUAUUAAUUUAUUGAUAAAUGAAUAUUUAUUAAUUUAAAGAGAGAUUAUUUUGGUUUUAAGAAGAGUUUAUUUGGCACAUGUACACACUUAUAAAGAAACACAAAAAGUGCCUGCUCAAGUCAAUAGUUUUGGUACAUUUACACACUUAUAAAGAAACACAAAAAGUGCUUGCUCAAGUCAAUAGUAUUUGCUUUAAUCGCUAUAGUUCAUAAUAAUAUAGCUUAGUUAGGAAAUUUGUAAUUAUACUAUGGCUCCGAUUGGUACAACUUUUUAAGUAGAACUUAUUUAAUUAGAGUUUUUAUUAGUAGAGUUUUUAUAAAUAGAGAUUUUACUAAAAUAAAAUUUAGUUAUUUAGUUGUCAAUGUCCAAAUUGAUGAAAUAUUGUUCUUGUUAACAUAUGUUUGUUUUACUUAAAAAUAAAAGUUUAGUUUACAAUUACACCAGUAUAAAAUCAGCAGAGCAUUUUUGCUUAAAUAUUUAUUAAUUUAAAGAGAGCUUAUUUAAAUAGAGUUUUUGUUAGCAAAACUUUUAUAAAUAAAACUUUGCUUAAAAAAAUUUAAUUAUUUAAUUGUUAAUGUCCAAAUUGAUGAACUUUUGUUCUUUUGUUAACAUGUGUUUCUUUUACCUAAUAAUAAAAAUUAGUUUACAAUAACACUGGUGUCAAAUCAGCAGAGAUAUUUUCCAGCCAGUCACAUUAUACAUACGGGAGCCUCUAUGUUACAUUGAAUGUACCAUACACAACUAAUAAGAACCACAUAAAUUGUGGGACCCACAUAAUUGUGUGGUUCUUAUUGGUUGUGUAUGGUACAUUCAAUGUAACAUAGCAAAAUCCUAUACAUUAUACUAAUAGCAUCGGCAAGAGUUUUCGAUUGUUACAACUUGCAAUGCACGCGGUGAGAGAAAAUGAGAAUCUUGUUUAAUUGUCAAUAAUGACAAACCUAAUCCUUUCAUUAGUAGUAAUUUAAUAAUCGUUUAUUAUAAUUGAAUAUGUAUAAAGAAAGGAAAAUUCUAUUCAUAAAUUUCGACUUAUUUUUUGUUUAAAGUAAUUAAUCAUUCAACCAUCUUCAUUUGCCUCUGGCCAAUGCCCUUGUAGAUUAGUUGCAGCGUUAAUUACUUAAUUAUGAUUAUAUACAUUUUCAUAUAGCAAGUGGCAUUGUAGAUCUAAACUAAGUUGCUAUUUCAAUACCAGCAAAUUCAAAAUAGAAAAGGAGUGCAACUGUUCAACUUUGUAGACAAUAUUGCAAGUUGCAACCAUCCAAAGGUGAAGAUCUAUGCUUAUUAUCUAUUUAACAGCUAAUAUAUAUAUAUAUAUAUUUAUUUAAAUAUCAAGAGCUAUGCUUUUAAAUAAGUUCAAAUGGGAUGAGAACAGACUUAUAUUUAUUUAUUUAAAUAUGACCCAGGCUAAUUUCUCUGAAUUUGGACAGAGUAGAUUUCUAAGCUAAUGCUUGGCAUAUCUCUGGCGAUACUACAAAGUGCAUGUACAUUGACUCUUAAUAAAUAUAAACGAUUCUCUGAUAUGAUUCAAAACAUCACUACAUGCAUAAGUUAAUAAGAGACAAUAUUCUAAGAUUAUUUAUGCAUCACCAUUUAUAGUUGUACCCUCUCUAAUGAAAUUGAAGGUGCAGCCAGCAACUAAAAUGAAGCAGAAAUGUACACGCAUGAGGCAGUUUUUCUAGAAGAUUGAUAUUUCUUUAACUAGAAAACCAUACAAGUCCACAACUAGCCAAACUGUACCUGCAUGUGUCUAGGGCUUAAAUGGAGCACUUCUAAGCAUAAAACAGUAACUAAAACACAUACACAAACAUACAUACCAAAAAAUUCAGAAAAUAGAGAAAGGAAUACAACUAUUCUUGUUUGUAGACAAUAUUGCAACCAUGGCAUCAGUUAUAGCAAAUCCUUGAAAUCUACUAAACAAAAUAAUGUCCUGUCUCAUGAAUCAAUGUUGAAUUACAGCUGAAAUUGAAAGUCUGGCAUCAGUUAUAGGAAAUAUUGAAUUACAAUAUUUCCCUUGCCGAUUUUGUCUACACAAGUAAAAUGGAAAUAAGAAUCAUAGAUGAAAAUCAACUUUUACAGUUCUAAUUAUUAGAUAGAUACAGAAUGAUCUAUCUUUGUGAGUUUGUUUUUCUGCUGCAAUGUGCGAUCCCACUCUGUUUUGAUACUCAAAUUGAGUCUAUGUUGAGACAUAAUUUUGACAUUGCAAGCAAUCCCAAUUAGUUUGGCAUUUGUAUGACCCUUUGAAGGUUUUACAAUAGAUGCAAAUCUACUGAGAAAAUGGUAAAAAAGGUGCAUAUAAAAUGAGGCAAGUAACAGAAGUAUGAGUUAUCAGAUUAGAUUAAAAGUCACCCAAUUCAAUCUAUCAGAUUCCGUAAGGAUAUAACUGGAUGUCAUAUCGCCACUCCAUAUCCUCGAAAGUCCGUAGUCUUUGUCUCAACUCUGUCUGAGGCCAAUGUAAAUCCAAUUUGCACAAGCUCUUUAUGCACCAUAGCUCUUCUGGAAGCUUUCUCAAGUAAGCACAUGGGUUGACAAUUAAGCUUUCAAGUUUUGGCAUUGCUCUUGCCCCCAUCGUCCACUCGUCUAGCCAAUACAUCGACUUCAAGUGCAAAAUCUUAAGUUCCGGAAAGCCACCAGAGCCAACGCAGGCCAGCUUUCUUCCUAAAUAUGAGUUCUGCUUCAGUUUCAGCACUUGAAGGCGUGGAAGCUUUUCCAGCAUUGGCAUGGGAUCCUCCAUUAGCUCAGUAUUUGAUAAGCUCAGUUGGAUCAGGCUUGGAGGAAAUUGGUAUUCAGACAGGACCAUCCGUGAGAGCUUGCUCUCAUUCACCAACUUCAAGCAUUCAACUUUGUGGAGUUCGCAUACGCUUUUGGAAACCCCAGAGUGAUAGCAACUCAAAUCUCCAGACACUCUAAGAGUUUGAAGAUUAGGUAGUCUGCACAAUAUAUCUGGCGUGCAACUACUAGGGUGUAAGGCUGAUAUGAAAAUAAGAUUUUUCAGAGAGCUGGAAUAAUUUUUUGGAGGUGCAGGCAGAGUGAUGGAACCAAAGUUCAGAUGCAUGAGUUUUUGCAUCUUCCAAAUAUCCUCUGGUGUUUGAUCUACGUAGCUAGAUGGCAUGUCUAGUGUUUGAAGGUUUGAAAGGGUGCAUAGCAGUGAAGGAAGACAUUUGAGCGAAGGGAUAUUCAAUUUCAAAUACUUCAAAUGGAAUAAAUUUUCUAAUCCGGGUGGAUAUUGGUCCAGGACUGCAGAACCCAUGUUCAAUACCCGAAGGUGUUUGAACAUUUUACAAAAAUUCUCGCAAUCUAUCGGAUUAAGAUGAUCGCUUUCUGAACUGUGAUUCAGAAAAGAUUGGAGGUACAUGUCAGAAUGUUUCAAAGAAAAGAACUCAAUCAGAUCAUCGACAAUGAUGUACCGUUUGGCAUUUGCCAUUGAUUCCUCUUCCAAUCCAGGCGACCAAAAAAAUCCCGUCAAUGCUGCCGGCAAAAGUAACGCAACAUAUGCAAAAGUUGGAACAUAGCACGCCUUAAUUGUGCCUCCGGCUCUUCUCUUAUUCACUUGAAUGAAGCCACGAUCGAUUAGUUCAUUCAAGUAAUGCUCGGCAGUUUCCUCACUGUUGUGUGGUAUGAAACCUUCAGCUACCCACAACCAAUAUAAUUGCCUGGUAGAUAUCUCAAUGCCUGGAUGGAACAAACACAAAUAGAGGCAGCAGAUUUUCAAGUGAACAGGUAACUGCAACACAGAAUAAAUUGUACUCCAAGCUGUCAGAAACGCUUUUUCUCCCAUGUAAAUUCUUAAUGUCGUUUUUCCAUAGUGUAGGAUGAAAAAUUGCCAGGCUUCAUGCUUUAAUCUGAUCAAUGGUCCUCCAACGAGAACUGAAUCAGGAUGAAUCGUCUGUCCAUUUUCCAAUUCGAACGAGGAAAGGAAGUCUGGAUCAGUGACCGUCAUUAAUACUCUGCUUCCAUUCUGAUUCUCAGGAAGGACUUCUUCAAGAUCAUCCAAUACAUCGUCACUCUCUUCACAGUAAUCAUCAAGCACAAUAAAGUACUUCUUGUUUGUUAGGUAAUCUCGAAGAAUAGAUUUCUUCAAUUGAUAAUCUUCACCGAUAACUACACUAACCCGAGAUGGAGGCAUCACAGACUUGAUUAUGUCAUCCAAUAUCAUGCGAAAAUCGUAGGCUAUAGAAACCCUGACCCAAGCAUGACAGUCAAAAUAGAACUUGACAUGAUUAUUGUUGUAAGUAUCAGCAGCAAAAGCAGUCUUAUCAAAGCCACUGCUGUCGAGAAUUGCAACCACUGAAAGCUGAGGUUGUCCCUCGAUCAGUAAAUCAAACAACGCCUCUCUGCCGCUUUCAAAUUCACUCUUAUCAAGCUGAAAUUGUCCCUCAAUCAAUAAGUGAGUGAAUUCGUUCCUUCGCUCUUUGAAAUCAAAACCAUUGCCUCCAGGUGGAAGUUGUUGCAACCGAUUUCUAAUAUCAAUGAUUUUACUGUGGAUUCCGACAAGAAGAGCAAUGCAAGUAGUGCUCUCACUUUCACUGUUUUGCUGCUGCGUGAUGUUGAUGAAGAAUGUGUCAAUAGCUUUCUCAGAUUCACGGACAAAGUAAUUGAUGUCUUUCAGAAGUUCCCAAAUGUCUGUUCUUUUAACAUUUUCUAAGUGCAAGAGCUGCCGAUAACGCGAAGGCAUUUCGUCUUCAUCGAAUUGUUCUCUAAUGAGUUGAAUUAAAACUCGAGCCAUGUCAACUUCAUAUUUUCCCAGCAGAGUAGUAGCAAUAAUUUCGGACUCCGUAAGAAGGUUUUGAUAAAGUGGAGUUAAAUUUGUUGAAUCAGGCAACGUUAACGCGCCUUCUUCACCUGCUAACACCCUUUUCAACCUCUCACAAAAUAGUCGUAGGUGGACGUCCAGCAUAUCUCCUUCUGUCAGUAGCACCCAGAUGUAUUGUCAUUUGCUUCAAGAAAUGUUGAAAGGAUUGGUUCUAUCUCAAAGUGUUUAGUGGUGUAAAAUUAAUUAAUUAAACACCAUGGAAGAAUUUGCAAGGAAGAUGCCAAGAAACUGGCGAAGUGGCUAAAUUCCACAAUUAUGACAUUAUUGCUCAUUUUCAACUCAAAAAAAUGAUACGCGUUCAUUUAGAGAAAAGUCCAAGACGCGUUCCUUUCGGAAAGAACAAUUAUCCAAUAGAGAUCCAACCUUUAUCUUAUUCAAUUACUACCCUGACAUGAUUGAUGGUGCUUAAAUCAAUUGUUUCUUUUUUAAUUUAAAGAAUUUUUCAUUCAAAUUUUUUUUAAUAUUAAAUUGCCUUCAAUGGCAUUACUGCAGCAAGCCCAGUAACACGAUUAAUUAAAAAGUUUAGAAUUUUUGGGCCUGGAAAGAGUAGUAUUAAACAUCAGCAAGCUAAGGUUGAUAUGUUAAAGAGUUGAUAUUGACAUAAUUUUUAUUUUGGUUUUCGGGGAAAAAAAAUUGUUGACAAGCAAGAAAAUAUUUAUAUAUUUUACAAUUUAUUAUACAUAUUUUAUCAUAUUAAAAUAAUUUUAAUAAUUAAUGAAAAACAAAAUAUUGCAAUAAAUAAAUUAAUGUUUAAAUUAUUUUGAAUAUAAUAAAAAUAAUUUUAAUAUUAUUAAUAGGAAGACAUUUUGUUAAUUUUAAAAUCUUUUUAACCCAAAGGUUUAUUUAAAGUCUUUAUUAUAAAUUAAAUAUCAUAAUCUAAAAUUUUUAAUAUUAUUUUAAGUAUUAAAAAUAUUUUAAUGUUAUUAGUCUACUACAUAGAUCAUAUUACUUAUGUUAUAUUUGUAUUGAUUAAAAAUUUUUAAAAUCAAUUUUCUAGUUACUACAUUCACGAGGCAUUAUGGUUAAAGAAAAGAUCUUGAUGUUACUUUUAAAAAAUUUGAGGGCCUGCAUGAUAAUUUUUUCAAAAUUUAAGGAUGUAGGUGUCCUUCUCAAAUAAUUUAGGGUGAGGCUAUUUGAAUCCACCAAUCUACUCACUACACCCAUUUACUAAAUAAACCCGCACUUAAGUUUUGAAAUUUUAAAUUUUACUCAACAAACCGACCUAAAUGUCCAAUAUACCCUUAUUGAACCCAAUUAUUAUAAUAAUAUGUUUUUGCUAAUUAAACCCAUUUAAUUCAUUUAAAGUUAAUAAAUGAUUAUAUUUAUUAAAUUGAAAACUAAAAGAUUAUACAAAACAUAAACAAUACUCUCAAUUAUAUAUUUUGGAGCAAAAAUUCCAAAGUGUAGUAAGCAAAGCCAAUGCAAAAUGGCUGGAGCAGCUAAUAAUGGUAAAAGUCAGAGCCUAGUAAUGUGGUACCGCUACUUGACUUUGGGAAAGAAGUGAUAAUUAUAUCAAUUUCUUCAACUUGGAAGUUGGAAGUGCUGUUGAAAGCGGUUGAUGCCAGAAAAAUAAUUAGAUAUCUGUCAAAAAAAAACUUUGGUAUUUUUAGAAAUAAAAUCCUAUAUCCAGUAUUUCAAUAUGAAAAGUCUCUAGUAUUUCUUUCAAUUGAUUCUUCCUUUGUCUUCUUCGACUCCAUGAAGGUUUAAUUAUGAUGAGAAAGCCAAGGGGAAUCAAUAAAGAAUAUCAAUUUAGGGUUUAAGAAAAAUAUCAUAAAGUUGAAUGUAAAAUGGAUUCAAAGAGUAAAUUUUAUUUUUAAAACUAUAUUUUAAUGUCUAAAAUUGUAAUUUAAUUUAGGGAUAUUUUAAUAAUUACAAUUUAUUUUUAAAAGUGAGUUUAUUAAGUAGUUUGAUGGGUUCAAAUAGUCCCAUCCAAUAAUUUAUUUCACUGUUAAGGGAAUCCAAUGAGAAAAAUAAUAAGAUAUCGUCAAUGACUUGUCAUUUUCUAUUUUUUCUAUGAGCUAAUUAUUUUGAGCAUUAGUGAUCUUGUCAGGACUACUCCAAUUAUUGAUGCAACUCCAGCGGCUGCAUCCACAGUGGCUACUCCAAUUAUUCAUGCCUUUUAAAAAGAAUAUGUAUACAAUAGCAAUCCAUACUUUAUCUUACAUUGAUUUUUUUCAAUUAAUGGUGAUUGCAUUGAUUUUUUUCAAUUAAAGAAAAAUUGUUUAAAAUAGAUUUAAUGCACAAAUACGAUGACUUUUGGCAAAAAUUAGUUUCGGAAAUGUUGGGAUGAAAACCAUAUUAGUUGAGACUUAAAUUAAGAUUUAAAUGUUGAGAUAGUAUUGCUCAGUCAGAAUAAACAAUAACCAAUUCAAAUUAUGACUAUCACGUAAAAACAAAUGUUUAUGCUUGGGUUUUUUACUUCUUGAAUUUGAUUGGAAAAAUUUCUGAGACAGAGAAGUGUUUUGGAUAAUUGUUUUGGGGAUUGAAACCACAAAUUGGUCGAGGAAAUUAAUUUUGGACAAAUUUUUAUUAUAUUGUAGCACCUUUUUGGUUCCUUUUCGGCGGCCCCAUACUAUUCUCUUAACCCUGAGUUUUUUUUUUUUUUUUUUUUUGAAAAGUCUUAACCCUGAGUUUGAGAUAGAAAUUUCCCGAACUCCAACCUCACAUCCAGGGACAAGUUGAUUGAAACAAUUGCUCUUUCAAUUAAGAGGAUGAGUUAGGUUUCAGUUCUUAUCAUUGUCUGUUAUUUCUUUGAAUCAUUAAUUUUGAGCAUUACUGAUCUUAGUUAUCUGUAUUUCUCCAAUUAUUGAAGAAUUUCAUGUGGCCACUUUUUCUCCUUUUCAUAUAUGUUUCGUUUUUGGACUGAUCAAACGGUGCAAAACCAAGUAUUUGCUGGUCCUUAGUUUAGCCAAUGAUGGCUGAUCCACAGUUGAAUAUAUGAUACUAUUAGCUCUUAUUUGAGAAUGUAAAGGGAUCUUUCUUAUUUGAGAAUACAAGUUGCCCAAUAGAGUUGAACUAUGUUACCCAACUCCAUGCUCAUACAUUAAAUGUUUAGGUAGUUUUACAAAAUGAUAGCAGCAUGCCAAAACUUGUUGUUGUCAUUUUCGACAUUUCAAAUUGAAAAAUAUGCAAGCAAUCUUCAGUGAACAUUACGUUUUUAUUGAAUAAUUUAAAUGGCCAGCAAAUCAACAGUCCGUGAGUUUUAAAUCUAUUAUGACUUAAUGUAUCUUUCUGUAUUCGUACACAGGUUAUAUUAUCAUAGUUUAAAAUUUUAAUAUUAUUUUAAAUGUUAAAAAUACUUUAAUGCUAUUAGUCUACUACACAGGUUAUAUUAUUUAUAUUAUAUUUGUAUUAAUUAAAACUUUUAAUGUCAAUUUUCUAAUUACUAUAUUGAAAAGGUAUUAUGGUUAAGAAAAAGUUUUGGCAUUUCUUCUUGAAAAUUUGAGGGUCUGCAUGACAAUUUUUCCAAAUUCUAAGGGUAUAGGUUUGAAAAUUUAAUGUUCUUUAACUUAAUGAAACAAAAGGGGGAAACCAAGAACUAUUCAAUUUUGUAUUUUUUGUUUGUAAUUCAAAAAAUGCAUCCACCAAACAAGUUUUACGCAUUAAUGCUGUCAUAAAACAAAAAACAGUUUGCCAAAAAAUGGUACCAAACAUAUCCUUAAUGUCUCACAUGAUUUCUUAGUAAGCCCAUAUUAGAUAUAUUUAUACAUUUUAGGUAUUUUAAUUAUAAAAGAAGUUGGUCCUCCCUCUGUUUAUAAAAGAUAACGUUAUUUCGAGAUUACCACUAAACUCUUACAUAGAAUUAGUGUAAUGUUAAGAGAGAGUAACACAAUUUUCCGUUACCAUCUUUGAAAAUAGAAAGAUAUGGAUGCGUGCAUUUAAGGGUUAUCGUGAAAAUCAUACAAUUCAAUUUCCUGACAUAUAUAUUCGUGCACAUAUGCCAAAAGAAUAAAUAGACAGAAAGUAAAUUUACAGUCCUCACUUCCUCACAAUUGUUAACGUGGAGACAUUAAGGAUGAGCAUAAAAGUUAAAGAUGACUCAUUUCUCAUUUUCUUUUUAAAGUGCUCUGCUGAAAGCCAAACUUCCUUUGGCUAAUUAAUUUAGAAGUAAAGCAGAGAAUAAAGUCCUAGAUGCCUUCUGAAAUUAGAAAUACAUUUUAUAUGCUUUAAUUAUGAUUAUUUGGUAGACUAAAGACCUAAAAGAUAUGUCCAAAGUAUAAAACAGAACGAUUAAAGGAAAAAGAAAAAAAACAGAGUAUUUGUGACGUAGAAUAACAAUUGGUAACUAAAAUCCUAAAUAUUUGAGUUGUUAAAAGCAAAUAUAACAGAGAAGGUAAGAGAGAUGCAGAAACAGAAAACUAUUAGCUUAUCUUGAUUUCCCACUAUAUUCAUUUUCGAUGCUUUUCAAACGAGAUUCUUUUAAUCCUUCUGGCGUCCGCAGCCCUUGCUCUUCUUACAAAUCUCCAGUCCACAUCUGCACUACGAACAAGUUGAUUGAAAUUAAAUAAUGUUGGAGAUGAGGGGUGAGCCGUCAACUUGGUAAAAAAAUUCAUGUAUAAUAUUAUCAAUAAUAUAAAAUAUAUAAUAAUUAUUACAAAGAAUCAUAAAUUAAAAAAUUAAUUAUUUUACAAUCUAUUUCUUAAGUAAGAUAAAUCUCGUAAUAAGUUAAGUUAUAACGUAAAAAAUAUUUUCAAUUUAUAAUCAUUUAAGAAGUCAUUUAACAAUAUAUUUUUUUUAUCAGCAGGCCAUGCCACAAAGUAUCAUCUAUAUUCGUGGUGAUAUUAUUAUUACUCCGUAUUCUCAAAAAACAUGAUUUAACAUUUAGAGAAAAUUCCUGCCUUUUAAAAAGAACAUGUAUGCAACAACUACCAAUACUUUAUCUUACCACAACAAAACCAAUGGUGACUAAAUCAAUUUUCUUGAUUAAAGCUAAAUUUCUUAAAAUUGAUUUAAUGCACAAAUAUGAUGACUUUUUGCAAAAAUUAGUUUUGGAAAAUAUAGUGAGAGAAAAUAGUGACGAUUAUUGUUUAGAUGUGUAAAUAGUCUAAACAUAAUCGCUAAUACCAAUAUCCAAGUGCAUCUUAACACCUUUCGUGAUAUUCUUUCAUUCAUGGUCACUGGUUCAAUAUUUGAAUUUAAUCAGUAAAUCAUGUUCAAUAAUAUUAGAGAUCCCAACAAUUGAGUACCAAUUUAAAUCCUAAUGCUAUAUGUCAUUGACCAAUAUUGUGUCAUUUUUUGUUAACUGGGUGAUGAAUUUCUAGUUGAUAAAAUUACUUUAAAAUAUCUUAAAAAUUAGACAAUAGUUUGCUUAAUUUUUUUAAGCUAACCGCUCAAGAUGCUCUAUUAGAAAUGAUAACCUAAUUAUAUACAUAAAAAAUGAUGUAUUUUUUGCAAUGUUGAUAGUGAGAUUAUCAUUCAACAUGUUAAAAUAUGAAAACAUAUGGAAGAUGGUUGUAAAUUGAUUGAAUGAAAAUAUUUCAGUGAAGUCUCAAAAAUUUGGUACUUGUUAUCUUAUCGAAAGUUUUCUAAAUUAUAUUCGUGGCACUGCCACUGCUUCUAUGUGAAGGUCAUUAAAAUUUGUGUUAGUUACCUAUAGGUUGAAUAACAAUUUUAUUCAUCAAUUGUUGCUCAAUAUAGCAAUUUGAUUGAAAGUGCCGCUGCACUAAUUUUCUAGAUGAACUUUCCUAAAUGUUUGUCCUCAUAUGACCUAGAAUGCUGCGAUAUCAAUUGUAUUGGAAAUUAUUCAAGUGGGUUAGUGCUCUACAUCCCCACCAAAAUUUAAGCAAUCAACAAAACAUUCCUUGUGGAAAUAAACUUAUUUCGCUACUAGACUUCUAAUGAGGCCCAUUUUCCAGAAUCUGGAUACGAGUUAGAUGUCUCCCAAAAUAUUGGUGGGAGUAGACUAUACUAGCACUCGACAACAUACUAACGACGCUAUGGUCCACCAGAAAGACCGGUCUCCGGUCAGCCGAAAAAUCUCACGUUCAGUCUCUUCUCAAUCUCCCUUCUCCCAGCCAAGUCGAUCCCGUAACAUGAUACUAAUCCACAGUUGAAUACAUGAUACUAUUAGCUCUUAUUUGAGAAUAUAAAGGGAUCUUUCUUAUUUGAGAACAUAAAUUGCCCAAUAAAGUUGAACUACGUUACCCCGCUCCAUGCACAUACAUUAAAUGUUAACAGCAUGCCAAAACUUGAUGUUGUCAUAUUCGACAUUUCAAAUUAAUAUGCAAGCAAUCUUCGGUGAACAUUACGUUUUUAUUGAAUAAUUUAAAUGGCUAGUAAAUCUAGAGUUCUUGAGCUUUAAUCUAAAUCAAAUCUAUUAUGACUCAAUGUAUUUUUUUGUGUUCGUACCAGUAAUGCAGGGGAUUAUUUACGCAACUCUUAUUAUUGACUGAGAUGUUCACCUUCAUCCAAUUAGAGAAAGAGUGACUGUAGAGGUGGCAAAAAUACCCGCCCGGUCCGGACCCGGACCGUACCCAUUACCUGGUCCGGGUAUGAAGCCGGGUCGGUCUUGGGCAUCACUUGAUAAACCUGGAACCCGGAUUUUAUUAAAAAAAUUAUAAAAUAUAUAUUAUUUUAAAUAUUUUAUAUUUAUUUGACUCAUUUAUUAUACAUAUAUAAAGUUUUAAACACUUAAAGUUUAUAUUUUCAUGUCAAAUUUUAUUGAAAUAAAUUUAAAACUUAUAAAAUUACUAAAAAAUAAAAAAUAUAUACACAUAAAAUAUUAAAAAAUAUAAAAUUCGGAUACCCGGAUUAAAACCCGGCCCGAACCCGGACCCAGACCGGUUGCAUCCGGGUAGGGUCCAGUCAUGGCAAUACUCGGACCUGGUCCGGGGUUUUGCCAUCUCUAAGUGACUGGGUUCCUAUAAAGGGACUCUUAACCAUUACGAGAGUAUUCAGACUACAAAUCUUUGUAAUUAAAUUCAAAGGUGAAGAUCUAUGCCUAUUAUCUAUUUAACAACUAAUAUAUAGUUAUCUAUUCAUUUAAAUAUCAAGGGCUAUGCUAAUAAUUAAGUUGAAAUGUUGAUGAAAGUAGCCUUACAUCUGUGUAUUACUCAUCUACUCUAAUCUUUUUUUUUUUUAACUUAAUGUACUUUUUCUAAUGUUGUUUACUCUUCCCCCCCCCCCCCCCCCCCCCCCCCCCCCCCCCCCCCCCCCCCCCCCACCUCUCUGACAAAAUAAUAAGAGUUUAGACUUGAAAAUAUCUUAAAGAUCAAACAGUAAUUUACCUAAUUUUUUGAAGCUAACUGCCAAAGAUAUUCUAUUAGACAUUGAUAACGUAGUUAUAUACAUUUAAAAUGAUAUUUUUUUGUGGAAAGGGAUUAUCAUUCAACAUCUUAAAAUAUGAAAACAUAUGGAAGAUGAUUGUAAAUUGAUUGAAUGAAAAUAUUUCAAUGAAGAUGGUUGUAAAUUGUUAUCUUAUUGAAAGUUUUCUAAAUUUACUACUAUUUGAACUUAGCCCUCCUGGUACCGCCACCAUUUCUGCUUGAAAGUCAUUUAAGUUUGUGUUAGCUGCCUAAAGCUUUUUUUUUUUUUUUUUUCUUUUUCUUUUUGAAAAGAGCUGCCUAUAGCUUGAAUAACUAUUUUGCUCACGAAUUGUUGUCCAUUAUAGCAAUUUAUUUAAUUGAAAGUGCGGCUGCAAUAAUUUUCUUGAUGAACUAUUCCACAUGUUUGUUCUCAUGUGAGGCAGUUUUUCUAGAAGAUUGAUAUUUCUUUAAGUCUUUAACUAGCAAAGCAUACCAGUCCAAAGCUAGCCAAACCAUACCUGCUGGUCCAGGGCUUAAAUGGAGUACUUCUAAGCAUAAAACAGUAACAAAAACACAAUAUAUGCAUACAUACAUACACACAUACAUACAUACCAGCAAAUUCAAAAUAGAAAAAAGAGUGCAACUAUUCAAGAAAUUGGUUAUUGUAGACAAACACACAUACAAACACAUACCAGAAAAUUCAAAAAAUAGAGAAAGGAGGCCAACUAUUCAAGUUUGUAGACAAUAUUGCAAUCAUGGCAUUACUUAUAGCAAGUCCUUGAAAUCUACUAAACAAAACAAUGCUCUGUCUCAUGAAUCAAUGUUGAAUUACAGACGAAAAUGAAAGUCUAGCAGGUGUUGUUUCCCUCUUCGAUUUUGCCUACACAAGUAAAGGGAAAUAAGAAUCAUAAAUGAAAAUCAGCUUUUACAGUUGUAAUUAUUAGAUAGAUCUAGAACGAUCUUUCUUUGUUUCUCUGCUGCAAUGUGCUAUCCCACUCUGUUUUGCUACUAAAAUUGAGUCUAUGUUGAGACAUAAUUUCGACACUAGGAGCAACCGCAAUUAGUUUGGCAUUGCAUUACCCCUUGAAGGUUUUACAAUAGUUGUAAACUUACCGAGAAAGUGGAAAAAAAAGGGCAUAGGGAAUUAGGCAAGUAACUAAAGUAUGAGUCAUCAGAUAUGAUUAAAACUCACCCAAUUCAAUCCAUCAGAUUCCGUAAGGAUAUAACUGGAUGUCAUAACGCCACUCCAUAUCCUCGAAAGUCCGUAGCCUUUGCCUCAACUCUGUCUGGGGCCAGUGUAAGUCCAAUUUGCGCAAGCUCUUUAUGCACCAUAGCUCUUCUGGAAGCUUCCUCAAGUAAGCACAUGGGUUGACAAUUAAGCUUUCAAGUUUUGGCAUUGCUCCUGCCCCCAUCGUCCACUCAUCUAGCCAAUACAUUGACUUCAGGUGCAAAAUCUUAAGUUCCGGAAAGCCACCAGAGUCAUCACAGGCCAACUUUCUUCCUAAAUACGAGUUCUUCUUCAGUUUCAGCACUUGAAGGCGUGGAAGCUUUUCCAGCAUUGGCAUGGGAUCCUCCAUUAGCUCAGUAUUUGAUAAGCUCAGAUGGCUCAGACUUAAAGGAAAUUCGUAUUCAGACAGGGCAAUCCGUGAGAGCUUGCUCUCAUUCACUAGUUCCAAGCAUUCAAUUUUGUGGAGUUCGCAUACGCUUUUGGAAACCCCAGAGUGAUAGCAACUCAAAUCUCCAGAUAUCUGAAGAGUUUGAACAUUAGGUAGUCUGCACAAUAUAUCUGGCGUGCAACUACUAGGGUGUAAGGAUGAUAUGAAAAUAAGAUUUUUCAGAGAGCUGGAAUAAUUUUUUGGAGGUGCAGGCAGAGUGAUGGAACCAAAGUUCAGAUGCAUGAGUUUUUGCAUCUUCCAAAUAUCCUCUGGUGUUUGAUCUACGUAGCUAGAUGGCAUGUCUAGUGUUUGAAGGUUUGAAAGGGUGCAUAGCUGUGAAGGAAGACAUUUGAGCGAAGGGAUAUUCAAUUUCAAAUACUUCAAAUGGAAUAAAUUAUCUAAUCCGGGUGGAUAUUGGUCCAGGACUGCAGAACCCAUGUUCAAUACCCGAAGGUGUUUGAACAUUUUACAAAAAUUCUCGCAAUCUAUCGGAUUAAGAUGAUCGCUUUCUGAACUGUAAUUCAGAAAAGAUUGAUUAGUUCUUUCAAGUAAUGUUCGGCCGUCCCCUCACUGUUGUAUGGUAUGAAACCUUCAGCUACCCACAACUGAUAUAAUUGCCUCGUGGAUAUCUCAAUACUUGGAGGGAAGACAAACAAAUAGAUGCAGCAGACUUUCAAGUGAAAAGGUAACUCCAUCACAGAAUAAAUUUGUCUCCAAGCUGUCGGAAUCGCUUCGCCUUGAAAAUAAUUUUCUAAUGGCAUACGUCCGUAGUGUAGGACGAAAAAUUGCAAGCCUUCAUACUUUAUUCUAAUCAGUGGUCCUCCAACGAGCACUGAAUCAAGCCGAAUCUCCUCUGCGUUUUCCAUUUCCAACGAUGUAAGGAGUCUUGGAUCAGCGACCAAUAUCAAUACUCUGCUUCCAUUCUGAUUAUCAGGAAGAACUUCUUCAAGAUCAUCCCAUAUCUCACUCUCAUCGAAGAAGCACAAUAAAGUACUUAUUGUUUGUUAGGUAAUCUCGAAGACUAGAUUUCUUCAAUUGAUAACUUCACCGAGGCAUCACAGACUUGAUUAUGUCAUCCAAUAUCUUGCCAAAAUCGUAGGCUAUAGAAACCCUGACCCAAGCAAGACAGUCAAAAUAGAACUUGACAUGAUUAUUGUUAAAAGUAUCUGCAGCAAAAGCAGUCUUAUCGAAGCCACUGCUGUCGAAAAUUGCAACCACUGAUAUCGAUAGAUCAAACAACUUCUCUCUGCCCUUUUCAAAUUCACUGAUAUCGAGCCGAGGUUGUCCCUCAUUCAAUAGGCGAAUGAUUUUGUUACUUUGUUCACUGAUAUCAAAACCAUUGUCGCCGGGUGGAAGUUGUUGCAUCUGAUUUCUAAUAU